rnacentral:lncRNA from 1 species
GGGGAGGGAGGGACCCGCAGGGAACACAAUAUUCUCUCCGUUCUUUAUAUAUAUCACACACAGGCCCUCCUCAUCAGAGAGUAACAACAAUACCCUCACACUGACCUCACCAUCACACACCCAUAUACACUACACACUCUUAAUUCUACCGGGAUACACACAGAAACGGAUAGAUAAGAGAUGACGUGAGAAAGAGAGAGCUGUUAGAGAGUGAGAAAGAAAUCUGUGAGAGAGUGACAGAGAUUUAUGAGAGAGGGAGAGAUUCGCGAUUGAAAUCGAAAGAGAAUGAUGGCAAAGCAGUUUUCGGUGAGUGAGAGCUUGAGGAACACGAGUUUGGAGGUUUGAUUACUGUUCCGGGGAUAGGCUCGCCGGAAUAGCGUCUAGCUAUCGUAAAUUUGUUCAAAACCCAACGAAUACGUCUCAACUGAUAUAUCUUUGUCAUUUUGGUCAUAGCAGAAGUUUAUUGGGGUUACAACAACACAAAAUUAUCAAACAAACCUCGAUCUGCUUUUGAUUCCGUCCAAACCCGUUGGAAUUGGGCCGGAUUUCUCUUAUUUCUCAUGAUUUUUUGUUCGAGGUUGUGUGGGUUUGUGAGAAUCUAGUCCAGGUCUCUUUGUUUUUGUGAUUCUCAGUUUCGAGUUGGAUGAGUUCAUUUGUUUGAGGUUCGGUUCGAGGUUUCUGGGCGUGGAUUCUCUUUAUUCGAAUAACAUUGAAUUUGAAAGCUACGAAUCAAGGUCCAAUUCUAUUAUCUCUCUUUAUAUUUCAUUAUUUAAUGUAUUUUGGUGCGUUGGAUUGAAUAUUGUAUGUUUUGUUUGAUCCUUGUUGGUGAUGAAUGCGUAUUUGUUUUGAUUCGCGGUUGGUUCCUUUGAUUAUGAUUUGUAUGGUGAAAUAGCAUCUCAUUUGAUAAUUAAAAUUGGUUGUUUGGGGCGGAAUUAAAAUUGAUAAAAGUAAAUACAUAUUUGUUUUAAUUCAUUAUUAGCGGUUUAAUUUGGAAUAAGCAUGAAUUUUGUUGAAACAGAUAGGCAAAUGUAGGUUUGGGUAGGCAAAUUUAGAACUUGUGUCUGUUUGAAUGUUUGAAUGUGCGUGGGCCGUACUUGAUUCUAAUGUAUUCAUUUAGAGUAGGUGUUUCAUGUACAUCUUUAAAAGAAAACAACAAAAAAAAUAUAUUUUCCUUUAAUAGGUUCAAGUGUCAUUUUCGUAUGAAAUUCAAAAAUCGAAAAUCCAAAAAUAUUUUCUUUGGUAAUCAUAGAUUUCAUUUUGUACAGGAAUCUAAAAAAAUUUAAAAGAUUUCCCUCACUCUUUAUUUAGAGUAAGUAUACAUCUUUAAAAGAAAACUACAUAAUGAUUUUUCUUUAAUAGGUUCAAGUUUCAUUUUCAUAGGAAAUUCAAAAUGGAAAACCCAAAAAGAUUUUCUUUGGUAAUUAUAGAUUUCAUUUUGUAUAAAGAUUUAAACUUGAAAAAUACAAAAAUAUUUUUGUCAAUUCUUUUGACAAUUUGUUAUUUUCUUCUCUUUGAAGUUUCAAGAAAAAGAAUAAAAAAAAGGAGUUUAAUUGGCCAUUUUGGCAAGACUUCACGAACUAUGCAUACAUGAUUCUCCUCUUUCGGGAGUGAGAUACGUAGGCACCCUUCUUGGGUUCAGUGAUCUUUUCAAAAAAAAGGGGGAGGAGGUGGGGGGGAGGUUUUGAAAAAGUGUUGAACUCAAACACAUUUGUUGGUUUUUGUUAAGUCAGUUUAAGGUGGUUGGUUUGUGGCAUUCUGGCCGAUCCUUCACCUCACACCAAAUCCAAAGGGUUAGUUGUGUCCAACAAAGAUAUAGAGAGUGGCGUUAUGGAUCAAACAAAAAAUCAGGAAAAUGAGAGUUUUAAGCAAGAGAUUAGGUAGCUAAGACAACAAAUGACAGAAAUGCAUCGAGCUUAGGCCAGUGGGUUGCCUCCUCCUCCAUUUCCCUUUAUUGAUCCUACAAAUACCACGAGUUUUUCACCAAAAAUCUCAAAUUCAGUUUUCUACUAUUGUUGAUGCACCGCAACAUGACUCAGAAUUCAUUCCAAGCUAAAAGCAUCUCAAUACUCCCACCACUUUUCCUCUAGCUCCUCAGCAUAAGCUUGCUACAUUCAUAACACCAUAUGUCUUCUGUGAUCUUAUUGCUCAAUUCUCUACUAAGACGUCUACACUGGCUCGCACAAUGGUCGGGCAUCCCCAUGCAGCUAGUGAACCUAUAUUAAAUACUCUUGGUGAUCAUUGUUAUACUCCUGAGCCUGCUUUUAAGUUAACUGGACCACCAAAAUUUCUUAACAAAAAGUUCAGUGAGCCAGAAAAGUUGGAAAAAUGGUUGGAAAAAUGAAGAGUGCAGAAAGUGCUAUGAAAAAUUCUCUAGGACCUGCGGGUAAAGAAGAUGUUUCAUACAAAGACUGGGGCAUGCCUUCAAGCGCUAACCUUCCUCCAAUCUUUGAGAUGUCAAAAUUUGAGGAGCAAGAUGGGCAUGAGGAAUCCGUGAAACAUUUGGGACAAUAUUGCAAUCAAUUAAGGGAACCUGGAGGGAAGAAGAAUGAGAAAGAUGGCACUGCUAUUGUAGUUGGAGAACGGGCACAUCCAAUAAGACGACGUCGUCGUUUCCGUCAGUAUCAAGCCCAAGUUCAUACCCAAUCUCUCCAUAAUCACUCCCAAAAUCCAUUAUACCCUGUUUCCCCACCUCCAUAUCGAGUAUAUUGCGCACAACCAUAUGUUCAACUCCCUCUUUACCUACAAUGGCGCGCACCAACUCCUCAAAGUCAUCCUCUAAUUCCCCAAACAUACCAAAGCCCUUCUAGGCCCGAUGUUCGAUCCAAGUUAAACAAUGAAAUAAGGUAGAAAUUGAGGGAUAGUUUCACACCAAUUGGAGAGUCGUAUGCCAGUUUAUUUCAGAGAUUGGCACAAUGAGGCAUGAUUACUCCUCUCUUUGGGUAUACUCAUAACCCGCAUUCAAGAAGUUUUGAUCCUAAUGUAUGAUGUGCAUAUCAUUCUGAUGUUCAAGGUCACAGUAUUGAAGAUUGUCAUGCUUUGAAAAGAGAAAUUGAAAAGAUGAUUCAAGACAAAUUGAUUAUGGUGCAGAACAUUGAAAGUGAGGAUAACUCUAGUCAUGCUGAUAUGCAAACUAGUGGCUAAGAUGUCAGGCUGAGAAAUUGAGAAGUCACCCUUCUCCCUACUAGGAAGAGGUCUGAUAGUUUGUUUUGUUUUAUUUUCUAUUAUCCGAAUUAUUUCAGGGUUGUAGUUCGGGAUCUAUCUUGUUUUGUCCAUUUGUCAUUAUUUUCAAACCCUUCUAUCUUUUAUUUUAAUUAAAUGAAGUAUCCCUUUCUCCUUUGUGUUUUAAAUAUGUUUUUGUUUAUUUUCUUUCCACAUUACAUUUUAUGUUAACUCUAGUGAUAUGACAUGCUAACGGAAUUUUCAGUCAGAUCUUAAAAUCCAGUUUAAGCAUGAACCUUGAAUCAGAGGGUUAAAGUUAGAAAAUAGAGCAUCUGAGAAAAUAGGUAGAGUGUUGAGACAUUUGGGGACAAGUUCAAGCCUUCUUGGAAAAUUAAGGCAAUUAUUUUGAGAAUCACAAGAAUAAAUUGGUCAUUAAUUGAAAGACAUAGCUCAAUUAGGUCAAAUAAUGGCUGCGUGAACAGAAAGAAAAUCAGCUCCACGAAAGCAUGAAUAAUUCGAUGUGAGGAAUGUACAACAAAAGCGGAGUGAUAUGUUGAACAAAGUGAAAGAGUAGUGACGCAUAGACUCAGUUAAAGUUAAUGCUUAAAAAUGUCACAAAUGAUCAUCAUCUCUCACUUUUAUAUUGCAUGAUAUAUACUUGCAUUUUUAUGGAUUGAUAUGACGAAGGCAUUUGAUUCUGCUAUCCAAAUAUCGUGUCAUCCUUUGUUUACCUAAUUUGAGCUUUAGUCCUAUUUUAUUUCAUACCCCUCUUUUGGAAUCAAGAUAGAGUCAAAAGAAAAGUGUCGAGCAAAACAAUAGAGUCAGAAAAAGUUCAAAAAAAAAAUAGAAGAAAAAGAAAAUAUGUCCAAAAAGAAAAAGAAAAAGAAAAGAAAAGUGUCAGGACAAGUAGAGUCAAAAAAAUCCAAAGAGAAAAAAGUGUUAAUAAAAGAAAAAGAAUCAAAAGUCUAAAUCAUGCAAAAUAAGCUGCCAGAACUAUGCAUGACCUGAUUCUCCUCUCUCAGGGGUGAGAUAAGUAGGUUGCCCUACUAAGGGCUCAAUCCAACCAAAUAAACAAUUUAGAAUUUCGCAGUCAAAAGAAAUUGGGGCAUGAUUUAAUCUUCAUUGUUUGAGUCGAUUCCAAAAGUUGUAAGUCCUACCUCACUUCAAGUGUCUUUUAGGCCUUAUGUUAUCCUUUUCUUCUAACCUUAUCCAAAAGCCAAGAUAUAACCAAAGAAAGACCUUUAGAUCAAUCUUUGAGAAUGUUAAGACUAAGCAUGCAAUGAAUGUGAUGACACAUUUUGGGAACUACUUGUCUACUUUAGCAAUAAGAAUCGGGAGAGAAAUAAAAAUGAGAGAGUCUUAUUAGUGAAAACCCUCACGGGCACCGUAAGAUAAUGGUAAGCUGAGGGAAAUAAAAAUGAGAGAGUCUUAUCGGUGAAAAUCCUCACGUGCACCGUAUGAUGAUGGUAAGCUGAGGGAUAUAACAAUGAGAGAGUCUUAUCGAUGAAAACUCUCACGGGCACUGUAAGAUGAUGGUAAGCUGAGGGAGAUAACAAUGAGAGAGUCUUAUCGGUGAAAACCCUCACGGGCCCUAUAAGACAACAGUGAGUUGAGACAAAUAGAAAUAAGAGAGUUUCAUUGGUGAAAAUCCCUCAUGGACACCAUAGGGAAAUAGUGAGCUGGGAAAAAGAAAAUGAGAGAGGCUUGUUGGCAAAAACCAUUCAAGGGGUCACUAGCCGAAUGAGAUCUUAAAUGCAAUUGGCCUAAGGAAGCAACUCAAUUUCGAGGUCAUUAACUCAACAACAAUUGAUAGAAAGUUUUGGAUAUAAAAAUUAGGCAGUUUAAUCCGAUAUGCAUGUCAUAAUUAUUAGAGUUGACUAUCAUUUUCAGAUAAACUUUUCUUUCAUCUUUUUCAAUGGGGACAUUCAUUGUCGUUUCUUACUUCUCUUUAGUUAUAUUUUUAUUUCGUUGAGUUAGUUAUCCAAAUAAAACAAAAAUUGUUGUCAUUUUUCUAUUGUCUUUGAGUCAAGUCCAUGUCAAAACAAAUGAGAAAAGAUUUCAAAAUUGGCUACCAGCUUCUUCAAUUGCACAAAGCAAGACAAAGCGCCAACACAUAAAAGAAACAAGAUUGCAAGCUAGAACAAGGCAUGCAGAAAGUUUUGUCAAUAGAUAAGUCUGGGAACUCAUGCAAAUACCAAGGUUCAAAGAGUUUAUCUGAGUAGCAUGGCGAAGCAGAGAUACUGUGUUUGUUUUAGAGUCAUUUCCAUGAUAAAGCAGGGGAAAGUGCCAGCAAUCAGAAACAAAAUGAAGGGAAUGAACACUGGAACAGGUGUCAGGAAGGCCAAGUGCUGCAAACCACCACUAAGUUUGUGACUGAAUAAUUUUCUUUGUUGAAAUAGGGGCAAAUUCGCUUUACUUAAUUCAUCUACCAUUUGAAAUACACAUCCGUGAGAUUUCACUUUCUGUCCAGGACCCUCCUAAAAAAUGGGAUUUUACUUUUUGUUCAGGACCCUCCUAAAAAAUAAGAUUUUAUCUUCUGUUCAGGACCCUCUUGAAGAAUGGGAUUUUACCUUCUAUUCAGGACCUUCCUGAAAAAUGGGAUUUUACUUUUUGUUCAGGACCCUCCUAAAAAAUAAGAUUUUAUCUUCUGUUCAGGACCCUCCUGAAGAAUGGGAUUUUACCUUCUAUUCAGGACCCUCCUGAAAAAUGGGAUUUUACUUUAUGUUCAGGACCCUUCUGAAAAAUGGAAUUUUACUUUAUGUUUAGGACCCUCCUAAAAAUGAGAUUUUACCUUCUGUUCAGGACCCUCCUGAAAAAUAGGAUUUUACUUUCUGUUCAGGACCCUCCUAAAAAUUGGAAUUUUACUUUAUGUUCAGGACCCUCGUGAAAAUGGGAUUUUACUUUAUGUUCAGGACCCUCCUGAAAAAUGGGAUUUUACCUUCUGUUCAGGACCCUCCUGAAAAUGGGAUUUUACCUUCUGUUCAGGACCCUCCUGAAAAUGGGAUUUUACCUUCUGUUCAGGACCUUCCUGAAAAAAAAAUGAGAUUUUACUUUAUGUUCAGGACCCUCUUGAAAAAUAAGAUUUUACUUUCUGUUUAGGACUCCCCUGAAAAAUGGGAUUUCACUUUCUGUUCAGGACCCUCCUGAAAAAUGGGAUUUCACUUUAUGUCCAGGACCCUCAUGAAAAAUGGGAUUUUAAUUUCUGUUCAGGACCCUCCUAAAAAAUGGGAUUUCACUUUAUUUUUAGGUCCCUCCUGAAAAAUAAGAUUUUACUUUCUGUUCAGGACCCUCCUGAAAAAUGGGAUUUCACUUUAUGUCCAGGACCCUCAUGAAAAAUGGGAUUUUAAUUUCUGUUCAGGACCCUCCUAAAAAAUGGGAUUUCACUUUAUGUUUAGGGCCCUCCUGAAAAAUAAGAUUUUACUUUCUGUUCAGGACCCUCCUGAAAAAUGGGAUUUUACUUUUUGUUUAGGACCGUCCUGAAAAAUGAGAUUUUACUUUCUGUUCAGGACUCUCCUGGAAAAUGGGACUUUACUUCCUGUUUAGGAACCUCCUAGAAAAUGGGACUUUACUUUCUGUUCAGGACCCUCCUGGAAAAUGAGAUUUUACUUUCUGUUCAAGGCCCUCCUGAAAAAUGAGAUUUUACUUUUUGUUCAGGACCCUCUUAGAAAAUAGGCUUUUACUUUCUGUUCAGGACCCUCCAGAAAAAUGAGAUUUUACUUUCUGUUCAGGACCCUCCUGGAAAAUGGGACAUUACUUUCAGCAAAAAUGAAAUCUUUCUUUAUCAUAAUCUUUCUUUGGGAUAAUUUUCGUUCCAGUUUUGAUUUUGAUUUCAAGAGGCCGCCUGAAGAAUAGGGUGAUGGAACUGCAAGUUAGGAGCCCGCCUGAAGAACAGGGUGAUGAAGCUGUAAGUCAGGAGCCUGCCUGAAGAACAGAGUGAUGAACUUGAAAGACAAAUAUGGCAAGUUAGAAGCCCGCCUGUAGAGCAGGGCGAAUAAAUAAAAGUCCAGCAACAUGGUGAAAAAGUUGAAAGUCAAGCGACAAGGUGAAAAAAUUAAAAGUUAAACAGUUGAUGAAAUAGCAAGUGAGGAACCUGCCUGAAGAACAAGGUGAAGAAAUUAAAAACCAAGCAACAAGUUGAAGAAAUUGCAAGUCAGGAGCCCACCUGAAGAACAGGGUGAUGAAACUCAAGUCAAAAGUCCAAAAGAUUUUGUAAUUUCAUUUAUAUUUUUAACUUGUAAUUUUCAUUUUUGAUGUAAUGAUAGAUCCGCAGACCGGAGCCUCGACGGGACCUCACUCGACUCUCCAACUCGGUAGUCUUUCUACCUUCUAUUUCUUUCUUUGAAUAAUGUUCGGGUCAAAAUUUGAUCUCAUUGUCUACUUCUUUGUCUGAAAACACUUCGUGUUUACAUUCAAAGGGGGCAUGAUGUAGAUACCUAAUUUUGUCCCUCCCGAAUUUAAUUUUACCCAUUUUUUAACUUACCUUACCAUGAACCCUCAACCAUGUACUUAUCCCCCCAAAAAAUACAAAAAUAACCAAAAUCCAUAACCAAUUGAGUCAUAUCCUAACAAACCUUAUCUCAACAAAAUCACACCUCACCACCCUGCCCCUACCCCACCUCGCUACCCUACCCCCUAACCCAUUUUUUUGUCCAACAAAAAUACAUUUACGGCUACAGAAUUGAAAAGAAGAGGGAAGGGGGCCCACAUGAUAUUCCUUUUUAGUUUUUCUUUCCAAAUGGAUUAGGGGGGCCUUUUUUGCUUGGGACAUCAUCACAAAGAAUAAAAUAUAUAUACACCAUUGCACACAAUUUUCAUUUUUAGGGGGGAGGGACUCGCAGAGAACACAAUAUUCUCUCCAGUCUUUAUAUAUAUCACACACAGGCCCUCCUCAUCAGAGAGUAACAACAAUACCCUCACAGUAAUAUCACUGUCACACACCCAUAUACACUACACACUCUUAAUUUUACCAGGAUACACACAGAAAUAGAUAGAUAAGAGAUGACGUGAGAAAGAGAGAGCUACAAGAAAGUGACACAGAUCUAUGAGAGAGAUAUCUACGAGAGAGUGAUAGAGAUUUACGAGAGAGAGAGAUCUACGAUUGAAAUCGAAAGAGAACAAUGGCAAAGCAGUUUUCGGCGAGUGAGAGCUUGAGGAACACAAGUUUUGUGGUUUGAUUACUGUUCCGGCGACAGGCUCGCCGGAAUUGCGUCUAGCUAUCAUAAAUUCAUUCAAAACCCAUUGAAUACGUCUCAACUGAUAUCUAUUUGUCGUUUUGGUCAUAGCUGAAGUUUACCGGGGUUACAACGACACAAAAUUAUCAAACAAACCUCGAUCUACUUUUGAUUCGGUCCAAACCCAUUGGAAUCGGGCUGGAUUUCUCUUAUUUCUAAUGAUUUUUAGUUCGAGGUUGUGUACGUUCGUGAGAAUUUGGUCCAGGUCUCUUUGUUUCUAUGAUUCUCAAUUUUGAGUUAGAUGAGUUCGUUUGUUUGAGGUUCGGUUCAAGGUUUCCGAGUGCGGAUUCUCUUUAUUCGAAUAACAUUGAGUUUGAAAGCUACAAAUCGAGGUCCAAUUUUAUUAUCUCUCUUUUUAUUUCAUUAUUUAUUGUAUUUUGGUGUGUUGGAUUGAAUAUUGUGUGUUAUGUUUGAUCCUUGUUGGUGAUGAAUGCGUUUUUGUUUUGAUUCGCGGUUGGUUCCUUUGAUUAUGAUUUGCAUGGUGAAAUAGCAUCUCAUUUGAGAAUUAAAAUUAGUUGUUUGGGGCGGAAUUAAAAUUGAUAAAAGUGAAUACAUAUUUGUUUUAAUUCAUUAUUAGCGGUUUAAUUUGGAAUAAGUAUGAAUUUUGUUGAAACAGAUAGGCAAAUAUAGGUUUGGGUAGGCAAAUUUAGAACUUGUGUCUGGUUGAAUGUUUGAAUGUGCGUAGGUCGUACUUGAUUCUAAUGUAUUUAUUUGGCCGGGGAAUGCCCCAAGAGAUUUGUAUUGAUUUAUCCGGGGAAUGCCCCGAAGUAUCAUGUAUGCAGAGGAGGCUCGCGAUCAAGGUCCGAGGCAUCAGGUAAGGCAUUGGAACGUAGUUUUAGGAUUAGCUUAAAACAUGAUUUAUAUUUUACGGAUUUUUCUAUUUGGACUAUAUAAUUGGACUGGACACUAAAUUUUUAUUUGUUUUGUUUUUUUUGCUUGAUUUAUUGAUUUGCAUGCUUUGUGUGGUUUAUACAUUUACAAUGUCAAAUUAGCCAAUACGCUCUACCAAGUGACCGUGGUAGAACCACGGGAUCGAGGGGUGCCUAACACCUUCCCCCAGUCAACAGAAUUCCUUAUCCAGAAUCUCUGUUCGCAAACCAGUUUAAAGAGUCAAAUUGUUUUGAAAAGGGAUUUCUAAAGGUGACUUGGCACACCCGAUUUAUACCAAGUGACGACUCUGAGUUUUGAAUAUAAGAAGUCCUUUCGGAACAAGUCUUCAUUGUAUCACUUUUAUAAUAAAAAUCCUUUUGAACUAAAAUCAAAUCUUUUGGUGUUGUAAAAAAGGGGUGUGACAGCUACACUAUGGCUCCAUAGAUGACUUCAAGCUUUUUGAAUACACAUAAUGAAGUUUAGGAUGGGUGAAGAAUAAGAAGAAGGAAGGAAGGAGAGGAAGAAGAAUCUAGAGAGAGAAUUUUUGGGUGAAGUAUACCGGUAAAUAAAUAACUAUCUUUGCAAGGUGGAUCUCUAGGUAUUUAUUAACAUGAAGCAGGAUUUUGACCGCUGGCUCCUAGCUGGACGAAUAUGAUCCAUUGAUAUGAAUAGCGAACUACUAAUCUUGGCUCUUGAUAGUUCUGCUUAUUAAACGCGUGCCUCUCACGUGACCCAUUUACUUUGGAUCAUUACAGUCACCAACCGUACUUACUCAACAAGGUGGAUGACAAAGUGUAGCAAUAGUGUUAAAUACUCCCAUCGAUCCCAUUAUGUGUGCCCCUUUAUUUUUUAGUUGGGACCGGAGAAGACGCCUUUCUGUCUUUAGUAACAAUUUAACUUUAAACUUCUCAUUUUACCUUUAAAGAGUGGAUUUAUAGCCACACAAAUAUCAACCGCUUAUUUUGGACAAUAAGUUUCAAAAGUAUUUCUUUCAUUCCUCAUGACCAAUCAAACACCUAUACAUAAAUUGGGACAACGGGAGUAGUUGUGAUUAGGAUCCCCUCCAGUAUCUGUUUCCUCCUGCUGCUCCAAUAACCUUUUUGACUUUUGACAUGUGUCACUUGUUAAAUCUCAUUGGCCAAAUCAGCUACCUCUCUUAAUCAAUAUACACACACAAAGCCUCCCUCGUUUUCACUCUUCCUACUAAAGCAAGUACCAAAGCCAGCACUACUAUUGCCAUCAUAGCAAACUCUAUAUACCACAUGCCCCAAAUCAACAAGGGUACUAGAGCAACGGGAGGAAAUAGAUACUGGAGGGUAUAUCCUAACCCCUAUACUAGCAUUGAAGGUUGAAAAUAAUAUCUAAAUAUUGGUUUAAGCAGGUAUAUGAAUAUCUGUAAAGGAAAAUGACUUCUAUCUGUAACUAGGGGAAAUCUUAAUAAAAAAACAAAGUAAGCAAUCACUAGAAAAUGAUUCAUAUAUACUAUAGAACAAUUCAUAGAAAGAGAGAGAAAAUGUUUAUGGGCUAUUUAUUUUGGCUAGAAAGGUUAAAUAUCGCUAUUUGAUGUCAAAUUGGAUCAUAAAAUUAUUACAUUGUGUCAAUUUACCAUUAUUUUAUGUAAAAAUUAUUUUGUAUGUACUUUUUAAAUUAUUUAUUGUAAAUUGUAAUUGUAUUUUUUUAUAUUUAUUGAAUUAAGUUUUUAAUUGUAAGUUGUAGCAGUUUUUAAAAAAAUAUUUAAAAACUUUUUUUAAAAAUUUAUCUAUUAUAUUUAUCAAUUAAAAUCUCCCUUAAAUAUUUGCAUUUUUCUUUCUCCCUCAUAUGUUUCCUUAAAUAAAGGAUUGAUAAUAAAUUCGUAAUUUUCUCCUUAAUGUUUUACACUUUUUUUUUACUACUAGUUUAGAUGUACGCGCCUCGCGUGUGUACCUCACUUUAUUGAGUUCAAACGUAAGAAUAUUUGUUUAAAUAAUAAAUAUGAAUACAAUAAUUAAAUUCAACAUCUUUUCGAGAAUUUAUUUAAUUAAACCUAACUUUUACCAAAAAAAUUUCUCAAAGCCGAUUGACAUUCAUCUAUCAACUGUAAACUUCAACAAAAUGAUACGAUGAUAGAGACAUCAAAAUAAUGUAAUUAAAUCUAACCUUUACACAAAAAUUUCCUCAAAGUCGUCCGACACUCAUCUACCAUCUGUGAAUUAUAACAAAAUAAUACGACAAUAGAGAUAUCAAAAUAAUACAACUAAACUUUACCUUUACACCAAAAAAGUUCUCAAAACAGAGAUAUAAAAAUAAUACAAUUAAACCUAACCUUUACUUAAAAAAAUUUCUCAAAGCUGAUCGACAUUCAUCUACCACCUAUAAAUUCAUUUACGACCUGUAAACUACAACAAAAUAAUACAAUAGUGAUUACAAAGCUUCAGUUUUGAUGAAAUAAUUCUUGUUUGAGUGAAAAUUUUGACGCUAAGGAAUGAUUUGAAUGAAAACAAAGAAGAUAUAUAUACAUACACACGUUGAAUUCUAUUAUAUUGACAAAAAUAGUGAAGAAGUGGAGGGUUAGAAAAUUAAGCAUCCAUCAAUUUAGAUAUGCAACCGAAUCAUAUUUUUCCAAUAAGUAAAUCAGUUUCUUCUCUAGUUUAACGUCAUCUCAAUAUUUAUAGAAUUAUUUCAUUGAUAGAGUCCUAUUUAGGAGUAUUUUUCUAUCCUAUUUUAGGAGUAUUUUUCUAAUUGAUCAAUACAAAGGAAAAUAUUAAUUGAAUCUCCUUCCAAAUAGUUUAGGAGUCCCAUUAUUUUAGGAGUCUAGUUAAUAUAAUAAAAUAAUUAAACAGUAAAUUGAAGAAAAUAGUGAAAAGACAAUUUUGUCUAAAGAAAAUCUUUUAAUGAAGGACGAAAAGUUCAAAUCACUUUUCUAAGAUUCUUCACAUUUUUAAUAUAUUAUAGAUAUAGAUAUAGAUAUAGAUAUAGAUAUAAAUGUAAUCCCCUCAAAUCCCCCACUUAACAAAGUAAAAAAGAAAAAAAAAAAGAAAAUACGGUAAAAGGAUUAUAAGAAAUCCUAAUUUUCUUCUUCUUUCAUUUCCUUAAAUUAUUUUUUUAUAUAUCAGUUAAUCCUUUCAAAAAUUUUAAUAGUGUUGUCUUUUCAUAAAUUUCUCUCCUAUGCUUUUCUUAGUUGUUUCAUACUUUCUUUUCUUUGAUAUUAAUAAUUGUUUUAAAUUGCUUUCAUCGCAUAAACUUCUAUCAGAUUGUUGAAAUUCACAUUUUAUCCUUAAUUGUCAUACCCAUUUUUCAACUCCAAAAGAAUAGAUUUUAAGUUUCGAAAGGAUUUUUAUUACUAAGUGACAAAAGAAGAAGAUUUGUUUCGAAAAGGACUAUUUACUUUUAAACUCAGAGUCGCCACUUGACAUAAUUGGGUAUGCCAAGUCAAAUUUGGAAAUCCUUUUUCAAAACUACUCUUUUAAACUGAUCCGCGAACAGAGAUUCUGGUUAAGAAAUUCUGUUGACCGAGGGAAAGGUGUUAGACACCCCUCGAUCUCGUGGUUCGACCACGGUCGCUUGAUGGAGCAUAUCGGCUAAUUUAACACUAUGAAUGUAUAAACCACAGAACACAUAAAACAACCAAACCAAACAAACGAAAAAUCCAAAAGUUAAUGUCCAGUCCAAUUAUUAUAAACCCAAAGUAGAAAAUUGCAAAUAAUGUAAAUCCUAUUCUAACCUAUACUACUCUCCAAUGCUUCACCCGAUGCCUCGAGCCUUCAUCACGAACCUCCUUUACGUACAUGAUACGUCAGGGCAUUCUCCGGUAAAGUACAAAAGACCUCGAGGCAUUCCCCGGCCAAAUGAAUACAUAUUUUCAAUGCGAGACAACCAAACUAUUUAACAAAAUUUCAAGCAUUCAACAAAACCGCAAAUUCUAAACUUGGCCUACCCAACAUAUAUUUUCCUACCCAUUUCAAUAUGUAAUAACUCUAUCACGUUCCAACGACAUUCAAGCUUAUUAAAAUGAGACAACAAUAAACCAAAAGAAAAUCUAAGUUCACCCUUUUUAUCAAUUUUUCAAUUCUGUCCCAAACAACUAAUUUUAAUUCUCAACCAAGGUAUCAUUUCACCAUACAAUCCAUAAUCAGGGGAACAUCAAUGAAUCAGCACAAAGUGACUAUUCACCACCCACAAGGAUCAAAUAACACAUAAUAUUUCUUUCAAUGCACCAAAUAUCACAAAUAUGAGAUAAAAAAAAGAUAAAGAGUAAAAUUGGACAUCAAUUUGACGCUUUAUUUUAAUUAAUUGAUCUUUCCGAAUAGAACCGCGUUCAAAUGGAACCUCAACGUCGAACCCCAACUGACGAACUCAACUCGGUAUCGAGAAUCGCUAACCAAACAGAUCAGAAACCAACAGAAGAAUUUUAGAUCGCGGAUUUUUGACCUAACUUAAUCAAGCCUCAUCGGAAUUGAAACUGGGAUGUCAUUUUUGUAUCGCCAGAGUUCCGAUGAGAUCCAGCGAAGAGGAAAAAGAGAAGUUUUGGGUGGAUCUUUGGAAUUUUAGGUGAGUUUUAGCAGAAACGAUCAGUUUUGGACUACUUCGGGCGACCAAUGACGUUCCCCGACGUUAAAUUGCCGGAAACAACAACAACGACCGAGAUACUUUUUCGGUGGCUAAUUCGGGGAACUUUCGCUGGAUUUCCGGCGAAAAUAGUCCACUUCGCCCCUUUUUCUCUUCUUUUCUCGAUCUCUCUCCCUCUCGCUCAAUCUCGAUUUCCCUCUCCUAAUUCCCCUCUCUUCCGAAUUCCCUCUCUAUGCUCUCUCUCAACCUCCAAGCAUACGUGUGUGUGACUGUUGUUGAGAGUGAGGGUGAGUUUCUGUGUGAAUACGGAAGAUGGUUGUAUGGAGGUCCCUGUUUUUGUGGAGAAGAAGCUGUGUAUAUGGAAAAAAAAUGGAAAAAGAUGGAGCUUUUUAUUCUUUGUGGGCCCCCAAGUUGUUGUGACAUGCGUCCCCCUUCUUUUUUCUUUCAAUUUUGUUUUCUUGAGGGUGUACAUAUGUCACUGUAUGUUGAAAAUAUGUGGAAAACGUAAGUGGAAAGGGAUAGGGGUUAGGUGGGGUAAGGUAGUGGGAUAGGUUGUUAGGAUAAAGUUUGUUAGGAUAAGGUUAGGGAUUUAAUUUGUUAGAGAUUUAGUUAAGGGUUAUUAUUUUUUGUAUUUUUGUGAGAUAUAAUCAUAUGGGCGAGGAAACACAGUAAAACGGGGGUAAAAUGGUAAAAGUGUUAUUAGGGAGGGACAAAAUUAGGUGUCUACAUUAAUUUUUUCAUACACUAAAACUUAUUUUUUUCAAUAAAUUUUAUCCGUGAAUCAAAUUUUAUACAUUAGUCAACGUGAAUUUCAUAUUUUCAUUCAUGUUUAAAUUCUUUUUGUAGAAAAUAACAAAUUCAAUGAAUAACUUUUCAUGCACAGUUGAUAUAAAAUUAUUAUCUGAAGUUUUAUGAAAAUCAUAUUUUAUACCUUUCUAUGUGUAUUUAUUAACGAAUAAUACAACUUGCUAAGCAACUAACAACGCCGAAAGAUACAUCAGUUUUUAUACAAAAUUCGCAACCCAAAAAAUAAAGUACACCUAAAUUAGUGAAAUUUUGCAUAUUUUAGACACAAUCCAUACAUAAAACAUGUUUAUCUAUAUUCAUGAUUUUUUAAUGUAAUAGCGAAUUCAACGAACAAUCUCGUAUUCACGAUUCACAUCAAUUUGUAUAUAAAUUUCUUACAUACAAACACGUAUAAACAAAGAAAAAUCAAAGAUACAUAAAUUUAUAUAUAGAUUUUAAACACGUAACAAAUAAAAAAAAUGUAAGCUAAUUAUAUGUACCAUAUUUUAUACCCAUUUCAUAUACUAAAAUAUGUACAAGUAAGUCUUGAACGGAAUAUUGAUAUUUCAUAUUGAUUUUAUUUAGACUUCAUACACAAAAGUUCUGAGAAAAAUUCUAAGUAAUUUGUAUAUGAACUAUACAUAAAUUAUUCUUAAAAUUUUAAAAAUUGAAUAUUGAAAAUCAUUAAAAAUAUUGAAACAUUUUUAUUUUGAAUAGUUAAUAUUUUCAAUUGAAAUAAGAAAAAAAAUCAUUUCAGAGAGAAAUUAGGGAUGGUUGAUAACAAUUUUAGGUAAGCGACUCUCUCUGUUCUCUCUCCGGCCAACUCAGAUACAAACUUAGGGAAGCAAUGGUCGCGUCUAUCUCUCCCUAGUCUAUGGUUGUGGGAGAACUAAACCCUACUUCUAAUCCACAAACAUCAUAUUCUGGAUUACAAAAUCCAAGACAAGCUGCCCAAAAUAUGACGAGAACUCAACUAAAACCAAUUGAAUAUAUUCAUGGUGAACAUAAAGUUUACAAUGGAGGAAAGAGAAGUGUUUGCUAACGAGGAAGGGUUGCAUCGAGCAAUUGUGAUUAAACUCUCUUCAGGUGCAUCAGAUUUGAAGGACCUAAGAACAUUGCUAUCGAAACAUUUUGGAAUCAAGGGUCAUUGUCUAAUUGGUUCAUUGGCACCAUGACAACUCUUGCUAAGGUGCGAUCAAUAGGAUAAUUUUUCUUAGAAUGGAAAUGAGCACCAAUAUAGGAUAUUCCCAUUGUCUAUCGAUUUUAACCAUAAAUAAGAAACAACUAAGGCGGCAGUAUGGAUUUCUUUGCCGAACUUGGCUCCACAUCUAUUUGCCAAGAGGUCAUUAUUGUCUAUAGCAACAACAAUCGGAAAACCAAUAGCUAUAGACAAAUCAACACAAGUAAAUCCAUACCGAGCACUGCUAGACUAAUAUUUGACUUGAAAAACUUUCUGAGUGAAUAAAAUUUCAAUAUUUGACCGGGCAAUAAAACUGGUAAGCUUUUAGAAAAUUUUCAGGAAAUUGUUUAUGAUAUUCUAGCCUUGUAAUGUAUUUUUUGCAAACACAAAGGGCAUAAUGAAGGUACAUGUUUAAUAUUGAAAAAGAAGCUAGAUACUAUCCAGAAUACUGGUGGCGAAGGUUGUGAAGAAGAAGCUACUAGAGAAAAAUUUCAAAAAAUUUUGAGAGAAUUUUUGAAUGGGAAAAGAGGGUGGGAAGAUGGUGAUCGAAGACCUCAUGAAAAGAACCAACAACCAUACUUGUUGGUAAGUUCCCGUCCAGAUGUUGAGGUCCAUAACAAUGUUGCUAAGUUUGCUGCAUCGAAUGUUGAUUCUCAGCAGCAACAAACUAUUGCAAAUAAUAGCAAUAGGUGAUGUGGAUGCACGUGAGUUGGUAGUUCAAUCUCAAGAGAAUUCUAAGGUCUUAGUCUCUUCAUCAAACUAAAUAUGGACUACAAGCCAGGACUUAAUUGUUGAACAACACAUUGAUGAACAAGAUCAUAAUACAUAUUUAAAACCUCCAAAUUUGAUGACCGGUGAAACGUCAUAGUCAGAUAUGGACCAUAUUCACGAUGUUAUGGCGAGAAGUGAAUAUUUUGGGCAGUAUUCAUGGUUGAAUGUCGCUAAGAAAUUGAUGGAUAAGAAUUCAGAAGUUGAUAAUUUGCGGUUUCCUUCUAAUUCUACUCAGUUUGAACAUUCCAUCUGUAAAAAGCAUGCUACUGGUAAUGAAACAAUGAACAAAAUCAAUUUGUGUGGAUAACAGUAUUGGCAAGGACUGGACCGUGAUGGCACAUAAAAAAUAUUUAGGCAUUUGAAAUGGCUCUCCCUGCUUGCAUUAAUGUGCAGCUAGCAAGGAAUGUUCCAUGAUCUCGAGCUUCUUCUCCAAAGGACAUCUCUCUUCCAAAUCCUUUUCAUCUUCUCUCAGAUAAAGUUGGUCACAAAUUAAUCCAAAUAAUCCUACAAUGCCUGUAUCAAAUUCAGAGGUGGAUAAAGUAUUAAAUUCCUUUUCAUAGUUAUUCAUCAAGUUGCAAGCAAACUUCAAGUGGUGUAUUAAAUUCCCUUUCUCCAAUUCAUACUGCCAAACAAUUGGUGGGAAGUGAUACAUUGUCUCCAAAGAGUUUUGAAAACCUCCAAAAAGAUGACAUAUUUGAGGAAAGUGAGGAGGAAGACAUGUUGGAUAUAUUAUUUGCAAGGGCAACUAGGGAUGUUGAUAUCUCUCCUGGACAACAAAGAAAUAGAAAGAUCAAAAUAUAUCACGAUAGAAAUCGAAGUUGGGAUGAUAAGGUGACAGAGGAGUUUGUUUCAAGGCACCACUGGCAAAGCAAAAUCAUACGAUAUUGUCAAAAACUUUAAAGAAUACCCAACAAAUUCAAUAAGUGACGAAUUUUCAAGUGACUUUGUCAACAACUUUUAAGAAUACGCAACAAAUUCAAGAAGUGGUGAAUUUUCAAGUGAUUUUGAGCAGGUUCGAAGAAGAAGGCAAAGAUUGAAUAUAUCAAUGUACUUUAGAUGGGCCAACAUUCCUUUUUUGUCCAUACGUUUGUAAAAAGGAGUUCGUGAUUGAUAACUCAAACUUCUCAUUCAUUUUUAUAUUUUUUUAUUACUUAAGCAUCCUUCUUUGUAAUAUUAUCAUAGAGUGUAAUAUAAACUCUAUGAUGAUCCCAGAAUAUCUAGUUCUUAUUUUUUGCACGUUUGUUGAUUAGUCUAGGUUUUGUUACCUCAUUAAGAAUGGUAAGGUAAGGUCUAGCCCCUUUUGCCUGCACUUUUCUCUUUUGGGGUUUAAUUUUUAUUUUUUAUUUUUUAAAAAAAGAGUGGUUGAUAUCUUUUGGUAACCAAUGUCUUUUGAUAUAUUUAUGGUAUAUUUUGAUUUUUUCCCUUUUUUUUAUUUGUGGCUAAAUUAAUAUAAAGUCUAUAACUAAUAUUUAAUAAAGAAUAGAUCUUGUUUGUCCUCCGUCUAUUUGAUGGACAUACCAAAUUAAGUCUCAAUCUCUAUAAAUUGAUCCUCCCUCUGCUCAUUAGGUUUACCGCAUAUUAUCAGUAUAAUUUCAUCGCAGACGGCUCUGAUAACGAUAAUCUAGUGGCAACUGCUUAUUUUCGAAUGAUAGAUAAAGUUCGUGUGAUGCUAGUUAGUCAGAUCAAUAAUAUUGCUAUCGAGAUUGUUGAUUUUCUAAAGUGCAAGGACUAUAAAGGUAACAUCUCUAAAAAUCUAUAUUAAACUUAUAAUCUUUGAUAUAAAUAAAUUAUAUGUGAUCUUCUUUCUAAAAGAGAUUUAAUUGAUAUGCUGAUAAUUUUCUCAUCUGCGAUUUUAACAUCGAUCUCUUUUAAAAUUUUAUUUUUAUCUUAUAAAUUAUGAAUUUCUCUUUUCCUAGUUUUCAUAACAUCAUUUCUAUGUUUGUUUAUGUUGUUUUACUAGUUAAAAUGAGUUUUAUGUGUUUAUAAAGAAUUGAAUUAGAUACUUUAUUUUUAUCCUUACUAUAAACAUGCCACUUAUUCAAUUAGCUUUCCCCAUAAAUAGUAUAUGACUUUUCAGAGGAGGAUGAUAGUUCAAUUAGCUUUGAUUUUUACAAUCUAUCUACCAUUUUAAAAUGAUCGUUCGGAUGGCAGAGGCGACAUAAGUUUGGAAAUAGAGCGAGAAGAGAAAGACCAAGAGAAACACCAAUUUGAUUAUUAUUAUUAUUGAUCGCAAAAUAAUUUUUUUUUAUCUUAUAUUAGAUGUAGAAAAAAAAGGAAGAAAAUAUGAUUUUCAAGAAAAAUAAUUUUCUUUUUAAUUGAAAUUUUCCUCUUAAUUUCGAGGAGUUUUUUCUUCCUCUCUAAUUUAACAUAUUAUUUUAUCAUGGGAAAUCAUUUUGACAUCUCACGUAUUUUUACUUCUAUAAUGUUUUGACUUUAUUCUUUUCCUUCCUUAUAUAUUAAAAUUUCAAUAAACUCCAAUAUUUUCAUUAAUUUUUAUUUAAUAUUUUACCUUUAGUAAAAAUAAGUAUAUCCAAUUUUACUCAAAUAUGCUCUAUUAGAUUGUCUAGAAUUAAUAGAUAAGUUGAUCAUUUGAUGAAGAUAAGUAACACAACCACUAAAGAAUGAGGUACAGUGAAUGGGGUUACUUCUUUCUUAACUAAAGGUCUCAGAUUUGAUUCUUGAUAGGGAGUGCUUCCUCUGAAUGAACCUAACGCACACGAAUCCAGAUUAAUCGGGUUCCAAUAUAGAUGUCAAACACCAGAUUAAAAAGAAAAAGAAAAAAAAGAAAAGUAAUACACUUACACAAUAAAGGAAGUGAUAUCGUUAGUUUUGUUUUAUUUUAAUUUUCAGUAUUUUGAUUUCAAUUUUAAUUUUAUAUUAUAAACAUGACAUUUUAAUCAAUACAAUUCAAAUUAUUUUUACUUUUCCAUUUAAACAUAAUAACAAUAAUAACUCAAAAUACAUAUUCAUGUUUAAGUUUAUUUAAAUAAUCAAAUAUUGUGAAAGUGUGAUUUCAUUAUGAUAGGAUAUUUUAAUUUAAAUUUGAAUUCUCUUUGUUGAUAUCAAAAAGCUGAAUUGGCCUUUUUUCUCAAAUUUCUUGUUUUAAAUAAUUUUCAAACUUGAAAUGGUAUGAUACUUGUGUGUGUCAUCACUAUGCUUUUUCCUAUUCUAUAUAAUAGAUUCAACUAUUAAUUUUAAAUAUACGUUACUUAAUUUUUUAUGUAAAUAGGUAUUAAAUUUGUAAAUAUUGAUUAUAAUAUAAGUUUUUAUUAGUAUGUGUAGGGGUGGGCAUUCGGUUUAUUCGAUUUGAUUGUUGAAUAUCGGUUUGAUUUUUUAAUUUUCGGAGUGACGAAAAUGAAAACCAUAUCCAAACCAAAAUUAUUUUGGUUUGGUUCAAUUUUUACAAAUUCGGUUCGGUUAUUUUGGAUUUUCAUUUUGAUUUUAAAGAUUAAAGUAGUGAGCAAUUAAAAUUGAUGAUUUUUCUAGAAAAAUAAUCUUUUUUCCAAAUAUAUUUUUCAUUCCCAAAUAUAAUUAAUUCAACACGCAUGAAAUAACCAUAAAUAUCGAUCUCACUGAGUCAUCACUGUUGGCGUGACGGCAUUGGCCGCACUCGGCAGCGACUGCCGGCGGCAGUGACGAACUGAGCAAACGACUGUCGUUGGCGAUGUUGAAAUUUCAAAUGAACUGACGAACUGAGGAUGGUUGAGCGCCACUGCAGCCUUCACGUUAAUGUUAGGGUCUAAAGCAAAGCAGAAUAUUAGGAUUUAGGGCUACUAAAUAGUUAUAAUUUAUAUAUUUAUAUGUUAUAUCAGAUUAUAUUAUAUUUUUAGUAUAUUUACAUAUAUAUUAAAUUAUAUAUAUAUAUAUAUAUAUAUACAUAUUACAAUAUAUUAUUUAUACAAUUUCAGUUUUUCGAUUUAUUUGAAUUUUCUUUUUGUAAAUUGAAAAACCAAACCGUUUAACCAAAUUUCUAAAAUUUGAAAUCGAAACCAAUCCGAAAAACCAAAAAAACAAACCAAAAUUAAAUAUCGGUUCAGUUUUUUUAUUUUUUCCGUUUAAACCAAAAUAUGCCCAGCCCUAAGUAUGUGCAAUCGCAUAAAUUAAAGAGUGGCAAUAAACCCUGAAAAUUAAUAUCAAAUUUGUAUAAGAGAAAUAAAUCUUCAUAGUAAUUUUGCUUAUAAUUUAUUUUACUGAAAAUGUAUUGAUACAGUUAUCAUGAUUGAUACAUCUUCAACAACAAUGUCAAUGCUCUCGAAAGAACCUACAAAAAUUGAAAUGUCCAGUCGUCGAAUCUAGAUUCUUUUAAACUUUUGGCUAGAGCUGUGGCUUUGGAUAUAAUUCCCCUCUCUAAGUAUUUUUUUCCCUACUCUUUCACUUGUGAUAUCUAUUGUGCAUAAAUCAAAUAUGAAUACACUAUGAAAAAUAAUUCUCUCAAAUUCACCAUUAUAUAUCGUUAAAUAGUUCGGAGCUAAAAGAAUUUGACAUAAUUCAUCGUUAAAUAGAAUUAAUAAUGAAUAUUUUAUUGUUUAGCGACAUAAACUGUCCAUCGCUAACUCCUAUUUUUAUUAUGUCUUGUAAUGUUAUUUUUAUAAUUAAAAAAUUUCAUAAAUAUGUGUGAAGUUAACUAGUCUAAUGUAUGAUAUAAUUCAAUUUUAAUUGAUAUCUUCUUAAAAUAAUUGUACAGUUGUAUGUGAUGAACACAAUGAGCUCUUAGAAAAGCAGCCUAUGACAGAUAGAGCUCAUCUCUACCUCAAAAAUAACAAGGAUGUUAAACAAAAGGACAAUAUUAAGUGGACUGGGGAUCUUUAUGCCAAAUUCAUAAAAAGUUUACAACAACUUGAUAAAGAAAGUAAGUUUAUUUUACUAUUAAUUAAAUUUUUCUAUUUAUUUCUAAAGAGAAACAUGAAUAGAUAAAAUUUAUACUUAUGUCUAAUAUCAGCUUGUAUUUACAUGUGCCUCGGCUUGAUUUGAAAAUAUUAUAGUUAUUAAAUUAUAUUGCAUACUUAUGGAUCAUGUAGAAUGUUACCCAAAGGAUAUUCUGGAAAUGAUGAAUGUUCCUGGUCUUACAAGGAUGCAUAAGUCAUCUCUAGGUAUGUCUUUAAAAAAAUUGAAGUGAUAAAUUCUGUAACUUUUGAAUGCAUUUACUGCCGUUAUUCUGCAAAAGGUAAUUAUUUUAUAAAAGUUAUUUUCUCAAAUUUUUAUUUUACAAAACAUUUUGGUUGAAACUAUUUUUUAUUACACUUGUCUGAAAAGUUAUUCUUUCUACAACUAUUUAAUUUUAAAAUUUUAUAUCUAUAGCAAAAAAAGAAAAAUUAAUGUUAUAUCACUUUCCCCAAAAAAUAUUUCGACAUAUCACUUUCACCAAUAAAUAUUUUGACAUUAUUCAAACUUUAGUUUUGGAAAUCCUUAUCAAAACACUAGGUAAUUAAAAGGAUUAGAGAUAGACUUUGUUUACUGAUAAAAGUUAGUUAAUCAUUGCUAAUUUCUAUAUUUUUUUAGCGACAAUUCAAUGAAAUAACAUUAUGUUCAAUCUUUAAUUCAUAUUGUUUCAAAAGAUUGUUAUCGUUCAUUAAUCAUCAAACAUCAAAAAUAUUUUUCAUUAAAAAUGACUUAUUAGUUCAUACGAUAAUUAGAUAUAUUCAUGAUCUAACUCUUUUUUUCCUUCUACAUCUCUCAAAAAUUUCGUAGCAAUGUCAAUUGGAAAGCUCUGAAAAAGCGUGUUGAUUAACCGAGAAAUCCCUAAGUGAAUCUAAAUAAAGUAGUAUUAGAAAAUUUGGGACAAUGUUCUAUUUCUUCUACUUGACUAUUUUCAAGUUUUGAUUUAGCUGAAUGAUUGUUUUUAAAAAAAAAAAAAUUGUUGGGUUUUUAUAGCAUUUUAAUAUUAAAUUUGCUAUUGAAAUGCUGCAUGCUGGAGUAUCUUUUGAUCUUUAUCUCCCACGUUUCAUUUUGGUAAAAAUGGUCUUUUGAUUGCUCCUCUUCCAUGUUCAGUUGUGGAAGAAUGCACCUGACAUUUUUCUUCGGUAACUUUUGUUACAUCUGAGAAAAUUUGAAUGUCUAAGCUCAUUCUAUCAUUGAUGAGUUUCAUCCACCAUUGAUGAGGUCAAGGAGCUGGACAAAGUAAUGUGUAGGAAGAAGAAAAAGAACUGUUUCAUUGCAUUUUCUGAUUGAAAACUGUACAAAAUAUCUAUACACCUCACUAUUUAUAGACAAUCUUAUAAGAAACUCAACUAUACAGCUUAGCAUCAGCUCUCACUUUAAAUAACUAACUAACUCCCACUUGCACUCACUUGCAUAGUAAAAAUAGAAACUAUGAAUGAAUAGUAAAAACUAUUUUAUUUCAAUGGAACAGUAAAAAACUACUUCCUCGUCUAUCUUGAGCUUGCAAUACUCCCCCCUCAAGUUGAAGGGUGCAGGAUACUAAGCACACCAAUCUUUCCCAUCAAAUGCAAAUGUUGGGGUUGACAGAAACUUAGUAAGUAAAUCAGACACUUGAUCAUGAGUUUGAACAGAGGUGGAGCUAGCCUCCUUUAGGGGGUUCGGCGGAACCCCCUUCGAUGAAAAAAUAUACUAUUUAUACAUGAUUAAAAUUAUUUUUUAUGUGGUUAUAGUAGGUGUUGAACUCCCUUCGACUAAGUUUUCUUUGAAUAUUGAACCCCCUCGGUUGAAAUCCUGGCUCCGCCUCUGAGUUUGAACAUAAAGAGUCUCAACGAAACCAUACUUGAUCUUGUCUCGAAACAAUAUGUGGUUAUACUAGCUUGUUAGUUAGUUUUUGUGUCCGUUUGUUCGUGUUAUCGUUAUUUUGUGAUUUCCUUGUUUUUGAAUUGUAGAAUUUCUUGGUUCAAGUUCUGACAUUAUUUUCUUGAGUCUUCAAACAAAGAAUCCAUUCCGACUAAAGAGUAGACUCACCCCUCGACUCAUCACGAACUAUAAGACGACUUGCAAUACUUGUGAAUCCAAGUGUGAAAUGAUCAAGUGUGUGAGAGUGUGGUGAGGUUGUUUCGAACUAACUUGUGUUUUAUUUUGUAGACUUGUUCUUUUCUUUUUUUUAGGUGUAAUUACGAUGGAACCCGCGACUGCAAGUGCUAUUUUGGCUAAAAUUGAAGCCAUUAUUCGUCAAUGGGAAGUGAUAAAUGAAAGGUUGGAUCAUAUGGGAGUACCAAGGGAGCAAGUGGGCUACCCGGACACACGUCAAGAUGAAGAUCGUAGCUCACGUGAGCUACGAGGUAAAAAUGUUAUCCCCUAUACUCAUAUGAACGUAGUUGUGGUUUUACCUAGUGUAGGAGUGCAUGAGUCUUCAUUUUGUGAUACUCUUGAUAUUGUUAGGUCACAUGAGGACCAAACUAUUAUUAUAGGUACAUAAGCACUAGUUGAUCCUUUAGAUGACGAAAUUGAUUCUCCUCGUGAGAAUGAUUUGUGUCCAUCUGGUUCUAGCACUUACAACUUGACUAAGUUCCAUUACCAAGUGACAAGACUAUUCACACACUAGUUGACCCUUGUUAAAAACAAGGUGAGUGUACAUUGGUAUGUGAAUUACCAACAACUAGUGAGGGUAAGCAAAAUGAUCAACCGGGCGUAGAUGAUCUUGAUUUGCUUGAAUAUUUAGAAAAACCAAGUUGUGAUUGUCUUUGUGAAGAUGAUUUUGAUUGUGGUCCUUUGGCUUCCCAUGAUGGUUUGUACAUAUGUGAGGACAACUCUUGUGAAAGAGAAGGUGAUAUGUGCUUAGAAAUGCCAUCUACUUCGUCUUUAUGUGGUUCUUAUGUUGGGCAUAUUCCUAGUGGAAAUUUUGAAACUAGUAGUAAGUGCAUGCAUGGGAACCCUUUAUUUGAAGUUGACUUAUGGAACACCUUUCUCAACCCUCUCUUAGUUCAUGAUAUUUUCAAUAGUGAUAAAGAGGGCUUGCUUAAUUUCGAGGAUGACACCCUAGGGGAAAGUGAGAGUGGUAGAGACCUAAGCCCUUGGUUACGUCUCCCAUUCGAUCCUGGUAACUUCUUAGGGUGUGAAGGAUGGAUAGUUGUUGGUCUGUCCACUUUUCUGAGUGAUAUUGUUAUAUGUGUUAGGUGGACUUUACUUUCAAUUAGGACACCACCCCUUGAUGGUGAUUCCUUUCGCCAACUCCUUUGUAAUUUUUUUCUAAGUCCCUCGUGAUUAUAACAAAGGACGUGUGGUUAUAUCUCAAGUGUGUACCUCCUUGGAAUGUUGAUGUUGUUUAUUGUACUAACUCUAACCCUCAUGUCAUGAGGAUGUGGUGCUUGUUUGUCUUCUCUUUGUUCUUGCAAGGUUUGAAUUCGAGGUCGAAUCCUUUUCAGUUCCUUACUUUUUACACUGCAAAUACCUUGAGUCUUCCACCAAAAUUGCAAAGUUAGUUUCCUACUAUAGUUGAUGCACCACAAUAUGCCUCAGAAUAUAUUCCACGUCAAAUGCACCUCAAUACUUCCAUCACUAUUUCUUUAUCUCCUCAGUAUAAGUCUACCAUAUUCACAUCACCACAUACUGUUUGUACUUUUGUUGCUUAACCUUCUACUAAUGCUUCCAUUUUGUCUCUCAAUCCAACGAUUAUGCUUCCCUAGUCCACUGGUGAAUCCACGUUCAAUAUUCAUGAUGAUCAUUGUUAUACUCUUGAGCCUACAGUUAAGUUAAGUGGACCGCCAAAAUUUCUUACUAAGAAGCCUAGCAUGCUAGAAGACCCAGAGAAAAUGGUUGGAAAAGUUAAGAGUGUAGAAAAUUAUAUGAAAAUUUCCUUGGUACUUUUGGGCUAUGAAGAUGUUUCAUAUAAAAAUUGGAGUGUGUUUUCAAGUGUUAACCUUCCUCCAAGCUUUGAGACAUCAAAAUUUGAGGAGCUUGGUAGACAGAAUGAUUCUGUGAAAUAUUUGGGAUGAUAUUGCAAUCAUUCAUGGGAAACUGAAGGAAAGAAGAAGGAAAACGCAUCCGUUGUCGUGCCUGGACCAAAGCAGAGUUUGAGAGGUCCAACUCACCAAUACUGUCAGACUCAAGCCCGAGCUUACAUAUCAAAUCCACUUAUUCAUCUGUAACAAGGUUCCUCUUUUCAAAAUCCAAGGAGUUCCAUUCCACUUCCUCAAUGUCUUUUGAACAAUGCACAAUUGUGUACCCAUCCAUCUUCUUAUCUAUAAUGGCAUGCACCUGUCCCUUAACAUCGUCCUCGGCCCCCACAAAUUUACCAAGGAACCACUAAAUUCAAGUUUUAUCCGAGGCCAGAGUUCGCAAAGAGGAGGAAGGAAAAGGAUAAUUUCACUUCUAUUGGGGAGUCCUAUGCCAGUUUAUUCCAGAGAUUAAGAGAUAGGCGCAUUAUUACUCCUCUCCUUGGUUAUAUACCUGACCCAUAUUCAAGAAAUUUUGAUCCUAAUGUAUGGUAUGCAUAUCAUUCUGAUGUUUAGGGUCAUAGUACUGAAGAUUGUCGUACUUUGAAAAGAGAAAUAGAAAAGAUGAUUCAAGAUAAAUUGAUUGUGGUUCAAAACAUUGGCCCCUCGACCAUCCCACAGAGUGUUUCACCAGCACACGGUACAUCACAAUAUGUGGGAGGCAAUGAGUUAAGAAUGGGGAUCCAGAACUUAUUUGUUGAAGGAAAUGUGUCUGACAGUGGUGAAAGCUCUAGUCAUGCUAAUAUGCAAAUCAGUGGCUAAUAUAUCAGGCUAAGCAAUUAAGAAGUCACCCCUCUCCAUACUAGGAAGAGGUCUGGUAGUUUAUUUUGUUUUCUUUUCUGUUAUCCGAAUUAUUUUAGGGUGGUAGUUCGGGAUCUAUCUUGAUUUGUUCCUUUUGUCGUUUAUGGUCAAACCUUUUCUAUCUUUUAUUUCAACUAAAUAGAGUCUCCCUUUUUCCUUUGUGUUUAAAUAUAUGAUAUUUGUUUAUUUCGUUACAUAGUACAUUUUAUGUUGGCUUUAGUGAUAUGACAUGGUGGAGGAAUUCUUUGCUAGAUCUUAAAAUCCAAUUUGAGCAUGAACUUUGAAUUAGAGGGCUAAAGGUAGAAAAAGGAUGUGAGAAAUAGGUAGCAUGUUAAGACAUUUGGUGACCAUGUCGAAACCUUCUUUCAAAAUUAAGGCAAUUGUUUUGAGAAUCACCAGAAAACUUGGUCAUCAAUUGUAAGGCAUGCCUCAAUUAGGUCAAACAGUGGAUACGUGAUCCUAUAUCAAGAGGAACAAAAAGAAAAUCAGCUCCACGAAAUCAUGAGUCAUUCAAUGAAAGAAAUGUACAACAAAAGUGGAGUUGUAUGCUAGAAAAUCACAGAAGAAGUAGUGACGCAUAGACUCAGUCCAAGUUAAUGUUGUAAAAGAUGUCGCACAUGAUCUUCAUCUCCAACUUUAAAUUGCAUGUUAUGUACUUGCAUUUUCAAAGAUUGAUAUGACGAAGGCAUUGCAUUCUGUUAACCAAACAUUGUUCAUCCUUUGUUUAUCCCAUUUGAGCCUUAGUUUUAUUUUCUUUCAUACACCUCUUUUGGAAUCAAUAUAGAGUCAACAAAGAUCAAAAGAAAUGGUGUCGAGCAAAACAGUAGAGCCAGAAAAGUUUCAAAAAAAAAGAGAAAAAGAAGCGAGUCGAGAAAAAUAAAAUCGGAAAAGUCCCAAAAGAGUCAACAAAAGAAAAAAAUCAGAAUCAAGCAAAAGAACAAGCUGCCAGAACUACACGUGACCUGAUUCUCCUCUUUUGGGGGUGAGAUACGUAGGCUGCCCUACUCCGGCCUCGGUCAAACCAAAUAAACAAUUUAGAGUCACCCAGUCAAAAGAAACUAGGGCAUGAGUUAAUCCUCAUUGUUUGAAUCGACUCAAAAAGUUGUAAGUCCCACCCCACUUCAAGUGUCGAUUGGGCCUUAUGUCAUCCUUUUUUUCUAACACUAUCCAAAAGCCAAGUUACAACCAAAUAAAGACCUUCAGAUCAAUCUUUGUGGAUGUUAAGGCUAAGCAUGCAAGGGAUAUGAUGAUGCAGUUGGGAACUACUUGUCUUCCUUAACAUAAGAAAUCAGGAGAUAAAUAAAAAUGAGAGUUUUAUUGGUGAAAACCCUCACAGGCACCGUAAGACGAUGGUAAGUUGAGAGAGAUAAAAAUGAGAGAGUCUUAUCGAUGAAAAAUCUCACGGGCACCAUAAGACGACUGUGAGUUAAGGGAAAUGAAGAUAAAAGAGUCUCAUCAGUGGAAAACCCUUACAAACACCAUAAGACAAUGGUGAGCUGAGGAAAAGAAAAUGAGAGAAGUUUGUUGGUGAAAACCCUUCAAGGCACCAUUAGCCGAAUGGGGUAUUAAAUAUAAUUGACCUAAGGAAGAAACUCAGUUUCAAGGCCAUUAGCUCAACAACAAUGGGUAGAAAGUUUGGAUGAAAAGAUCAAGCUGCUUAAUCUAAACUGCAGGGCAUAAUCAUUAGUGUUGACUGUCAUUUUUAGAUGAAUUUUUCGUUUCUUUAUUUCAAAAGGGGACAUUCAUUGUAUUUUAUUUCUUCUCUUUAUUUUUAUUUUAUCUUUCUUGAGUCAAUUAUCUAAACAAAAAUUUUCAUUCUUUUUUUUCAUUUCUUGUCUUUGAGUCAAGUCCGUUUCAAAACAAGUAAGAAAAGAUUUCAAAAUCGGCUACCAGCUUCUUCAAUUGCAAAAAGUGAGACAAAAGGCCAACACAUGAAAGAGAUAUGAUUGUGAGCCGAAAUAAGGUAUACAGAAAGUUCUGUCAACAGAAAACUCAGGGACCUCAUGGAAAUACCAAAGUUCAAAGGUUUUAUAUGAGGAGCAUGGAAAAGCAAAGAUACUGUAUUUCUUUUAAAGUCUCUCUUAAUAAUCUAAGUUUGGUUAAUAAAGCAGCAAGUCAAUGACACAGGAUAAUGGUUGGAAACAAGAUUAAAUGUGAUGACAGAAAGAGCGUUUUCCACGAAUGCCAAAGACACAAACCAUCCACCAUGUUUUUAAACUCACAACCUUUCUUUGCAUGAAACAGGAACACAUGUUACCUUCAAAUCAAGGAUUUCAAAGCCUAAACAUCAAGGCCCGUAAUUUCUCCCUUUUACAAAUGCAGGAAGCAAUGUUGCUGCACAGGUUUGAUAAUUAAAUCAUGGUAAAAAUUCAUCAUCUUAUAUCCCUCGGAGACACACUUUCUUGUCUAGGGAUUUCAGUUUUCAUUUGCUGGAUGAUACACUUCUUAAAUUGAACCUUCACUCUUAGAAGACAUACCUUUUAGUCAAGUCAUUCCCUUUGAUUUCAAUAAGACGUACCUUUUAGUCAAUUCAUCUCCUUUGAUUCCUACAAUACGUACCUUUUAGUCGAGUCAUUCCCUUUGAUUCCUAUAAGACGUACCUUUUAGUCGAGUCAUUCCCUUUGAACCCUAAAAGACGUACCUUUUAGUUGAUUCAUUCCCUUUGAUUCCUAUAAGACGCACCUUUUAGUCAAGUCAUAUCCUUUGAUUCCUAUAAGACAUACCUUUUAGUCAAGUUAUUUCCUUUGAUUCCUAUAAGACGUACCUUUUAGUCGAGUCAUUCCCUUUGAUUCCUAUAAGGCGUACCUUUUAGUCGAGUCAUUCCCUUUGACCCCUAGAAGACGUACCUUUUAGUCGAGUCAUUCCCUUUGAUUCCUAUAAGACAAGAGUUGUCACACCCCUUUUUUUCACUGCCCAAAAGAAUUAAAUUUUUAAGUUUCAAAAGGAUUUUAUUAUUAAAGUGACAAAAGAUGAAAAUUGUUUCGAAAAAUGAUUCAUUAGUUUCAAAACUCAGAGUCGCCACUUGGCAUAAAUCAGGUGUGCCAAGUCACCCGUGGAUAUCCUUUUUCAAAACUAUUUUGACUCUAUAAAACAGAUCCGCGAACAAAGAUUCUUGCUAAGGAAUUUUGUUAACUGAGGGGAAGGAUUUAGGCACCCCUCGAUCCCGUGGUUCGACCCCGGUCGCUUGGUGGAGUAUAUCGGCUAAUUUGGACACUAAGAAUGUAUAAACCACACCAAACAUAAAUAAAAUGAUCAAUCAAUCAAACAAAUCCAAAAACAAUGUCCAGUCCAAUUAUACAGUCCGAAAUAGAAAAAGAAUGUGAAAAUGUAAAUCCUAUUCUACCCUACACUAAUUUUAUACUAUGCUCCCAUGCUACCCGAUGCCUCGGGCCUUCAUCACGGAUGUCCUCCCAAUACAAAAUACUUUGGAGUAUUCUCCGGCGAAUAAAUACAAGUGAUCGCGGGGCAUUCCCUAAUUAAAUGAAUACAUUUCCAAAUGCAAGAACUAAAACCAAACCGUUCAACUCAAAUUCCACAUUUAAACAUUCAACAAGAAAACUUAUUCCUAAAUUUUUACCUACCCGAACUAACAUUCGCCUAUCCAUUUCAACAUAUCAUAAUUUUAUCACAUUCCAACAAUAUUCAUGCUCAUUACGAAUUAAACAAAACAACAAUAAACCAAAGCUAAUCUAAAUUCAACUUUUUUAUCAAUUGCUCAAUUUCAUCCCCCAAAUCCAUUUUUAACGACAUUAUUAAACCAGUUCGACUAUCAAAUCACUUUUCAAAACCCAAAACCAACAACACAUACUCCAACGAAGAUUCAAACAUUUAAGCAUACCAAUCAUUCAUAUCCAUAAAAAACAAUUAACAUUUUGCUCAAAAUAUUCAAAACUGCACCACAAAAUCAGGAUAUUAACCAACUUCGAUAGAAUAAAAAAGUAGAGUUGAGAGAUGGACCUUUGAAGAAUCGAUUUCACUGAUAAUAAAAUCAAGAAAGCCCGGACUAUAGAAUUCCUAAUAGGACCUCAAAAAUGACGAACUCCAACUCCGUAUUAAAAAAUUUGACACCCAAAACUGAAGCUCUGUAAAUCCAAUCAAACCGAAAAACCAACACUCUUCACAUACUGUUCACGGUACUAUUCAUAGCACUGUUCACGAUACUAUUUCUCUCUCAAUUUUUUUCUCUCCCAUGCGAUUCUCUCUUCUCUCCCUUGGUUUUUUUUGUUCUUCUUGUGAGGAAGAUGAUUUGGUGAUUGUUGUUACUGUGGAGCAGUGAUGAUGAUGAAAGAAUGAGCCUCCCCUUUUUUCCCUAUUAGAAUUUUUCUUUUAUAUUUUUUAUUUAGUUUUUAUUUUUCGUUAUUUAGUAUCCUAUGUGGAAGCAUAUAAUUGGUGGCUUAUGGGAAUAAGUGUGUGGCAUGUGGAAAAGUUAGUGUGGCAUGUGUAAAAAUGAGUGUGGCGUGUGCCUUUUGCAUGUAUUGUAACACCCCGGAAAAUGGGUCCUGGAGCAUCACACGGUGCUUGAGGCUACGAGUAGUCCCAAGCUAACCCUUUGAGCCAUUUUCAUUCAGUUCAACAAAAAUCAACAGCGUUUCCAUAAAUAACCCUCAAGUAUCAACAAGUAAUCAUCAUCCAAGAAUAAAAGAAUUUUAGAAAGAUAAUAAAAUACGACUUAUUAGUCAACUCCCAACAUCUAUACUAGUUUGACAAGCCUCUAAGAAAAUUAAUAAAACCAGUGAGCCAUUGAGACAUGCCUCAACUGACUCAUACUUAGUUAUCAAAUGUAAAUAAUUCCGUGAAACCAAUAUCAGACAUCACGUGCUCGGAACAUGAGGACUCACCACAACAGAGGAUAUAGAACAGCGUGCCAGAAGAAUCACUGUCCAACCUGGAACUGAGCACCUGAACCUACAUUCUGAGAAAAUGCAGCCCACAUCCGAAGAUGUGGGUCAGUACCAUGGAAAGGAAUCGAGUAUAUGGGGGUGUAUGCAGUUGUAAAAACACCAUCAUCAUAAAUAUUUAUAAAAAAUAUGCAGGAUGUGUGAAAGACUCACAUAGUCGAAAAAAAUCAUCAUAAUCAUGAAAGGAUGAAAUAAGUACAAUAACACAUGUGAGUCAUCAUAUAAUUUGUCAAUCACUUUCAGUUCAUCAAGAAUAUCAAUUCUCAUAAUAUAAAUAUCAUUUAAAUCUUUCAAACGAAUAACUUUCACAAUUCCACUUUCAAAUCACUUCACCAUUCACCAUAGACACAAGGAAACACACACACACUGGGAGAUCGUAUAACCGACAUAAACCAUGUGAGCUAAAUGGAGUCCAACGUACAACCUACGUUGGGGAGAGCCAUCCUAUCCUUUCCAUCGAAGUAGGACUAUCGAUAUCAAAUCCACACAAACUAGUGAUCACUAUAUAAAUCAGCCUCAGCCUCAGCCUCACUCCUACGGGGGCACGUAGUUCUAGUGAAGUAAGGUCUCUUUAUACCUUCCACUUGGUGCUAAAGAUUUCUCCCGGACUUAGGUCAGAUCAUUUCAAAGACAAUCCAUAACAAAAAAAUUUCAGUAAUAUAUAAAUAUACAUCGGGAGCCAUCUGCUUCCCAUCUAUUAAAAUCAAACCACUUUUUGGAUUUCUUUACUCUNNNNNNNNNNNNNNNNNNNNNNNNNNNNNNNNNNNNNNNNNNNNNNNNNNNNNNNNNNNNNNNNNNNNNNNNNNNNNNNNNNNNNNNNNNNNNNNNNNNNNNNNNNNNNNNNNNNNNNNNNNNNNNNNNNNNNNNNNNNNNNNNNNNNNNNNNNNNNNNNNNNNNNNNNNUUUGAAUGAUGGUUCUUGGAGUUCUUGAACUAGGAACUUGGAAUCUUGAAGAAAUUUGCAGAAUUAAUGGUGAACUUUGGAGGUUCUUGAAGUUGGAUGUAGGAGCUUAGGGUUUUUUUUUUGAGGGAAUUUGAUGAAAUAUAAAAUAUAAUGCUUCUAAUAGGCUUUAAUAUAGAGUUUGGAUGGAUUUUGGGUGAGGGGGAAUGACCAAAACGCCCCGAAUCUAUCCUUUGGUGGAUUAUUUUGAUAGUCUGAAGUAGAUCAACCAUAGCGUUUUACUCUGAUAUCCAAAUUGGAUGAAACCAAUUUCAUUAGAAAGAGGACUCUCAUAUAUUUCCGUUGAUAUAUAGUAUCUCACCCAGAUCAUUGUGUACGAGGAGUUAUGAUCAUUUGAAGUUGACCCAAAAAUUUAUUUUUAAUAGGCUAAAGUAGAUCGACCAUAACUUUUUGCUCCGAUAGACAAAUUGGAUGAAACUAAUUUCAUUGGAAAGAGGACUCGUAGAGAUUUCCGUUGAUAUAUAUUAGAUCACCCAGAUCAUUAUGUACAAGGAGUUAUGAUCAUUUAAAGUUGGAGGAAAAAUACGUCAGGCCUCAAUAGUUUUUCCUGCACGUUUUACUGCUCACUACUAUUCACGGUUCGAUCGGAAUGUUCAUAACUCAUCACUCGGGUGUCUGUUUUGGAUGAUCCACAUAUAGUUGGAAAGCUUAUUCGAUACUCUACGCAAUGGUAGGUCAUAAUCUAAGACAUUCCAUACGGAAAAUUUAUAAUUCAUUCUAGUAGAUAGAACCCAACACGUUUACGCACAAAAUUUCAACGAAAAAUUUCCCGGGGUAUUACAUGUAUCCAAUGAAAAAUGGAAAGUGAGGUGUUGAGGUGGCAUAGUGAGGUGACAAAGAUUCUAUGUAUUUAAUUAUUUUCAAUUCUUUUUUGGGGAGAAAUUAUCAAUUAAACAAAAGUAUGGUAAGGUGAAUAAAAUAAUAAAAUAAAAAAAUAAUUAAAAUAUUUUCGAAAAAGGACAAAAUUACGUGUCUACGUUGCUCUAAUGACUCUUAUUUUAUAUUUUCAUUUUUUCUUCGUGGGCUUGUAAAGAACUUCUCAAUUGCUCUACUGUCAUAGAGUCUAAAUCCUUAGACUCCUCAAUAGCAUAUACCACAUAAUCAAAUUUGGGUGUUAAAGAGCGAAGGAUCUUUUCUACCAUACGCACAUCAUCUACUUAAUUCCCUUACCUUCUUAGUUGAUUCACAACACCCAUCACUCUUGAACAAAAAUCCAAAAUGUAUUUGGAUUCUUUCAUUUUUAAAACUUCAAAAUCAGCCCUUAGAGUUUGAAGUUUAACCUUCUUCACCUUAUCAACUCCUUAAAAAUAAUUUUGUAAAAUCUCCCAAGCUUCCUUCAAGGUGGUUGCAUCAGCCACCUUCUCAAACAUACCAUCAUCUAGAAAUUGGUGGAUGAGAGUGAGGGCCUGUUGAUCUUUCUUCCUUGUCUUAAUCAAGAAAUCUUUUUCAUUUUGAGACAGAGUCUCCUCAUUGGCGGAUUUUGUAUACCCUUUUGUAUACAAUGUCCCAAACAUCUUGAGAACCAAGAAUGACUUUCAUUCGUAGGCACCAUUUUUCAUAAUUUUCUUUUGUAAGGUGGGGGUACUGAAAAAACAAUGGACUAUUAUUUGUCAGGCUAUGAUACCACGUUAUUGGAAAAAAAUAAAUAUUUCCACACAUGAUAAUAUUCACACAAAAUAGCAACAACAAGAGAGUAACAAUGACACAAAAUAUUAUAACGGGGUAAAUAAAAUACCCCAAUGGAGGAAUACAAUAAUAGUAAUUACAACUUGACAGUGUCAAAAGACUACUACUAUUGCUCUCUCAAUUUUGGUGUACCUAAAACUGAAAUAGAAAUCAUCUAUUUAUAGAUGAAUGUCCCAAACUUUUCAGGUUGUGACACCAAUUCAAUUUCCAACUUGAUCAUGUUGCAACACCAACUUCCAAAUUCAUGUCACCACAUUAGACAUGUUGCAAUACUAAUUUUUCUUAUUAUUUUUUAAUUUAUUUUAAUUAUUUUGAUCCCACACUUAGAACACUAAAUCCACACAGUUUGGUUUGACAAUACAUUGAAAUAAUAGAUGCAUGGGCUCACUGAAAAUCAGAAUAGAUAGCUUAUUAAGAUGAUUUCAUCUACUAAUACUCAUACGCUGGUACUAGGGCAACGGGAGGAAACAUUCUGGAGGGGAUCCUAGUCCUUAUAUUUGCAUUGAAGGUCGGAAAAUAAUAUCUAAAUAUUGGUUCAAGAAAGUAUAUGGAUAUCUGUAACGUAAAAUGACUUUUAUCUAUAACUAGGGGAAACCUUAAUAAAAAACAAAGUAAGAAAUCACUAGAAAAUGAUAUAAAUAUUGUAGAACAAUUCAUAAAAAGAGAGAAAAUGUUUAUGUGAUAUUCAUUUUCGCUAGAAAGGUUAAAUAUCAUUAUUUGAUGUCAAAUUGGAUCAUAAAUUGUUACAUUGUGUCAAUUUACCAUUAUUUUAUGUAAAGAUUAUUUUGUAUGUACUUUUUAAAUUAUAUAUUGUAAAUUGUUAUUGUAUUUUUUUAUAUUUAUUGAAUUAAGUUUUUAAUUGUAAGUUGUAGCAGUUUUUAAAAAAAGAUUUAAAAACAUUUUUUAAAAAUUUAUCUAUUAUAUGUAUAUAAGUAAGUAAAUCAGACACUUUAUCAUGAGUUUGAACAGAGGCGGAGCUAGCCUCCUUUAGGGGGUUCGGCCGAACCCCUUUCGACGGAAAAAUAUACUAUUUAUACAUGAUUAAAAUUAUUUUUUAUGUGGUUAUAGUAGGUGUUGAACCCCCUUUGACUAUGUUUUCUUUGAAUAUUGAACCCUCUCAGUUGAAAUCUUGGUUCCGACUCUGAGUUAGAACCAAACCAUACUUGAUAUUGUCUCUAAUAAAGUGACAAUCACUUUCUAUAUGUUUAGUUCUCUCAUGAAACACAGGGAUUUCAGCCAGUUGAAUAACUGAUCUACUGUCACGUCACUGAUUACCUUGAUAGGUUUAGUGAGAGGUACAUUCAAGCCCUUGAACAGACCAACCAACCAAGUCACCUCUACAAUCACUGAAGCCAUGCUUCUGUACUCAGCUUCAGCUGAGCUUCUGGACACUGUCUACUACUUCUUAAACUUCCAUGAGACCAAGGAAUCUACAAACUUCACUAUAUAGCCAGUAACAAACUUCCUAGUAUUAAGAAAGGCUACCCAAUUUGAAUCACACCAAUAAAAAAGAGUCAUAACAGGUUGAGACUUCAACCAAAUACCUUGACCAAUAGUACCCUUAAGGUAUCCAACCACUCUAGUAGUAGCCUCCCAAUGAUAUCUUUUGGGAUUUUGCAUGAACUGACAAAGAUUCUGAACAACAAAACUAAUUUCAGGUCCGGUAAUAGUAGCAUACAUAAAUUUUCCAACAAACCUCUGAUAAGAGGUAAUAUCGGUCCAAAUAGCAUCUUCAGGACAACCAUUUGCAUGAUCAUGUUCCAUUAUAGUCAAUUUGAGAUUAUGACCCAUAGAGUGAAAGCAAGAUUAGCACCACUAAGACCUGUUUCUAAGAUAAGCUCCAGAAUAUAUUUCCUCUGUAUCAACAAAACACCUGUGGUUGAUCGUAGCACUUCAAUACCAAAAAAAUACUUAAACUUUUAAUUAAAUAUUAUUAUUUUUUUAAUACAUAAAUGACCUACAAUAAUUAAUUAGGAGUGAUACAGUAAAAUCAAGGUUGAAGGACGCCAACUUAAUUUAAAGCAUCAAGAGUUAAUUUAUCAUUUAUUGAUUUAAUCAUUUUAUUAAAUAUUAUUAAAUUUUUUAAUACUUAGAUGACCCAUCAUUAUUAAUUAGGAGGGAUAUUUAGUAAAAUUAUGGUUGAAGCAGCUGUAACAAACAUGUUAUAAACACGUAUUUUUCUUGUUUUAAUUAAAUACUAUUAAUAUGCUAAUACAUAAAUGGCUUACAAUAAUUAAUUAGGGGUGAUAUAGUAAAAUCAUUGUGCAGCUCUUGAAGCAGCCAUAUCGAAACCAAUGUUUUAAUUAAAUAUUAUGAAUUUUUUAAUACAUAAAUGACUUACGAUAAUUAAUUAGGGCUGAUAACGGUAAAAUCACGGUUGAAGGAGGUAAACUUAAUUUAAUACAUCAUCAACAACAACAAUAUACCCAGUGUAUUCCCACUUAGUGGGGUUUGGGGAGGGUAGAGUGUACGCAGACCAUACCACUACCUUAAGAGAUGGUCUCAUAAUAAUUAAUCAUGAGCGAUAUUUAGCAAAAUUAUGGUUGAAGCAGCUGCAGCAGACAUGUCAUCUAUUUUUUUAAUUAAAUAUUAUUAAUUUUUUAAUACAUAAAUGACUUAUAAUAAUUAAUUAGGAAUGAUAUAUUAAAAUAACGGUUAAAGCAGCUGAAAUAAACAUCAUAAAUAUCUAUUUUUAAUUAAAUAUUAUUAAUUCUAAUAUAUAAAUGAUUUAUAAUAAUUAAUUAGGGAUAAUAUAGUAAAAAAAUAUUAUUAAUUCUAAUAUAUAAAUGACUUAUAAUAUACUUACUUACUACAACAUGUGUGCCUUUUAUAGGCAGAAUGUACAUAAAGGAGUGGUUCUAAAAACUACUACGUGGCCGCAACAUAAUUGGCCGACACUUUUAGAUAAGGGAUAAGAAAGAAAAUUAUAUAUAUAUAUCAAUUAAAAUCUCUCUUAAAUAUUUGCAUUUUUCUUUCCCCCUUAUAUGUUUCCUUAAAUAAAGGAUUGAUAAUAAAUUCUUAAUUUUCUCCUUAUUGUUUUAUACUUGUUUUUAACUUAAUUCCUCAAAUCAACCCUUUCUAUAGGGACAGAACGUGAAACAUAUAACACAAAAGUAAUGUGAGAGUUUCAAAAGAAAAGGAAGUUAGAGUGGGCGAGGAGAAGGUUUGUUCAUAGAAACUCAAAAAGUAACGUGAGAGUUUCAAAAGAAAAGGAAGUUAGAGUGGGCGACGAGAAGGUUUGUUCAUAGAAACUCAGCUGUAAAUUUAUAAAUCCAGAAAUAUAUACAAAAAAAGGAAAAAUAAUCUUAAAUCAUGCAUUGGAAGGACUCAUUAAAACACAAAUUAAGAACUUUAUCUGGACUCUACUCCAGCAAAUUUAGGUUAAUAAGAUCCCUAUACGUCCCUGAAGCCUAAAGUUACUUCACCUACGACUCCAAAAACACACUUCACUAUAGAUCAGAGAGCAAUUUCUGUUUUCUCAAGUUCAAUUUCCAGGACCACUGUUUAUGCAACAUAGAUCCCUUUGCACAUCUUAGGCAUAAAUAUACAAGGCUGUUUUUCUUUUAAUUUUUGUAGUAAUAAAAAAAUACAAGACUUCAUAGGCAUCUGAAUUCAUACUACAAGCUAAAAUAACUACCUAAUCAGAAAUUUAACUGGUAUAAUCUAUAAAACUAUUGCAUAUUCACCAUACUUCAACCCAACCCGAAAUCAAGCAAAUUAGAACAACUAGAAGAAUGUCAGGAUAAUGGCAUAGUAUGUUGUUUUGGGUACACAAAAUCUGUAUGUUAGUUUACUAAACUUCAACACAAGUUCAAGACGUUUCAAGAAUACUUAUGAAGUUUUCCAACACCUUCAACACAAGUUCAAUAUGACCUAUCAAAGAAGUAUGCUAUAUUAUUAAGAAAUAAGAUGAAACAGAAUAAGUCAAGUCCUUCGCAUUCACGAAGUGUCCUUAAGGAAAUAAUUCCAUUUAAGUACUCGAGGUUGCGGAAUUUUCCUCCUAGAAUAAAAUGGCUUCAUAACCAGAAAGUAGCGGUACCUCAAAUGUUCUAGUUUUCUUUGAAAGAUGAUCACAUAGAGUUUUUAAGAAGACAAGAAGUGUUUUAAUGCAGAAAGUUUUCUUGCUAAUCUUGUGGAAAAAUACAGGUUUAUAUAGACAUGAAGUGCCUCUUCGAAAAUGAGGCAAUGGUUCAUCGAAAGGUGUAUCUUUUGUAAAUAGUCAUGUCUAUCUAUUCGAAACAGUGUGUCUUUUCUGAAAAGCCACAACCAUCCAAAUAGUCAUACCUUUUCCCGAAACAGUGUGUCACUUCCUAGAAAGGUUGUAUCCCUUCCGAGGCAGUAUUUCGCGUUUCUACAAUUAUUUCUGAACUGUAUGCAUGCACGUUAAUGGAGGAACAAAAAACUAGUGCAUUUUUUUUUUGGAUUCUGGGAUCACUUGAUUUACCGAAUAAAGUUUAUCUAAAAAAUUAAUCUCAUCAAUCAUUUGACAAAUUCGAAGCCGAGCCGAGCGAGCGACGAUGAUGGUGGCGCAAGGUUCCUCUUGGUUCUUCUCUCACUUACCAUAUGGAGUUUAUGUUUCUUAAUAUAAACACAUGAAGGUUUCAGUGUUAUCUCAAUUUUUCCUCCACUUAAUUCCCUCCAUUUUCUAUUCACACUUUUUAUCUUGAACCCAACAAUCCCCCACAUGAAUGGGGAAUGACUAUUCUUUGUAAAACUUUAUGAACAAGUAUGUGAUCAUCAAGCAAAGACUAAUUACAUCUGGAUAAGUGGGUUUUCCUUUAAACUUUCUGUAGUGAACAUUCAUCGGAUGUACUCGAUCAAUUGGUAGAUUUGAUAUCUUUGAACCGUUGAGCUUAAUGCACACCUAGAAAACACACAUCACAUAACCAGUCUUUUACAUUUUAUGGUUCUCACAGUUCUGUUUGGUUCAGCCAUGAAUUCAUGAGAUCUUAGAGACUAGGACUUUACUAACAUUUUCCUUGAAGCGACUUCCACUUCACCCUCAGAUAGGUGAUUUCUAAGUGUUUCAAUAUGAUAGAUUAAACUAUUUUUUCAAAUUUGUCAAAUUUAGAUAACCAUUAAAAGACUUUACACCAUAAGUCUUAUCCUUAUUUACUAAACAUUGUCUACAUCAUAAGAAUGAGUUUGGUAUAUUGACAAUAUUGAACCUAUCAUACAUAACUUUGUUUGAUCUCCUUGAACGUAGCUCUUGAGAUCUCUAGUCUGCUAGGUAGAGUUACUGCCAUGCUGACUUGUCUUAGGUUGUAAACCCAUUAAUUCCUUGGAUGUCCUCUCAACUCCCUCUCUAGAUAGGUCAUUUGUUACUGGAUCCGACACAUUAUCCUUUAACUUCACAUAGUCCACAGUGAUAAUUCCACUAUAGAGAAGUUCUCUAACGUUAUUAUGUCUCUAUUUUAUAUGAUAAGAUUUACUGUUAUACAUCAUGCUCUCUGCUCAUCUAUUUUUGUUUGGUUAUCACAGUGUAUACAUACUUGUUCCACUGGUUUGGUCCAAUAAGAAAUAUCUUCCAAGAAAUUUGGAGUCAUUCUGCUUUUUUACCGGCUUUAUCCAAUGCGAUAAACUCAGAUUCCACUAUGGAGCAAGCAAUAUAUGUAUGUUUAGACAAUUUUCAAGAGACUACUCUUCCACCUAUAGUAAAUACAUAUCCACUUGUUGAUUUUACUUCAUUUGAUCCAGUGAUUCAAUUUGCAUCACUAUAUCCUUCAAUUACUCUGAGAUAUGUAAUAUAAUGCAAAACAUAGUCUUAAGUGUAUUUAAGAUACCUCAAAACUCUUUUCAUUGUCAUCCAAUGAGUUUUACUGAGAUUACUCGUGUACUGACUCAACUUAGUAAUAGCACAUGCUAUGUCUGGCCUUGUACAAUUCAUGAUAUACAUCAAACAUUCUAACAUUUUUGCAUAGUCCAACUGUGAGUCACUUUCACCUUCAUUCUUUUGAAGUGCAAAGCUCACGUCCAAUAGAUUCUUGGCAAUACCAAAUUCCAAAUACUUGAAUUUGUCAAGUACCAUUUGGAUAUAAUGAGACUGUGACAGUGUCAUUCCUUAUGGAGUUCUAUAGAUUCUUAUUCCUAAAAUCACAUCCGCAACUCCAAGGUCUUUUAUAUCAAACUUGCUUUCAAGCAUUCAUUUUGUAGCAUUUAUAUUAGAAAUAUCUCUAUUGAUGAUCAACAUAUCAUCCACAUACAAACAAAUAAUGACCUUGUGAUUUGGAGUGUCUUUAAUGUAAAUACAUAUAUCACAUUUGUUUAUCUUAAACCUAUUUGCCAAUAUGGUUUGGUCCAACUUCGUAUGACACUGUUUAGGUGCUUGUUUUAGUCCAUAUAGUAACUUAACAAGUUUAUAGACCUUAUUUUUUUUACCUAGAACCACAAAAUCCUCAGAUUGUUCCAUGUAAAUUUCUUCCUCUAAUUCUUUAUUUAGGAAUACUGUUUUCAUAUCCAUUUGAUAGAUUUCAUGACCAUAUACCGCCGCUAAGGCAAUUAACAUCUGAAUUGACAGUAUCGUUAUUACAGGUGAGUAUGUAUCAAAGUAAUCAAGGCCUUCCUUUUGUUUAAAGCCUUUUACUACAAGUCACCUUGUAUUUGUCAAUAGUACCAUCCUCUUUCAUUUUCUUUUGAAGAUUUAUUUAGAACCUAAAGGUUUAUUUCUUGGAGGAUGAUCAACCAACUCCCUUGUAUGGCUGCUUAAGAUUGAAUCAAUCUCACUAUUGACUACCUCUUUCCAAAAGGAUGAGUCUGAAGACGCUAUCACUUCUUUAAAUGUUUGAGGCUCAUUUUCUAAGAGAAAUGUUACAAAAUCUAAUCCAAAUGAAGUUGACAUUCUUUGGCGUGUACUACGUCUUGGAUUUUGAUCAUUAUGUACAUCCUUACUUGGUUUAUCUCGAGUCGUUGAGGCCCCCACUAGAUUAUUCGUGUCUAGUUUUAUACGGAUAAAUGUGUUCAAAGAAUUCAGUAUUAUCUGAUUCAACUACCAUAUUUUUAGUGAUAUCUGGAUUUUUGGAUUUAUGAAUCAAAAACCGACAUGUUUUACUACUUUUAGCAUAUUCUAUAAACAUGCAGUUCACUGUCUUAGGUCCUAUCUUCUCCCUUUUAGGCAUAGGAACUUGGACUUUCACUAGACACCCCCACACUUUGAAAUAUUUCAAGUUGGGUUUCCUUCCUUUUCAUUUUUCAUAUGGAACUACUUAUUUCUUACUAUAGGGCACUCUAUUGAGUAUUCAGUUUGCUAUAAAGAUAGCUUUCCCCCACAAGUUGUGUGGUAAACCUGAACAUAUAAGUAAGGAAUUCAUCAUUUUCUUUAAGAUUUGGUUUUUUUUUUCCGCAAUUCCAUUAAAUUGAGGUGAAUACGGGGUUGUAGUUUGAUGGACAAUUACAUUCUCUACAUAUAUUUCCGCAAAUAGAGAUUCAUAUUCUCCACCCCUAUCACUUCUCAUUUUGAUCUUUUUUUCUAACUAAUUUUUAACUCCUGUUAUAUAUUGCCUAAACUCAUCUAUUAUUUCAUCCUUAUUUUUUAGCAAAUCGACAUAACAAUAUCUAGUGAAUCAUCAAUAAAAGGUAUAAAAUACUUUUUUCCACCACAAGAUGGUAUUGACUUCAUAUCACAAAUGUCAGUGUGUAUUAAGUCUAAGGGAUUGGAAUUCCUUUAAAUGGACUUAUAAUGCUUAGCAUACUUUGAUUCCACAUACGUUAGAUAUUUUGAUUUAUUGCACUCUAAGUUUGGCAAAACUUUUAAGUUAAUCAAUUUUCGCAACAUUUUGUAGUUGACAUGUCCUAAUCAUUCAUGCCCAAAUCAUUAGACACAAGCAAGUAAGAAGAAAUAAAACUUUUAUUGAUUUCAACAUUAAUUACAUUCAUCUUAAAUAGGCCCUUAGUGAGGUAGCCUUUUCCUACGUACACUUCUACUUUACUAAGUAUAAUUUUUCUAAAAAUAAAUAUACAUUUGAAUCCAUUUUUGUCAAGAAAUGAUACAAAAAUCAAGUUCUUCUGUAACUCCAGUACAUACAGGACAAUGUUCAAAGUAAACACUUUUCCUGAUGUCAUUUUCAGGCAUACCUUGUUCCUUCAACUUUUGCAGUUGUGAAGUUUACUAUAUAGACCUUGUCUUCACCUUGAGCAGGAGAAAAUGCAGCAAACAACUCCUUAUUUUCACAAACAUGGUGGGUAGCACUGAAAUCCAUCCAUCAUUCUCGAGGAUUUCCCACUAAGUUGCAUUCUGACAGCAUGACACAUAGAUUGUCCAUUUUGUUGUUGGAUUUAGCCAUAUUUGCUUGGUCCUUCUUUUUGUCUUUCUUUGGGGCACGACAAUCUGUUGACUUGUGGCCAAUCUUUCCACAAUUAAAGCAUUUGCCUUUGAAUUUCUUCUUAGAUUGAUUGCUUUUUUGUCCAGCAUUCUUUCAUUUUUUUGAGUUGUUGCAUUCGUCUUCUACAAUGUUUGCACCAUUCAUUGCAGAAUUUUAUUUCGACCUUCUUUCCAUGACUUUGUUAUCUUCUUCAAUGCGCAGUCUCACUAUAAGAUCUUUCACUAUCAUCUCCUUUUAUGUAUAUUUCAAGUAGUUCUUGAAGUCCUUCCACAUAGGUGGCAACUUCUCUAUAAUUAUUGUCGCAACUGGAAAUGCCUCGUUCACAACUAAACAUACAAUAAAGUUUAUGUGAAUAUUAAGAACAUUUUUAACAUGUUCAACUAAGGUAUUUACCAAGAUCAUAACUUUCCCAAGGAGAUCGUGGAUGAUAACUUGCAGUUACUGUACUUGAGAUAUAACCGACUUGUUGUCAAUCAUUUUAUACUCUAGGAAUCUUACAACAAAGAACUUCUUGGUUCCAGUAUCCUCAGUCUUGUAUUUUCUUUCUAGCGUACCCCAUAACUCUUUUGACGUCUUUAUUCCACUACAUACGUUGUAUAGGUCAUCUUGGAGGCCACUUAGAAUGUAAUUCCUGCAUAGGAAGUCAAAAUAUUUCCACGCCUCAAUAACGACGAAUCUCUCCUGGUCCAAAGUUCCCUUUGGUAACUUUGGAGGUUCCUCAGAUAUAAAUCUUUGAAGACAUAAGGUUGUAAGGCAGAAGAACAUCUUCUGUUGCCACCUUUUAAAAUCAAUACCUAUGAAUUUUUUGGGUUUCUCCGUUGGUGCCAUUGCCUGCAAGCACUCGUACGACUCAUUGUGACAACAUUAGUUUCUGGCACACUCGUCCCAACAUCAUUCACAUGAUUGUCAGUAGUCAUUUUCCUAUCACAAAAAGACAGUCAACUUUAGUAUACUGAAAUACUACAUAUAAAGUUGUAGAAACUUUAAACACACCUUGUUUCUGGUUUAACGAUGAUGUUUUUAUGACUUCAAAUUGUUAGCCGAAUGAGCCUUUAACUUGUGAUGAAGUUUUAAUGUCUUCAAUUACUUGUUAAGUUCAAACGGAGUAGAAAGUGUAAAGCUAUAAUCUCCAGAAAUCAAACAAUACAAAUUAUAGAUUAUUUCCUUAAGAUUGUUGUUUCGAGUAAAAAAAAUCUGUAUGUUAGUUUACUAAGCUUCAACACAAGUUCAAGAUAUUUCAAGAAAACUUAUGAAGUUUUCCAACACCUUCAACACAAUUUCACUGUGAACUAUCAAAGAAGUAUGUUAUAUUAUUAACAAAUAAUAUGAAACAGAAUAAGCCAAGUCCUUCGAAUUCAAGAAGUGUCCUUAAGUAAAUAAUUCCUCUCAAGUACCCAAGGUUGCAGAAUUUUCCUCCCAAGAUAAACGAGCUUCACAACCAGAAAGUAGCAGUACCUUAAACGUUUUGUUUUAUUUUGAACUCACUAGAUGGGAGAUGAUCACACAGAGUUUUUAAUAAGACAAGAAGUUUUUUAAUAAAGAAAAUUUUUGUGCUAAACUUGUGGAAAAAUACAGGUUUAUAUAGUCAUGAAGUGCCUCUUCGGAAAGAAGGUAGUGGUUCAUCGAAAGGUGUAUCUUUUCUUAAUAUUCAUGUCUGUCUGUUAGAGUUGUGACCUGAAUCUUGUUGAUCUAGCCCAAAAGUUUCAUGGUGUGACCCAUGUUUGUGAUUUUCAAUGGGGUCUGUGGUGGUAGCAUAGGGACGGGCCGAUAGGCCCAUGGACCUUUAUGUUUUUUGGGCCUAGGACUUUUUGUAUGCACAUAUUAUAUAAGUGUAUUUAGUGAUUUGUUUUGGGUAUCCAUAAAAUACUCAUUCUCCACAUUGUACGCCUCUCCUUUCAUUAUAGUAAAAUAUCCUCUGCCUCUGUCCGUAGUUUUUUCCAUAAGGGUUUCCACGUAAAUCUGUGUGUUCUUAUUUUCUUUAUACUUGUGGUUUGCUUUAUUUCUGCCCGAUUCUUAACAAACUAGUAUAAGAUCCUAUUCAAUUGUAUUCUAAGGGAUGACAACCAUGAAGUAUGAUAUUCCAUUGUUGGAUCGCAGUACUAGAUUUUUAUUAUGGUGGGUUAAGAUGCGGUUUGUGCUCCCACAGAUGGAUUUGGAUGAUGUUUUACUAGGGUUUAAGAAGAUUCCCUCAUCGUGGAUGAAUGAGGAAAAAUGAUGUAAGGAUCAGAAGUCUAUAUCUCAAAUCCACCUUUAUUUAUCUAAUAAAAUUCUACAGGAUGUUUUGAAGGAGACCACUUUUAAUCUGUUAUGGUUGAAAUUGGAAUCAUUGUGUAUGACGAAGAGUCUAAAAAGUAAUUUUCAUGUCAAGCAACGACUUUAUUUCCAUCGCAUGUCUGAGGGUACGUCCUUGGAGGAUCAGCUAUCUGUAUUUAAGAAAAUUAUCUCUGAUUUAGAAACUCUGGAGGUUAAGUACGAUGAGGAAGAUCGAUUGAUUUUGUUGUUUUUGAUGCCUGCAUCAUACACGACCUUUAGGGAUAUGAUUUUAUAUAGUCGUGAUACCCUGAUGAUUGAUGAAGUCUAUGAUGUGUUGUUCUCUAAGGAGAAGAUGAAACAUCUUAUGAAUGGGUCAGAGACUUAAGGAGAUAGUCUCAUUAUUCGAGGAGGAAGACUCAUGAGAGGAAUUCUGUGGGUGAUGACAAGAAUGGAUUCACUAAAGGCAUCCACUCAACUAAGGUCACACUUGAUUACAUUCAUUCUAAUCUCUGGGGUCCUGCUAGAGUACCUUCUAGAGGAGGUGCUAAUUACUUGUUCACUAUUAUUAAUCACUAUUCCAAAAAAAAUUAGUUGUUCUUUCUGAAGCAAAAGAAUGAUGUGUUGCCUACUUUUAAGGAGUGGAAGACUAUGAUUGACAAGCAGACAGGGAAGUAAGUAAAAGCCUUCGGACUGAUAAUGGUUUAUAGUUCUGUUCUAAUGAAUUUAAUGCUUUGUGCAAGUUAGAAGAAAUUGUGAGGCACUUAACAAUUCAUCAUACUCUGCACCAGAAUGGUGCGGUCAAACAAUUGAAUAAGACUAUAAUGGAAAAGGUGCAUUGUAUGCUCUCUAAUGCUGGUUUACCCAAGUCAUUUUGGGCUAAAGUUGCUUCCACAACUUGCCUUCUUAUUAACCGCUCUCCUUCAAUCGUGAUUGAUAAAAAGACUCCACAAGAGGUAUGGUCUUGUACUUCUACUAGUUAUUCUAAUUUGAGGAUAUUUAGAUGUCCUGCGUAUACUCAUGUUAAUAAUAAAAAAUUGGAACCUAGAUCUAUCAAGUGCUUAUUUAUGGAUUAUAAGCCUGGUGUUAAAGGUUAUAAGUUUUGGUGUCCAAAACUCAGAAAGGUUAUAAUUAGUAGGGAUGUUGUGUUUGAUGAAAAUGCCAUGCUUCGGGCUCCUUCCAAAUCUAGUGCUUCUCCCCAAAAUGAUCUUAGUGUCAUGAAUCAGUAAAAGUCAAGCAUCCAUGUUGAAUUGCAGAUUGGAGCAGAGUCUACACCAGUGCCUACUUCUCAGUCUAGCCCAAAGAUACAGAGUGAUACUAUUUCCUCUUCACCACCAGUGGUGCCACAAUAUUCUAUUGCUACAAAUAGGCCUAGAAGAGACAUUAGACCUUCUCAGAAGUAUGUUGAAGCUGAUUUGGUUGCUUAUGCAUUGAGUGUAGCAGAAGGUAUUGAUUUUGGUGAUGAUCCUUCUUCUUAAUCAGAGACAAUUAGUUAUGAUGAUUUCAGCCGAUGGAUGAUUGCUAUGCAGGAGGAGAUGUAAUCACUUCAUAAAAAUGGCACAUAGGAUCUAGUGAGAUUGCCUAAAGAUAAGAAAGUUGUUCGUUGCAAGUGGGUAUUCAAAAAUAAAGAAGGAACAUCGAGAGUUGAAGAUGCUAGGUACAAAGCAAGACUAGUUGCUAAAGAUUACAAUCAGGUUCCAGGUAUCGACUUCACAGAUGUGUUUUCUCCAGUUGUAAAGCAUAGUUUGAUUUGAGAAUUUCUUGGUAUUAUGGCCAUGCAUAAUCUUGAUCUUGAGCAAUUGGAUGUCAAAAUUGCAUUCUUACAUGGAGAACUUGAGGAGGACAUUUAUAUUUAACAACUAGAGAGCUUUGUAGUCUUAGAAAAUGAGGACUAUGUAUGCUUGCUGAAAAAGUGUUUUUAUGGCUUAAAGCAGUCGCCAAGGUAGUGCUAUAAGAGGUUUGAUUCUUUUAUGACCUCUCAUAUGUUUCAGAGGAGCAGUUAUGAUAGUUGUGUAUACUUCAAGGAGGUAAGUGAUGGUUCAUUCAGCAAAGGAUAUGAGAGAGAUGAUAAAAGUUAAAACCCAGGUCAGUAAGGAGUUUGAUAUAAAGAAUCUAAGUGCAACAAAGAAGAUUCUUGGCAUGGAGAUUUGGGGGAUGAAAAGAAUUGUAAGUUAUACUGGAGUCAGAAAGGAAAAAUUGAAAAAGUGUUUCACAGGUUCAAUAUGCAAAAUGCCAAACCUGUAAGUACUCCAUUGGCAGCUUACUUCAAACUCUCAGCCAUUUUAUCUCCAAAAAUUGAUGAUGAGUGUGACUAUACAUCUCGAGUUCCAUACUCUAGUGUUGUCGGGUCUCUUAUGUAUGAGAUGGUGUGUUCCCAACCAGAUUUAUCUUGUGUCGUCAGUGCAGUUAGAAGAUAUAUGGCGAAUCCUAGCAAAGAACAUUGGAAAGCAAUUCAGUGGAUUUUCAGAUACUUGCUUGGGUCUGCAGAUAUUUGUUUGCAUUUUGGGUGAAAUAGAGAUGGAGUAAUCGGGUAUGUUGAUUCUGAUUUUACAGGAGAUCAUGAUAAAAGGAGAUCACUUACAGGCUAUGUUUUCACCAUUGGUUUUUGUGCUAUUAGUUAUAAAGCUACCUUAUAGACUAUGGUUUCUUUAUCAACUACUGAGGCAAAGUAUAUGGCUAUUACAGAGGCUUUCAAGGAAGCUAUUUGGUUGAAAGGUCUAUUUAGUGAACUUAGCAAAGACUUAUAGAUUACUAUGGUCUUUUGUGAAAUUAAAAGUGCUAUCUUCCUUAUGAAAGAUCAGAUGUUUCAUGAGAGGAUAAAGCAUAUUGAUGUUCGGUAUUAUUUUGUGCGUGAAGUUAUUGCUCGUGGUGAUAUUAUGGUGUGCAAGAUUAGUACUCAUGAUAAUCCUACUGAUAUGAUGACCAAUACACUACCAAGUGCCAAGUUUGAGCAUUGCUUGGACUUGGUUAGUGUUAGCUGUUAAGAUGUGCCCUUAGGGGAUUUUGUGGAAGAGGUGGAGAGUUUGUCUUGAAAUGGAUUUGAGUUCUGAAUUAGAAUUCGUGUCAAGGUGGAGAUUGUUAGAGUUGUGACCCAAAUUUUGUUGAUCCGGCCCAGAAAGUUUCGCGGUGCAAUCUAUGUUUGUGAUUUUCAAUGGGGUCUGUGGUGGUAGCAUAGGGAUAGAGCCAAUAGGCCCGUAGACCUUUAUUUUUUUGGGGCCUAGGACUUUUUUGUAUGUACACAUUAUAUAAGUGCAUGUAGUGGGUUGUUUUGGGUAUCCUAAAAAUACUCAUUCUUCACAUUGUACUCCUCUCCUUUCAUUAUAGUGAAACAUCCUCUGCCUCUGCACGUGGUUUUCUCCGCAAGGGUUUCCACGUAAAUCUGUGUGUUCUUGUUUUCUUUCUGCUUGUGGUUUGCUUUAUUUCUGCCUGAUUCCUAACAUUGUCCAUUCGAAACAGUGUUUCUUUUCCAAACAAACACAACCAUCCAAACAAUCAUACCUUUUCUCGAAACAAUGCGUUAUUUUCUCAAAGGUUUGCAUCCCUUUCGAGGUGGCAUUUCACGUUUCUGCAGUUGUUUUUACACCACAUGCAUGCUUGUUAAUGGGGGAACAAAAAACUGGUGCAUUUUUCCUUUGGAUUAUUAGAUCAAUUGAUUUUUCAAAAAAAAAAAAAAACUGGAAAAUGAGUCAUAUUUACUGUAGAAAUUCAUAGAAAGAGAGAGAAAAAGUUUAUGGGUUAUUUAUUUUGGCUAGAAAUGUUAAAUAUUGUUAUUUGAUGUCAAAUUGGAUCAUAAAUUGUUACAUUGUGUCAAUUUACCAUUAUUUUAUGUAAAAAUUAUUUUGUAUGUACUUUUUAAAUUAUUUAUUGUAAACUGUAGCUAUAUAUUUUUUUAUAUUUAUUGAAUUAAGUUUUUAAUUGUAAGCUAUAGAAGUUUUUAAAAAAUAUUUUUAAAAAAUUCUCUUAUUUAUAUAUAUAUAUAUAUAUAUACAUACAUACAUAUUAGUCAAGUGUACGUGCUUUACACGUGUGUCACGUUAAUUAAUACUAAUAAAGUUAUGAGAAGAAGCACGUGUCUCACAUUAAUUAAUUCUAAUAGAGCUAUGAUAAGAAACUAAAAUAGUACAAAUUUAUACUGUAUAAACAUAACAUUAAAUUACUUUUGUAUAAAUCUAUACCAUGGCCUUUUACUAUAUUAGCAUUUUCAUAUCGUGUAUCUAAAUGAACACUUUCUAAUCGAUUAACUCAAAAAUCUAACCGUUAAGGACACACAUUGAUAAGAAAUAUCUUAUUGAUUUGGUUAUCGAUUUAGUACAAUAACAGCAUACCCAGCAUAUACCCACCAAACGUUGGUUAUCGAUUUAAUAUGUUUAGAAAUUUAAAACUAAUAAAAUAAACAGAUAAUGCAUAAUACCGAACUAUAAAUCAAUCGAUGGUGAAAUAUCUUAGAAAGGAGUAAAACUUGUGGCAACAAAAGAGAGAAUCAUCGUUCUCGUUAUAUAAAUUUCAAUUUCUAGGUAAGAUAAACAUUUGAUUUUUACUGCUACUUCAUUCGGCAGCAACAAGUUUGUCUUUUCCAAUUAAUACAGGAAAUUAUUAAAAGGAGAUAAGCCAUUGUCAAGUGCUAUUUUUGUAUAAUUCAUAUACAAUAUUUAAACUUAUCACUGGUGAUAAUGAAUGAAAGAAUACGACUUCAAUCAUAAUCAAAAUAAGAAGAAAGGUAUAGCAGAAGAAGUAGCAGCUUUUCUUUGUUAAAGUUUGAUCAAAGCAUUAUUUAAAUAAAAUUGUAGAAUUUUUUUAUAUAUAUAAAAUAAAAUUCUAAUUGAUUUAGAAGUCCAAAACAUUUUCUUUAAAAAAUAAAUUAUUUAAAUAUAAUAGAUUUUUACUUUUAUUUCGUAAACUAUCUAUCAAUACUUAAAUAAUAUGGAUUCCAAUAUAAACUCAUAAUUUUUUUUUAUCUUUUUGUUUACUUUUUUUUUUCAAGAUGUGUUGCUUUUUUUUUUUUCAAAUUUAUAUGCUAUCUUUUACUAUUUAAUUAAAUGGCCCAAGGAAAAAAAAAUAAGUAAAACUAACUGUAUUUAAAAGGGAUACUUAUGAUUAGCCAUGUUUACAUAUAUUUACUUUUUUUAUUAAAAAGCUAUUACUUAUCAAAAAUAUAUAUUUACUUUUCGUAAACAAUGAAUAUAAAAGAUUUAGUACAUAUAAGCUCUAAAUAUUAGUGUCAUAAUUAAUUUUUAUAUUUGUAAAUGCUUGAAAUGUGUUCUAUACGUAUAUCUCAAGUCAAUCAAUAAAAGAACAUACAAAAAAUAAAAUUAUUAAAAAAUAUCCAUUAACUUUAAAAUAAAUAAAUUCAUGAAAAGACUCUAACUUUUGCUUAUAUACAAAGAAAAAAGAAAAAAAUAGAUAGUAAAAAAGGGGUAUGUCUAAAUUUUGAAUAAAAAACAUGCUUGUAAGUUGUAAAACAUCAUUUAUUAGAGAAAGUUCUUUUAAUUGACAAUAGAAACUAAAAUUAGCUCUGGACGAGUGUUUGAUCAUAUUUUGUAUGUAUGAUAACAAUUGGAACCUAUAUCCAAAAAUAAUAAAAAAAUAAUUGAAGUAUAUGAAUAAACAUAAUGAUGAUAUGUUAAAUCUUAUGAUUUAUUUACAAUUAAAAUAAUUUCAUAUAAGCUAAAAUUUAAAAGGAGCUUUAUAUAACAAAGAAGACUAGAAAAGCUUAAAGAAUCCAAGAAGAAAACGUUAAUUAAUCAUCAAGCAAAAUCAAAACAAAACGAAGAAUAAGAAACAAAAUAUGGAAGUAUAAGAUAUUUUCUAGAAACAUUUGAUCAAAUAACUACUUAAAUAGAAUUUUAGACAUUCUUUUUUUAUAUAAGGUAAAAUUCUGUUUUAUUUAGAAGUGUUAAAUAUUAUGAAUUUUUAUGUAAAUAAAAAUAUAUUUUUUUCUUUACAUACAUAUGUUUUUUAAAAAAGUAUAUUUUGGUUCCUAAAAUUUUUCCAUUAAUAAAUUAAAUAUUUUCAUUAAUAAAUUGGUACCUUUUAUUUUCUAUCUUUUUCUUAACCAUAAUUUUUGAUUCUUCUUACCAAAAAAAAAAAAAAAAUUAACGUUUGGUUUUUAAUUUUCCAUUUUUCCUUUUCAUGGAAAAUUUUUUCCCUACGAAGUUGUGUAGGAUUCCUAAUUAAAAAUUUGCCAUAUUAUAUUUAAUUCCUUUUAAUUGAGUGAUUCUUUAUUAUUUUUCUUUUUAUAUCCUAAAUAUUUGAAUAAUAAUUUAAUGAUAAUUAUUUUUUAAAACAAGUGAAAUGACGAUUUUGUCUAUUGCGGGAUGUUUUAAUGAAGGGCAAAAAGUUCAAAUCACUUUUCUAAAAGUCUUCACACUUUUAAUAUUAUAUAUAUAUAUAUAUAUAUCAAUUAAAAUCUCCCUUAAAUAUUUGAAUUUAUCUUUCUCCCUCAUCUAUUUUCUUAAAUAAAGGAUUGAUAAUAAAUUCUUAAUUUUCUCCUUACUAUUUUAUACUUUUUUUUUACUAUGUAAUCCCCUCAAAUCCUCCACUUAACAAAGAAAAAAGAAAAAAAAAAAGAAAAUACGGUAAAAGGAUUAUAAGAAAUCCUAAAUUUCUCCUUCUUUCAUUUCCUUAAAUGAUUUUUUUAUAUUAGUUAACCCUUUCAAAAAAUUUAAUAAUGUUGUCUUUUCAUAAAUUUCACUCAUAUGCUUUUCUUAGUUCUUUCAUACUUUAUUUUCUUUGGUAUUAAUAAUUACUUUAAAUUGCUUUAAUUGCAUACACUUCAAUCAGAUUGUUGAAAUCCACAUUUUAUCCUUAAUCUUUUCAUACACUAAUAUUUAUUUUUUCCUUAUUUUUUUGCAAUAUAAAUUUUAUCCGUGAAUCAAAUUUUAUACGUUAGUCAACGUAAAUUUCAUAUAUUUUUAUACGUUAGUCAACGCGAAUUUCAUAUUUUCAUUCUUGAUUUUUAAAUUCUUCUUGUAGGAAAUAACAAAUUCAAUGAAUAAUUUUUCAUACACAGUUGAUACAAAAUCGUUAUCUGAAUUUUUAUGAAAAUCAUAUUUUAUACCUUUCUAUGUGUAUUUAUUAACGAAUAAUACAACUUGCCAAGCAACUAACAACAUCAAAAGAUACAUCAAUUUUUAUACAAAAUUCAUAACCUAGAAAAUAAAACACACCUAAAUUAGUGAAAGUUAGCAUAUUUUAGACACCAUCCAUACACAAAACAUGUUUAUCUAUAUCCAUGAUUUUUUAAUGUAAUAGCAAAUUCAGUGAACAAUCUCGUAUUCAUGAUUCACGUCAGUUUGUACAUAAAUUUCUUACAUACAAACAUGUAUAAACAGAAAAAAAAUAAAAAUGCAUAAAUUUAUAUAUAGAUUUUAAAUGCGUAACAAAUAAAAAAAACGUAACCUAAUUAUAUGUACCAUAUUUUAUGCACAUUUCAUAUACUAAAAUAUGUACAAGUAAACCUUGAGCGGGAUAUUGAUAUUUCAUAUUGAUUUUGUCCAGACUUCAUACACGAAAAUUCUGAGAAAUGUUCUAAGUAAUUUCUAUAUGAACUAUACAUAAAUUAUUCUUAAAAUUUUAAAAAUUAAAUAUUGAAAUAUAUAUUGAAAAUCAUUAAAAAUAUUGAGACAUUUUUAUUUUGAAUAGUUAAUAUUUUCAUUUGAAAUUAAAAAAAAUCAUCUAAGAGAGAAAUUAGGGAUGGUUGAUAACAAUUUUUGGUAAGUGACUCUCUCUCUCUUGUGAUACAAUCUUAGGGAAGAAAUGGCCACUAUUCUGGAUUACAAACUCUAUCUCUCCCCAGUCUAUGUUUGUGGGAGAACUAAACCUUACUUCUAAUCCACAAACAUUAUAUUCUGGAUUACAAGAUCCAUGACAAGCUGCUCAAAAUAUGACGAGAACUCAACUAAACCAAUUGAAUAUAUUCAUGGUGAACAUACACUCAAGUUUACAAUGGAGGAAAGGGAAGUGUUUGCUAACGAGGAAGGGUUGCAUCAAGAAAUUGUGAUUAAACUCUCUACAGGUGCAUCAGAUUUGAAGGACCCAAGAACAUUGCAACUGAAACAUCUUGGAAUCAAGGGUCAUUGUUCAAUUGGUUCAUUGGCACCACGAUAACUCUUGCUAAGGUGCUAUCAAUAUGAUGAAUAUGUGACUGCGUUUGCAAGACCAGUGAAUUAUUUUUCUUACAAUAAAAAAGAAAACCAAUAUAGGAUAUUCCCAUGGUUUAUCGAUUUUAACCACAAAAUAAGAAACAACUAAGGCGGCAGUGUGGAUUUCCUUGCCGAACUUGGCUCCACAUCUAUUUGCCAAGAGGUCAUUAUUGUCCAACAACAAUCAGAAAACCAACAGCUAUAGACAAAGCAACACAAGUAAGUCCAUACUGAGCACCGCCAGGGUUAAGGUAAUCCUAGACCUACUGGAAAAACUUCCGGAGCGAAUAACAUUUAAUAUUUGACCGGGUAAUAAAACUGGUUGAAAAUUCCAUUAGUAAAGAGCAUGCUACUGGUGAUGAAUCAACGAACAAAAUCAAGGGUGUGGAUAACAGUAUUGGCAAAGACUGGACCGUGAUGGCACAUAAAAAUAUUUAGGCAUUUGAAAUGGCUCUCCCUGCUUGCAUUAAUGUGUAGCUAGCAAGGAAUGUUCCACACUACUAAAAACUUGGCUAUUAGCUACCAAGAUUAGCGAGGGACAAACUGUAUAUUGUUAUUGUGAAGAACUUUGUGACGUUGUCCCUCAUACAAAUUAAAUAUUUUAAUUUUUUUUUUAAAUAAAGGAAAAGAGGGACAUCCCCACUAAAAUAUGAUGAUAAUAAAAAGUUAAUAUUAAAUUUGUUAUAGUAAGGAUUUCCCUCGCUAAAUAAUAACAAAUAAAUUCAUAUUUCAAAGAAAAUUUAAACAUAAUUUUUAUUUGUUUCUUUAGCUGUAAACAAUGCAUUAAUAAAAUAAAAAUGAAAAUGAAAUUUAUGUUAUCCAAGGAGUCCUCAAUAAGAUACAUAUAAUUAUUUUAUGAUUUUUUUCAUUGUAGUGAGGGAAGUUUCUCACUAAAUUAAAUAUGUAAAAAUUGAGUAUUUAAUAAAUAACCAUACGGAGUAAUAGAUUUGAAGAAAAAACAAUAGCAAUGAUAUCAAUUGUUUGAUCCCUCAAUAAUUGCUUUAAUUUUUUUUUUUUUCAUACUAUUAAAUUACAUUAUUUUAUAUAUAUAUAUAUAUAUAUUAGUCUAACCGCACGUGCCUCACACGUGUAAUUUUUGAUGCUUAAAGUUAAAUCAUUUUAUAUAUUGCAGGAAUUUUAAUCAAGUGUAAAAAGUUCAAAUCACUUUUCAAAAAUCCUUCAGACUUUAAUAUAUUAAUGUAAACACACACACACACACAUAUAUUUGCCACCUGAAGUUCCAAGUAGUUGAUGGAUCAUAACUUUUGCAUUUGUCAUCAAUACCUCUUUUCAUUGCUGUCAGAGAUUAAGAGAGACUCAUUAAUUUGAACCACAUCUGUGAUAUGAUUAUUUUCUUUUUUUCUAUAGUUAAAAUAUUUUCUUGUUUUUAAAGUUAAAUCUUAAUAAAAUCAUUGAUUACAUUCUUAAAAUACUUAAAAUUUUAAAAAAUUGACGCUUCUUAAAUUUUUCUUAUUCUAAUGCUUUUAUAUUUAUUUCUAAAUUUUUCAAAAGUUCUUAAAAUCAAAUUUAGUUGAUUUAGAAUUAUUAAACUAAUAGAAAAUAUAUUAGUUGUCAUUAAUUCUGAUGACUUCUUUUAAGAAUAGAUUUUACCAUAAAUAUAUUUAAUUAAUUUUCAACUCUUAAAUAUUAGGAAAAAAUAAUGAAAAGACGAUUUUGACUAAAGUAAAAACUUCUAAUGAAGGACAAAAAGCUCAAAUAACAUUUAUAAGUCCCUUCACACUNNNNNNNNNNNNNNNNNNNNNNNNNNNNNNNNNNNNNNNNNNNNNNNNNNNNNNNNNNNNNNNNNNNNNNNNNNNNNNNNNNNNNNNNNNNNNNNNNNNNNNNNNNNNNNNNNNNNNNNNNNNNNNNNNNNNNNNNNNNNNNNNNNNNNNNNNNNNNNNNNNNNNNNNNNNNNNNNNNNNNNNNNNNNNNNNNNNNNNNNNNNNNNNNNNNNNNNNNNNNNNNNNNNNNNNNNNNNNNNNNNNNNNNNNNNNNNNNNNNNNNNNNNNNNNNNNNNNNNNNNNNNNNNNNNNNNNNNNNNNNNNNNNNNNNNNNNNNNNNNNNNNNNNNNNNNNNNNNNNNNNNNNNNNNNNNNNNNNNNNNNNNNNNNNNNNNNNNNNNNNNNNNNNNNNNNNNNNNNNNNNNNNNNNNNNNNNNNNNNNNNUUGACUACUAAGUCAUACAUUGACAAUUAUACUAAACGUAAGUAUAUUAGCGAUAUCAUUAAGCAAUAUUAGCGAAUGAAAUUAAUAUAUAUUUUGACAACUAUACUAAGUAUAAGUGUAUUAAUAAUAUUUAUAAGAAUUAGUAUUGAUUUAUCAACAUAUCUAUCUAUUUAUCUAUACUAUUAUAAAAACAUGAAUAUAAAUGUUGGUUGACUAAAAUAUCCUUCUAACAUUGAAGAACUUUUAUACCCUUAAAUAUUUAAGUUAAAUUAAGAUAAAAUUAUAAAAGUACACUGCAAAAUAAUAUUAUCCUAAUUUACUUCGGCUAGGAAGUAUUCUAAUCCAAAACUUUUUCAAUAAAUUACAAAAUUCGCCUUUUCAAUAACUCUAACUCAACAAUGUAACUUUUUUUUUUAAUAUGAAUUUCCUUAAUCAUUUAUUUACAACUCACAUAUAAAGGUGUUCACGAGUUUUAUAUCUAAACUCUUCAUUGUUAUACUUUUUUAGCAAAAUUAUACUCUUCACAUAGAAUUUGAGUUUAAUUCUAAUUUCGUAAGUAAACCCUGCGUUCUAAUUUAGUCACUGUUUGGACUACUGUAGAAACUCCGACGUCACCUUGCUCUUCGUUGGGUUGGAUUUCGAUAACUUCUCCUUGAUGAUUGAGACUGUUCUUUUUAUAGUAACGGUACUUUUCACCUUACUGAAUGAGUAAUUAUGUGCCUUUUGUUUAGAAAUAUAUUUUUCUCAAUUUUUUUGGGGUGUUUUUUUUUAUUAACGGUAGAUAUGUCUUAUUCUUUGUCUUCAAUCUGAUGUUUUUUUAGGUUCUCUGUAGCUGUUUAGAUUGUAGUGUAUCAAGUGUUCCUUUUCUUUGGUCUAUUUAUCUGAUGUGAAAUGGUGUUAUCAUUCAUUAAUUGAUAAAAAAACAGCUGAUGCGCAUUUGCAAGCUCAAUUUGUUAAAUCUUGGAAACCAUCUCUGUCUAAAUACUACUAGUAUUUUGUUUGUUUGAUUUAGGUAUCUUAUUCAACAAAAUAUGAAAUCCCUUUAUUCUUUUCUUCAAUUAUAAGAAGCUAACUUGUACUCUACUUUGAUAAAUUUAAGAAAGGAGAAAUAAAUUUGUAAAAAAAUAGAUGACUUUGGAGCUGUAGGAAUAAAUUUUGCUAGGCAUAAUCUCUCUAUUGUACAAAUAAACUGGUUCAACAACUAUGGUAUUUAUCAAUUUGUAGACCCUGUUUUUGUCUUGGGGACUUCUUGCCUUAUUGGUUUCUUUACUUUUGUUAGUUAAAAUUUCUUGAAUGGCUUUUAUGUUCCCUGUCAUACAUUUUUUUUAGUAUAGAGUAUAUUGGUCUUUUGAGUAUUUUGGUUUAAAGUAGAUGUUUAUUUUCUGUUAGCUUGUUUCUAGGUAGAUUUAGGAGUAUCAUCUUUGUAUUCUUAUAUGCUAGUUGGAUUUAUCAGUUUUCUUAGUUAAACAUAGUUGUUUUUUUUACUCCCUUUAAUAAGAUUUACCGAGUAAGGGGAUCAUUUUUAAAUGAAAAAAUGAGUCAAACUUCCAACAUCUACCAUAUAGAUGAAUUCAUUUUCCAUUCAACCGUUUUACUUAGAAAAGCUACAAAUAACCAUGGGUGGAUGACUUGCUAUUCCACUUAUUCAUUUCAGAGUUUUGAGAUUUAUCAUAAUUUUUCAUAUAAGUUUCAGUAGGUUGAAAGAUGGUAGGAGCUACCAUUUCUAGAACACAAGCAACACAGUUAGCUUACUAUGAUAUUGCCCAACAUUGAGUUGUAAUCUCAGGCGUCCUCUUGUCCUCAAAACUCUUGUGAAUGAAAGACUUAAUCGAUAGGUGGAUCUUCUUGCCAUUUGUAUUCAGUUGACUUAUAAGACUUGCUCUAUGAAGUUCGGUCUUUCCAAGCACAGUGUAGAAUGUUAGAAAAGGGAUGACUUUAUCUUGGUUUGGAUGUGUUAUGAUAUUAUUGCAAGUAAUGGGACUUGAUUCCUAUAUCGAUUAAAUAGGAAACUGAUGUGGGGCUUAGAUUAACCUAGGACUAUCCCACCUCAAUAGCCAGCUUUUAGGGUGUGGUUCUCCUAAAGUUAUUUCAGGAUGAUUAAUUAGCAAAGACAUAACUAUCUAGAGGACUUGAGGUUAGCAUUUAGCUAGAUGGGUUCGCUUAAGUGCAGGGAGGGUGUAAAUUCUAUCUUUGUGGUGCUGGGUAGCUGUAGGUAUGAUGUUGAAACCUUUCACUGUGUACAGUUAUAUAACACUAGUUUAGUAAUCCUCCAGGUCCUUUAUCAGCACAAAACAUGUUUUAGUUUCAGUAUCGCUUUUAGGAUAUUACUAAUUACCUUUAGAUUUUUAACUUUAAAAUGAGUAUAUGGAGCAGAAAAAAUCAGAUCGGGAAGUAGCAGGUGUGCUUCUUCUAUUUUCUUUAGAUGGACUUAUUUCAAGUCUAAUUUAUCACCAAAGGGAGGGACACUAUCUAGAGUACCUAACAGGACAUAUAGCUUACUUGAACUAGAUUUUGCAAUUGCUACUGAAAAGGUACCAUAUUUUUGUUCAUCUAAGGCCCAGAUACGUUAUAAAGUCUUGCAGGGAUAUACAUGAAUUAGUGAUUGUGUUUCAUAAACAUGAUCUGAAUAGUUAGUCGAGUGAGAAUUGAUGUAUCUAACCUCAAAUUGCUUGAAGUUGAGGUGUAUAUAGUUGUUGCAUUUGUUCUUUUAUUUUACGAUUACAAUAUAUUAGAUGUAUCCCCACAUGCAAGGGCUUAAGGUGUUAGAAUGUCUCUUACUCUAGUUCUAGCUAAUAAUAAUAAAAGUAGUGUAUAGUACUAAGAUCCUGAGACAUAACAGAUUUUCUUAAAAAGAGAUUCAAUAACUUAAAUUAAUGUAAAAAGAAAAAAAGAUUUAUUGUAAUUGCACAGUAUCUUUUCCAACAAGGGAGACUCAAGGAUGUGUGCUGUUGUAAUUCUUGGCUUUAGCUCUAUAAGAAACUUGUUUCAUUAUUCUCUAAUGAUUGUCGCAUGUGCUGCCAUUUGUGUAUUUUAUUAGAAAUGUGCUAUGGUUAGAAAACAUCCAAAGUUACAGUUCACAAUGGUCCUUGUUCAUAAUAACUUCUGGAAUAGUAGUCUCACUUUCAAUUUCUCUAAGUUCACUGUUCCGAGUUUGAAUGUUAUUGACCUUUUCCAUCUGUUGUUGCUUCUCCUUUUAAGUUAUCUAGCAGUGUUAUUAGUCGUAAUGUUGAUUUCAUUUCGUGUCUUUUUCGUAGUAGUAUCGUUUGCUUAAACAACCAAUACUGGUUUGGAUUUGUAAUUUUCCACAUCUGAGAAGCCUGCCACAGACUAUAACAAUUCAGUAGUAGCUUCACCAGUAGGUAAGGACUUGUCUAUUCCAAAUAUGAUUCUGGUAGGAUUAUAGAUACUAGGAGGUUCACACAUGCCCCUUUAUUUCUUUUGUUAAUCCUUUCUCUUAAUUUGAGGUAAUCGACCUCUAUUUUCCAGAUUAUGAUCUAUAAGAGUAGUUCUUUUUAAGCUUCACACGUGGAUUCUUGAAUCAAUAGUAAAAGUUGUGUGGUAUCAGCUAGAGAGUUAUCUUACAUCCUUAGAAAUUCUAAUUAUUUUUUCUUUUAAUUUUCAUUUGGCACAAAACUUCUUUAUGUACAACUCUUAUUGAUGCAUCCAAUAUGUGUUAUAAGGACUUUUGAUCUAAAUCAAUUACUUAAAAUGUAUUUUCUUAAGAUAGUUGAUGGUCAAUAUGUUGAUCAAAUAUUUAAUAAUUUAAGCUACUGUCAUAUGCAGCUGUAACAAUUUGCAAAAAUUGGGAGAAAUUGUCAUAUUCAACUGUCACAACUAACAUUGCCAAUUAUCCAUUUUAUCACCAUCCUCAUAUAUAUUUAUUUGUAGAAAAGUUGUACAUGGAGCCUUUCUGAGGAUUGGGUUAUUCAAAGCAAUUUUAAGAAAAAAGUGUCUUCUCCCUUGUCUUGCAUGCUUUCUAAAGCUCGACGUAAAGGAUGGUCUGGAUGGCUUGGGUCAAAUUCUGGGGAUAAAAUUAUUGUAUGUUAGGUGUCUCCGAAGUUUCAAAAGAAGAGCGCCCAGACAAAGGCAUCUAGAAAUUCUAAGAAAAGUGGCUUAUUGCACACUUGUGGUUCGGUGUUCAUGGGGACAACUAAGUGGAAAUUGGUAAUUAUUUAUGCAUUUAGAUGGUAGUAAAUUAUUUAUGCACUUGUGGUUCACUAUGUUUAUUUCAUUUGCAGGAAGCAUCUCUUACUAGAUCAGCCACUCGUGAAGAGGUAUGGAAGAAGACCCAUAUAAAAAUUAGAGAUGAAAAAGAAGUUUGGGUUGAAACACAGACAGAGGAUACUUACGUAAGUUCAAAUCUUACUUAGAAUUUAUUUUAUAUUAUUUAUUAUAGACUAAUUUUACUUUUAAUGUAUAAUUGAUAAGUUCACAAGCUAUUGAAGAGUUCAAAACUCAAAAAGAGUUGAACGACAAAUGAUCAAGGUAAUCCAAUCAUGCCACCAGAGGAAGAAACUCUUUCCUGCUAGCUGGAUGUAGUUGGGGGCGUGUAUAUGGGAAGGGCAUACCACCUUUUUUUCUGAGAAGAACUUUCACCGUCUUUAGGGUGGAUCGCAAGGUAUGGGGAGUUCUGCCACCAUGUCAAAUCAGCAGCUUGAGGAGAUGUGACAGGAAUUUUAGGAGCUUGCUAGAAAGUACGAGGAGGAAUGAAAAAGAAGGAUGGAGGAGGAGCGGCGUAGGACGACACUUGGGUCAAACGUCAAAGAACUCAAGACUCAAGUAAAUACCUUAAUCAAGCUUCUUUGUUCUCUGCAACCUAGUUCUGAUGAUGAUAGUGGAGAGGAUGAAGAGGAUUAGGUGUUGUUGUUUUAGGUUUGAAUUAUGUUAGUUUGGAGUGUUUGAAAGAAUUUGUUUUGGUGAUUGUUUGCAUACUUUUUUUAUACUUGUUUACAUAUUUUUUAAGUUGGAUGAAUAUGUAUGAAGUUUGGUUGCUUAAUUUUAAUGUUUGAAUUGUUUCGAAAGUAUUUUUUUUAAUUGUUUUGCUGGUUAAUAUUGAUUGUACAUUUAUUUUCUAUUUAAAUAUUGAAUUUUAGUGCAAUAAAAAAACUAAUAAUAACACCAUAUUGGCAAGGGACUUUUGUAGCUAUAUCCCUCAAAAUGUUCAAACAUUAAAUUAUUUUUUUAUUUAACUUAGUGAGGGAUAUCCCUCAACAUAUUUAAAUUUAUAAUUUUUAUUAAUUUUCAUGUACCAAGGGUCAUCCCUCACUAAAUAAUAAAUUAAUAUUCUAUAUCUGUAAUAUAUUAAAAGUGUGAAGCCCCUUAGAAAAGUGAAUUAAAAUUUUUGCCCUUCAUUAAAACUAUUUGCUUUAGACAAAAUUUUCUUUUACCCUUCUCCCUACAAUUAAAUUCUAUAAAAUAAAUAUAUUAAAUUUUUCCUACAAUUAACACAACCAAAAUUUUCCUUCCAAAAAAACGUUUCUGAGAAGUUUCCUUGUUCCCCUAGCCGACCAAAAAAAAAAACCUCAAAAUUUUCCUUCCAAAAAAAAAAAUAUUUGCUCAAAAGUUUUCUUUUUCCCCAAUGAUGAAAACAACCGUCGUUUUUUUAAUAAAAAAAAACACGCUAAAAAAUUCUUAAUCCUAUUUGAUUUCUGUUUGGUUUCUUUCAGCCAAAAAACACCGAGCUUUUCCUCUCCUUCUAUAUAAAUGGUUGAGCUUUUUCGUCAUUGUUCAUUGUUAUAGACACCUGCAAUCUUUCAUUGUUUUCCAUCUCAGCACAAUUUCAACAAUUUUAUUUUCAGGUUUUUGGGCAUUAUAUCAUCUCUUCCUUUUUAUGUGAUUAAUUUAAACAUAAUAUUAAUUGUUAUGCCUGCUUAAAUUGCUUAAUUUAAUUUAGCUUAGUGUGUCCUGUUAGUUCAGGUAUAUUUUUUUGCAUCUAAUAAAUUUACAUGUAUUAUGAAAUUAUAUGUUCUUAUCAUUCUAACUUCUUUUUUUUUUACCUACCUACCAAUAAGAUUCUCAUAUUCAGGUAUAAUUUUUCUCAUCUAAUAAAUUUACAUCUACUAUGAAAUUAUACGUUCUUAUCGUUCUAACUUCUAUUUUUCUUAAAGAUUAUUACAAUGGAUUCUAUUGCCGAAGUUCUGGGUAUCAGCACUUUGAAGCCAAGGGAUUGUAUUUGGAUGAUCAAAGUCUUGGUCAUCGAAAGCGGACCUACGAAGCCAUUUAAGAAUGAAGGCGAUUCUCGAAAAAUGGUGAUAUUAGUUGAUGAGGAGGUAAUAUUAUUCUUUUAUACCUCACAUGUUUAAUAAUAUUCAGCUAUUAAAUUUUUACUGUUAAAUUUUGUGUAUUAAUCUAUGGAUUAUUCAUAAUAUUCAGCUAUUAAUCCACGGAUAAUUGACAAUUGAUAGUCAGCUAUAUCAUACUAGAUAUUAUUAAUCCAUAUCAUACUAUAUAAUAUUUAUAUUCUUAUCUGAAUCAGUUUCCUAUUUUGCUGCCAACAUGUUAUUUUGCAAAGACUAAUAUUUAGCUAAUCCACCGAUUAUUCAUAAUAUUCAGCUAUUAAUCCAUGAAUAAUUGAUAUUCAUCUAUAUCAUACUAGAUGUUACUAAUCCAUAUCAUGCUAUUAAAUUAUGAUUUUUUUUCCAGGAUACAAAAAUUAAUGGUACACUUUUCAAUGAACAUAUUGAAACAUUUGGAGAUUCUUCACAACAAUCCAAAGUUUGCUAUAUCAUAAACAGUAAUAUUAAUAGGGUCAAUCCUAAUUUUCAAUCCGUUAAUAAGGACAUUGAACUUUUGUUCUUAACGUCCACUAUAGUUCAAGAAUUUCACGGCCCUUUUUCUACAUUUUCUUUUUCCAAGAAUUUUGUUCCUUUCGGAGAUGAAAUAUUGCAUACCAAAGAAACAAUAGUAGGUAAGUCCUUUUAACUUUCAUCAAGUAAUUACCAUUGGCGUAUAUUUAAUAUUUUACUAUUAUUUAUCUACUCAUACAUACUUAAUAUUUUUUCCAGAUAUAUUUGGCAUCUUCGUCAGUUCUAAGUUAUUCACAAAAGGCACAAACCGAAGAGAAAUAGUACUUAUGAAUGAAGAGUAAGUUAAGCUCAAUUUUUUUAUGAAGUGAAAUUGUUUAUUUAAUAGAUAAAUUUUCUUAUUAAUUUAAUAAUUUAAUCUUAUCUUCUUUAUUUGAAAAAUAAAGGUGUGAUAGAAAAACUAUCACAUUAUGGGGCGAAUUCUCAAAAAUAAAUGAUGCGUUGCUAGAAAAGUUAUUUGCAGAAAAUUCUGUUUGGCAUUUUGUGAUUUAAGGACUACAUUAUAUCAAGGUACUAUCUUAGCAAUUACAAUAUUUACAAUAAAUACUAUAUUAUUUUUUUGUGCCUAAUAUAUUAUGUUGCAGGAAAUUUUGGCAUAUCUUCUACCUAUAUCAGUAGUAUGUGGGUAGACCCCACAUUUGAAAAAACAAUAACUCUCCAAGAAUGGUAAUAUAUGUCUUCAUAUUCAUGCAAACAAAAUAUAGUAGACAAUUUUUUAUUAUAAUACACUAAGUAACACAUGUGCAGGUCUAUUUUCAAGAAGAAAACUCAUAAUGAUAUUUACUUUACUGCCAACUAAACAAAUUAAGAAGGCCAAAGUAAUGACAAUUGGUAAAAUCGCAGAUUGUUUAUCUUGUGAUAAAGAGGUACUAUUUUUAACUACAAUAAUUUAAUGUUUUGUUUUUACCUUAGUGUGACGCCUAACUUUUCUUUCUUCCCUGUAGGUUAAGUAUGGGAAAUUUACUGCAACUAUCGCAGCUAUAUUGAAUAGUGAUGAACCCUACUAUGAUUCUUGCACCAAUUGCUAUAGAAAAGUGAAAAUCGCUGAUAACAUUGCAAAAUGUCCUGGCUCCCCUACUGGAAAAAUUACUUAUGUUGACAGGUGACACACAUAAGAACCAUCAAAUUACUUUCAGCCAUUUGAAAAUUCAUAAAAUGAAAUAAAUGUCUAUUUUACACUGAAUUUACAGAUUUCUUCUAAAAUUUGAUGUAUUUGCUGGGGAUGAACGUUGUUCCAUUACAUUGUUUGAGGCUGCAAAACACUUGGUUGGUUUCGAUGUUACAACAUAUAAGCAAUCAACUUUGGAAAAGGUCAUAUUACACUAUUCUUUAGCACUUAUCAAACACUAAAAUAAUCUGUUUUGUUUUGAAUUGUAUGGAUUAUCCUUUACUAAUUAAUACAUUAUUUUCAUUGACACUAUUCUUUAACACUUAUCAAGAACUAAAAUAAUCUAUUUUAUUUUGAAUUGUAUGCAUUAUCCUUUACUAAUUAAUACAUUAUUUUCAUUGAUACAGAAAGAGGAAUCCUUAUUUUAUCGUAACUUGAUGCUAAGUAUCAGCAAAGUCUACACAUUUCUUAUCAAAAUUGAUGCAAAAAGUGAAGGCGAUCGAGCUGGUAGAUGCUUCAUUGCAGAAGAAGUCCAAGAAGUUAAAUAGAUUGCUACAAUUGACAUAGUAGAUGAAGACGUCAACUCAGAAAACUCAGUCAACGGGAUCAGAAAAAUGAAAACACCGAUGACACAUUAUCUCAUAAAAGAAUCAAAGUAGAAAAGGAUUAUUCGUUUUUUGUUCUCUAGGAAUAUGUUAAUAUUUUGUAAGCCUAAAUCAAUAAAAGCAUGGUUGGGUGCUCUGGCUUUAGGCAUAACUUUCAUGUCUCCCAUCCCGGGAUCGAAUCCUUGCAGCUACACCCUUUAAUAAAUUUUUGAAGGGGAGCCUUGAGUAACUGGUAAAGUUGCUACCAUGUGACCAGGAAGUCACGGGUUCAAGACUUGGAAACAUCCUCUGGCAGAAAUGUAAGGUAAGGUUGCAUACGAUACACCCUUUUGGUGGGGCCCUUCCCCGAACACCGCGCAUAGCGAUAGCUUUAGUGCACUAGGCUGCCCCUUUUUAGAUAGUUAAUAGAUAGUUAUUCAUUCUUUGUGUUUUUUCCUAUUCUAAACACUAAGCAAAUUCUGUUGGCAUAACAAAUAAUAUUGAUUAUUAGAUCUUUGUCUAACUUGAUCUAGCUAUACACUAUUUAUUUUGACUUACUUAUAAUACGUAUUUAAUAGCUUAUUCCAUAUCGCAGGUCAUUAAUCGUUAAGCACAUGGCACAAGGUAUCUUUUAAAACUAAUUGAUACAUAACACUUUAAUUCAUUUUUUAUCACUUUUCAUCACUUUAAUAAAUAAUUUUAUUAUUUUUCCUAUAUAGAUCAAGCAAAAGUUAAUAAAGCUAUUCCAAUUCAUAACAAAUAUAUUGCUGCAAUUACAACAAAUUUAACUGCUACAAUCAACAUUUCUGGCGAACAAGAAGAUUCAGGUACCUACUUUAAAUUUAAAUCUUCUACAAUAUAGUUUUGACUAGAUACAUAAAACACAAAAAAAUAGUAGACUUAGCUCUCCACGAACAAAGAAAAAUUCACUCCUUUUAAAAAAAGAAACACAUUUACCAAUAAUAAGAAAUUAACUAGGUGUUCAUUACUAAUCUCAAAGAAGGUAAAUAAGGGAAUCCUUUCAGUGCAGAGAUUUUAUUCUUGCUAGCAGCUAAGACCUGCAAAAAAGUAUUUGUACUGUAGAUUCUAACCAUACAAGCAGGAAAAAGUAACAAAACAUGAAAAUCAAAGCUUAACUGUUACGAGGUUGACUGGCCAUUGAAAGAAACUUUUACUUUUUCUGAGAUGUCUUGUGCUACAAAACAACUUGCCUAUUACCUUCAGAUCAUACUUAGUACAUUCUACCUGAUGUCAACUUCAAAAGAAUUGAACCAAUAUACCCAACAAUCAUUAGUUCUCUUUGAAAAUAGGUGAUCAAGCCGCCCUUUCAGUAUGGUACUUGUUACAACUUGAUCAUACAAGUUCAUCUCCUGUGCAAAUGUUAAAACUGUUAGCAAAUUUCUGGUGAUAAAGAGUAUAUUCUCCUCUUUCACUGCCCUAAAAAUCCCAUCCUCAACAGUCUCACCAGGCUUGAUCUUAUCUGAUAAGGGCCUACACCAAUGCCUAACCACCCCAUUAGAUAACUACUGAAGCGAAUCAACAAGUAUUUUAUUAUCUUCCCUAAUAACUUUAAUAACCAUAACCUCAACAGUUCUCACCAGGGUCGUAUAAUCAGUCAACAAAGUCUUCCCUUCAGAUAACUCAAGCCAAAAAAGUUGGUGUAAUAGACUGAAAGGAGUAUUAGCAAUCUUAUUAGCUAAAACAAAAAGUAAAAAUGUAUUUAUUAUAACAAUGAAAGUUGAAGAAAAGAAGCUAAUGCACACUGAUUUUCAAGAUUUGAAUAAUGUUAAAGCUCAUUAUAACUUGGACUAUCAGAAUGAAACUAAAACGAUAAAUCUAUUGGAUCUUCUAUCCAUCUUUAAAGAAUGAGGAUUACAUGGAUUAAUGCAAGUAUCAACAUUAUUAUCUAUGGAUAUCCAAACUCCACUACAUAGGUAGGUCUAAGUCACACAAAAGUUAACCAGUAAAAUGUACGUUGGGUAGGAUUGGGAUAUGCAUGGGAGUAGUUUAUUUGGGUACCUUAAAGUUUUAAAAGUAUUUUAAAAAAAAUUAGACUAGGAAUGUUUAGAGUUUUAAAAGUUUGCAACUCUGUCUUUGAUUCCUUCCAAUAAUUACAAGAGAUGGUCUGUCAUGGUACUAUCAAGAUGUUUCUAUCCACUUUUCGAAGUAAGUUCAGUUACAUAAAGAAUAAGACAACUUGCUACAACAUGUUAUAUUACGUAGAUAGUAUAAAAACUUUACCUUGUCAGCAUAUAUACCCUGUAUAUUAUAACAUAAAUAAGGAGAUUAAGGAGGAGAUAUAUAUUACCAGACAAGACUGGUUGAAUGCCAUUGAGAAUGAGGGUGAAAGCUAAAAAAGGACACAAAUCAGACACUGCAUUGGCUACAGUUUCACCCUUAGUGAAUGCAUAGCUAAUAACAUUGCACAAACAUAACACGAUUAUAGCUUGCACCACAGUUAUCACAAAUGAAAUUGAUGUCACCACAAACACUAAGAAUGCUGCUGACUUUGGAUGUGCUGCUCCUAGCUCAUUUCUCACUCUCACACUAAUCAAAACGAGUCGCUUCAAUUUUGUCAUUGCAGAUCUUCAAAAUGCAAAAUUAUAACAUAUUUAUUAGAUUCCUCAAAUUCUGAAUCAAACUGAAUGUACUGUUUACUUCUUUUUAAAGGUAAUAAAAUGAUUGAGUCCAUAGAAGAUGUCGAUAUUGAAGAAACAAGACAAACAAAAAGACGCAAAAUAUAUUGGUUCCUAAAGUCUCUAUCGUAAAGGUAUGAAAUUGAAGGUAAUGCAAUUCUAUUUUAUUAAUUUAAGUUACUUACAUUUUAUUUGUGCUCACUUUAUUAUUUAUUAACAUUUCUAACAUUUUACACAACAAAUUUAGGUGAAAUUGACUACAUACCAUCAAUAUAAUGUAUUCAAAAGUUGGAAAAUCUUCUUGAAUGCACUAAUUGUCAUGCUAUAAGAUUUCAACAUGAGACUCCAACAUUUUGUUGUGACAGUGGAUCAAUAAAACUUGCAAAUACUGCAGUUCAAACUCAAUUAUAUGAUUUAUUCUUCUCUAAAUCUAAAGUAGCAAAAGAAUUUCAUAGACACAUUAGAGCAUAUAACAAAAUAUUUAGAUUUACGUCUUUUGGUGUUAAACUUGACAAUGAUCUAGCAUCUUCGUGAAAAGGAGUUUAUACAUUUUGAGCAAAGGGUCAAAUAUAUCAUGAUCUCCCCUCAUUACUACCCCAUGAUAAUAAUCCAUGCUAUUUUUAGAUGUACUUUUUUGACACAAAAAAUGAGUCUCGCAAUAGGAUUUCAAAAGUCAAAGAAGCCAAUUUAUCUGAGGAAGUUGUCGCAAUAAUUAAACAAAUAAUGGAUGGCAAUCAUUCUACACAAUUGUUUUGCCAACUAAAGGAUCAUUCAAACUUUAAGGAUUUAGAAAUUCGAAUUGCUUCCACUGCUAAACUAGAUCAAUGUGUGUACAAUAAACCAUCAGUAGAUCAAGUUGCUGCAAUUUGGAUAGAUGGAAACAACCCCAAUGUACCAUUUGAUCGGGAGAUUAUUGUUCAUGAACAUUCAGGUAAUAUUCAUAGAGUUAAACAUUAUUAUGGAUGUUAUGACCCGCUCCAGUAUCCUUUGCUUUUUCCAAGUGGUGAACUAGGAUGGCACCAAGGAAUACGAAAACAACAUAAAACAAGUAAAGGUAAGCAUGGAACUGAAGUUCCAGGCCUCAACCAGAAUAACCCUACAUUUAUGUCCGUUGAUGGGGUGUUUGACAACGAGGAACAAGGUAAAUUUUUGAAACAAAAUUUCUUAGAAUUGUGUACUUACAACUCUCAUGUCAAUAUAUUUAAAAAUAUUUUGAAGGUGUACGGCGUGGAGCUAAAAAUUAUGUCUUUUGUAGAGAGUAUUUUUGCAAGGCAUAGUUGAUAGUAUAAUGGCUGGAGAAAGAAGAGGCUCAAAAGUUGGUCAAAGAAUAAUACUUCCUGCAUUAUUUAUCAGAGGUCUUAGGGACAUGCGUCGUAGAUAUACGAAUGCAAUGGCUUUGGUUCAACAUUUUGGGAAACCAGAUUUGUUUAUCACAAUGACAUGUAAUCCAGAUUGGCCAGAGAUUCAAGAAAAUUUGAUAGAAGGACAACUUGCUCAAGACAGACCUGACUUGGUGACUAGAGUUUUCAGAUCAAAGUUACAAGAUUUAAAAGAUCAAAUCUUCAAGAAAAAAAUAUUUGGGCCUGUUGCAGCAUAUGUUUAUGUCAUUGAAUUCCAGAAAGGAGGCCUACCACACAUUCACCUUUUGUUAAUACUAGAACAAGGAUACAAGUUGACAUCACCAGAUGAUUAUGACAAGUUUAUUUCUACUAAACUUCCCGACAAAGAAGAAUUUCCAAUUUUGCAUGACUUGGUUAUCAAACAUAUGAUGCAUGGCCUGUGUGGAAAAAAAUAUCCAACAAAUUCAUGCAUGAGGGAUGUUCAGUGCAAGAGUCAUUAUCCUCGACCAUUUAGUAAUAAAUCAAUACAAGGAAAGGAUAGUUAUCCUAUUUACAAGAGGCGAAAUGAUGGAAAAAAAGAAAAAGUUAGAGGCAUGACAAUGAAUAAUCAAUGGGUUGUUCCUUAUAAUUCUUAUUUACUAAGUAGAUAUAAUUGUCAUAUCAAUGUUGAGUCUUGUGCAGGGGUAAAAGCAAUAAAGUAUCUUUACAAGUAUAUAUAUAAAGGACAUGAUAGGUGCGUUGUUUUUAUCGAAUCAAAUAAUGGAGAAAAAGCCGCUGAUGAAAUUAAGAGUUUUCAAGAUGCACGUUGGGUUGCUACACCAAAAGCGCUAUGGAUAAUUUAUGAAUUUGAUCUUAGUGAAAUGCAGCCUCUGGUCAUUAACCUUCAACUACAUCUUCCAAAUAAACAAACAGGUAAACAAUUAGGCUUCCUUAAGCUAUCUAAAUUCUACAUCUUUACCCUUCAGAUAAAAAAGUCAUAAAAUUCAAAUUGUAAUAAUCUGUUUUAAGCUAUGAAUUUAUCAUGAAAAGAAAUACAUAAAGUUAUUUGUACGAAAUAUUCUGUUAAUCUUUUUAAUAUUGUCUAUUCACAUUAUAGUGUGCCAUUGGAGCAACCAAAAUUUGAAAAAUGUUGUUUCCUGGGAAUAUGCCUCAAAAACCAUGCUUACUGAGUGUUUUCACAAAUGUUCAAUAGACAAUGAAGCGCGUAAAUACAUAUACAAGAAAUUUUUAGAGUAUUAUGUUUGAAAUGCUCAAGGUAAGCUUUGGACACAAAGAAAAACAAGAUCAAUAAUUGUUCGAAUUGCUAUUGGUAAGAAAUUCAACAUGACCACUCUUAAUAUUUGUAAACGUUCAAAUAUCAUUUAUUUGUUCUUUCUUCUUUAAUUUACAGCUAAUCCAGCAGAAGGCAAAAGGUAUUAUUUGAGAUUAUUAUUGAAUCAUAUACGAGGACCAACUUCGUUUCAAUACUUGCUAACUAUUAAUGGAAGGUUGUGUGGCACAUUCAAAGAAGUUGCAAAAGAAAGAGGUUUACCCGAGUCGGAUAAUAGCAUUUCUGAAUGCUUACGUGAAGCGGUCGUCUUCAAAAUACAUUCGGCUCUUAGAAAUUUAUUUGCAACAUUAUGGUUCAUUGUAAUCCGACGGAUGUGAGAAAGCUCUGGGAUACAAAUUAUGAUGACAUGUCAGAAGAUUUUAAGAGAAUACAUGAAAAUUCUCCUACGACUCAACUUCAAUGCACACUGAAAAGCAUAAAUCAUUUCUUAGAGAGCAUGGGAAAGAGAAUUCAAAAUUAUGACAUACCUGAACUUGAACGGAGAGUAGAUGAUAGAAUUAUAUUAGAAUGCAGAGAAAUACUAGAGGAGGAGUCUAUAAUAGUUCCUUUAGAAGAUUUGGAUGCAAAAAUAAAGCUAAAUCCUGAACAAGAGCAAGCAUUCAAGAUUAUAUUGCAAAGGUUAGAAUCUGGCCAAUCGGGAUUAUUCUUUGUCGAUGGACAUGGAGGGACCGUAAAAACAUUCCUAUAUCGUGCAUUAAUUACAAAUAUCGUAUUGAGGGGCAUGAUAGUAUUAGCAAUGGCAACAAGUGGUGUAGUAGCAGCUCUUUUAUCGGGAGGUCGUACGGCUCAUUCUAGAUUUGAGAUACUACUUCAGACAAAUGAUACAACAGUAACACGUAUGUCAAAGCAAAGUGGUGGAGCUAAAUUGAUUAAAAAAUCCAAGUUGAUUAUCUAGGAUGAAGCACCUAUGGCCAGUCGUUGGACAAUUGAAAUGGUUGAUAGGAGCUUCAGAGAUAUACUGGACAUUGACGAACCCUUUGGUGGAAAAGUAAUGGUUUUCGGAGGUGAUAUUCGUCAUGUACUGCCAGUAAUUCCAAAAUCUACAAGGGAUAAAACGGUAAAUACAAGUUUGGUAAAGUCGUACUUGUGGCAACGAAUGGAAAAGAUUAAAAUAACAAGAAAUAUGAGGGCCAGAACAGAUACAUCAUUCAGUGAAUUCUUACUACGCAUAGGUAACGGCGAGGAACCUACAAUAAGAGAUGAUUUGGUACUACUUCCAAGACAAUUGGUUAUUGAAACUACGAGUGAUAGCACUGGUUCAGAUGCCUUAAUAGAGUAAAUAUUUCCAUCGUUGCCUGAAAAAGCAAGUUCUGCAAAAUACAUGACAAAACGGCUAUCCUGGCUAGCAGAAAUGAGUAUGUCGACCAACUAAAUGAAAUAUUAAUUUCCAGAUUUCCUGGUGAAACCAGAACAUUUCUUAGUUUCGACUCUGCAGAGGAUGAUACAAAUAACUACUAUCAGGAAGAUUACUUAAAUACUCUAACACGAAACAGUCUGCCUCCUCAUAGGUACGUUCUUACAUAUUUACUAAUAUUCGAUUAUGUUUGAGAAUCAAAUGUAUAUGUAAGGUUCAUAGAAUCAAUUACAAAGAGAGGGAUACAGUGAAUCUUACUGUUAGUUAUGAAGUUAAGCUACACUUUUAUGCAUGACGAACAAAAUACUGGUUCUAAUACUGUCUUUGAGGCCCACGCAACUUAAGUCUUUCCUUUUGAUUCUUGCCAAAUCUUAACUGUAGCAAAUCAGUAACUCAUGUAAGUUUAGAAAACAUCUUCAACAUAAUGACCACUCAAUACUAAACAAAUACAAUUCUAGGUCACUAAAUAUAUUUGUACAUUUCAAAAAUGAUCAAUGUCAUCAUUCCAAAUUUAUCAACCUACAUUAGAUCUGGAUCAUUUUCAUAAUCAUAGUCUGCUUUACUUAAAUGUCUCAUUCUCUUCGCAUCACUUGCUGAGAAUUGAUACACAGGAUGGUAGAAUAUGUAAAAGGCAUUAUUACUAGCAAAGCUAUAUUUCAAACAACAUUUUCAUUUCAAAACUUAAGCAGUUGAUUAUCUCACUACUAAUACCUUAAAGGACAAGAGAUUAUCCAAAUUUGUGAUUUUUACACUACUCCCCUGAAGGGGGCCCAACAUAAUAUAAUAUUCCAGUACACCAGCACUGGUACAGUACCUGGUACAUCCAACAUAAUAUUGCCAACUUUCAAGAAACUAUACUUACCUGAUAGCUUGAAAAUUGACAUCCAAACUAAUAUCCCCUUUAUCCCCUUACUCUCUGUUUCUUUAAGCAAAUUCUUACAAACUCCAUCUCUCUAUCAAUCCCUAUUUUUCUAACUAUUAAAAAGGAUCACCAACUCUCGACACAAAGAAACAGAACAAAAACUACAUAACAACACGAUAAACAGAUAGGAACAGAAACAACACACUGAUAUACAAAUUAAGAUGCUAUACUUCAGAAUUGAAUUAAGAAGGUAGUGAAAUAUUGUUGGAAAAAGUAUAGUGACAUUCUUUUACCUAGCCACCGAUUUGUUUUUCAAAGCUUGAACCAGAUUAAGGUGUCAUUUCAUGAUCACAAUUCAUUAACAGUAGUUUCUCAGUUAUAGAAUAAAACAAAAACCAAUUCCCUUUGCCAUGAACAGCACAAGAAGAACAACAUCUACUUGAUAUCGACACGACCUUCCUGUAUUAAUCGAUAGAUCACCAACCAUACAACAUUACCUAUUAAUAUGAUAAUCAAAAUUCCUUACGCUUUCCAAGUUUUAGUAAUCCAAAUUUCUGAAUAUUCUCAUCAAUAUUACAAAUAAAGUAAACAAUUUAAAGGCAUGUCCGUUGUUUUAGGAAUUUCCUUAGUAAAUACAUAGCAAAGGAUGCCAAUUUAUCUAGAUGAUGAGCUCAUUUCACAUUAUUUUAAUUUCACACUUACCUGUAGAUAGAUCAUCUCCCUCUGUAUGUCCUUCGCAUAUCCAGUCAUAUUGGCCUUCCAAAACUUUAUGAUAGAACCUUUGAAAAUUUUGUUUAGCCACCCCAUUAGGUGAAAUACUACUGCUCAUGAUCAGCAACGCUUAUACCUACAGAAAAAAACUAAUGUUUCAGUCAAAUCUAAUCGAUUUUUUCUAUUUUGUUUUUGCAGCAUUUGGAGAUUCACACAAGUAUAAUCUUUUGAAAAUUUUUUGCUAGUUUAUGGUUGCUUAUUUACUCCAGAAACAUGUUACUAUGUAUUUGAUUUCAACUUAUGAUUAUAAACCUUCAAUCAUCAUUGGAUAUCUUUCUUAAGUGAAGUUUUUUAUUAAAGUAUCUUUUACGUAUAUGCAGAUUGGUGUUGAAAAAAAAUGUGGCUAUCAUGUUACUGAGAAAUUUAGAUGCUUCCAAUGGUUUGUGCAAUGGAACGAGAAUGAUAUGCAGAGGGUUUGACAAAAAUGUCAUACAUGCAGAAAUAAUGAUGGGCCAAAAUGCUUUCAAGCAUAUGUUUAUCCCACGAAUCCAGCUAUCACCUUCCGAAAAUGAAGGUUACCUAUUCAAAUUCAUUAGAAAAUAAUUUUCCGUGCGACUGUGCUUUUCGAUGAUGAUAAACAAAGCACAAGGACAAACAAUACCAACUGUUGGACUGUACUUGCCGCAACAUGUUUUUUCACAUGGACAACUGUACAUUACACUCUCAAGGGGAAUAUCAAUGUCAACGACUAAAGUUUUGGUUAUGACACAACAAUCAAAGCGACAAAAAGGAACAUACAACAAAAACAUCGUCUACAAAGAGAUAUUAGGUGAGAUACAAUACAUAUGAUUACCUGAUAUAAAAAAUAAAUUAGUCUUUUGAGUAUGUAAUAUGAGACUAACUUUAAAUGUUCGUGUUUGCAGGUUCUGAAGAUACGCAAUUACUUUAGAUUCAACUAUUGUCCAAGUCAUUGCAUUUCAUUUACUUUCAUAGACAUUUACAUGGACUAAUUUGUUUCAUUCUGAUAUAUGUACUUUAAGUUCUUGAUGUGUGUAUUUUGGACAAAAAGAUAUAAUCAGGGGAAAAGAAUAAGUCUAUCUUAUUUAUCUUCUUGAAAUAGAAGGUUCGAUUUUAAAGGUUCAUAAAAUCACUUCUUUUAACCAAACAGGCUUAAGAUUUUAAAGAUCGAGAUCUGGUCCUUCAUACUCAACUUCAAUCCAACAUAUUUUAUCAUUUUCUCAACACGCUCUAUCAAAAGAACGGUAAAUGAAAUGAGGCAUUGAUUAGAUCAAUAUACUCUUUCCACUAAAGCACAUCGAACUUUCAUAUUUUCUAAUUGGAUAUAGCCAUUUUAACACAGCUUAGAUGAUAAAAAGAUAAAAAAAACGUAAAUGACCAAAAUGGAAGAACAUAGUGAAUGAGGCAGAAAGCCAAAGAAGAAGAUUUUAGACACACACCUACAACUACAAAUUCUUCAACUCAAUGCAACUUUGACAUGGAAAACCGACGAAGUGAAAAUAUAGAAGGGAGACGAAAGAGUUCUACACUUAAAAGUAAAUCUUGUCAUUUGUACAGGACAAUUGGAUAGGUGUAGAUAAAAAGAAUUUAACCGGCACAGCUUAGAAAGGAAUGCACUGUGAUUGGAAUGGUGACUCUGGAAGCAAUUUUACCUAGUAGAAUGCGACUGGUUAACAGGUCUGCGCAUCUACACGGUGGGUAGCUUUGCAUUGUUCGAUGUUGGCUUUGUUGCCAUCAUUAUCAAGUAAUCAAAAACAUCAAACAAAUAAAGUUUUUGCAAAAUAUAUAUGAAUUACCUACCAGUUUUUGUUCAACUUGACGAAGGAACGUUUUCUUAAGUAAUACAAGAAAAGAUCAAAGAAGGAUAAUCAAGUACUUUGUAAUUCCGAAUCAUUUAGUGCUUGAACUCUUUCACAUCCCGAUUUUGUGCAUGAAAACAUUCUCCUAUUAAAACUUUAAUAUAUAUUUUCUUCCACAAUUUUGGAUAACUUCCAAAAAAGCAACAGAUGUGGAUGUGUAAGCAUAGUAACUUCGAAGAUUAAACCGCAAAGCAAAACUAACGGAAAUAUUUAACUACUAUUACAUGACAGAAAAGAAAAGCUAACCUGUUUCGACAAUGCAUCUAUCUCAGGAGAAGGCAGAUGAUCUGCAGCAACAUAUAUAUAAGUUCGAAUCAUGAUUCAAGUAUUCAACUAUCAUUUGUCAAGGGAACUAACAAUGCAAUUACAGUGAAUAUCUACCACAAAUAAUUUUUCAGUUUGUGUGUAAGUGUAUGAAACAAGAUCGGAAAAAGAAAAAAGACAAAGGCAGAAAAAAAUAUGUCGGAAGCUGCAGAAAGAGGAAAACAAACAAGCAAAGGAAUAGUAAAUUCCAUUAACUUAAGGUCCAAGGAAGAGGAUGAAAUUCCAAAGAAGAGCCUUACUUUCAUUCAAAAGUUCACAAAAUAAAACAAAGAGCAGCACAAAUAUUCUUUAUGACCUUGAAGGGUAAUACCUUAUAAAAAUUCAAAAGGGCACAAAAAAGUACUCGUGUCAAAACUACGUCUAAUGAAUCUUUGGAUUACUGGCAAUUAUCUGUGUACAGUACAUUAUGGAUAUCUUUUAUAUAUAUAGGAAGUGGCGUAGUCCUUUUAUGUUUCUAUUUUUGUCCUUAGUUCGUGAAUCAUAAUGGGUGCCACAGUGCAUAAAUGCAUCAAACAUAAUUUAUCAAUAACUAAAGUCUAACCUUCGGAUUAAUAUCCCUAGCAUGUUCAAACGCCUUGAGACGAUCCUCACCAGUAGGAAUGUAGUAAUUGACAAGCCUUGCAUGGCCAAAUGAAUUAUUAAGGGGGUACCACGAGAGAGAGACAGAGAGAGAUACAGAGGAGAAGGGGGAGGGGCUUGGGAAAAACAAGGAGCCUGGUCCACUUGACAAAUGAGCUCUGACUAGUCAUGCGCAUACCUAUUAAUCCAGCAUCUUUCGCACUUAUCUUUCAGCUAGUAUUGGAAACUUAUGAAUGAUAAAAGUGAUGAAUUGACUUUAAGAUAGUGGAAUAUCAGCUAAAGGGAAGCGGGAUCUAGGGAAGGGCCAAACCUCAAGGUUUUAUUUGUAUGCAACCUUACCUGCAUUUCUGCAAGAGAAUGUUACUGGAAAUAUCCAGCCGAUCUGAUAAAAUUAGAACAUAACAUAUCCUUCACCAAAUUUACAGAUUUUGUAGAAGCAAAUAUAUAAUGUGUAAUUGAGGCAUACCCUGGUAUUAUAGCAAGUCCCGUUUCAAGUAAAACCAAUACUGCAUCUUCACUUAAGUAAUGCAUCAUUAAACUAGGGAGAAAGAAAUCAAUCUAGAGAGAAAGACAAAUUAUGGCAUAAACUCAGAAGUGCAGAAGAACGUACCACAUAUCCGGAUAUCACAAGACAUUGCCAUUUCAAGUCCCCCACCCAAUGUUAUACCCUCAAUGGCAGCAAUUGUAGGGAUAUGAAGUGCCUGAGUAAAAGAAUAUUUAAUCAAAUAUAGAAAAGAAAAGAAGCGGAUAUAUACAACUGGCCUAUUUUAUGGUUGUUAAAGUAAUAUGUUUGGAAGAAGAAAUGAGAUACAGUAUGAUGUCAUGAACCCAAAAAAAGAAAAAGAACUUCUUCUUGAGCUUUAAGACUUUGUGAUCUUUCAUAUAUUAAAAGAAACAACAUCACAAGUCACUUACCUCCAAAAAAGAAAAUGUUGAUCGCAAAGUGCUAACAAAAUCCAGGACUUCCGAUGGAAUCAUAGUUUUCCAUUCCUACAUAGCGAAUGACAAUCAAUUGAAUUAGCUAUCAUUAAGUACAAAACACACUAUGAAUAAAAAAUAGUAGAAAUGCUACUGACUACAUAAAUCGACAUCUGAUAUAAAAAAUAGCAGCUUAUUCCAUCAUAUGACAAACCAAUUCUAAAUUUGAUCCCCACAAAGAUGUUAUAAGCCCCACAGAGGAUGCACUUGCAAAGUCCGAGAGAUCAAAUAACAGAUAAACUUAUCAACAUUGAAAGCUAAAUGUUUGGCUGAUGUCUCCUAGCUUGUAACUUUUUUAUUAUUUUCUUAUCAACAUUUUAUGCUAUAAAAAUAAGAAAAAAGUUGAUUGUUCGACAAAUGUCUCCUAGCUUGUGAUUUUUUAUUGUUUUUUCUUAUCAAUGUGUGAUGCUAUACAAAUAUGCGAAAGAUGUAUGUUUUGUUGAUGUCUCAUAGCUUGUGACUUUUUAUUGUUUUUCUUAUCAUCAUCUAAGACUGUACAAAUAAGAAGUCUUUUAAAGAGCAAUGACACUACAGAGACAACCUACAAAAAGAGCUAACAUGAAAUGAGAAAAUAGAUAAAACUUUCUCCUGGUUAAUAAACAUUGAUACUAGAAAAGGCUACUCUAACACCAUAUAACAUUUCCCUUAAACCUCACAGGAUAAAAUAUUAUAUAACAUCGUCUUAACUACUUUCAUAAAUAAUAAAAGUCAAUUCAAGGUAACAACACCAAUAUCCAUAUCUAGCAACAACAAUAAUUGAGGGCUCCACCCACAUGAUCUGAUUCGUAUACACUGAAUACAUACCUUAAAAAGAUUCCAAAUAUCUAUUGCUAUUCAAGAACAAAAUUUGUUUGGCAUCUGUCUAAUUGAACAUUGUCCUAUCUGUAUCCAUCUAACUAUACACAACAUACACUAGAUUACAAAUGAAACAUCAAACACUAAAGCAGUAAAGAGCUAUGAACAACAGACUUCUAUUACCACCAGUUAUUCCAAUUUCUAUAGGUUCAGAGUUCAGGAUGGAGUCGAGAUUUCAACUUUAUGAUUUCUAAAUUUUAAACAACGAAUUCAAGUACUACUAAUUAGAUUCUAAAUUUAGUACACAAACAUACUGUUUGAUCAAAAUGCUGUUACAUUUGACGGAUCUUCCUUAAUUUUUCGAAAACAAUAACAAUAGUAACCCAGAAAUGACAAACCAAAUCACAAUAUUUCUAUUUACCUACUUCUAUUUUUAUUUCAUACCUCAAAUUCAACUAUCUCAGCUGACAUGCAAACAUCAGGAUAUUCAAAAUUGUCAACAUUAAGAAUAUCGGACACAUAUUAUAUGUAAAAGUCAAACAAAUCAUACCUCAAACAAGAAAUUAAAUCAGAAUGGCUUUAAAAAAAUGAAAUCUUCGAACAUGCAAAGCAAAAGGAGGAACAAAAAUCAAAACUAGGAACAUACAAUGCAACAAUUGUUUUGCGAGAAUCAAAACAUACAAAAUCUAAUUAAAAUAAAAUAAAACAUUCAAAUGAUUUAAACACUAAAAAAAAUAAAGGAAACAAGGAAAGAAGAUGAAAUUAGACCCAAAACUUGACAUACUGUUGUUCAAUUGAUGCAGUAGGAACAUACUCUUCAAGUAAACGUUCAAUUUUAAGCUUUAUGAUUUCACCUUAUUCAUCAAUUUUUCGCUAAAAUAAUAUGUAGUAUCAUAAUAGAGAGAGUGAGGAAAUGUGUGAGGAAGGAGAGAAUGCUCAAACACUAGCCAUGGCAGAUAUGUAAAAUACCAAAGAGUGGAUUAGACACACCUUUUACGAAAUCAAUGUUGUCAAACUUUAGUUACUGGACUCAAUUUUUAGUACAAAUGGUGGUAUUAGUUUCUUAAGAAACUCAACCUAUUGAACUAGAAAAGGAAAGUAGGUAAUUACAAGUUUAGACACUUAGCUUAACAAAGGGAGAGGAAGAUAGCUGAUGAUCUGCAUAGGGUGAGAGAGAAACUAAAGCAAAUCUAUGUGAACUCAUCGACGAUCUUGGCGGAGAAGACGAUCUAUGGCUGGUUCACUUUCCAAAAGAGUUCUAAACCAUGAUUAUCAGAUAUUUUUUGUUGCAUAUGUUUGUUGGAUCCGGGUCAGGUCACUUUUAGGCCUGACCCAUUUAUUUUAAUUUGUAUUGAACUUUUUGCUUUUAAUAAAAUGGGCUAUAGCCCGAUUUAGUUUUUAAAAAAAUACUAAUAUUUUUACUUUCCUAAUUUUUUUAUUUUUUUUUGUAAUUUUCAAAUUAUUGGACCCUUUUAAGUUUGGGCAAUAAUUUUUACCAUUUUACUCUUCAAUAUACUUGUUUACGUACAUAAAAUUUUAAAAUUUUAUAUAAAUUUAACUCACUAUUUAUCAAUUUAUAUAAACUAUAUUUUAAAUGAGUACAAAAUUAAAAAAUUAAUUAUUAUGAUUUAUGAUUAAAUUAAAUUAUAUAUUUUAUGUUAUUAUAAACCAUUUCAUUAUAAUUAUAUUUUACGUAAAGUAUAAAUAUAUAAACGUCUAAGAAUAAAAAUAAAUCUUUGUAGAAAUAGAGUUAUUUUAAAAGUAGAAAAUAAGUAAGUAAGAUGAUAAAAUUCAGCUUUAAUCAACUGCAUUUUUUUAUCUUGAAAAUUUUGCGUGUUUUUCUUAACAUUUUUAUAUUUAAUGAAACAACACAUGCACAAUUAAUAAAUUUUCUACAUACGUUUUUUCUAAAAGAAAAUAUGAUACACGUGCAAUGCACGUACACUAUUAUAGUAUUUUUAAUAUAGCAAGGGUCUUCCCUCACUAAAGUAUAAAAUAAUAUUAUAUAUAUUUUUAAUAUAGCAAGGAACAUCCCUCACUACAUUAUAUUUUUGGGGAAAAUUGUGAUACCAAAAUAGAGAUGGUUGAGUGUCGGAGUCCUUCACUACUUUGUGAGGGUCUCCCUCACUAAUAAUUAGCAAGGCUCAAAUUAGCAAGACAUCUUGUAGCGGUUGCUGCCCUCACUAAAUCUUGAUUAGUGAGGGACGUCCCUCACUAAAUCACAUGGCUAAAACAAGACUUUUUAGUAGUGCCAUGAUCUUAAGCUUCUUCUCCAAAGGACAUCUCUCUCUUCCAAAUCCUUUUCAUCUUCUCUCGAAUAAAGUUGGUCAUAAAAUUAAUUCUACAAUGCCUGUAUCAAAUUCAGAUUUGGAUAAAGUAUCAAAGAAAAAUCAACUUGACUUUGGGCAGUAACAUAGUGAAUCUAUGCAACAAUUUAUAUCAUCUAUUCAUCUGGAGCAACAAAGUGAUACUGAUUUUCAUUGAUGGGUAUAGUUGGUAAAUAAAGAAGAUGAACAUCAGGAGGAUAAUAUUGGAAGGAAACUUAAAAGCUCAAGCUCUAAUUUUUCUCCCAAAUAAGUCUGCAAUUCAUAAUUAUUCAUCAAGUUGCAAGUAAACUUCAGGUGGUGUAUUAAAUUCCCUUUCUUCAAUUCAUACGACCAAAUAAUUGGUGGGAAGUGAUACAUUGUCUCCAAAGAGUUUUUAAAAUCUCCAAAAAACAAAAUGACAUAUUUGAGGAAAGUGAGUAUGAAGACAUGUUGGAUAUAUGCUUUGCAAGUGCCUCUAGGGAUGCUGAUAUCUCUCCUAGACAACAAAGAAAUAGAAAGAUCAAAAUAUAUCACGAUAGAAAUCUAAGUUGGGUUGAUAAGGUGACAGAGGAGAUUGUUCCAAGGCACCAUUGGCAAAGAAAAAUCAUGCAACAUUGUCAACAACUUUUAAGAAAACCCAACAUAUUCAAGAAGUGAUGAAUUUUCAAGUUAUUUUUAACAGGUUCGAAGAAGAAGGCAAGGAUUAAAUAUAUCAAUGUACUUUAGAUGGGCUAGCAUUCCUUUUUAGUUCAUACAUUUGUAAAAAGGAGUUCGUGAUUGAUAACUCAAACUUCUCAUUUAUUUUUAUAUUUUUUCAUUACUUAAGCAUCCUUCUUUGUAAUAUCAUCAUAGUGUAACAUAAACUCUAUGAUGAUCCUAGAAUAUCUAGUUCUCUCUAGUUUUUAUUUUUUGCACGUUUGUUAAUUAGUCGAGGUUUUGUUACCUCAUUAAGAAUGAUAAGGUAAGGUCUAGCCCCUUUUGCCUGUACUUUUCUCUUUUGAGGUUUAAUUUUAUUUUUUAUUUUUUUAAAAGGGUGGUUGAUAUCUUUUGGCAACCAAUGUCUUUUGAUAUAUUUAUGGUAUUUUUUGAUUUUUUCCCUUUUCUUAUUUGUGGCUAAAUUAAUAAAAAGUCUAUAACUAAUAUUUAAUAAAGAAUAGAUCUUAUUCGUCCAUCGUCUAUUUGAUGGAUGUACCAAAUUAAGUCUUAAUCUCUAUAAAUUGAUCCUCCCUCUGCUCAUUAGGCUUACCACGUAUUACCAAUACAAUUUCAUCACAGACGGAUCUGAUAGCGAUAAUCCAGUGGCAACUACUUAUUUUGGAAUGAUAGAUAAAGUUCGCCUGAUAUGCUGAUACUAGUUAGUCAGAUCAAUAAUAUUGCUAUCAAGAUUGUUGAUUUGCUAAAGUGUAAGGCUAUAAAGGUAACAUCUCUAAAAAUCUAUAUUAAACUUAUAAUCGUUGAUUCUCUGAUAUAAAUAAAUUAUAUGUGAUUUUCUUUCUAAAAGAUAUUUAAUUGAUAUGUUGAUAGUUUUUUCAUUGGAUAUUUUAACAUCGAUCUCUUUUAAAAUUUUAUUUUUAUCUUAUAAAUUUUGAAUUUCUCUUUAUCUAAUUGUCAUAACAUCAUUUCUAUGUUUGUUUAUGUUGUUUUACUAGUUAAAAUGAGUUUUAUAUGUUUAUAAAGAAUUGAAUUAGAUUCUUUACUUUUUAUCCUUACUAUAAGCAUGCCACUUACUCAAUUAGCUUUCCCCAUAGACUAGAGUAUGUGACUUUUCAGAGGAGGAGGAUAGUUUUAUCUUAAAAUUGGUAUCUUUCAAUUUUAUCAAAUCUCCUUGAAGGGACACUAUUUUAUUAAUUAUUUAAUCAACUUAAAAUCGUUUUACACUUGAUCUUUUAGUAGAAAAAGGGAAGAAUAAAUAAUUUUUACAAUAGGUCAAAGUGAUAUAGAAUCGGAGGAGAAAAUAAACUAAAUCUCUUAAGAAUAAUUUUUGAAGGUGCAGAUCUUUUGACUUUUACAAUUUGUCUACAAUUUUAAAAUGAUCGUUCGGAUGGUAGAGGCGAAACAAGAGUAGAAAAUAGAACGGGAAGAGAAAGAUCAAGAGAAACAUAGAUUUGAUUAUUAUUAUUAUUGAUCGCGAAAUAAUUUUUUUUUAAUCUUAUAUUAGUUGUAGAAAAAAAAGGAAGAAAAUAUCAUUUUCAUGAAAAAUAAUUUUCUUUUUAAUUGAAAUUUUCUUCUUAAUUUCGAGGAGUUUUUUCUUCCUCUCUAAUUUAACAUAUUAUUUUAUCAUGGGAAAUUAUUUUGACAUCUCACACAUCAUUCCUUCUAUUGUUAUAAAAUAAGAAAGAAUAAAGAAGAAGAGUAGAGAGAAUAGAGAGAGUGAUUCUUAUUUCUUCUCUUGAGAGAUGAGAGAUCAUAAGAUUGUAAAUACAAUUAACAAAACCUCUCUAUUUAUAGGAAAAAUUUACUCCUCGUCUGAGUAAAAGACGAAUGCUUUAAAUCUUAAUAGAUAUCAAAGUAGAUCUUGAUAGAUCUUGAUAGACAUUCACUAUAAUGUAAAUACAUUUAUAACACUCCCCCUUGAAUGUCUAAUUGGUAGAUAAUGUGCCUCCUGAAAACCUUACUAGAAAAAAUCCAGUAGGAAAAAAAUCUAGUGAAGGAAAAAGAGUACACAUCUCUAAUAAUACGCAUUUCGGCUUCCUCAUUAAAAACCUUACAAGGAAAACCCAGUGGGACAAAACCUCAUAAGGAAAAAAGAGUAUAGAGCGUAUUGACUCCCCCUAAUGAGAACAUCCUUGACCUUUGCAUCUCGAUCUUGUGCAACAUCUUCUUGAAAGUUGAAUUUGGAGAAGAUUUGGUGAAUAAAUCAGUCAAAUUGUCAGUUGAAUGAAUCUGUUUCAUUUUAAUAUCAUCAUUCUUUUGUAGCUCAUGUAUGUAGAAAAGCUUUAGCAAAAUGUGCUUCGUUCUAUCUCAAUUUAUGAAUCCUCCCUUAAGAUGUGGUAUGUAUGCUGAAUUAUCUCUGUAUAAAAUUGUGGGUAGAUUGUCAUAUUUCACACCACAUUUUUCUCGAAUGAGAUGUAUCAUGGACCUUAACUAUACACAUUCUUGGCUUGCUUCAUGAAUAGCUAUUAUCUCAGCAUGAUUUGAUGAAGUGUCUACGAUAGACUACUUUGUAUAUCUCUAAGAUAUGGUAGUACCACCACAUAUGAACGCAUAGCCUAUUUAAGAUCGAGAUUUAUGCGGGUCAGAUAAGUACCCAAUAUUAGCAUGACCAACAAGAUCGGGACUGCAAUCUUUAGAAUAAAAUAAGCUCAUAUUUUUUAUCCCAUUUUGAUGUCUCAUAGUAGGAGCAGAAAUAUACCUUGCUAACAAAUUCAAUGAAAAGGCUAUAGGCCUUGUAGUAUUUGAAAAGUACAUGAGUGCAUCAAUUGCACUAAGAUAUCGUACUUCAUAACCAAUCCAAUUCGAUAUAUUUCAAAUUUCAGCAAAUAAUCUAUUGCUUUGAAAAAUCUCCAAAAGUUCCAAUGAUGUUCAAGCAAUAAGUUUAUGCAGUAUAAUAAUUAUAAAUAAGUUUCCCAGAAACUUUUAUAUGCUUUAAGAAGUUUGAAUCCUUAAAAGUUUUCACAUAAGUUUUUUCAAGUGACAAUACUCAACAUUUCAUGAGUGACAUCUUCAACUAUCUGGACUGCAAAUCAAAUAAGUUUUACGUUACCAAAAUGCAUCCUUUCAUGUCACUUGAUAAAUGUUUUUGCAUCAGCAUGCUUAAAUAAAUGUGUAGACACCUAAUUUUGUCCCUUCCCGAUAUCGUUUUUACCCAUUUUUACUUUAUCCUACCGUGUACCCUCACCCAUGUAAUUAUACUCCACAAAAAUACAAAAAUAAAAAAAAUUCAAUAGAUCCCUAACUUUAUCCUAACAAACUUUAUCCUAAUCACCUACCCGUAACAACCUUUCUCUCACUACCCCUACACCGCAUACCCCAUGCCUUACACGUUUUCCCCAUUUCAACAAUACAAAAAAUUAUGAUUCAGAAAAAAGAAAAAAAAAGGAGGGACCCAUUCCAUUUUUCCCAAGAUUUCAUUCUCUUUUCCAUGCUCUUAUUCAUUUUAAUACAAUAGAGAAGACCAUAGAGAAAGGAGAUAGACAACAACAAUAAAGAGGGAAAGGGUCUAAAAAAAUAGGACCUGACUUUUUCUUUUGUUGAUACAUAUACCAUAUACAUACGCCAUUUUAGGGGGGAUUUUUCCUUUUUAUUCUUCACUAGUGAAACUCAUCCUCACCAACACACACACACUGAUACACCACGAUUCACAUGCACACACAGAGAUCGGAGGCAGGGGAGAAGGGAAGAUAACAACAUAUAUACACACACAGAAAAUCCAUUCCUGUUCCUCUCUUCUACACCCUCAUGAUUCACACAUGCACAAAUCCCAUUGAGAACCCAUUGAUUCUGGCUGGUCCUGAAUAUAAAAUAGUCUAUCUAUAUCAAAUCUUUGUCGUUCAUUCAACAUCAAGUUUCCAUCUCAUUGAAUUGUUUAGGUCUAGUUUUGGGUUUCGAGAUUGGUGUUCAUCUUUAGGAUAUUGAUUUGGGGGGGGGGGGUUUCUAUUUUAAGUGGUUGAUUCGGAGGUUUAUAUUGAGUUCAUGUUCUUGAAUUAAAAUUUGUUCGAAUCGGAAUUAGCGAUAUCGAGUUUGAUUUUUGUCAUUGUUGAGGCUCAAGUUGAGGUUCUUGGAAGUUGAUUUUCUUAUAAUAUUCUUCAAAAAGUUCCGAAUCAGGUCUAUUUCUAACCUCUACUAUCUUAUUUCUUUGUUUACGAUAUCCGAUAUUAUGGAUGGAAUGCUUUGGUUGAUGAUAUGAUCUUGAUUGUGUGGUUGAGCAAGUUUGAUUUGUUUUGGGUGAUUCUAUGUUGACAUUGGUUAAUUAAUCAGGAAUGAUUUAUUGUUUGAGCAUGUUCGAAUCUUUGCUAUGGGUUAGUUGAUAUUGGAUUUGUAUGUGAGAAAUUGAAUUGAUAAUCAAAGAAUUAGUCAAUUAUUUGGGGAUAGAAUUGAUAAAUUGAUUAAAAAAAAAUUGAAUUUAGAUUAACUUUGGUUUAUUGUUGUUUUGUUCAAUUUGUAAUGAGCAUGAAUAUUGUUUUGAACAUGAUUGAAUUAUGAUAUGUUAAAAUGGAUAGGCGAAUGUAGAUUCGGGUAGGCAAAAUUUAGGAAUAAGUUUUCUUGUUGAAUGUUUGAAUGUGGAAUUUGAGUUGAAUGGUUUGGUUUUAGUUCUUGCAUUUGGAAAUGUAUUCAUUUAAUUGGGGAAUGCCCCGCGAUCACUUAUAUUUAUUCGCUGGGGAAUGUCCCGAAGUAUUUUAUAUUUGGAGGACGUCCGUGAUGAAGGUCCGAGGCAUCGGGUAGCAUGGGAGCGUAGAAUAAAAUUAGUGUAGGGUAGAAUAGGAUUUACAUUUUUGCAUUCUUUUUCUAUUUUGGAACUGUAUAAUUGGACUGAACACUAAAUUUUGGAUUAUUUUGUUUGGUUUUGCAUGAUUGAUUGUUGUGCGUGCUUUAUGUGGUUUAUACAUUCGUAGUGUCAAAUUAGCCGAUAUGCUCCACCAAGCGACCGUGGUCGAGCCACGGGAUCGAGGGGUGCCUAACACCUUCCCUCGGUCAACAGAAUUGCUUAGCUGGAAUCUCUGUUCAUGGAUCAGUUUUAGAGUCAAAACCAUUUGGAAAGGAUUUUCCAAAGGUGACUUGGCACACUGGAUUAUGUCAAGUGGUUACUCUGAGUUUUGAAUAUAAAAGGUCCUUUUUGAAACAAAUUUUUAUCUUUUGUCACUUUAAUAAUAAAACCCUUUCAAACCAUAAAAUGAAUCUUUUGGAGUUAAAAAGGGGUGUGACAGCUCUGGCAACUCGGUCAAGGAAUCUUUCAGAAUUUGAGCUUGUUUAAGAGUUGUAUCGGCUUAGUUUGGCACUAUAGGUGUAUAGACAUUUUGUUUGUGCUAUUUUGUGUUAUUAUUUAUCGUUGUUGAGUGCCUACGUGCUCUUUGUUUACAGUUUUUACUUUAUGUGUUACUGCUUUAUAUCUGGCAUCAUGUGCAUAACCUGAGUCUUUCUUUCUACAACAAGUCUGUAGUACACGUGUGUACACGACCUAUAGUUGAGUCACCCUUAUUUUAGGACGGGGAGCCGUUAGGUUGUAUGAAGUUGGUGGACAGCUAAAGCAAUCCACUAUUGACCAUACGCUCUCCCGAACAACCUUGUUAGUGGACCCCAGCAUAGGUCGGCUUUUAGUUCAUGCUUAUCUGUAUCAUAUUGAGACCUAACGGGUCCCAUGCGGCCCUUUGUAGGAGACUCACCUCUAAAGCAUCCCUACGUGCUAAAUGUUGCUUCUUUAAGGGUAACGUGGUCAUUUGACGAACUGAGUUGGGGAAAGCAUGCGUUAGAAGUAAAGGGCGUAGGCAAGAAUUAUUGAAAAAAUAGAAGAACAAGUGAGUCGAAAAGAAAAAAAAAGAGUUUCAUAGUUGUCAGAGUUUUUUAUGGCUUUUGUUUUUCACAAUUCAAAAAUUUAAAAAGAUUUUUUUUACCUUUCGCACUCAUUUUCUCAAAAACAUCAAAAAGAUUUUCCUUUGUCUCAUUUAGCAUGCAUUAACAAUUCGAAAACUUCAAAAAAAAAAAUUCGUUCAUAGGAAUUUUUAUAAAAGAAAAAUGCAAAAAAAAAGAUGUUAGAAAUUUUUUACAUUUCGUAUAACGAAAAUACCAAAAAGAUUUUUCUUUCAUAGUUGUUGAUGUCAUUUUUGUAUGAAGUGUCAAAUUGAAAAAUCAAACAAAAAUAAAAAAAAAAUUGUUAUGUUGUUCAUCGUGUGUGUUUGGUCGUGUCUCAAGUCAGGGUGCAAUCUGUUAUUUAAUCAUUAAUUAUCCAAUCUGGACGAACUACGCAUCCUUGAUUCUCCUCUCGGGAGUGAGAUACGUAGGCAGCCUAUUUUGGGUUCGGGGAUCUUAUUUGAAAAAUCCAAAAAAAGAUUUUCUUCACUUCUCCUUUAAAGUUGGUGUUUCCUAUACAUCUUUAAAAGAAAAUUACCAAAAGAUUUUUUGUUAAUAGCUUCAAGUAUCAUUUUCGUAUGAAAUUCAAAAAUUGAAAACCCAAAAAGAUUUUUCUUUAGUAAUCAUAGGUUUCGUUUGGUAUAGGGAGUUUAAACCUAAAAAAUGCACAAAGAUUUUCGUCAAUUUUUUUGACAAUUUGUUAUUUUUGAAGUUCUAAAAAAAAAGGAAAAAGAGUUUAAUUGGUUAUUUUGGCAAGACUUCACGAACUACGCACACCUGACUCUCCUCUCUCGGGGGCGAGAUACGUAGGCGCCCUUCUUGAGUUCGGUGAUCUUUUUUAAAAGAAAAAAAGGUUUUGAAGAAAAAAUGUUGAACUCUAACAUAUUUGUUGCCUCUUGUUCAGUUUGUUUAAGGUGGUUGGUUUGUGGCUUCCUGGCUGGUCCUCCAUAUCACACCAAAUUCAAGGAAGGUUUGGUUGUGUCCAACAAGGAUAUAGAGAGUGGCAUCAUGGAUGAAACAAAGAGUCAGGAAAUUGAGAGUUUAAAGGAAGAGAAUUUGAGACUGAGACAGCAAAUGAUGGAAAUGUACCGAGCUUGGGCCAGUGGGCUACCUGCACCUCAGUUCCCCACUUUUGACCUUGCAAAUACCUUGAAUCGUCCACCAAAAUAGCAAAGUCAGCUUCUUACCAUGGUUGAUGCAGCACAGCAUGCCUCAGAAUCUAUUCCACGUCAAAUUCACCUCAAUACUUCCACCACUCUUUCUUUAGCUCCUCAGUAUAAGUCUAGCACAUUCACAUCACCACAUACCAUUUGUGCUUUUGUUGCUCAACCUUCUACUAAUGCUUCCACUUUGGAUAUCAAUCUAACAAUUGUGCUUCCCCAGUCCACUAGUGAAUCCACGUUCAAUACUUAUGAUGAUCAUUGUUAUACUCUUGAGCCUACAGUGAAGUUAAGUGGACCGCCAAAAUUUCUUGCUAAGAAGCCUAACAUGCUAGAAGACCCAGAGAAAAUGGUUGGGAAAGUUAAGAGUGUAGAAAAUGAUAUGAAAAGUUCCUUGGGACUUGUGGUCUAUGAGGAUGUUUCAUAUAAAAACUGGGGCAUGUUUUCAAGUAUUAACCUUCCUCUAAACUUAGAGACAUCAAAAUUUGAGGAGCUUGGUAGACAGAAUGCUUCUGUAAAAUAUUUGGGACGAUAUUGCAAUCAUUCAAGGGAAAUUAAAGGAAAGAAGAAGGAAAACACAUAUGUUGUCGUGCCUCAAUCCUAAGCUUACAUAUCAAAUCCACUUAUUCAUCUGCAACAAGGUUCCUCUUUUAAAAAUCCAAGGAGUUCCAUUCCAUUUCCUCAAUGUCCUUUGAACAAUGCACAAUUGUGUAUCCAUCCAUUUUUUUAUCCACAAUGACAUGCACCUGUCCCUUAACAUCAUCCUCGACCCCCACAAAUUUACCAAGAAACCUCUAAAUUCAAGUUUCAUCUGAGGCCAGAGUUCACAAAGUCAAGGAAGGAAAAGGAUAAUUUCACUCCUAUUGGGGAGUCCUAUGCCAGUUUUUCCAGAGAUUGAGACAUAGGGGCAUGAUUACUCAUCUCCUUGGGUAUAUACCUGAUCCACAUUCAAGAAAUUAUGAUCCUAAUGUUUGGUGUGCAUAUUAUUAUAAUGUUCUGGGUCAUAGUAUUGAAGAUUGUCAUACUUUGAAAAGAGAAAUAGAAAAGAUAAUUCAAGAUAAGUUGAUUGUGGUGCAAAACAUUGGCCCCUCGACCACCCCACAGAGUUCUUCACCAGCAUGCAGUACUGCAUAAUAUGUGGGAGGAAAUGAGUUAAGCAUGGGGAUCCAAAACUUAUUUGUUGAAGAAAAUAUAUCUGACAGUGGUGGAAGCUCUAGUCAUGUUGAUAUGCAAAUCAGUGGCUAAUAUGUCAGGCUGAGCAAUUAAGAAGUCAUCCCUCUCCCUACUAGGAAGAGGUCUGGUAGUUUGUUUCAUUUUCUUUUCUGCUAUCUGAAUUAUUUCAGGAUGGUAUUUUGGGAUCUACCUUGUUUUGUCCCUUUUGUCAUUUAUGGUCAAACCUUUUCUAUCUUAUAUUUCAACUAAAUAGAGUGUCCCUUUAUCCUUUGUGUUUAAAUAUAUGUUAUUUGUUUGUUUUCUUUACAUCGUACAUUUUAUGUUGGCUUUAGUGAUAUGACAUGAUGGUGGAAUUCUUCGCUAGAUCUUAAAAUCCAAUUUGAGCAUGAACUUUGAAUCAGAGGGCUAAAGUUAGAAAAAGAAUGCGAGAAAUAGGUAGCGUGUUAAGACAUUUGGUGACCAUGUUGAAACCUUCUUUCAAAAUUAAGGCAAUUGUUUUGAGAAUCACCCGAAUAACUUAGUCAUUAAUUGUAAGGCAUGCUUCAAUUAGGUCAAACAGUGGAUGUGUGAUCCUAUAUCAAGAGGAACAGAAAGAAAAUCAGCUCCACGAAAUCAUGAGUCAUUCAAUGUAAGAAAUGUACAACAAAAGUGGAGUUGUAUGCUAGAAAAGCACAGAAGAAGUAGUGACGCACAGACUCAGUCAAAGUUAAUGUUGUAAAAGAUGUCUCACAUGAUCUUCAUUUCCAACUUUCAAACUACAAGUUAUGUACUUGCAUUCUCAAAGAUUGAUAUGACGAAGGCAUUUCAUUCUGUUAUCCAAAUAUUGUGUCAUCCUUUGUUUAUCCCAUUUGAGCCUUAGUUUUAUUUUAUUUCAUGCACCUCUUUUGGAAUCAAUAUAGAGUCAACAAAUCUCAAAAGAAAAGGUGUCGAGCAAAAUAGUAGAGUUAGAAAAGUUUCAAAAAGAGAAAAGAGAAAAAGAAGAAAAAAAAAAAUAAAGUCAGAAAAGUCCCAAAGAGAAAAAGAGUCAACAAAAGAAAAAAAUCAGAAUCAAGCAAAAGAACAAGCUUCCAGAACUAUGCAUGACCUGAUUCUUCUCUCUUGCGGAUGAGAUACGUAGGCUGCCCUACUCUGGGCUAGGUCCAACCAAAUAAAUAAAUUUAGAAUUGCCCAGUCAAAAGAAACUGGGGAAUGAGUUAAUCCUCAUUAUUUGAGUCAAUUCCAAAAGUUGAAAGUCCCACCCUACUUCAAGUGUUGUUUGGUCCUCAUACGAUCCUUUCUUUCUAGCCGUAUCCAAAAGCCAAGUUACAACCAAAGAAAUACCUUCAGAUCAAUCUUUGAGAAUGCUCAGGCUAAGCAUGCAAUGGAUAUGGAUAACACAUUUUGGGAACUACUUGUCUGCCUCAGCAUAAGAAAUCAAGAGAGAAAUGAAAAUAAGAGAGUUUUAUCGAUGAAAACCCUCACGGGCACUGUAAGACGACGGUGAGUUGAGAUAAAUAAAAAUAAGAGAGUCUUAUCGGUGAAAACCCUCAUGGGCACUGUGAGACGACUGUGAGUUAAGAAAAAUGAAAAUAAGACUCUUAUUGGUAAAAAACCCUGUCGGAUACUAUAAGGCAAUGGUAAGGUGAUAAAAGAAAAUGAGAUAGGAUUGUUGUCUAAAACCCUUCAAGGCGCCACUAGCCGAAUGAGGUCUCCAAAUACUAUUGACCUAAGGAAGAAACUCAGUUUCAAGGCCAUUAAUUCAACAACAAUGGGUAGAAAGUUUGGAUGAAAAGAUCAAGCUGCUUAAUCCGAAAUGCAUGUCAUAAUCAUUAGAGUUGACUAUCAUUUUCAGAUAAACUUUUCUUUCAUCUUUUUCAAUAGGGACAUUCAUUAUCAUUUCUUUUUUUUUUCUAUAGUUAUAUUUUUAUUUUUCUUGAGUCAGUUAUCCAAAUAAAAUCAUUGUCAUUUUUAUCUUGUCUUUAAGUCAAGUCUAUGUCAAAACAAGUGAGAAAAAAUUUCAAAACUGGCUACCAACUUCUUUAAUUGUACAAAGCAAGGCAGAAAAGCCAAUGCAUGAAAGAUACAUGGCUGUGAGCAAAAAUGAGGAAAACAGAAAGUUUUGUCAACAAAUAAGUCUGGGAACUCAUGAAAUACAAAGGUUCCAAGGGGUCUAUCUGAGAAGCAUGGCAAAGCAGAGAUGCUGUGUUUGUCUCAGUCACUAUUAAUAAUCUGAAUUUGGUCAAUGAAGUAGAAAUUCAAUGACACAAGCUAAUGGUUGGAAGCACGGUUAAAUGUGAUGACGGCAAGAGCAUUUGCUACAAAAUCCAAAGCCACAAACCAGCAACCAUGUUUUUAAACUCACAACCUUUCUUUGCAUGAAACAGGAACACAUGUUACCUUCAAAUCAAGGAUUUCAAAACCUAAACAUCAAGGCCCGUAAUUUCUCACUUUUACAAAUGCAGGAAGCAAUGUUGUUGCACAGGUUUGAUAGUUAAAUCAUGGUAAAAAUUCAUCAACUUAUAUCCCUCAGAGACACACUUUAUUGUCCAGGGAUUUCAGUUUUUAUUUGUUGGGUGAUACACUUAUUAAAUUAAACCUUCACUCCUAGAAGACGUACCUUCUAGUCGAGUCAUUCCCCUUUGGCCCCUAUAAAAUGUACCUUUUAGUCGAGUCAUUCCCUUUGAUUCCUAUAAGACGUACCUUUAAGUAAAGUCAUUCCCUUGACCCCUAGAAGUCGUAACUUUUAGUCGAGGCAUUUUCUUUGAUUCCUAUAAGACGUACCUUUUAGUUGAGUCAUUCCCUUGACCCCUAGAAGAUGCGCCUUUUAUUCGAUUUAUUUCCUUUGAUUUCUAUAAUACAUAACUUUUAGUCGAGUCAUUCCCUUGACCCCUAGAAUACAUACCUUUUAGUCGAGUUAUUCCCUUGACCCCUAGAAGAUGUACAUUUUAGUCGAGUCAUUUCCUUUGAUUCCAAUAAGACGUACCUUUUAGUCGAGUUAUUCCCUUGACCCCUAGAAGACGUACCUUUUAGUAGAGUCAUUCCCCUUGAUUCCUAUAAGACGUACCUUUUAGUCGAGUCAUUUCCCUUGAUCCCUAGAAGACGUACCUUUUAGUCAAGUCAUUUCCCCUUGAUUUUUCUAAGACGUACCUUUUAGUUGAGUUAUCUCCCUUGAUUCCUAUAAGACAUACCUUUUAGUCGAGUCAUUCUCCUUGACCCCACGAAGACUUACCUAUUAGUCGAAUCAAUUCCUUUGAUUCCUAUCAGACGCACCUUAUAGUCGAGUCAUUCACCUUGAUUCCUAUAAUGAUGUGAAUUUCGCAAAAAUCCUUUGAUGAUAAACUGGGGCAAAAUUUAAUUCUUGUGUUGGAACUUCACUUUCCUGGCAUAGGAAAUUUAUUUAUAAUAAUCUUUGUUUGAGAUAAUUUUCUUUUUAGUUUUGAUGUGAUUUCAGGAGCCCGCCUGAAGAGCAGGGCGAAUAAAUAAAAAGUCAAGCAACAUGGUAAAGAAGUUGAAAGUCAAGAAACAUGGUGAAAAUUUGAAAUUUAACAGAUUGAUGAAAUAGCAAGUUCGGAGCCCGCCUGAAGAGCAGGGUGAUAGAAUUGCAAGUCAGGAGCCCGCCUGAAGAACACAGUGAUGAAAUUGCAAGACAGGAGCCCACCUGAAGAACAGGCUGAUGAAAUGGCAUGUUAGGAGCCCGCCCGAAGUAUAGGGCAAAUAAAUGGAAUGUUAAGCAACAAGGUGAAGAAAUUGAAGACCAAGUAACAAGUGAUGAAAAUGCAAGUUAGGAGCCCUCCUGAAGAAUAGGGUGAUGAAAAUUAAGUCAGAAGUACAACAGAAGCUGUAUAGAUAAGAUUUUGUAACUUAAUUUAUAUUUUAUUUAUAAUUUUCAUUUUGAUGUAAUGACAGAGUCAUGGAACGGAACCUCGAUAGAACCUCACUCGACUCUCCAACUCGGUAUAGUCCAUUUCCUUCCAAUCCUUUGAGACACCGUCACUUGAUUCCUCCAUAACUUGGGUGGGUAGGAUGGCUUAAGUCAGAACUCGGUUGUUCUUCUUCUUUCUGUUUCUUCCUUUAAAUAAUGGUCGGGAUAAAACUCUAUUCUCGUUCCUCUCUUCUACACCCUAAUGAUUCACACACGCAUAGAUCCCAUUGAGAACCCAUUGAUUUCGGAUGGUCCUAAACAGAAAACUGUCCAUCUAUAUCAAAUCUUCAUCAUCCGUUCAAUAUCAGGUUUCCAUCUCAUCGAAUUGUUUAGGUCUGGUUUUGGGUUUCGUGAUUGGUGUUCAUCUUUGGUUCUCAGUUUGGGGGGGGGGGGUUGUUAUCUCUGUUUUAAGUGGUUGAUUCGGAGGUGUAUAUUGAGUUCGUGUUCUUAAAUUAAAAUUUGUUUGAAUCAAAAUUUGCGAUAUCGAGUUGGAUUUUUGUCAUUGUUGAGGCUCAAGUUGAGGUUCUCGGAAGUGGAUUUUCUUAUAAUAUUCUUCGAAAAGUUCUGAAUCAGGUCCAUUUCUAACCUGUACUAUCUUAAUUCUUUGUUUAUGAUAUCCGAUAUUAUGGACGGAAUGCUUUGGUUGAUGAUAUGAUCUUGAUUGUGUGGUUGAGCAAGUUUGAUUUAUUUUGGGUGAUUCUAUGUUGAAGUUGGUUAAUUAAUCGGGAAUGAUUUGUUGUUUGAGCAUGUUCGAAUCUUUGCUAUGGGUUAGUAGACGUUGGAUUUGGAUGUGAGAAAUUGAAUUGAUAAUCAAAGAAUUAGUCAAUUAUUUGGGGAUGGAAUUGAUAAAUUGAUAAAAAAGUUGAAUUUAGAUUAACUUUGGUUUAUUUUUGUUUUGUUCAAUUUGUAAUGAGCAUGAAUAUUGUUUUGAACAUGAUAGAAUUAUGAUAUGUUGAAAUGGAUAGGCGAAUAUAGGUUCGGGUAGGCAAAAUUUAGGAAUAAGUUUUCUUGUUGAAUGUUUGAAUGUGGAAUUUGAGUUGAAUGGUUUGGUUUUAGUUCUUGAAUUUGGAAAUGUAUUCAUUUAAUCGGGGAAUGCUCCGCGAUCACUUGUAUUUAUUCGCCGGGGAAUGCCCCGAAGUAUUUUGUAUUUGGAGGACAUCCGUAAUGAAGGCCCGAGGCAUCGGGUAGCAUGGGUGCGUUGUAUAAAAUUAGUGUAGGGUAGAAUAGGAUUUACAUUUUCGCAUUCUUUUUCUAUUUUGGGACUGUAUAAUUGGACUGAACACUAAAUUUUAGAUUAUUUUGUUUGGUUUAUCUUGAUUGAUUGUUGUGCGUGCUUUGUGUGGUUUAUACAUUCGUAGUGCCAAAUUAACCGAUAUGCUCCACCAAGAGACCGUGGUUGAGCCAUGGGAUCGAGUGGUUCCUAACACCUUCCUCUCGGUCAACAGAAUUCCUUAGCCGGAAUCUUUGUUCGCGGAUCAGUUUUAGAGUCAAAACCAUUUUGAAAAUGAUUUUCCAAAGGUGACUUGACACUCCAUAUUAUGUCAAGUGGAGGCUCUGAGUUUGGAAUAUAAAAGGUCCUUUUCGAAACAAAUUUUCAUAUUUUGUCACUUUAAUAAUAUAACCCUUUCAAACCAUAAAAUGAAUCUUUUGGAGUUAAAAAGGGGUGUGCCAAAACAUAGAAUUCAAAUCCUCGUAAUAUUUCACAAUAUUUUGUCAAUAUUGUGUCAAAGAUAUUGAUGAUAUACCAUUUUGUAUCGGUUCACAAUGUGACAUAACAUUUUGAGACCUCAUCACUUCAUUAUUUUCAGGUAUAUGAACCUCUCAUAAGGUUUCAUGAAGUGUUUUGUCGUAGGCUCUUCAAGAGCUCAUUGCCUUCUUAUUAUGAUUAUUUGAUUCUUAUUUUUCAUGAAUUAUUUCAUUUGGAACCGAUUGUUCUACCAUGCUUCAUGAAUGUGUAGACUUUGUCCUUUAAGGGAACAAAAUAGGAGCAGUUGCAGCUUAAAUAUGAGAAGGGUUCGGCAUUUGACUAGAAUUAUCUUUUGAAUAAGGAUCUGAUGAUAAUUCCUAACAUAUUUCAUAGCUGCUUAUAAUCUCCCCCUUAUGUUAGGAAAACUAACAUACAUCCUUUGUCUUCUUUGAGAAAUCCAUCUUUGUGCAUCAUGGUAUAUUCAUUAAUCGUAUACCGCACAUUAACUAUUAGAUGGACAACGUGUGAUUCCUGACUUAGAAUCAACUUUGAGGGAAAAAUAAUCAUAAUUUAUUGGUUUGAUGCAUACAAUUACUUUUGUAUAUAAUAUUCAAAACCAAUACAUGAAGCUUUUUAUUCUCAAUGGUUUAACUAUUUACUGAAAGCAUUUAAUGCCAAACCAUUUUCAUCAAGAUGAAUUGUCUUGAUUGCACAAUCUGAAAGUUAUGCUCUUAACUCAAUUUCAUUGAGCAAGAAACUUUAUGAAUGUCAGACUACAGGUUGACAAUAAACACACAUGUGAUCAUCUUAUAUUGAUGCAUCUUAAUUAAUCACAUGACUGGUGAAUUGGUGAUACAAGACAGCUCAAGAACACAAGAAAAUAAACACCAAAACAGUCCACUAGUUCAAGGAACUAUGGAACUCUUUUGGUGACCCCUCUCGGAUUCAAGAACACAACAAGAACACCAUGUAAUAAAGUGUUUAACCCCUAAUUUUCAGCAGCAAACCAAACUAUAUUAUGAAAAUAAAAAUGAAGAACAACAAUGUUACAACCACAAUAACCAAGCGGCUUGAACAACAACAACACAAACUACAAGAUUAGGACAAGAAACACAGAUAGAUAGUUAGACAAGUGUUGAUGUAGUCUUAACAACCCAAGAACAUAUUCACUCUUGGACCUUCAAUAUUUCAUACAAUAAACACCUGACUCUUACAAUGACACAAGAUGGGCAUCCACCUCUCAAAGCACCAAAGUCUCAAGCUUUACAACACACAAGAGAAUCCACCCUUAUGCUAUGCCCUAAUUUCAGUUUUGAGAACUCUCUCUCACAAGAGUAGUGUCUUCAAUAUCAAGCAUUAACUAAGAAAAUAAACCCUACAAGUUUCUAUUUAUACAACGUUACAAAUAAUAGAGAAAUUACAAAAGAUCCCUUUAGUGACUAGUCUUCAAAAAUACUCAAAAGUGUCAUGAUCAUGUCAUACUUGUAUCAUCCUCUCCAUCUUGAAAUGAAUUUGACCACAAAUUCAUGGGCUCACCUCUUUUACAAAGGCACUUCACAAUCUCCUUCUUCUGUCCACACAUCUUAUCCAUACUCUUCAUUUUGCACUUCGGUUUCUUUUUGCUCUCCAUCUUACGGUUUGUCAUCAUUCUUAACCGAUUCAAUGCCCACAUCUUCUCCAAGAUAGUACAAUCUACCCUCCGCCCCUAAGGAUCAUAUUCCGCUGGUUUAGGCACUCACUAGCCUUGUGCCCCCACCCUUUGACACUUGAAGCAUUGAAACCCCUUGGGAUUGGAAGUAGAAUUCAAUUUACCUUCAUACCUUGUAGAAUGGUUUUGGAAACCCUUAGUGGCCUCGGGUUGGGUAGCCAUGAAUGAGUUCUCUUUUAGCUCCAUCUCAACCUCUAAAUCUACGUGGAAGAUUCCAUCUAUGGUGUCAAAUUUUUGAAGCGUCAUGCGAGUGGAGAUGUCCUUGUUUAACCCAACCUUGAAGCGCACAAUGUCAUGACUUACUUGCUCGCCUCGGUGGUCAAGUUUUAACAUGAAUUGUUGAAAUUCAUCAUAGUAAGCCAUGACAUUCUUGCUCCCUUGCCUCAAUUAUACAAUUUGGCAAGAAUAUCAUGCCUAUAAGUCUCGGGAAAGUACCAUUUCCACAUAAGGUUCUUCAACCGAAACCAAGGAGGAGGUUAUCCUCCAAUCAUCUCAUUCUCAAACCGUUUAACAUACUCCCACCAUGUAUUAGCAUACCCUUCAAAUUGAGCUAUAGCAUAGCAACUUUUCCUUUCUUCAGUGAGAUCAUUAAGUUGGAAGAUCUUGCCACAAGAUGACUCCUAUGCAAGGUAGGCUUCAGGAUCACUCUUACCUUUGAAAACGGGAAGGCUCACUUUGAUGGAAUUAAGACCUACAUCUCGAUUUAGAUGGACAUAUUUCACCUCUCGGUAUAAAUCCCCACGUCUACCCCUCAUUCUUUAUUCACUCAAGUAAACAUCAUCAUACGGACCAUAACCACCAUGUUGUUCUCCCCUACCAUAGCCCUCAAUAUGGAUGGGUUUAUUUGGGUUAAGUGGAGCUUGUAGUGGUGGGAUUGGAUUUGGAUAGUGAGGUCUUUGGUCAAGCAGAGUUUGGAUGAGAGGGUUCGGGUUUGGUGGUGGUAUUUGGGUUCCAAUUCCUUCUUGUUAUACUUGGUGGAGUGGAGGAUGGUUUGGUCUAUCUUGUUCUUGACUUUGGGAGUAGAGAUUGGUUGGAUUUAUGGCAAUUGGUGGAUAUAGUAUUUGGUGCAUGGUCCGGGGAGUAUUAGUUGGGGAAUUGUUUUGAGGUUUGGAAGGUCGAAUCCUUUGGAUUUCCACACGUUCUAAUCUCCCACUUAUUGAUGCCAAAUCCGUAUCUAAUUUCUCAAGACCCACAUUCAACCUAGCCACAUCUCGGGACAUAUUUUCAAGGCGAGCCAAAAUUAGAUUGAUGGCAUUAUUAUCCAUUGUUUGAGCAUUUGAAGCCUCGGUUUCCAUCGUGGUUAUACCAAAAAUAACCCUUCAAGUUACGGUCCAACAAGACACCCAAUCAGUCCACAACGCCACACACAACAAUACAAUACAAAUUCCACAAAACAAAAUACACAUGAGUUCAAAACAACCUCCCACAAUGAGAUCCCACCUUUAGGUUUCUUUAAACUCAAGCUUAACAGUGGUGGAUGACUCAAAUAACCUUCAAUUUAGCUCAAAUUCUAACCUUAUACUCCUAUAGUAUUAGAGAACACAAAUCUAACACUAAAAACACAAGAAAAACACAAAAUCAAAAACUCAAAAUUUGACCUAGGGUCAAAAACGGGUUUAGUUUUAUUUGGGUAGGGGGAUUUUCUAUUUUGACACUUCUUUUUUGUUGGGAUUUUCAAUUUCUAGACUCUAAUAGUGUUAGGGAACAAGGAUAUAACACUAGAAACACACAAAAAUCAUGUUUUUUUGAAAGACCCUAAAAACGUGAACAUUAACUUUUUUUUCUUUUUCUUUCUUUUCACUUUUUUUUUAAUUUUCAAGAUAACAAUCCCAAGAUUGAUUUUUUUUUUUUGGAACAAAAUCAAACCUUUCUUUGAUACCAAAUGAUACGAGACAUCCCAAGAACACAAGAAAACAAACACCAAAAUAGUUUACUAGUUCAAGGAACUAUGGACGUCCUUUGGUGACCCCUCUCGGAUUCAAGAUUACAAUAAGAACACCAUGUAAUGUGGUGUUUAACCCCAAAUUUCCAUCAGCAAACCAAACUAUAUUAUGACAAUAAAAAUAAAGAACAACAAUGUUACAACCAAAAUUACCAAACUUCUUGAACAACAACACAAACUACAAGAUUAGGACAAGAAACAAAGAUAGAUAGUUAGACAAGUGUUGAUGUAGUCUUAAUAACCCAAGAGCAUAUUCACUCUUCGACCUUCAACACUUCAUAAAAAAAAUACCUAACUCUUACAAUGACACAAGAGGGGCAUCCACCUCUCAAAGCACCAAAGUCUCAAGCUUUGCGAUACACAAGACAAUCCACCCUUAUGCUAUGCCCUAAUUUCAGUUUUGAGAACUCUCUCUCACAAGAGUAGUGUCUUCAAUAUCAAGCAUAAACUACAAAAAUAAACCCUACAAGGUUCUAUUUAUACAACAUUACAAAUAAUAGAGAAAUGAUAAAAGAGCCCUUUAGUGACUAGUCUUCAAAAAUAUUCAAAAGUGUUAUGAUCAUGAUCAUACUUGUAUCAAUGGGCCCAUAUUCACCUUUUAUACUUUUCAGAUUUUAAGGGAUCCAAUCCCAAUAUUAGUUGGUCCAACGAACUUUUCAUGAGAACAAGCAACAUUAAAGUUCAUGAAGAAUUUUCGAAUUCUUCAAUAUAUGUUCAAUAUUCAGUAGGCACAUGUCGACUUUUCAUGUCAAUUUAUGAUCUUUUAUUCUAGUAAACUCUAAGUUUACCUUGACAUGCACCUUUUACUUUAGUAAAUUUCAGAUUUACUACUUCAGAAGUAGAUUUUAAAAUAACUUUUCUCAAUUAUUCAGCCUCUUUCGGAGUGAGUUGUGAUACCAUCACAAUCAAGUACACGUUUGCAUUAAUAAGCUUCUCAUUCCCCAGGAAUAGAAUAUAAUCAUGUCUUAAGCGUAUCAAAUUAUGAUAGCUACUACAAAUGUAAAUUAAGACAUACAUAUGAUUUAUUGCUACCACAUUCAAUUCAAGGAAUGGAUCAUAUUUAAUAGGACAUGUUUCACCAAAUAUCCAUUAUUUUUGCCUUAGCCAUCAUAAUAUCAUUAAUAUGGUGCAUUGAGAUUCAAACUCAAUGUCUUAUCCAUAUAAAGGCGUCUUAGGCAUAAAUCGCUGGGACUUGAACCCGACAUAUUAUCAUCUCUUUUGAUAAUAUUAUUCUUGAGGAAUAAAUUUAAAACAUAAUGGUUCCAAACCAAAUAUUUUUCCUCAAAUCCAACAAUACUUAUAUUAUUAGUAACAAAAGACAGAUAACAUAAGGAAUUACUAACCUUGAAAUCCUUUAGAUUUAUAAUCUCACCUAUUUGGCAGAGUCUCGUGCUGAUAACGUGUUACAAAAUAAUAAAGGACAAAGAAAAAGAGUAGAGAGAGAAGAGAGAGUAAUUCUUAUUACUUCUUGAGGGAUGAGAGAUCAUAAGAUUGUAAAUACAAUGAACAAAACCCCUCUAUUUAUAGGAGAAAUUUACUCCUAGUCUGAGUAAAAGACGGAUGUUUCAAAUCCUAAUAGAUAUCAAAGUAGAUCUUGAUAGACAUUCACUAUAAUGUAAAUUCAUUUAUAAUAUCGAUAAUGUUUUGAAUUUAUUAUUUUCCUUCCUUAUAUAUUAAAAUUUCAAUAAACUCUAAUAUUUUCAUUAAUUUUUAUUUAAUAUUUUAUCUUCAGUAAAAAUAAGUAUAUCCAAUUUUACUCAAUAUUCUCUAUUAGAUUGUCUAGAAUGAAUAGAUAAGCUGGUAAUUUGAUGAAGAUAAGUAACACAACCACUAAAGGAUGUGUAGCGAAUGUGGCUGCUUCUUUCUUAACUAAAGGUCUCAGAUUUGAUUCUUGAUAGGGAGUUCUUCCUCUAAAUGAACCUCAUGCACAUGAAUCUAGAUUAAUCGGGUUCUAAUAUAGAUGUCAAACACCAGAUUAAAAAUAAAAAGAAAAAAAAACAAAAGUAAUACACAUACACAAUAAAGGAAGCAAUAUCGUUAGUUUUGUUUUAUUUUAAUUUUGAGUAUUUUGAUUUUAAUUUUUAAUUUUAUAUUAUAAACAUGACAUUUUAAUCAAUACAAUUCAAAUUAUUUUUACUUUUCCAUUUAAACAUAAUAACAAUAAUAACUUAAAAUACAUAUUCAUGUUUAAGUUUAUUUAAAUAAUCAAAUACUGUGAAAGUAUGAUUUCAUUAUGAUAGGAUAUUUUAAUUUAAAUUUGAAUUUACUUUGUUGAUAUCAAAAAGCUGAAUUGACCUUUUUUUCUCAAAUUUCUUGUUUUAAAUAAUUUUCAAACUUGAAAUGCUUUUACUAUUCUAUAUAAUAGAUUCAACUAUUCAUUCUAAAUAUACGUUACUUAAUUUUUUAUAUAAAUAUGCAUAAAAUUUGUAAAUAUUGAUUAUAGUAUAAGUUUUUAUUAGUAUGUGCAAUCACAUAAAUAAAGAGUGGCAAUAAACCCCGAAAAUUAAUAUCGAAUUUGUAUAUGAGAAAUAAAUCUUCAUAGUAAUUUUACUAAUAAUUUAUUUUACUGAAAAUGUAUUGAUACAGUUAUCAUGAUUGGUACAUCUUCAACAACAAUGUCAAUGCUCUCGAAAGAAACUACAAAAAUUAAUGUGAUAAUAAUAAAUGUUCACUCGUUGAAUGGCUGAACCUAGAUUCAUUUAAACUUUUGGCUAGAGCUGUGACUUUGGAUAUAAUUUCCCUCUCUAAGUAUUUUGUUCCCUACUCUUUCACUUAUGAUAUCUGUUGUGCAUAAAGCAAUUACAAAUACACUAUAAAAAAAAAUCUCUAAAAUACACCAUUAUAUAUCGUUAAAUAGUUCAAGCUAAAAGAAUUUGACAUAAUUCAUCGUUAAAUAGAAUUAGUAAUGAAUUUUUUAAUGUUUAGCGACAUAAACUAUCCAUCGCUAACUCCUAUUUUUAGUAUGUUUUGUAAUGUUAUUUUUGUAAUUAAACAAAUUUCAUAAAUAUGUUGAAGUUAACUAUUCAUAUAAUGUAUGAUAUAAUUCAAUUUUAAUUGAUAUCUUCUUAAAAUAAAUGCACAGUUGCAUGUGAUGAACACAUUGAGCUCUUAGAAAAGCAAGCUAUGAAAGAUGGAGCUCAUCUCUACCUCAAAAAUAACAAGGAUAUUAAGCAAAAGGACAACAUAAUGUGGACUGGGGAUCUUCAUGCCAAAUUCAUAAAAAGUUUACAAUAACUUGGUAAAGGAAAUAAGUUAAUUUUACUGUUAAUUAAUUUUUUUUACAAUUUAUUUCUAAAGAGCGACAUGAAUAGCUAAAAUUUUUACUUAUGUCUAAUAUAAACUUGUAUUUACAUGUAUCUCGGCUUGAUUUGAAUAUAUUAUAGUUAUUAAAUUAUAUUGCAUACUUGUGGACCAUGUAGAAUGUUACCCAAAGGAUAUUCUGGAAAUGACGAAUAUGUGAGGAUGAAAAUUGCAAUUCAUCUCUAGGUAUGUCUUUACAAAAAUUGAAAUACGUCUUUACAAAAAUUGAAGUGAUAAAUUAUGUAACUUUUGAAUGCAUUUACUGCAGUUAUUUUGCAAAAAAAAAUUAUUUUAUAAAAGUUAUUUUCUCAAAUUUUUAUUUUACAAAAUGUUUUAGUUGAAACUAUUUUUUUAUCAAACACUUGUCUGAGAAGUUAUUCUUUCUACAACUAUUUAUUUUUAAAAUUUUAUAUCUAUAGAAAAAAAGAAAAAUCAAUGUUAUAUCACUUUCACCAUUAAAUAUUUCGACAUUAUUCAACCUUUAGUUUUGGAAAACCUUAUCAAAACACUCUGUAAUUAAAAGGAUUAGAGAUAGACUUUGUUUACAGAUGAAAGUUAAUGAAUCAUUGCUAAUUUCUAUAUUUUAUAGUGACAAUUCAAUGAAAUUCCAUUUUUUUCAAUCUUUAAUUCAUAUCAUUUUCAAAAGGCGGUUAUCGUUCAGCAAUCAUCAAACAUCAAAAAUAUUUUUCAUUAAAAAUAACUCUGUAGUUCAUAUGAUAAUUAAAUACAUUCAUGGUCUAACUCUCUUUUCUGUCUUCUAACAUCUUUCAGCAAUUUCAUAACAACGUCAAUUGGAAACUCUGAAAAAGCGCGUUGAUCAAACCAGGAAUGCCUGAGUGAUUCUCAAUAAAGUAGUAAAAAGUAGUAUUAAAAAAUUUGGGACAAUGUUCUAUUUCUCCUACUGGACUAUUUUCAAGUUUUGAUUUAGUUGAAUGAUUGUUUUUUUUAAUAAAUUGUUGGGUUUUUAUAGCAUUUUAAUAUUAAAUUUUCUAUUUUAAUGUUGCAUGUUGAAGUGCAUUGAAAUGCUGCAUACCGUAUCAUCUUUUGAUCUUUAUUUCCCACGUUUCAUUGUGGUAAAAAUGGUCUCUUGAUUACUACUCUUCCAUGUUUAAUUGUGGAAGAAUGCACCUGGCAUUUUUCUUCGGUAACUUUUGUUACAUCUGAGAAAAUCUGAAUGUCUAAGCUCAAUCUAUCAUUUGAGUUUCAUCCACCAUUAAUGAGGUCAAGGGGCUGAACAGAGUAAUGUGCAGGGAAGAAGAAAAGAAACUAUUUCUUUGAAUUUUCUGAUUGAAAACUGUACAAAAUACCUAUGCACCUCACUAUUUAUCGACAAUCUUGUAACAAACUCAACUAUACAGCUCAACACCAGCUUAUUCUAACUAACUAACUCCCACUUGCACUCACUUGCAUAGUAAAAAUAGAAACUAUGAAUGAACAGUAAGAACUAUUUUAUUUCAAUGGAACAGUAAAAAAUUAGUUCCUUAUCUAUCUUAAGUUUGCAAUACUGCCCCUUAAGCUGAAGGGUGCAGGAUAUUAAGCACACCAAACGCAAAUAUUGAGGUUGAUAGAGACUCUUAGUAAGUAAAUAAACCACUUGAUCAUGAGUUUGAACAUAAAGAGUCUCAACAGAACCAGACUUAAUCUUGUCUCUAAUAAAGUGACAAUCAAUUUCUAUAUGUUUAGUUCUCUCAUGAAACACAAGGUUUGCAUCCAAUUGAAUAGCUAAUCUACUGUCACUGAUUACCUUGAUAGGUUGAGUGAGAGGUACAUCCAAGUCAUUGAACAGACCAACCAACCAAGUCACCUCUGCAAUCACUAAAGCCAUGCUUCUGUACUUAGCUUUAGCUGAGAUUCUGGACACUGUAUGUUGCUUCUUGAACUUCCAUGAGACCAAGAAAUCUCCAAAUUUUACUAUAUAGCCAGUAACAUACCUCCUAGUGCUAGGAUAGUCUUCCCAAUCUGAAUCACACCAAUAAAAAAGAGUCAUAGUAGGUUAAGCCUUUAACCAAAUGCCUUGACAAAAGUAUCCUUAAGGUAUAUAACCACUCUAGUAGCAGCCUCCCAAUGAUAUCUUUUGGGAUUUUGCAUGAACUGACAAAGUGUCUGAAUAAUAAAACUAAUAUCAGGUCUGAUAAUAGUAGCAUACAUCAAUUUUCCAACAAACCUCUGAUAAGAGGUAAUAUCGGUCAAAAUUGCAUCUCCAGGACAACAUUUGCAUGAUCAUAUUCCAUUGUAGUCAAUUUGACAUUAUGCUUCAUAGUGUUAAAGUGGGCUUAGAACCACUAAGACAUGUUUCUGAGAUAAGCUCCAAAAUAUAUUUUCACUUAUUCAGUAAAACACCUGUGGUUGAUAUUAGCACUUUAAUACCCAAAAAAAUACUUAAGCUCACCUAAGUUCUUCAAUUUAAAUUGCUUAUGUAGAACCUCCUUAGAAUUAGAUAUCAAUGAGGUAUUGCUACCAAUGAUGAGUAAGUCAUCAACAUAGACUAAAAUUAUCACUAUGUUUUCCUGUUUCUUCUAUGUAAGCAAGGAAUAGUCAUGUACACUCUCAACAAAACUAACAUUUACCAAGGCAUUAGAAAGUUUUAGGUUCCAUUGUCUGGAAGCCUAUUUAAGAAUAUAAGGAUUUCAACAAUCUGCAUACUCUCUUUUAUUGUUUGAAACCUUCUGGCAUCUCCAUUUAAACCUCUUCAUCCAUAUCACCUUGUAAGAAAGCAUUGUAGGCAUCCAUCUGACAUAGAAAUCAACCUUUUGAAGCUACUAAAGCAAUUACACUUCUAACUGUAACCAUCUUAGAUAUAUAAGAAAAGGUAUCAUGAUAAUCUAAACCUUCUUAUUGACUAUAACCUUUUGCUACCAAUCUAUCUUUGAAUAUCUCUACCUCUCUAUUAGCUUGAUACUUGAUCUUAUAAACCCACUUGGAUCUUAAAACAUUCUUUCUGGGUGGUAAAGGCACCACCUCGCAGGUCUUGUUUUAUUCAAGUGCUUGAAUCUCUAGCUUCAUGGCCUCAACUUAUCUUGAAUCUACUGCAACUUGCCUAAAAGUAUGUUGUUAAACCAAGGUGGAAAAUUUGCUUAAGUAGCUAUGAUAUGACUUUGUAGUUUUAUCAUAGAAUAGGUAGUUUGCCAUGGAAUAUCUACAUUUCUUUCCAUCUUUAGAAGUAGCAUAGUCCUUUAGCCAAACAAGUUUCCUGGACAUCAUAGAUGUUCUUCUUGGAGAACAUAUUGUAGAAGAAGAGGACAGUAGAAUAGAAGUGCAAGGGACUUCAACUUGAUCAUCAGAUGCUACAGUUUUUUGUGAGGUAGACUGGACCAUAAAAGGUUGCACAUCUACAUCAGUGCUAGAAAAUUUUAUAUCCUCUGCAAAAAAGUCAUUCUCUAAAGGAUCAUCAAUUUAAAUAGGCACAUUUGUGAGCUCUGUAUUGACAAAAUUCCACUCAGAUUGUGAAAAAUAUUACAAGAACUCAACUAAAACCAAUUGAAUAUAUUCAUGGUGAACCGUGUUGGGUUCAAUAUGUAUGAAAAAGGUGUGAAUGGAAAAUGAAGAGAAAAAUGGUGGAAGAAAGGAGACACCAAUUUAGAAGGUAUACUCCCAAAAUUGGAAAGUUCACUAAUUCUCCCACAUUGGUGGGAGAAGGGAACUAUGGAGUAUUUUUAAUAGAAAGCACUUACUCUACAUGCUAAGUGAAGAAAGAAAUAAGAAAUGCCUCGCGCUAUAAUCGUCGCUCGCUCGGCUUUGAAUUUGGAUUUAAAAAAUGAUCGAUCGAUGAGAUCUAUCUUUCUGGACAAAGUUCAUUUCACGUAAAUUUAAGCAAAAUGAUAAAAAGGAAAACACACCAGUAAUCCUCCAUUUAUACAUGCAUAUAGAUUUCGAAAUAGUAUUUUCUGAAAUGAUACACUACUUCAAAAUGAUGCAAUUGUUCAAUCAAAUGAUAUGUCUGUUCAACGAUCUGAUGUACUAUUUCUUGAACUGGUAUGUCUUUUUGGAGAAGGAAAUAUUCUUUGGGUAAACAGACAUGAAUUUCCAGAAAUAUCACACCAUUUAAGUGAACCAAUGCCACCUUUUCGAAGAGGCAUAUCACAGGCUAUAUAAACCUACUUUCAUUCACAGGUUUUGAGAUGAAUUUUUCUGCAAUAAACUCUCUUCUUGUCUUUACAAAUACUCUGUGUGAUCAAUCAAUCUGUUAAGUGAGUUCUACGAUAUUCCAAUUGUUUGAGGUACCGCUACAGUUGGUAUGUUUGGCCAUUUUAUCCUGGGAGAAAAAUUCUGCAACCUCGGAUACAGUGAGAGGAAUUAUUUCCUUAAGGAAAGUCCAUGAAUUCGGGUGACUUGGCCAUUUCUGUUUUCAUCUUUAUUUCUGAAAAUAAAAUACACUUCUAAGAAAGAUCACUUUGAUCUUGUGUUGAGGGUAUUUACUGCACUUCAUUGUGUUCUUGUUUUUAAACAUAGAACUAACGUUGAAGUUGUUGUUCUACAUAUACAAAUUCUGCGUACCCGUAGAAGGAAAUAACAAUCUUAAGAAAAUAAUUUUCAGAAUCUGUAUAGCUUAUUUUUGGAGAUUAAAGUUUUAAAUUUCUACUCCGCCUGAACUUAACUAGUGAUUUGAAGUCAUAAAAACUUCAUCACAAGUUAAAGAUCAUUCGGUUGACUAUUGGAAGUCAUAAAAACUUCAUUGUCAACUAGAAACAAGAAGAAAAGUUUCAAGUUGCUUAACUUUAUAAGUAGAAUUUUAAAAAUACUAAGUAGUUUUUGUCUUGUGGUAACAAGAGAAAUGACAAGCGAUAGUCAAAUGUAAGAUACAGCAACGUCUUUGGGGGGAACUAAUAUUGCCACAUCAAGUCACACAAAUUCUCCGCCUACAAUGGCACCAGCGAAGAAGCCCAGAAAAUUUAUGGGCAUUAACUUUAAGCGAUGGCAGCAAAAGAUGUUCGUUUACCUCACCACUUUGUGUCUGCUACGGUUCACUAGUGAAGACACUCCUGAGGUGCCCGAGGGAACCUCAGACAAAGAGCGUUUCAUAAUUGUAGAAGCUUGGAAACAUUCAGACUUUCUUUGCAGGAAUUAUAUUCUUAGUAGUCUCCAAGACCACCUCUACAAUAUUUACAGUGGACCUAAGACAUUGAAGGAAUUGUGGGGGGCACUUGAACAAAAAUAUAAAGUAGAGGAUGUGAGAAUUAGGACAUUCGUUGUUGCAUGGUUCCUAGACUUAAAAUGAUAGAUAGCAAAUUGGUUGUCUCUCAAGUGCAGGAGUUGUAAGUCAUCAUACAUAAUCUCCUAGCAAAAGGUAUAUCUUUGAAAAAUACCUUAGUUGAACAAAUUAAAAAUGUUCUUAAUACUCACAUAAAUUGUUUUGUAGGUUUGAAUGUGAAUGAUGCAUUUCAAGUAGCACCGAUAGUUGAGAAGCUACCACCUUUAUGGAAAGGCUUCAAAAACUACAUGAAGAAUAAAUGCAAGGAGAUAACUGUCGAAGAUCUUAUUGUCCGACUACGUAUUGAAGAGGACAAUAAAGCUAUUGAGAGAAGGUCAAAACGAAAUUCUACAAUUAAUUGAGCAUAUAUUGUAGAAGAUGACCAAAAUAAUUCUAAGAAAAGAAAAAAAGUUGGACAAGGAAGCCAUCAACCCAAGAAGAAAUUAAAGGGAAAAUGCUUCAAUUGUGGCAAGGUUGGCCACAAAUCCAUGGAUUGUCGAGCCCCGUAGAAAGGAAAGAAGAAGGAUCAAGCAAAUAUGAUUAAUCCAAUAAAUAAUGCGAUGAUCUGUGUGCUAUGUUCUCAGAAUGCAACUUGGUGGGGAAUCCUCGCGAAUGGUGGAUGGAUUAUUGUGCCACCCGCCAUGUAUGUGCCAAUAAAGAGUUGUUUUCGUCAUUCGCUCUGGCUUAAGUAGAAGAAAUAAUCUACAUGGCUAACUCUGCUACUGCUAUGAUAGAAGGAAUAGGAAAAAUAUGCUUGAAAAUGACUUCAGGAAAGGUUUUGACACUUAACAAUGUCUUGUAUGUUUUGGAGUUAUGUAGGAAUUUAAUUUCUGUUUCACUUCUAGAUAAGAACGGAUUCAAAUGUGUAACCAUUUUUGGAAAAAUUGUAAUUAGCAAAGGAGAAAUGUAUGUAGGAAAAGGCUAUCUGACGGAAGGCCUUUAUAAGAUGAAUGUAAUGACUGUUUAAAUAAAUAAAAGUUUAAAUUCUUUUUAUUUGCUUGAGUCUUAUGAUUUAUGGCAUGAACUUUUAGGCCAUGUUAAUUACAAAACGUUAUGAAAACUGAUUAACUUAGAAGUUUUGCCAAACUUUGAGUGAAAUAAAUCAAAGAGUCAAACGUGUGUGGAAUCGAAGUAUGUAAGGCAUCCUUAUAAGUCUGUUGAAAGGAAUUCCAAUCCCUUAGACUUAAUACAUACUGACAUUUGUGAUAUGAAGUCAACACCAUCACGUGGUGGGAAAAAGUAUUUCAUAACUUUUAUUGACGAUUGCACGAGAUAUUUUUAUGUCUAUCUUCUAAAUAGUAAGGAUGAAGCAGUAGAUGUGUUUAGACAAUAUAAAAUUAAAGUUGAAAAUCAGUUAGAUAAAAAGAUAUAAAUGAUAAGAAGUGAUAGGGGUGGAGAAUAUGAAUCUCCCUUCACCGAAAUAUGUGUAGAAAAUGGAAUCAUCUAUCAAACUACGGCCCCGUAUUCACCUCAAUCUAAUGAAAUUGCGGAAACGAAAAACCAAACUUUGGAGCAAAUGAUGAAUGCCUUACUUAUAAGUUCUGGUUUACCGCAAAAUCUUAUGGGGAGAGGCUAUCCUUACAGCCAAUUGUAUACUCAACAGAGUUCCCCAUAGUAAAACACAAUCCAUUCCUUAUGAAAAAUGGAAAGGAAGGAAACCCAACUUGAAAUAUUUCAAAGUGUGGGGAUGUCUAGCAAAGAUCAAAAUUCCUAUGCCUAAAAAGGUUAAGAUAGGACCUAAGAUGGUGGACUGCGUGUUCAUAGGAUAUGCUAAAAGUAGUAAAGCAUGUCAAUUUUUGGUUCAUAAAUACGGAUAUUAAUGAAAAAAUGGUAAUUGAAUCAGACAAUGUUGAAUUCUUUGAAAACAUUUACCCGUAUAAAAUUAGACAUGAACAGUUUAGUGGAGGAUCUAAAUGACCUCGAGAUUAACCAAGUGAGAUUCUACAUAAUGAAGAAAAUCCAAGACAUAGUAUACGUCAAAGAACGUCUACUUCAUUUGGAUCGGAUUUUGUAACAUUUCUCUCCUCAAACAUUUAGGGAAGUGAUGGCAUCUUCGGACUCAUCCUUUUGGAAAGAGGCAGUCAAUAGUGAGAUUGAUUAAAUUUUAAGCAACCAUACAUGGGAAUUGGUUGAUCUUCCUUCCGAAAAUAAACCUUUAAGUUCUAAAUGGGUUUUCAAAAGGAAGAUGAAAUGGAUGGUACUAUUGACAAAUACAAGGAAAGACUUGUAGUAAAAGACUUUAAACAAAAAGAAGGCCUUGAUUACUUCGAUGCAUACUCGCUAAUAACAAGGAUAACAUCGAUUCAAAUAUUAAUUGCCUUGGAUAUGGUAUAUGGUCUUGAAAUCACUUAAAUGGAUGUGAAAACCACUUUCCUAAAUGGAGAAUAGGAGAAAGAAAUUUACAUGGAACAACCUGAAGGAUUUGUGGUUCCAGGGAAGGAGAAUAAGGUGUGUAGACUUAUUAAUUCAUUGUAUGGACUAAAGCAAGCACCUAAACAAUGGCAUGCGAAGUUUGACCAAACCAUGUUGGCAAAUAGGUUCAAGAUAAAUGAAUGUGAUAAAUGUGUUUACAUUAAAGACACUCUAAAUCACCAAGUCAUUGUUUGUUUAUAUGUGGAUGAUAUGUUGAUAAUAGCAGAGACAUUUCUGACAUAAAUGCAACAAAACAAAUGUUCGAGAGUAAGUUUGAUAUGAAAGACCUUGGAGUUGCAGAUGUGAUCUUAGGUAUAAGAAUCCAUCGAACUCUACAAGGGUAGCAUUGUCACAGUCUCAUUAUAUUGAAAAAGCACUUGACAAGUUCAAGUAUAUGGAAUUCGGUAUUGCCAAGACUCCAUUGGAUGUGAACUUUGCACUUCGAAAGAAUGAAGCUAAAAGUGACUCACAAUUGGAGUAUGCAAGAGUAGUGGGAUGUUUAAUCUAUAUAAUGAACUGUACACGACCAGAUAUAGCAUGUGUUAUUAGUAAAUUGAGUCGGUACAUGAGUAAUCCUAACAAAAUUCAUUGAAUGGCAAUGAAAAGAGUUUUGGGGUAUCUUAAAUACACUCAAGAUUAUGCUUUGCAUUAUAAUAAAUAUCCUGCGGUACUUGAAGGAUAUAAUGAUGCAAAUUGGAUCACCGAAUCGAACGAAGUAAAAUCCACAAGUGGAUAUGUAUUUACUAUUAGUGGAGGAGCAGUCUCUCGGAAAUCAUCCAAACAGACUUGUAUUGCUCGCUCUACAAUAAAAUCUGAAUUUAUCACAUUGGAUAAAGCUGGUGAAGAAGAAGAAUGGCUCCAAAAUUUCUUAGAAGAUAUUCCUUAUUAGCCUAAGCCAGUGGCACCAGUAUGUACACAUUGUGAUAGCCAAGCAGCAAUAGGUAGGGCAGGGAGCUUGGUGUACAAUGGUAAAUCUCAUCACAUACGAUGGAGACAUAAUACCGUUAGGGAAAUUAUCUCUAGUGGAAUUAUCACUGUUGACUAUGUAAAGUCAAAGGAUAAUAUGUCAGAUCCACUUAUAAAAGGCCUAUCUAGAGAAGGAGUGGAAAGGACAUCCAAGGAAAUGGGUUUAAGGCCUAGGACAAGUCAGCAUAGCGGUAACUCUACCUAGCAUACUGGAGAUCCCAAGAGCUAGGUUUAAGGAGAUCAAACAAAUUUGUGUCUGAAAGGUUCAACAUUGUCAAUUACCCAACCCAUUCUUAUGAUGUUAAAAAUGUAUAGUAAUCAAGGAUAAGACUUAAAGUGAAAAGUCUUUUAAUGAUUAUCUAAAUUUGACCAAAUAGUUUCAUAUAUAGGAUUGAACGAUUAGAAAUCACCUAUGUGAGGGCGAAGUGGAAGCCGCUUCAAGGAGAAUGUUAGUAAAGGCCUAUUCUCUAAGCUCUCAUGAAAUCGGGAUGUGUUCAUGGCUGAAAAGAACAAAACCAUGAGAACCAUAAAACGGUAAAAGCCUGGUUGUGUGACAUGUGUUGUCUAGGUAUACAUUAAAGCCCGAUGGUUCAAAGAUAUCAAAUAUACCGAUUUACCGAGUGCAUCCCAUGCAUGUUCACUACGAAAAGUUCAAAGGAAAACCUACUUAUCUAAAUGCAAUCAGUCUUUGCUUGAUGAUCACAUACUUGUCCGUAAAACUUUUAUGAAAAAUAGUCAUUCUCCAUUCAUGUGGGGGAUUGUUGGGUUCAAUAUAUAUGAAAAAGGUGUGAAAGGAAAAUGGAGGAAAAAAUAGGGGAAGAAAGGAGAUACCAAUUUAGAAGGUGUACUCCCAAAAUUGGAAAGUUCACUAAUUCUCCCACAUUGGUGGGAGAAGGGAACUAUGGAGUGUUUUUAAUAGAAAGCACUUACUCCACAUGCUAACUGAGGCAAGAAAUAAUAAAUGUCUCGCACUGUUGUCGUCGCUCGGUCGGCUUCGGCUUCGGCUUUGGAAAAUGAUUAAUCGAUGAGAUCUAUCUUUUUGGACAAAGUUUAUUUCACAUAAAUUUAAUCUGAAUGCCAAAAAGGAAAACGCACCAGUAAUCCUCCAUUUAUACAUGCAUACAGAUUUCAAAACUGUAUUUUCUGAAAUGAUACACUGCUUCGAACUGAUGCUGAUAUAUUUGUUCAACCAUCUGAUGUACUGUUUCGUGAACUGGCAUAUCUGUUUGGAGAAGGACACAUUCUUUGGGUAAAUAGACAUGAAUUUCCAGAAAUAUCACACCAUUUAAGUGAACCAAUGCCACCUUUUCAAAGAGGCAUCUCACAGGCUAAAUAAACCUGCUUUUAUUCACAGGUUUUGAUAUGAAUUUUUCUACAAUAAACUCUCUUCUUGUCUUUACAAAUACUCUGUGUGAUUAAUCAAUCCAUUAUGUGAGUUUGACGAUAUUCCAAUUGUUUGAGGUACGGCUACAGUUGGUUUGUUUGGUCAUUUUAUCCUGGGAGAAAAAUUCCGCAACCUCGGGUACAGUGAGGGAAAUUAUUUCCUUAAGGAAAGUCCUUGAAUUCAGGCGACUUGGCCAUUUCUGUUUUCAUCUUUAUUUCUGAAAAUUAAAUAAACUUCUAAGAAAUAUCACUUUGAUCUUGUGUUAAGGGUAUUUACUGCACUUCAUUGUGUUCUUGUUUUUAAACAUAGAACAAAUGUUGAAGUUGUUGUUCUACAUAAACAGAUUCUGCGUACCCGUAGAAGGAAAUAACAAACUUACACUCAAAUUUACAAUGGAGAAAAGAGAAUAAUUUGCUAUCGAGGAAGGGUUGCAUCAAGCAAUUGUGAUUAAACUUUCCUCAGGUACACCAGAUUUGAAGGACCUAAGGACAGUGUUGCCGAAACAUCUCAGAAUCAAGGGUCAUUGUCUAAUUGGUUCAUUGGCACCACGACAAAUCUUGAUAAGGUGCAUGUGAUCAAUAUGAUGAUUAUGUGACUGCUUUUGCAAGAUCAGUGAAAUAUUUUUCUUACAAUGGAAAGGAGCACUAAUAUAGGAUAUUCUCGUGGUUUAUCAGUUUUAACUACAAAGAAGAAACGACUAAGAUAGCAGAGUGGAUUUCUUCACUGAACUUGGAUUGGAUCUAUUCGUUAAGAGGUUAUUAUUGUCUAUAGCAGAAGCCAUCGAAAAACCAAUAGCUAUAGAUAAAGCAACACAAGUUAAGUCCAGACCGAGCACCGCUAGGAUUAAGGUGAUCCCAGACCUACUAGAAAAACUUUUAAAGAGAAUAAUAUUUCGAUAUUUCGACAAUAAAAAUGGUAAGUUUGUAGAGAGUUUCCAAAAAAUUAUUUAUGAUAAUUGUAAUACCCCGGGAAAUUUUUUGUUGAAAUUUUGUGCGUAAACGUGUUGGGUUCUACCUUCUAGAAUGAAUUAUAAAUUUUCCCUAUGGAAUGUCUUAGAUUAUGACCCACCAUUGCGUAGAGUAUCGAAUAAGUUCUCCAACAAUAUGUGGAUCAUCCAAAACAGACACCCGAGAGACGAGUUAUGAACAUUCCGAUCAAACCAUGAAUAGUAGUGAACAGUAAAACGUCCAGGAAAAAGCACUGAGGCCUGACGUAUUUUUGCUCCAACUUUAAACGAUCAUAACUUCUUUUAUAUAAUAAUCUGGGUGAUCUACUAUAUAUCAACGGAAAGAUCUAGGAGUCCUCUUUCUAAUGAAAUUGGUUUCAUCCAAUUUGUCUAUCGGAGUAAAAAGUUAUGGUCCAUCUACUUCAGCCUAUCAAAAGCAAAUUUUCGGCUCAGCUUCAAAUGAUCAUAACUCCUCGUACACAAUGAUCUGGGUGAGAUACUAUAUAUCAACAGAAAGAUAUGAGAGUCCUAUUUCUAAUGAAAUUAGUUUCAUCCAAUUUGAAUAUCAGAGUAAAACGUUAUGGUUGAUCUACUUCUGACUAUCAAAAUAGUCCAUCAAAGGACAGAUUCGAGAAUUAUUUGGUUUUUAGGGGCAUUUUGGUCAUUCCUCCUCACCCAAAAUCCGUCCAAACCCUAUAUUAAAGCCUAUUAGAAACAUUAUAUGUUAUAUUUCAUCAAAUUCCCUCAAAAAGAAAGCCCUAAGCUCUUACAUCCAACUUCAAGAACCUCCAAAGUUCACCAUUAAUUCUGCAAAUUUAUUCAAGAUUCCAAGUUCCUAGUUCAAGAACCUCCAAAGUUCACCAUUAAUUCUGCAAAUUUAUUCAAGAUUCCAAGUUCCUAGUUCAAGAACUUCAAGAACCUCCAAAGUUCACCAUUAAUUCUGCAAAUUUAUUCAAGAUUCCAAGUCCCUAGUUCAAGAACUUCAAGAACCUCCAAAGUUCACCAUUAAUUCUGCAAAUUUAUUCAAGAUUCCAAGUUCCUAGUUCAAGAACUUCAAGAACCUCCAAAGUUCACCAUUAAUUCUGCAAAUUUAUUCAAGAUUCCAAGUCCCUAGUUCAAGAACUUCAAGAACCUCCAAAGUUCACCAUUAAUUCUGCAAAUUUAUUCAAGAUUCCAAGUUCCUAGUUCAAGAACUUCAAGAACCUCCAAAGUUCACCAUUAAUUCUGCAAAUUUAUUCAAGAUUCCAAGUUCCUAGUUCAAGAACUUCAAGAACCUCCAAAGUUCACCAUUAAUUCUGCAAAUUUAUUCAAGAUUCCAAGUUCCUAGUUCAAGAACUUCAAGAACCUCCAAAGUUCACCAUUAAUUCUGCAAAUUUAUUCAAGAUUCCAAGUUCCUAGUUCAAGAACUUCAAGAACCUCCAAAGUUCACCAUUAAUUCUGCAAAUUUAUUCAAGAUUCCAAGUUCCUAGUUCAAGAACUUCAAGAACCUCCAAAGUUCACCAUUAAUUCUGCAAAUUUAUUCAAGAUUCCAAGUUCCUAGUUCAAGAACUUCAAGAACCUCCAAAGUUCACCAUUAAUUCUGCAAAUUUAUUCAAGAUUCCAAGUUCCUAGUUCAAGAACUUCAAGAACCUCCAAAGUUCACCAUUAAUUCUGCAAAUUUAUUCAAGAUUCCAAGUUCCUAGUUCAAGAACUUCAAGAACCUCCAAAGUUCACCAUUAAUUCUGCAAAUUUAUUCAAGAUUCCAAGUUCCUAGUUCAAGAACUUCAAGAACCUCCAAAGUUCACCAUUAAUUCUGCAAAUUUAUUCAAGAUUCCAAGUUCCUAGUUCAAGAACUUCAAGAACCUCCAAAGUUCACCAUUAAUUCUGCAAAUUUAUUCAAGAUUCCAAGUUCCUAGUUCAAGAACUUCAAGAACCUCCAAAGUUCACCAUUAAUUCUGCAAAUUUAUUCAAGAUUCCAAGUUCCUAGUUCAAGAACUUCAAGAACCUCCAAAGUUCACCAUUAAUUCUGCAAAUUUAUUCAAGAUUCCAAGUUCCUAGUUCAAGAACUUCAAGAACCUCCAAAGUUCACCAUUAAUUCUGCAAAUUUAUUCAAGAUUCCAAGUUCCUAGUUCAAGAACUUCAAGAACCUCCAAAGUUCACCAUUAAUUCUGCAAAUUUAUUCAAGAUUCCAAGUUCCUAGUUCAAGAACUUCAAGAACCUCCAAAGUUCACCAUUAAUUCUGCAAAUUUAUUCAAGAUUCCAAGUUCCUAGUGUGGAGUGGCAUGAAGAAAGAUAUAGCAGCGUUUGUAGCUAAGUGUGCAACAUGCCAACAGGUUAAGGUUGAACACCAAAGACCUGGUGGUAUGAUGCAAGAGUCUAGUAUUCCCACCUGGAAGUAGGAAGACAUAAAUAUGGACUUCGUGAUUGGUUUACCUCCUUUCCGACGCCAUCAUGAUUCCAUUUGGGUUGUGGUUGAUAGGUUGACUAAGUCUGCUUAUUUCUUGCCUGUUUAUACUUUAUAUACUUCUGAGGAUUACACUAGAUUGUAUAUCUAAUAGCUAGUCAGACUACAUGGAGUUCCCUUGUCUAUCAUUUUGGAUAGGGGUACUCAGUUCACUUCGCAAUUUUGGAAAGCUUUUUAGAAGGGUCUUGGUCCCAAGUGCUUUUGAGUUCUGCUUUUCAUCUGCAGACCGAUGGUCAGGCUGAACGGACCAUCCAGACCUUAGAGGAUAUGUUGAGAGCUUGUGCACUUGACUUUAAGGAAAGUUGAGAUGAUCACUUGCCGUUGAUAGAAUUUGCUUAUAACAACAGCUUUCACUCUAGUAUUGGUAUGACUCCAUUUGAAGCCUUGUAUGGGAGGAAGUGUAGAUCACCCAUAAGUUGGUUCGAGGGGGGUAAAGCAGCUGUGAGUGUUCUUGAUUCGGUAUUCGAGGCUAUGGAAAAAGUUAAGUUGAUUAGGGAAAGGUUGAAAACUGUACAGAGUCAUCAGAAGUCAUAUGCGGAUGUUAGAAGGAGAGACCUUGAGUUUGAAGUUGGUGACCUAGUGUAUCUGAAAAUUUCACCCAUGAGGGAGUGAAGAGAUUCGGAAAGAAGGGGAAGCUUAGUCCCCGUUAUGUUAGUCCUUACAAAAUUCUUAGCCGUGUUGGUAAGGUAGCUUAUGAGGUCGAGUUUUCUUCCGAGUUGUCCUCUGUUCAUCCAAUAUUCCAUGUCUCCAUGCUUAGAAAGCAUAUUAGUGAUGCUGUGGUAUUGGAUUCCUCUGUGAGUGCUGACAUUCAACAAAAUUUUUCUUUUGAUGAUAUUCCUAUUAAGAUUCUUGAUUUCAGUGUCUGAAGACUAAGGAACAAAGAAGUUCCCUUGGUCAAGGUGUUGUGGCGAAACCAAUCUGUUGAGGGUGCAACUUGGGAAGUUGAGGCGGAUAUGCGAUCCAAGUACCCGCACCUAUUUUCCGCGAACUUCGAUCAAGCAGAAGGUACCAUUCUUUCCUAAAUCAUUCACUUUUGAUAAAAGUUGCAGCAGUUCAACUGUCAUUUAUUAUGUGUUCAGCUGUAGUUUCUUGAAUUUAUGCAUUCUAUGUUGCAUUCGGAGUGGAAACAAUGUGGUGAUGAUUCUAACGAAUGGUUUCAGCUGUAUAAUCUAUUCCCUAUCUAAUCUUGGCAUGUCUAGCGUCAUUCAGGGAUGAAUUUUUCCAAGGGGGGGAUGAUAUAAUACCCCGGGAAAUUUUUUGUUGAAAUUUUGAGCGUAAACGUGUUGGGUUCUAUCUUCUAGAAUGAAUUAUAAAUUUUCCAUGUGGAAUGUCUUAUAUUAUGACCCACCAUUGCAUAGAUUAUUGAAUAAUCUUUCCAACGAUAUAUGGAUCAUCCAAAAUGGACACCCGAGCGACUAGUUAUGAACAUUUCGAUCGAACCGUGAAUAGUAAAACGUGCAGGAAAAAGUCCUGAGGCCUGAUGUAUUUUUGCUCAAACUUUAAAUGAUCAUAAAUUCUUGUACAUAAUGAUCUGGAUGAUCUAUUAUAUAUCAACGGAAAUAUCUGCGAGUCCUCUUUCCAAUGAAAUUAUUUUCAUCCAAUUUGUCUAUCGGAGCAAAAAGUUAUGGUCGAUCUACUUCAGCCUAUCAAAAGCAAAUUUUUGGGUCAAUUUCAAACGAUUAUAACUCCUCGUACACAAUGACCUGGGUGAGAUACUAUAUAUCAACGGAAAGAUAUGAGAGUCCUCUUUCUAAUGAAAUUGGUUUCAUCCAAUUUGAAUAACGGAGUAAAAUAUUAUGGUUGAUCUACGUCAGACUAUCAAAAUAGUCCACCAAAGGACAAAUUUGAGAAUUAUUUGUUUUUUAGGGGCGUUUUGGGGAUUCAUGACUCAAAUAUCAAAAUCAUGACUCAAUUUUGAUCCAGCAGCAACAAAUUAUUGCAAACAAUAAUGCAAUAGGUGAUGUGGAUGCACGUGAGUUGAUGGUCUAAUCUGGAGAGAAUUCUAAGGUCUUAGUCCCUUCAUCUCAAACAAAAUAUAGACUACAAGUGAGGAACUUAAUUGUUGAACAAUACACUGACGAACAAGAGCAUAAUACAUCUUUAAAACCCAUAAAUUUGAUGACCCGUGAGAUGUCACAAUCAGAUAUGCACCAUAUUCACGAUGUUGUGGCGAGCAGUGAAAAUUCUGGACAGCAUUCGUUCUUGAAUGUCUAAGAAAUCAUUGGAUAAAAAUUUAGAAGUUGAUAAUUUGCGGUUCCCUUCUAAUUCUACUUAUUUUGAACAUUCCAUCAGUGAAAAGCAUGUUACUGGUGAUGAAUCAGCAAACAAAAUCAAGGGUGUGGAUAGCAGUAUUGGCAAGGACUGGACCGUGGUAGCACAUAAAAAAUAUUUAGGCAUUCGAAUUGGCUCUCCUGCUUGUGUUAAUGUGCAGCUAGCAAGGAAUAUUCCAUAUGCUCGAGCUUCUUCCCCAAAGGAAAACUUCUUUUCCAAAUACUUUUGAUUUUCUCUCAGAUAAAGUUGGUCAUGAAAUUAAUCCAAAAAACCUAUAGUGCUUAAAUUAAAUCCAGAUGUGGCUAAAGUAUUAAAGAAAAAUCAAUAACCUGAUUCUGUUAGGAGCAACAAAGUGAUACUAGCUCUCAUUGUUAGGCAGAUUUUGUAAAUAAAGAAGACGAACAUCAGGCGGAUAAUAUUGGCAGCAAACUUAAUGCUCAAGCUUCAAUUUUUGUCCCAAAUAAAUUUGCAAUUCGUAAUUAUUCAUCAAGCUACAAGCAAACUUCAGGUGGUGUAAUAAAUUUCCUUUAUCCAAUUAAUACUGCCAAAGAAUUGGUGGAAAGUGAUACAUUGUCUUCAAAGAGUUUUGAAAACCUCCAAGACAACUACAUAUUUGAGGAAAGUGAUGAAGACAUGCUGGAAAUAUGCUUUGCAAGUGCAGCUCGGGAUGUCGAUAUCUCUCCUGGGCAAGAAAAUAGAAAAAUAAAAAAAUAUCACGUUAAAAAUCAAAGUUGGGAUGGUAAGGUGACAGAGGAGCUUGUUCCAAGACACCACCGACAAAGCAAAAUCAUGCGACAGUGUCAACAACUUUAAUAAGACCCAACAGAUUCAAGAAGUGAUGAAUUUUCUAGUGAUUUUGAACAAGUUCGAAGAAGAAGGUAAGUAUCGAAUAUAUCAAUGUGCUUUAGAUGGGCCAGCAUUUCUUUUUAGUUCAUACAUUUGUAAAAAAGGAGUUUGUGAUUAAUAACUCAAACUUCACAUUCAUCUUUAUAUUUUUUCAUUACUUAAGCAUCCUUCUUUGGAAUAUCAUCAUAGAGUGUAACAUAAACUCUAUAAUGAUCCUAAAAUAUCUAGUUCUCUCUAGUUCUUAUUUUUACACGCUUGUUGAUUAGUUGAGGGUUUGUUACCUCAUUAAGAAUGGUAAGGUAAGGUCUAACCCUCCUUGCCUAUAUUUUUCUCUUUUGAGGUUUAAUUUUUUUUUAAAAAAAAAGAGGGUGGUUGAUAUCUUUUAGUAACCAAUGUCAUAUUUUAAGUUUUUUUUUUUACAAAAAUAAAAAAAUUAUUUAUUCAUAUUUUAAAAAUUGCUAUGACCUCCAAUCUAAAAAGUAUUGUUAUGACUUACAAUAAACAACCUAAGGUUGUAUAUUUUAUUUUUUUUUCCUUUUUUUAAAUUUGUGGAGCAAUUAAUAUAAAAUCUAGAACUAAUAUUUAAUAAUGAAUAGAUCAUGUUCGUCCACCGUCUAUUUGAUAGACGUACCAGAUUAAGUCUCAAUCUCUAUAAAUUAAUCCUCCUUAUGCUCAUUAGGGUUACCGCAUAUUAUCAAUACAAUUUCAUCGCAGACAGCUCUGAUAGCGAUAAUACAGUGGCAACUACUUAUUAUGGAAUGAUAGAUGAAGUUCGCGUGAUGCUAGUUAGUCAGAUCAAUAAUAUUGUUAUCAAGAUUGUUGAUUUGCUAGAGUGUAAGGACGAUAAAGGUAACAUCUCUAAAAGUUUAUAUUGAACUUAUAAUUUUUGAUUAUUUGAUAUAAAUAAAUUAUAUGUGCUUUUCUUUUUAAAAGAGAUUUAAUUGAUAUGUUGAUAAUUUUCUCAUUUGCGAUUUUAACAUCGAUCGCUUUUUUUUAAAAAAUUAUCUUAUAAAUUUUGAAUUUUUCUUUUCCUAGUUGUGACAACAUCAUUUCUAUGUUUGUUUAUGUUGUUUUACUAGUUAAAAUGAAUUUUAUGUGUUUAUAAGGAAUUAAAUUAGAUUCUUUAUGAGCAUGUCACUUACUCCAUUACCUUUCCCUAUGACUUUUCAGAGGAGGACGAUAGUUUUACUUAAUAUUUGUAUCCUUUAAAAUUUAUCAAAUCUCCUUGAAGGGACACCAUUUUAUUAAUUAUUUAAUGACCUUAAAAUUGUUUUAGGCUUGAUCUUUUUGAAGGAAAAGGGAAGAAAAAAUAUUUUUUGUCAAUAGGUCAAAGUGAUAUAGAAUCAGAGGAGAAAAGAAAUUAAAUAUCUUAAGAAUAAUUUUUGAAGGUGCAGAUCUUUUGACUUUUGCAGUCUAUCUAUCAUUUUAAAACGAUAAUUGGAUGGUAGAGGCGACACAAGAUUAGGAAAUAGAGAGGGUAGAGAAAGACCAAGAAAAACAUCGAUUUGAUUAUUAUUACUAUUGAUUGUGAGAUAAUUUUCUUUUUUAUCUUAUAUUAGAUGUAGAAAAAAAAAAGCAAGAAAAUAUGAUUUUCAUGAAAAAUUAUUUUCUUUUUAAUUGAAACUCCCCUCUUAAUUUUAAGGAGUUUUUUCUUCCACUCUAAUUUAACAUAUUAUUUUAUCGUUUUGACAUCUCACGCAUCUUUACUUCUAUAAUGUUUUCAUUUUAUUCAUUUUCUUCCUUAUAUAUUAAAAUUUCAAUAAACUCUAAUAUUUUCACUAAUUUUUAUUUAACAUUUUACCUUUAGUAAAAAUAAGUAUAUCCAAUUUUACUCAAAUAUGCACUAUUGGAUUGUCUAGAAUGAGUAGAUAAGUUGGUCCUUUGAUGAAGAUAAGUAAUACAACCACUAAAGAAUGUGGUGCAGCGGAUGGAGCUACUCCUUUCUUAACUAGAGGUCUCAUAUUUGAUUCUUGGAUAUGAAAAAAUUCUUGAUAGGGGGUGCCUCCUCCGAAUGGACCUCACGCACACGAAUUCAGAUUAAUCAGGUUCCAAUAUAGAUGUCAAACACUAGAUAGGAAAUAAAAAGAAAAAAAGAAAAGUAAUACACAUACACAAUAAAGGAAGCGAUAUUGUUAGUUUUGUUUAAUUUUAAUUUUAAUUUUGAAUAUUUUGAUUUUAUUUUUUAAUCAUUUUAAUCAAUACAAUUCUAAUUAUUUUUACUUUUCCAUUUAAAAAUAAUAACAAUAAUAAUUCAAAAUACAUAUUCAUGUUUAAGUUUAUUUAAAUAAUCAAAUAUUGUGAUAGUGUGAUUAUGAUAGGAUAUUUUAAUUUGAAUUCACUUUGUUGAUAUCACAAAGAUGAACUGGUCUUUUUUCUCAAAUGUUUUGUUUUAAAUAAUUUUCAAACUUGAAAUUGUAUGGUACUUAUGUGUGUCAUUACUACGCUUUUCCUAUUCUAUAUAAUAGAUUCAACUAUUCAUUCUAAAUUAUUAUACGUUAAUCAAUUUUUUUGUGUAAAUAUGUAUAAAAUUGUACAUAUUGAUUAUAAUUUAAGUUUAUACAUGUGCAAUUUCAUAAACUAAAGAGUAGCAAUAAACCCUUAAAAUUAAUAUCGAAAUUGUAUAUGAAAGAUAAAUCUUCAUAGUAAUUUUGCUUAUAAUUUAUUUUACUGACUUUCAUUUUUUUUGGUAAACAUUUUACUGACUUUCAAAAUGUAUUAAUACAGUUAUCAUGGUUGAUACGUCUUCGACAUCAAUCUCAAUUCUUUCCGAAGGAACUACGAAAAUUGAUAUGAUAAUAAUAAAUAUCCACUAGCCGAACCUUGAUUUUUUAAAACUUUUGGCUUGAGUUGUGGCUUUGGAUAUAAUUCCUUGAGUAAUUUUUCAUACUCUUUUAGUUAUGAUAUCUAUUGUGGAUAAAAUCAAUUAUUUUUAUAAAUACACGAUAAAAAAAUAUUAUAAAAUUCACCAUUAUAUAUAGUUAAAUAGUUUGAAGAUAAAAGAAUUUAACAUAAUCCAUCGUUAAAUAAAAUUAGUAAUGAAUUUUUUAUUGUUUUGCGACAUAAACUAUCCAUCGCUAACUCCUAUUUUUAGUAUGUUUUGUAAUGUUAUUUUUAUAAUUAAACAAAUUUUAUAAAUAUGUGUGAAGUUAACUAGUCAUAUAAUAUAUGAUAUAAUUCAAUUUUAAUUGAUAUCUUCUUAAAAUAAAUGCACAGUUGUAUGUGAUGAACACAAUGAGCUCUUAGAAAACCAAGCUAUGAAAGAUGGAGGUCAUCUCUACCUCAAAAAUAACAAGGAUGUUAAGCAAAAGGACAACAUAAAGUGGACUGGGGAUCUUCAUGCCAAAUUCAUAAAAAGUUUACAACAACUGGGUAAAGAAAGUAAGUUUAUUUUACUAUUAAUUAUUUUUUUUUCAAUUUAUUUCUAAAGAGCGACAUGAAUAGCUAAAAUUUAUACGUAUGUCUAAUAUCAGCUUGUAUUUACAUGUACCUUGGCUUGAUUUGAAAAUAUUAUAGUUAUUAAAUUUUAUUGCAUACUUGUGGACCAUGUAGAAUGUUACCCAAAAGACAUUCUGGAAAUGAUGAAUGUGUCUGAUCUUACAAGGAUGCAAAUUGCAAAUCAUUUCAAGGUAAAUCUUUAAAAAAAAUUGAAGUGAUAAAUUAUGUAACUUUUGAAUGCAUUUACUGCAGUUUUUCUGCAAAAAGAAAUUAUUUUAUAAAAUUUAUUUUCUCAAAUUUUUAUUUUACAAAAUGUUUUGGUUGAAACUAUUUUUUAUCAAACACUUGUCUGAGAAGUUAUUAUUUCUACAACUAUUUAGUUUUAAUAUUUUAUAUCUAUAGCGAAAAAAGAAAAACUAAUGUUACAUCACUUUCACCAAAAAACAUUUCUACAUAUCACUUUCACCAAUAAAUAUUUCGACAUUAUUCGACCUUUAGUUUUGGAAAGCCUUAUCAAAACACUCAGUAAUUAAAAGGAUUAGAGAUGGACUUUGUUUAAUGAUAAAAGUUAAUUAAUAAUUGCUAAUUUCUAUAUUUUUGUAGUGAAAAUUCAAUGAAAUAAUAUUAUUUUCAAUCUUUAAUUCAUAUUGUUUCAAAAGACUGUUAUCGUUCGGCAAUCAUCAAACAUCAAAAAUAUCUUUCAUUAAAAAUAACUUUGUAGUUCAUAUGAUAAUUAAAUAUAUUUAUGGACUAAUUAUCUUAUUUUUCAUCUAACAUCUCUCAAAAAUUUUGCAGCAACGUCAAUUAAAAAGCUCUGUUGAUCAGCCCAGAAAUCAUGAGUGAUUCUCAAUAAAGACGUAGUAUUGGAAAAAUGGGGACAAUGUACUAUUUCUCCUACUUAACUACUUACAAGUUUUAAUUUAGUUGAAUGGUUUUUUUGUUUUUAAUAAAUUGUUGGGUUUUUAAAGCAUUUUAAUAUUAAAUUUGCAAUUGAAAUGUUGCAUGUUGACGUGCAUUGAAGUGCUGCAUACUGAAGUAUAUUUUGAUCUUUAUCUUCCAUGUUUAAUUGUGGAAGAAUGCAUGUGGCAUUUUUCUUUGGUAACUUUUGUUACAUCUCACUAAUUAUUCACUCAUUGUUCUAUCUCUUUAUGUUUUAUAACUCAGGUAACUUAAAAGCAUUCAUCUACCCACAUUCCUCUUAUUCAUUAUUUCGCCUAUGAUAUAGAAAAAGCAAAAAAGAAAGAUAUAGUAUUUAUAUUUUCAGUUUAGUAGAUAGCUGCACCCACUACACCACUGAUCAUACCUUGCAAGAAAUCAAAAUAUUCCAAAGUAUCAGGUACAAUAUAGGAAACAUAAAGAGGCCAAAGAAUCCUUGACCUUCUUCUUUUGGAAAAAUUAGAAUGAGAUGCAAAGUGUCAGCACUAUAUUGAUUCUACAACCAUCAUAGGCUUAAUUUGUCGUCUUCAUCAAUAUCCUUUAUUCUCCAGCUUGCUGUACCCCACUGUAUAAGUCAUUCAUCUUCCUGAUGGUCCACAAAUUUAGCAUAGUAUAGUCCAAAAGUAAUACUAAUUGGAUAAGGGUGAAACUUAAAAGAGUAUGAAUGUUAUGUUUUGGAUGAGGAUGGUACUGAAAAAAAGAUUGUCCUGCUAUUAGUUAUUACUAUAGUAUUUUUGUGCCACGGUUGAUAUGCUUAAUCCACCCAAAAUUGCUCGCGCUUUGAAGCAACGGUAAAAUUGUACUCCUAUAACCUAUGAAAAAAAGAUUGUCUCUGCUAUUAGUUAUUACUAUAGUAUUUUUGUGCCGCGGUUGAUAUGCUUAAAUCACCCAAAAUUGCUCGCGCUUUGAAGCAACGGUAAAAUUGUACUCCUAUAACCUAUAGAUCACGAAUUUAACCAUCAUUCUCUUGAGGUAUGACCCUUCUCUUGACUCGGCUAAAUGCAGUAUGCUUCAUCCACCGGACAAGCCCUUUUUUGGUUCCCGUAGUUCUACCUACCACAUUUUGAGGCGUGGGGACACUUAAGCAGUAGUUGAAACAGUCUAGUGGGAAAAAAAUUAGAAAAAAGACUUCGAAUCCUACUUUGAGGAGUCAGAAAAGGGACUCAAUUUAAUGUUUUGAUGACUUUACUCAUUUUUCAUGGUUCCAUUUCUCAGCUUCCUACUCUUAGUUGAGUGUAGUAAAGGAGUAAUCAUGUUUCCCACCUUUCUCGCCUUCAAUAAUAAUUAGUAGUAAUUGGAGUUCAGAGGAACCUCUUGUAUAUUCAUCUUAAAUUAUAGACCAACCCUCUUCAAUUUCCAGCAAAAAAUUGUUAUAACAAUAAGCCAUUAGCAUCCCCCAACUAACGCCAACAUAAAGUUGAGACCAUACAACAUUUUUUAACCCCCUUUCGAGAUUCAGUUCUAAUAAUUAAGUUGAUAUCCUUGUGGUAGAUUCAGUCGUGGAUUUGCGAGAAAGCAGUCACUACUAAACACUUGGCUAUUAGCUAUCAAGGUUAGCGAGGGAUAAAUUAUAUGUUGAAAUUGUGAGGGACUUUGCGAUGUUGUCCCUCAUACAAAUCAAAUAUUUUAAUUUUCAUUUUUUAAAAAAGAAGGAGAGGGACAUCCCUCAUUAAAAUUUGAUGAUAAUAAAAAACUAAUAUUAAAUUUACUAUAGCGAGGGAUUUCCCUUGCUAAAUAAUAACAAAUACAUUCAUAUUUCAAAAAAAAUUUAAAUAUAAAUUUUAAUAUUUUUAUUUUCAUCUUUUCUAAAAUGCGAAGAGGGACGUCCCUCACUAAAAUAUGCUGAUAAUAAAAAAUUAAUAUUAAUUUGUUAUAGCGAAGGAUUUCCCUCGCUAAAUAAUAACAAAUACAUUCAUAUUUCAAAGAAAAUUUAAAUAUAAUUUUAAUAUUUUUAUUUUCAUCUUUUCUAAAAUGCGAAGAGGGACGUCCCUCACUAAAAUAUGCUGAUAAUAAAAAAUUAAUAUUAAUUUGUUAUAGCGAAGGAUUUCCCUCGCUAAAUAAUAACAAAUACAUUCAUAUUUCAAAGAAAAUUUAAAUAUAAUUUUAAUAUUUUUAUUUUCAUCUUUUCUAAAAUGCGAAGAGGGACGUCCCUCACUAAAAUAUGAUGAUAAUAAAAAACUAAUAUUAAAUUUGUUAUAGAGAGGUAUUUACCGCACUAAAUAAUAAAAAAUAAAUUUAUAUUUCGAAGAAAAUUUAAAUAAAAUUUUUAAUAUUUUUUUAGUUGGUGACAAUGCAUUAAUAAAAAAAAUAAAUAAAAAUGAAAUAUAAGUUAUCCAAGGAGUCCUCCAUAAGUUACACAUAACUAUUUUGUGAUUUUUUUCAUUGUAGUGAGGGAAGUUUCUCACUAAAUUAAAUAUGCAAAAUUGAAUAUUUAAUAAAUAACCAUAUUAUAGAUUUGCAGAAAAAACAAUAGCAAUGAUAUCAAUUAUUUGAUCACUCAAUAAUUGCUUUAAAACUUUUUUUUCUUUUCAUACUAUUAAAUUACAUUAUUUUUCUACACAUAACCAAAAGCAUAUGUGUGUGUGUGCGCGCACGCGCGUGUGUGUAUAUAUAUGUUUUAGUGAUAAUUAGAAUAAGUAGAAAUGUUUUAGUCGUAUUCUUAAUAAAAGUUGAUGAAUUAUAUUAACUUAUAAUUAAUUUGAUAAUGGAAAAAAAUGGUCUAUUAGUGGUAUAAGUAAUACUAUAAGUAAUGGAUUAGCUUAUAAUUGAUAUUGUAUUAAUAGAAGUGAACUAGUGAUAUUUUUAUGUAAUGUUAUUGACUGAUCGUCGAAUAAUUUAAUGACUACACUAAGUAGAGAUAUACCACGAGAUAUUAUUGAUUGAUUAAUCUAUAUAUCAAUAACUACAGCAAAAUAAAAGUGUAUCUUUAAUAUCUUUAUUAAAAUAAUAUUGAUUGAUUAACUUAUACGAUAGUUAAACUAAGUAAAAUUUAUUAAUGAUUUUUAGAAAUAUUAUUGACUGGUAAGUUAUACAUUGACAAUUAUACUAACUGUAAGUAUUAGCAAUGUCAUUAAGUAAUAUUAGUGAAUAAUAUAUUAAUAUAUAUUUUGACAACUAUACUAAUUAAUAUUAGUGUAUUACUAAUAUUUUUAAGAAUUAUUAUUGAUUUAUCAACAUAUCUAUCCAUUUAUCUAUACUAUUAUAAAAAUAUGAAUAUAAAUGUUGGUUGACUAAAAUAUACUUCAAAUAUUGAAGGACUUUUAUACUCUAAAUAUUUAAGUUAAAUUAAGAUAAAUUUGCCAAAGANNNNNNNNNNNNNNNNNNNNNNNNNNNNNNNNNNNNNNNNNNNNNNNNNNNNNNNNNNNNNNNNNNNNNNNNNNNNNNNNNNNNNNNNNNNNNNNNNNNNNNNNNNNNNNNNNNNNNNNNNNNNNNNNNNNNNNNNNNNNNNNNNNNNNNNNNNNNNNNNNNNNNNNNNNNNNNNNNNNNNNNNNNNNNNNNNNNNNNNNNNNNNNNNNNNNNNNNNNNNNNNNNNNNNNNNNNNNNNUUAAUAUAUAUUUUGACAACUAUACUAAUUAAUAUUAGUGUAUUACUAAUAUUUUUAAGAAUUAUUAUUGAUUUAUCAACAUAUCUAUCCAUUUAUCUAUACUAUUAUAAAAAUAUGAAUAUAAAUGUUGGUUGACUAAAAUAUACUUCAAAUAUUGAAGGACUUUUAUACUCUAAAUAUUUAAGUUAAAUUAAGAUAAAUUUGUCAAAGAACAUCGUAAAAUAGUAUUAUCCUAAUUUACUUUGGCUAGGAAGUAUUCUAAUCCAAAACUUUUUUCAAGAACUCAUAUUCUCACAAAAAAAAUAAAUAUAAGGUCAAAGGAUUAAACUAAAGAAUUAUCCAAAAGAUAAAAAAAAAUUAAAGAAAUACCCCUCAUAAUACAUAUUAUCCUAAUAUACUUUGAGUGGUGUAUCGUAAUCCACAAAUGUUUUCAAGAAAUCAAUAUUUUAGCGGUAAAAUAAAUUACAAAAUUCGCCUUUUCAAUAAUUCUAACUCAACAAUGUGAUUUUUUUUUUACAUGAAUUUACUUAAUCAUUAAUUUGCAACUCAUAUAUAUGGAUGUUCACGAGUUUUAUAUCUCAACUCUCCAUUGUUAUAUUUAUUUAGCAAAGCUUUUAGUAACAAUGGUUGAUUCACAAUCAAAAUUUUUUAAAAAAAUGAAGUACCAUCUUAUACUGACUUCUUUCCUUUUUAACUUGUCACAAUUCACAUUAUAAGAGUCAAUUUGGCAAAUAACUAUAAGAAAAAUACUAUAAGGUUUAAUGUGAUUAUUUUCAUAUUAAUAUGAUGAAAAAACACAUCUUAUAAAAUCGGUCAAGAAUCAAUUUAGCUUUUAAUGAUAUUCUCAAUAAAUAUCUCAUUAAUUAAAUAAGUAUUUAUUUACCCAUAUUUUCAUACUAGGGGGCGAGGCAUGUGUUAGCACGGGCUCAACAUCAAAUAUAUUUAAAAUUUGAUACCAAUUAGAUGCUAAAUUAUAAGAAUAAUAUAUGAUAAUUUGGGAGACUUUUUUGGUUUCUAACUAUUGUAAUUUAUAAUGUUUUUUUAUAUAAUUUUCAAAUAAUAUGCGUUACUCUCCUUGUUCAAACUUUUAUGGCAUUGAUAAUCAAUUAUAUUUUUAAAUUAAUUUAAGUUAUUAAUUAAUAUGAUUUAUAAUACUUUUCUUCUAUUUCAAUUUUAGUGGCACUGAUAUAAUUUCAUGAGUCAACCAAAUAUUCUAUAUUUUUAAAAUUUUUAAGUUGUUAAUUAUUAUAAUUUAUAGUAUUUUUUACGUACUUUUUAAAAUAUAUAACAAAUUAAUUUUUUGGGGGAUAUUUUAAGUUGUUAACUAUUGUAAUGUAUAAUACUUUUUAUGUAAUUUUCAAAUAAUAUACGUUACUCUCCUUGCCCAAACUGUUGUAGCAUUAUAGUUAAUUAUAUUUUAAAAAUAAUUUAAUUUUUUAAUUAUUGUGAUUUAUAAUACCUUUUCUUUAUUUUAAUUGAAGUGUCACUGAUAUAAUUCCAAGAAUCAACCAAAUAUUUUAUAUAUUUUAAAUUUUGUAAGUUGUUAAUUAUUGUGAUUUAUAGGAAUUUUUAUGUUGUGUUUGGAAAUAUAUAACAGAUAAAAAAAAUAAAAUGGAGAAAAAAAAUGAUGCCAAGGAAAAGGACCAAUGAAGUUAUGUCAAAGAAAACAAGUUGAUCGUUAAAUUUUUUAAGUUAUUAAUAAUUUUGAUUUAUAAUUUUCUUUUACGUAUUUUUUUGAAAUAUAUAACAAAUAAUUUAUUUUUAGAUAUUCUAAGUUGUUAACUACUGUAAUUUAUAAUACUUUUUAUGUAAUCUUCAAAUAAUAUAUAUCACUCUCCUUGUCCAAACUUUUGUGGCACUGAAAGUCAAUUAUAUUUUUAAAAUAAUUUAAGUUCUUAAUUAUUGUGAUUUACAAUACUUUUUUUUCUAUUCUAAUUUAAGUGUCACAGUUCUUAGAUGACCAUAAUAAUUAAUUAUGGGUGAUAUAGUAAAAUCAUGAUUGAGACAAUGAAGCAUACAUGUCUUAAAUGACUUGCAACAACCAAUUAGAAGUGAUAUAACAAAAUUACUAUAAGAAAAUGCUUAUGAAAAGAUUAUCAUUUUAUAUCUAUUUUAUCUUUUUUAUUAAAUAAGAUUAAUUUUUUAAUAUUUAGAUGACUUAUAAUAAUUAAUUAGGGUUGAUAUUUAGUAAAGUUACUGUUGAAGCAGCUGAAUCAGACAUGUCAUAAGAUGUCAAGUUAAUUUAAAACAUCAAGAGUUAAUUUGUUAUUUAUGUCUAUUUUAUAGUUUUUAUUAACUAUUUUUUUUUAAUGUUACAUAACUUAUAAUAAUUAAUUAGAGGUGAUAUGAUAAAAUUACGGUUAUAGCAGCUGAUGCAUACACGUCAUAAAUUUCUAUUUUAUUUUUUAUUAAAUAUUAUUAAUUUUCAAUAUAUAAAUGACUUAUAAUAAUUAAUUAGGGUGAUAUAAUAAAAUCAUGGUUGAAGCAAACAUGUUGAAGCUAGCUGCUUCAACAGGUGCCGUCAUAAAUAGUUAUUUUAAUUUUUUAUUAAAUGUUAUUAAUUCUUAAUAUAUAAACAACUUAUAAUAAUUAAUUAGGAGUGAUAUAGUAAAAUCACGAUUAAAGCAAAUAGCUGAAGCAGACGCUUCGAAACCACCUAAAUAUAGAAAUAAUUAUAUAUCAAGUAGGUGUGUAAGGAUUAUGGGUGAAUCAAUAUAUAAAAUGGCUCAUAUUUUAAUAAAAAUUAAAAUGACAAGAAUUUGAAUUAAAUUAACCCUCCAAACAAACCCAAAAAAAAACGUGGCUUAAAAUGACAAGGGUUUGGGUUAAAUUAAUUCUCCAAAUAAAAAAAAAUAUGGCUUAGCUUUUUCCUCCAACUGCUUCCCAACAUUAUUUUCCACCAUUUUUUCCCUAAGUAAAGUUAAUCAAUUUACUAAAAAUUAAAAUUGUUAGGAUUUGGUUCCCCUUCUUUCUCCCAUUAUUUCCCACCAAUUUUUUAAAAUGCUUUCAUGACAGAGUUUGGGUUAAAUUAUAAUUUCAUAUGUAAACCCUACAUUCUAAUUUGGGCGUUGGUUGGACUAGGCAGAAGCUCCGACGUCACCGUGCUGGUCGUUGGGUUGGAUUUCGAUAAUCUCUCCUUGCUAAUUGAGACUCUUUUUUCACAUUAACGAUACUUUUCACCUUUUUGAUUGAGUAAUUACAUGCCUUUUUGUUUGAAAAUAUAUUUUACCCAAUUUUUGUUUUGGGUAUAUUUAAUAACUGUAGAUAUGCUUAUUCUUUGUCAUCAAUCUAAUGUUUUUUAGAUUUUUCCGCAACUUUUCAUAUUCUAUUGUAUCUAGUAUCGUGUAUUCCAUGUCUGUUUGUGACACGAUGUAUCCUGUGAUAAUGUAUAAGUUGUAAGGGGAAAAUAUGGGCAACUUCCUUUGUUUUGAGCUAGAGAUAAUUUGAACUUUAUGUUUAGUGUUAUUGUUUGUUUUUUGUAUAUAAUUGGUGGUCAUUAUGAAUAUGAUGUUGCCAAGUACAAGUUGAACAUAUUCGGUGUUCACAUCCUAUUGAAACAACUACAAGUUUAGCUUUGAACUUACAAAGAUUUUUAAAAGCCAAAAUGUCAUGGAUUUUAGCUAGUAUUUUCUCUUAUAGACUUCUGCUUUAAAGCUAAAAGUUAGAAUUUGUUUCUACUAACUCAGCACAUUGUUGUUGGAGAAUUUUUCUCCAUAAAAACCAUCUGCAACAAUUAUUUUAGUCCAUCAAGUUCUUAUGGGAUUGAAACUAUCCCUUUUGAGGAAGAACAGGGAAGCUUGUUGUUAACAACACAACAUGAAAAGCUCCACAACUACUCUCUCAUUCUGAUCCUUUAAGCCUACUCCUAGUUUUCCUAGGUAACUUAACAGGCCCGUUUGAAAUUAAUAGAAAGGAAAAAAUUACCAGAUCAAAUAAUUGAUGCUGGGCUAAGUAUAUAGUUUUCAUAGAGGUAGCAUCAUUAGACCGAAUUCUUUCAAGAAAUUCAGAGAAUAUGAUUAGCUCUUGCUUCCAUUCCGGGCACAAAUAGGUCCUUCCAACCUGGAAGAUGGUUUAACUCGAUAUCAUGAUGUUACUAUUAUCUAAUUCCUAGCAUAUUCUUUCGCUUAAUGAUGUUGUGCCAACAUUCUUACUUAAUGUUUUGUUACCAUUAGGCGAAAGAAUAUGCUAGGAAUUAGAUAAUAGUACACUGCUGCAGUGUUGAAUAGCUAUAGCUAAGUUAAAAUAAAAGUAUUGGAAGUAUUAUUAUAGUCAAGUGCUUUCUUAAGUAUCUCUGACAAGAGGGGUUGUGCGGAUGGUAAGUACUCUCCACCUCCAGCCCUAAGAUGUGGUUUGAGUCAUUAAGAGAGCAAAAAGUGUGAGAUCCAUUGCUUUGAAUAAUAGUUAUACUUGCAGAUAGUCAUCAACACCCUCACGAGUGUGAAGAAGCUCGGUUAGCCUUGACAUAACUGUUGGUUUUCAACUAAUAAAGGAGGUAGUCAUCUAUUUGUUCCUGAUUGCUGAAGUUAGAUUGUUUUAUAAGCAAAAAUAGAAUACUUUGUGUUUAUUUUGGAAAGGUACCUUCUUUAUCAUAAAGGAGACAGAAAAAGAAUAUUCUGAAAUUGGGAACAUUCACACUUGUAAUACAACAAGAAAUGUUUUACUGAUAACUUAUUAAAACAAUGAAAGUUGGUAUCUUCUUUGUAAGAUUAAAUAGAAAACACAAUAAAUUUGAUAAAGACAAAUAGAAAGACAUUAAUGCUUAAUAGUUAAUCCUAAAGUAAACACACAGAUAUCAUAAUGAACUAGACAUAACAAGAUAUUGGUGGUGAUAGUUAAAAUGACUUUUUAAGCUCUGGGCUUGAGCCGCCCUUGUUGGCUAACUUGAAUAGAUGAGCCUGAGAUACUGCAGCCCUGUCUAAACAGAGUGCUGCAGCAAAAUUGUUCUAAAAUCAUAUCAUUAAGUGUUAUAAAAUGCUGCAUAUUGAAAUUAAGAGUGUAAACUAAUAGUCAAAUCAAGCUUAUAGGAAAAAAUGUGAUUACGCAGUCCAAAAUUAUAGCUAGCUCUCCACUUCCUUGACGGAAUAUGAGAAUUGUUUCAUACUAAAAAAGUGUCUCUUGCAAGCAAUGUCAACUCUACUGCAUCCAAAAUGUGAAAUAGUUCUAUCUCCUAUUUUCUUUCUAUAAAUUUACAUUACUUCUUUCUAAAUUAGUUGCUUAAAAUGUGUUUUUCUUAAGAUAGUUGAUGGUUAAUAUGUUGAUCAAAGUUAAGAGUAGCUAUGAGAUUCGAUAAUGAUACAACACUUUCGAAUUUAAACAAGUAAUGGAUAAUGAUUACUUUCUUCUUCCCAAACAAAACUUUAGCAUCUUUAUAUUUUAGCUUCCUUCGUUAUGACAACAUUGUGAGUUCACUGACAUCUCUUUAAGACAACUUCUAACGUCUUGGACUCGGCUUCUGUGGUCAUGUUAUCUUUAUUCUCCAUAAGUUUUUUUCCAUUGCUUUUUUCACAACCAACAUCACAUGCAUCAUUCAUCUUAUCAGGAGUUGGAAUGUCUAGGGACCCAAUGUCACUCUUUCGGGAAUUUCUUUUAGACCUUUUUAGAUGAAGAUAAACUUGUUUUGCAACCAACAUCUGAUGCAUCACUCAUCUUAUCUGGAAUUAAAACAACUAGGGACUCAAUGUCACUCUUUUUGGGCUUUCCUUUUAGACCUUUUGAAUGAAGAUACUGGUAAUUAUUUAUACAUUUUAGAUGGAAGUAAAUUUUUUAUGCAAUUGUGGUCCACUAUGUUUAUUUCAUUUACAAGAAGCAUCUCUUGAUAGAUUAGCCACUCGUGAAGAGGUAUGGAAGAAGACCCAUAUGAAAAUUAGAGAUAGAGAAGAAGUCUAGGUUGAAACACGGGCAGAAGAUACUUAUGUAAGUUCACAUCUUACUUAGAAUUUAUUUUAUAUCAUUUAUUAUAUACUAAUUUUACUUUUAAUAUAGAAUCGAUACUUUCAAGCAAUUGAAGAGAUCAAAAGGAGUCGACUGACAGAUGAUCAAGAUAAUUCAAUCAUGCCAUCUGGGGAAGAAACUCUCUCAUGCUGGUUGGAUAUAGUUGGGGGCGUAUGUAAGGAAGGGCAUAUGACCUUUUCUCUAAGAAGAACUUUUAACGUCUUUAGUGUGGAUUGCAAGGUAUAGGGAGUUCUGCCAUCAUAUGAGCAAUUUGAGGAGAUGCGACAUGAAGUUCGGGAGCUUGCUAGGAAGUAUGAGGAAGAACGAAAAAGAAGGAUGGAGGAGUGGCGUAGGGCGACACUUGAGUUAGACGUCAAAGAAUUCAAAGCUCACGUAAAUACCUUGAUGAUGAUGGUGGAGAGGAUGAAAUUGAGUAUUAGGUGGCAUUGUUGUUUUAGGUUUCAAUUUUGUUAGUUUGGAGUGUUUGAAAGAAUUUGUUUGGUGAUUCUUUGCACACUUUUUGAUACUUGUUUGCACAUUGUUUAAGUUGGAUGAAUAUGUACGAAGUUUGGUUGCUUAAUUUUAAUGUUUGAAUUGUUUCGGAAAUGUUUUUCUUAUUGUUUUGCUGGUUAAUAUUAGUUGUAUGUUGAUUUUCUAUUUAAAUAUUGAGUUUUAGUGCAGUAAAAAACUAAUAAUAAUACCAAAUUGGCAAGGGAGCUAUAUCGCNNNNNNNNNNNNNNNNNNNNNNNNNNNNNNNNNNNNNNNNNNNNNNNNNNNNNNNNNNNNNNNNNNNNNNGCCUCUCACUAAAUAAUAAAUUAAUAUUAUAUAUAUUUUAAUAUAGCAAGGGAUGCCCCUCACUAAAUAAUAAAUUAAUAUUAUAUAUAUUUUUAAAUAUAGCAAGAGACGUCCCUCACUAUAUUAUAUUUUUUUGAAAAAUUGUGAGAUCAAAAUAGCGAUGGUUGAGUGUCGGAGUCCUUCACUACUUUGCGAGAGUCUCCCUCACUAAUAAUUAGCAAGGCUCAAAUUAGCAAGAUACCUUGUAGUGAUGGCUGCCCUCACUAAAUCUUGAUUAGUGAGGGACGUCACUCACUAAAUCACAUGGCUAAAACAAGACUUUUUAGUAGUGAGUGUUCCAAAGCUUCAUUGUAUCUUUAUAAGACUCAUCCCUACCAGCUUGCAGAGUAUCAUAUAGCUGAGGCUUUACUUGUGAUAUUGAGGUCUAAACAUUGCACUUCAUAGUCAAAUGCCAAUUCAAGAAAUUGGCACUAGCUAUAAUCUGGCAAAAUACUCCAAGCAUUCGAAAGCUGAGAACUGUUCAAGUUUGCUGUUACCUUUCAAAGUUGUCAUCUGAUUGUGUUUCAAAUAGGUGUAUCAAAUCUAUCCCAUGAAAAUAUGAUCCCCAAAACAAAUCAAAUCAACCCUUUCAAUAGGGAAACACAAAACAUAGAACACAAAAGUAUUGUGAGAGUUUCAAAAGGAAGGGGAAGUUAGAGUCGGCGAGGAGAAGGUUCGUUCGUAGAAACUCAUUUGUACAGACAUAAAUUCAGAUAUAUUAAAAAAAGGAAAACUAAUCUUAAAUCAUGCACUGAAAGGACUCAGUAAAACACAAAUUAAGUACUUCAUUUGGAUUCCACUCCAGCAAAUUUUGGUUGAUUAGAUACCUCAACGUCCCUGUAGCCUAAAGUUACUUCACCUAAGACACCAAAAACACACUUCACCAUAGAACAUAGAGCAAUUUCUUUUUUCUCAAGAACAAUUUCCAAGACAACUGUCUAUGCAACAUAGAUUCCUUCUCACAUCGUAGGCAUAAAUAUACAAGGCUGUUUUUCUUUUCAUUUUUGUAGUAAUCAAAAAAUACAAGACUUCAUAGGCAUCUGAAUUCAUACUACAAGCUGAAAGAACCACCUAAUCAGAAAUUUAACUGGUACGAUCUAUAUAACUAUCGUAUACUCACCAUACUUCAACCCAACUCAAAAUCAAGAAAAUUAGAACAACCAAAAGAAUGCCAGGAUGAUGGCACAGUAGGCAGUAGCUUCUAAGCUCUCAAGUAACUGUCUCAAAGACCUCAAGCAGAAGCUGUUGCCUUCUUCCUUAGAGCUGCUUCAGUACCUGGACAAACAGCAGUUAAAAGGUGUAUUAUUAUCUCAUACAAGUUAAAGACCAAAUAUUCUUGAUCAUUAAUUGUCAAUGUCUACACCAACAACUUAGUCGAACUAAAAUAGGAAAGAUCACUCUGAAUUAUAGAUGUGCAUCUUUCACAAUCACUAACAAUUUUCAUGCAAAAUAUUUUGUGAAAAACAGCUUUAUAUUGAAAGUUUAUUUCAUAGAACUAUUUGCAGCAUUCGGUUGGGUACAAAGUCACCAACCGUACUCACUCAUACAAGGUGGACGACAAAGUGUAACAAUAGUGUUAAAUACUCCCAUCGAUCCCAUUAUGUGUGCCUCUUUCAUUUUUUAGUUAGGACCGAAGAAGGUGACUUUUUGUCUUUAGUAACAAUUUAACUUUAAACUUCUUAUUUUACCGUUAAAGAGUGAAUUUAUAGCCACACAAAUAUCAACCGCUUAUUUUGGACAAUAAGUUUCAAAAAUAUUUCUUUCAUUCCUCAUGACCAAUCAAACACCUUUACAUAAAUUGGGACAACGUGAGUAGUUGUGAUUAGGAUCCCCUCCAGUAUCUGUUUCCUCCUGCUGCUCCAAUAACCUUGUUGACUUUUGACAUGUGUCACUUGUUAAAUCUCACUGGCCAAACCAGCUACCUCUCUUAAUCAAUAUACACACACAAAGCCUCCCUCAUCUUCACUCUUCCUACUAAAGCAAGUACCAAACCCAUCACUACUAUUGCCAACAUUGCAAACUCUAUAUACCACAUGCCCCAAAUCAACAAGGGUACUAGAGAAAUGGGAGGAAACAUGUACUGGAGAGUAUAUCCUAGCCUCCUAUACUAGCAUUGAAGGUUGAAAACAAUAUCUAAAUGUUGAUUAAGUAUAUGGAUCUGUAAAGUAAAAUGACACUUAUCUAUAACUAGGGGAAAUCUUAAUAAAAAAACAAAGUAAUAGAAAGAGAGAACAUGUUAAUGGGCUAUUUAUUUCGGCUAGAAAGGUUAAAUAUCAUUAUUUGAUGCCAAAUUGGAUCAUAAAUUGUUACAUUUUGUCAGUUUACCAUUAUUUUAUGUACAAAUUAUUUUGUAAGUACUUUUUUAACUAUUUAUUGUAAAUUGUAAUUGUAUCUCUUUAUAUUUAUUGAAUUAAGUUUUUAAUUGUAAGUUGUAGCAGUUUUUUAAAAAAUAUUUUAAAACAUUUUAUUUAAAAUUUAUCUAUUAGAUAUAUAUUUUAAUUAACAUCUCCCUUAAAUAUUUGCAUUUAUCUUUCUCCCUCAUCUGUUUCCUUAAAUAAAGGAUUGAUAAUAAAUUCUAUUAUGAAAUAUAAAUAAAGAACAACAAGAAUAAAUAGAGAAAGAAGACAUAAGACUUCUUUAUUUCUCUUGAGGGAUGAGAGAUUAUAAAUUAAUAAUACAAUGAACAAAAUCCAUAGGGAAAAAUGCUCCUAGUUUCUGACUAAAAGGCAAAGACUUUAAAUUCUGAUAGAUAUCAACUAGAUCUUGAUACAUCUUAUUAUAUCUUGAUAGACAUUCACUAUAAUAUAAAUACAUUUAUAACACUCCCCCUUGAAUGUCUAGAUAGAUAAUGUACCUCGUUAAAACCUUACUAAAAAAAAUCCAGUGGAAAAAAAAUCUAGUGAAGGAAAACGAGUACACAUAUCUAACAAUACGCAUAUCGGCUACCUCAUUAAAAACAUUACAAGGAAAACCCAGUGGACAAAACGUCAUAAGGGUAAAAGAAUACAACGCAUAUUAACUCCUCCCAAUGAGAACAUCCUUGAACCUUUGCAUUCUGAACUUGUGCACCAUCUUUCUUGAAAGUUGAAAUUGGAGGAGACUUGGUGAAUGAAUCAGCCACAUUGUCACUUGAAUGAAUCUAUUGCCUGUUAAUAUCAUCAUUCUUUUGUAGCUCAUGUAUGUAGAAUAGAUUUGAUGAAGUAUGCUUCAUUGUAUCUCCUAUAAAUCCUCCAUUAAGAUGUGCUAUGCAUGAUGCAUUAUCUCCGUAUAAAAUUGUGAGUAUAUUGUCAUAUUUCACACCACAUUUUUCUCGAAUGAGAUGUAUCAUGGACCUCAACCAUACACAUUCUCAGUUUGCUUCAUGAAUAGCUAUUAUCUCAGCAUGAUUUUAAUGAAGUGGCUACGAUAGACUGUUUUGUAUAUCUCCAAGAUAUGAACCCCCCACAUAUGAACACAUAGCCUGUUUGAGAUCGAGCUUUAUGCAGUUCAAAUAAGUAUCCAGCAUCAGCAUGACCAAUAAGAUUGAGACUGCAUUCUUCAGAAUAAAAUAAACUCAUGUGUUUUAUCUCAUUAUGAUGUCUCGUAGUAGGAGCAGAAAUAUACCUUGCUAACAAAUUGAUUGGAAAAGCUAUAUUAGACCUUGUAGUAUUUGCAAGAUACAUGAGUGCACCACUUGCACUAAGAUAUGGUACUUCAUAACCAAUCUAAUUCGGUAUAUUUCUCAUUUUAGUAAAUAAUCUAUUUCUUUGAAAACUCUCCAAGAGUUUCAAUAAUUUUCAAGCUAUAAGCUUAUACAAUAUAAGGAUUAUCAAUAAGUUUGCCAGAAACUUUUAUAUUUUGAAUCCCUAAAGAAUUUUUCAUAUAAGUUUUGUCAAGUAACAAUAUUCAACAUUUCAUGUGUGACAUCUUCAAGUGUCUAGACUGCAAAUCAAAUAAGUUUUACGUUUACUAAGAUGCAUCCUUUCAUGUCAAUUGAUAAAUGUUUCUACGUCAGUCUGCUGAAAUAAAUGUAGAAUUCAAAUCCUCAUAAUCUCUCACAAUAUUGCGCUAGUAUUGUGGUUCCUGACUCAAAACCAACUUUGAGGAAAAAUUAAUCAUAAUUUAUUACUUUAAACAUACAAGUACUUUUGUAUAUUAUAUUUCAAACCAACACAUGAAACUUUUGUUCUCAUUAGCAAUGGUUCAGCCAUUUAUCGAAGGCAUUCAAUGCUAAACCAUCAUCAUCAAGAUAAAUUUUCUUGAUUACACAAUCUGAAAAUUAUGCUCUUAACUCAAUCUUAUUGAGCAGUAACUUUAUAAAUGUCAAACUGCGAGUUGACAAUAAACGUACAAGUGAUCAUCUUAUAGCAAUGCAUCUUAAUAGAUCACAUGACAGGUGAACGGAUUCUUAUUCACCUUUUAUAGUUUUCAGAUUUGAAGUGAUCCAAUUCCAAUAUUAGUUGGUCCAACCAACUUAUCAUGAGAACAAACAACAUAAAUAAUUCUUGAAGAAUCUUCUAUUUCUUCAACAUAUGUCUAAUACUCAAUCUGAAUAUUUUUUUUGAAAUGUCGCAAUCGUUCAUGUCAAUUUAUGUACUUUUAAUCUAGUAAACUCCAAGUUUACAUGACCUGUGCUUUUGCGUUAGUAAGUUUCAAAUUUACUAUGACAUGAGUAAAUUUUAAAUUUACUACUUCAGAAUAGAUUUUAAAAUAACUCUUCUCAGUUAUUCUUCUUCAUUCGGAGGUGAGUUGUGAUACCAUCAAUUCUCAAUUAUUAUUCUUCAUUCAGAGGUGAGUUGUGAUGCCAUCACAAUAAAUUCUCAAUUAUUCUUCCUCAUUCAGAGGUGCUUUGUGAUAUCUUCACAACAAAAAAUAUGUUAGAAUAUAUAUACAGUCACAUUCACCCCAGGGUAUAGAUCUGUAUUUAUAAUAAUUGAAAUUUGUAUUUCAAAAAAUGGAAUAUAAUCAUGCAUUAAGUGUAUCAAAUUAUGAUAGUUACUACAAAAACAAUUUGAGGCAUACAUAUGAUUUAUUGCUACCACAUUCAAUUCAAGGAAUGGAGCAUAUUUAAUGAGACAUGUUUCAUUAAAUAUCCAUUAUUUAGCCUUAGCCAUCAUAAUAUUAUCAAUAUGGUGCAUUGAGAUUUAAACUCAACGUCUUAUUCAUAUAAAGGCAUCUUAGGUUAUAAAUUGAUGGAACUUGAAUCCAACAUCUUAUUUUCAUGAUGCAUCGAGACUCUAAUUCAAUGUCUUACCCCGUUGAUGUGAUAAACUUAAAUUCAUCGUCUUACCCUCAAUCAAUAAAAAAAAAAUACCCAAUUACCCCCUAAACUAUACCCAAAAAGGCUAUGACACACCUCAACUUAAAGGGGGUCCUAUUACCUCUCUGAACUAAUUAAAAGUGUAAUUUUGACACCCUUAGUGCCUACAUGGCACAUACAUGGCACACAUGUGUGCCUACGUGGACACUUCAGUGUGUUGUGCCACGUAGGCACUAAGGGUGUCAAAAUUACACUUUUAAUUAGUUCAGGGGGUAAUAGGACCCCCUUUAAGUUGAGGUGUGUCAUAACCUUUUUAGGUAUAGUUCAAGGGGUAAUUAGGUAUUAUCUCAUCAAUAAAUAGGCUAAAAUACAUGACACAUAUUUGAUCUAUAAUAAUCACUACCCUAGAAGAAAAAAAAUUAUUUCAACAUUAUAAUAAUGUCAAUAUUUAUAACUUUUUUUUUUCUUUUUGAACUAACAAGAGAACAUAUUCUAGUUGGCAGUUCCUAGGAGUCAUGCAAGCCAAUAAAAAGUUAAUAAUCCACAACAUAACAUAUUUAUUUAAUCAUCAUAGCAUAAACUUAAAACAUAUAGAAUUACUUUUAAUUCUUAGAGUUAGCAAGUUAUAAAGAUAGGUAUCGAUAUUUGAGUAAUUUCCUAAUAACAACUUUUAUUAUGGCAAUCAAGUGCUAAACCAAAUUACAACUAAUAACUAAUUCAAGGUUAGGUACAUCAGCAGUUGCAUGGAUCUCAUAAAAAAAUGACGAUUUGCUUCUGUCAUAAUUUUAAAUACAACAGAGAGAAGCAAUAACCGGGAUAAUUAAAACGAGCUAAUGAAAAGAUGAUGUUAACAAAAUACCUGGUAUAAUUCUUACCUUGAUAUUUCUUUAACAUGUUUAUUCAAGACAUUAUCGUGCUGAUUAUUUACAUAUCUUGAGAAUUUUUUUGCCGAGUUGCUCUUUAUACUUAAUUGAGAACAAUCGUCUAAGAAUAAAGAAGAGGAACAGAGAGAAUAGAGAGAGUAAUUAUUAUUUCUCUUGAGGGAUGGAAGAUCACCUUGAUUGUUAAGAAUACAAUGAACAAAACCCCUCUAUUUAUAAGGAAAAUUACUCCUAGUUUCUGACUAAAAGACAGAUACUUCAAAUUCUGAUAGAUACCAAUUAGAUCUUGAUAGAUCUGAUUAGAUCUUGAUAGAUAUUCACUAUAAUGUAAAUACAUUUAUAACACUCCCCUUGAAUGUCUACAUAGAUAAUGUGCCUUAUUAAAACCUUACUAGAAAAAACCCAGUGGGAAAAAAAAUUUAGUGAAGGAAAAAGAGUACACAUCUCUAACAAUACGCAUAUAGGCUGCUUCAUUAAAAACCUUACAAGGAAAACACAGUGGGACAAAACCUCGUAAGGGAAAAAGAGUAUAGCACGUAUUAACUCCUUCUAAUUAGAACAUCCUUGAGUCUUUGCAUCCCAAUGUUGUGCACCAUUUUCUUGAAAGUGACAAUUGGAGGAGACUUGAUGAAUAAAUUAGCCACAUUAUUACUUGAACGAAUCUAUUGCACGUUAAUAUCACCAUAUUUUUGUAGUUCAUGUAUGUAGAAAAGUUUUGAUGAACUGUGCUUCGUUCUAUCUCCUUUUAUGAAUCCUCCCUUAAGAUGUGCUAUGCAUGCAGCAUUAUCUCUGUAUAAAAUUGUGGGUACAUUGUCACAUUUCACACCAUAUUUUUCUCGAAUGAGAUGUAUCAUGGACCUCAAUCAUACACAUUCUCGGCUUGCUUCAUGAAUAGCUAUUAUCUCAGCAUGAUUCAAUGAAGUGGCUAUGAUAGACUGCUUUGUAUAUCUCCAAGAUAUGACAGUACCCCCACAUAUGAACACAUAGCCCGUUUGAUAUCAAGAUUUAUGCAGAUUAAUUAAUUACCCAACAUCAGCAUAAUCAAUAAGAUCGAGACUACAAAUUGACUGAAAAGGCAAAUUGACUGAAAAGGCUAUAUUAGACCUUGUAGUAUUUACAAGAUACAUUAGUGUGGUGCACCAAUUGCACUAAGAUAUGGUACUUCAUAUUUCUCAUUUCAGCAAAUAAUCUUAUUGCUUUUGAAAACUCUCCAAGAGUUUUAAUGAUUUUUGAACCAUCAAUUUAUCCCCCCAAAGGAUAAUAAACAAGUUUUCUAGAAACUUUAUAUGCUUCAGGAAUUUUGAAUCCUUUAGGGAUUUUCAUAUGGAUUUUUGUCAAGUGACAAUAUCCAACAUGUCAAGUGUGACAUUUUCAAGAGUCUGGACUACAAAUCAAAUAAGUUUUACACUUACCAAAAUGCAUCUUUUCAGGUCACUUGAUAAAUGUUUCUAUGUCAGCAUGUUUAACUCAACGUAGAAUUUAGAUCCUCGUAAUCUUUCACAAUAUUGUAUCAAAGAUACCAUUGACGGUUUCUCAUUUUGUAUCGGUUCAUAAUGUGACAUAGCAUUUUGAGAUCUCAUCACUUCAUUAUUUUCAGGUACCUGAAUUUAUUAUUAGAUUUCAUGAAGUGUUAUGUUAUAAGCUCUUCAACAGCACAUUACUUUCUUAUUAUGAUUAUUUGAUCCUUGUUUCAUUUGGAACCGAUUAGUCAACCAUGCUUCAUGCAUGCAUAGACUUUUUCCUUUAAAUACACAAAAUAGAAGCACUUGCAGCUUAAAUAUAAGAUGCUUUCGGCGUUUAACUUGUAUUAUCUUAUGAAUGAGGAUCUUAUGAUAAUUCCUAACAUAUUUCAUAGCUGCUUAUAAUCUCCCCCUUAUGUUAGGAAAACUAAAAUUCAUCCUCAUCUUCUUUGAGGAUUCCAUCUUUUGUGCAUCAUGGUAUAUUCAUUAAUUGUAUACCGUACAUUAACUAUUAGAUGGACAACAUGUGAUUCCUGACUUAGAACAAACUUUGAGGGAAAAUUAAUCAUAAUUUAUUGGUUUGAUGAAUACAAGUACUUUUGUUUAUAAUAUUUCAAACCAACACAUGAAGCUUUUUGUUCUCAAUGGUUUAACUAUUUAUUGAAGGCAUUCAAUGCAAAAUAAUUUUCAUCAAGAUGAAUUGUCUUGAUUGUACAAUCUGAAAGUUAUGCUCUUAACUCAAUUUUAUUGAGCAAGCAACUUUAUGAAUGUCAAACUACAGGUUGACAAUAAACGCACAUGUGAUCAUCGUAUAUUGAUGCAUCUUAAAUGACCACAUGAUUGGUGAACGAGCCAUAUUCACCUUUUAUACUUUUCAGAUUUUAAGGGAUCUAAUUGUAAUAUUAGUUGGUCCAACCAACUUAUAGCAACAUUAAAAGUAAUGAAGAAUGUUCUAAUUCUUCAAUAUAUGUUCAAUACUCAGUAUGCACAUCUUUGGGAUGAUGCAAUUGUUCAUGUCAAUUUAUGAACUUUUAUUCUAGUAAACUCUAAGUUUACCAUGACCUAUGCUUUUGCUUUAGUAAAUUUUAGAUUUACUAUUCCAUUACUACUUUAGAAGUAGAUUUCUAAAUAACUCUUCUCAGUUAUUCUACCUCUUGCGGAGGUGAGUUGUGAUACCAUCAUAAUGAAGUGCACGUUUGCAUUAAUAUGCUUCUCAUUCCAUAGGAAUAGAAUAUAAUCAUACUUUAAACCUAUCGAAUUUUGAUAGCUUAUAACCUUUUUCAUGAUAGUGCUACUUCAAGAGCAAAUCGAGGCAUAUAUCAUAUAUUGCUACCACAUUCACUUCAAGAAUGGAGAAAUCUUUCAGACUGAUCAUAUAUUGCUACCGCAUUUCCUUAUUGGAAUGGAGCAUAAUUAAUGGGACAGAUUCAUGUCUUUUUAUAAGAAACAUAUGCACUGAGAUUCAAACUCAACAUCUUAUCCAUUUAAAGGCGUCUUAGGCAUAAAUCGACUGUCUUAGCCAUCAUUAUAUCAUCAAUAUGGUGCAUUGAGAUUCAAACUCAAUGUCUUAUCUAUUUAAAGGCGUUUUAGGCAUAAUCGAUUGUCUUAGCCAUCAUCAAUUUAAAAUUGUACAAAUUGUCGCAGUGCGAAUAUAACACUCCAAAAUAUAUUAAUGAACAUAAGUUAAUAUGAACAAACCUAAAACCGUAUAAUAAUAAAAGAAAUUUUUUUACCUUUUACAUAAAAUACUAAUAUAUGUAAGGAUAUAUGGAUUACGAAUACAAACAGAGAAAGAAAUUUUUUCUCAUUAUCCAUUGGCCUAUUGACACUGUAACUUGUUCCCUUUUCUUUAAUCUCUCUAAUUUAAUAGCAUUAAAUCUUUAAGAUAAAGCAGGUAACUCUAAUUUAAUCUUUCACAAUAUCCCCUCAAACUUACACAUCAAACUGCAGCACGAUAUAAAUUCUAUCGUCAAACAAUAUCAGCAUGCAAGUGACAAUGAAUGUAACAAUUACUAAAAGGGGUAAGAAAUUAAAUAAUCAAAACAUUAAGUAAUAAAGAUUAGUUUUGCAAAUCACCAAAAAUAAAAAUUAAUUGAAACGGGUUACCAAUUUACUUCUGUAAAAGAUAAACGAAUUAUCCACAAUCAUGAGUUUACCGUGACCAAUAGAGUUUCGUAAGGAAGAAAACAAUCGCAGAGGUUCUAAUGGCUUGUAUCUCAAAUAGCAAAUCAUGUAUUAACUAAUAUAAUACUAAUUAAUUUCUUCAUGAUUAACAAAACUGAAUGCCAACAGUAUAUAUAUCCAAAGAACACUUUAAUCAAAUCAUUAUAAUGACCAUUAUAUGCCGUGUGUAGACACCUAAUUUUGUCCCUCCCAAGUCCAAUUUUAUUCAUUUUUACCUCACUUUAUCGUAUACCCUCACCCAUGUGAUUAUACCCCACAAAAAUACAAAAAGUAACAACCCUUAACAAACCCAAUCCCCAAUUAUUCUCUUGAUAACAAAUUUUAUCUCAACCAAUUCACACCUAACUACCCUACCCCACCCUCCUACCCACGUGACCCCCUCACAUUUCUUCUCCAAAAAGAAAAAAAAGGGAUAUACACGGGACACACACACAAUUCACGGAGAGCUCACCAUUUUUUUAUACACACAGACGAAAAUAAAAGAGCUGAGGCACAUAUACACAGACCUCCAUUUUUUUUUUUUCCUUGCUCUCACCAUGAACCCACAGAUUACACAUAAAAUCCUCCAUGGAUGAAUAUUUCAACACAGUUUGAUGUUCCAUUAACACCAAAAAAACAAAAAAAAAUUAAAGAAGGCAACACCCACUCACAUACUCUCCACCCACCAUCACUCUUACAUCCCACCCAUCCACCACGGACGCACACACAGAGAGCUAGACAGAAAACACACACAAUACAUGGAGAGAUUUGAGAACGCUACAGAAAAACUAUGAGAUAAAGAAGUAGAAAAAAAUUGAGGGAAGGAAUGAAAUUUCGGAUCGCCAAUCACUAUUCCAGGGAUCUACUCGCCGAAAAAAAUUGAUACAAGCACGAUCACGAAGAUGGACACUUUUGAAUAUUUUGAAUGCAACAUACAGAGUGUAUGAGUUGAAGUGUAAAAAAGGCUCCAAAACGCCCCUCCAAAACUAGUGACUAUUUACUAGAUUGUAAAUUAGUUUUGAAAACCGUUCUUCGUGUCUACGUUCCUUUGUGUGUCUUAGUCUUUUUUUGAGUCAUUGUAAAUAUUUGGUUCACCUAUCAACACCUCUCGGAGUAAAAUCAAGCUUACAACACUUGUGAAAUUAAAGUGUGAGGAAUUUGAGAGGCAAAGAAAUAAAGGAAGAGUGUGAGGACCUUUCUUGUACAACUAAUUUGUUUGUGUUUGGUAGGUAACUUCUUGGCUACAAUGACUAACACCGUUCCUAGUGCUAACUUGGCUGGGGAUGAAACACAAUUGAGCCGAAUAAGAUUGAAGGCAAAUCUCAAAAUGGAGAGAAAGCUAAGGUGCAAGAUGAAGAUAUUUGUCGAGACUUGAAGUUGUUAUGUCCUUGGUUUCUUCUUAUUUUAUGGACUGUUUUGGGAGCCAUUUUCAUUUGGUUUGUGCCAUUACUUUGUGGUCAAAUUCCUCUCAAGAUAGAGAGGAUGAUACAAACCCGAUCACGAAGAUGGACACUUUUGAGUAUUUUGAAUGCAACAUACAGAGUGUAUGAGUUGAAAUGUAAAAAAGGCUCCAAAGUCGCCCUUCUAUUGCACUCCAUGGGUUCCAUUUUGUUCUUUUAACACUAAGGGGCACUUUUUUUAUUUUGUAUCUUAUUGUAAUAAGUCUAUAAAUAGAACAUGUUAGGGUUUUAGCUCAUUAGUUGUUGAAUGUUGAUGAUAGAACACAUCUCUUGAGAGAGAGAGCCUCCCUAGGCCGAAACUAGGAUAUAAGCAAGUGUGGAUUCACUUGUGAAUGUGUAUUGCUUGGAAACGAUGGUUCUUGAGUGAUGGAAUCCCUCUCGUGUCUUCGUAAGAGUGUGGUGUUGCUAUCAUAAGUUCUAGGGGUCCUUAGAUUUAAUAUAUCUUUGGGUUCAUGGGUAUUAUUGUAGUGUAUGUCUCACUAUCUAUCUCUACAUUUUAUGUCUUAGUGUUGUUUAGGGAAACCGUUGGUUUUUGUUGUUCAUGUAUCUUGUAACCGUUUGUUAUUGUUAUUAUCCUUAUCAUAUUAUUGUCUAUCUUCUUGUGUUCAUCAUGUUUUAGUGGCUGUUUUGGUGUAUAAAUACACCUUGUUUCCUUGUAUUUUUGUGUUGCAGUUGUUUGAUAGAAACUAGCUCUCAAAGGGGUCCUCAGAUUCCUCUUAAUUUGUGGACUAUUUUGAGCCUUUUCUUGUGUUCCUUGGUCUUCUUGUAUCAAAAAUCCACCCACAACUCGCCGGAAUCCAGCCUAUUCUAGUCAGUUUCUUGCAUUAUUAGCUCAUCAGAGUAGAUUUAUCAAGGUUCUCAGUUCUCCGUCGAGAAUUGGGUUUGAGUUUCGUCGUUGUUGUUUGAAACGGGUCGGUCAAUUUUGUUCAAUUUAGUUUGGGUUUUGGGUUAUUGAAGUCAGGAGUUCGUUGUUGGGGAGUUUCUGUUUAAGGUAUUUCGGCGCCACUCUAUCAAACAGUUCAAUUGAAAUAAUACGUAAAAUUUGAGGUCCAUUUCCAAUCUUUGCUUUUUUACUUAUUAUUUCUUUGUUCAUAAUAUUCAGUGUUAUGGUUUGGACGUUGUGUAUUGUUUGAGCAUUGUCGAUGGUGAAUAAUUGCUUGAUUUUUUAUUCAUUGAUUGAUUCCGUUGAUUAUCAAUUGCAUGAUGAAAUAGUAUUUCACAUUUAAGAAUUAAAAUUGGUUGUUUGGGGAUGAGUGGAACGAGAACUGACACUUGAUAAAAAUGUUAAUUUUGGUUGGUUUGAUUCAUGAGUUAUUGUUUGACUUGAAAUGAACAUUAAUCAAACUUGAUAGUAUCAUAAUAUGUUAAAAUGGAAAGGCAAACGUAAGUUGGGUAGACAAAGUUUAGAAUUUAUGGUUUUGUUGAAUGGUUUGGUUUUGUCACAUUGAAAAGAUGUAUUUAUUUUGCCGAGGGAUGCCUUAGGACCUUUUGUGCUUAUUUACCAGGGAAUGUACCGACGUAUCAUGUACGUAAAAGAGGUUUGUGUUGAAGGCCCGAGGCCCAGGGUAUAACAUUAGAGUAUAGUUUAGGAUUAGUGUAGGUUUAAUUUUCAAUACUUUUUUACUUCGGUUUGUAAUAAUUGGACUGAACAUUAUAUUUUGGAUUUAUUUUGUUUCGUGUGUUUGAUUGAUUAUUUUUAUGUGUUUUGUGUGGUUUAUACAUCCGUAGUGCUAAAUUAGCCGAAACAUUCCAUCAAGCGACCAUGGUCGAACCACGGGAUCGAGGGGUGCCUAACACCUUCCCCUCGGUCAACAGAAUUCCUUAGUUGGAAUCUCUAUUCACUGAUCAGUUUUAGAGUUAAAAUGUUUAAGGAUUUUUCAAAGGUCACUUGGCACACUAGGUUAUGCCAAGUGGCGACUCUGAAUAAAAAAUAUAAAUAAUCCUUCUUCGAAAUAAAUUUUCAAUCAUUUUAUCAUUUUAAUCAUAAAAACCCUUUCGAAACUUAAAAUGAAUCUUUUUUAUCGAUUAGAAAAGGGGUGUGACAGCUCUGGCGACUCUGCUGGGGACUUUUCAGAAUUCGAGCUUAUUUUUGGAAUUGUAUCGGCUUAGUUUGACAUCAUAGGUUUAUAAACAUUGUUUGUGUUAUCGUUUGUGUUGUCGUUUGUGUUAUUGUUUUUGAGUGCCUACGUGCUCUUCGUUUAUAGUUUUUCUCUUAUGUGUUACCAUUUUAUAUCUGGCAAUAUGUGCAUAACCCGAGUCAAUUCUUUCUGCAACAAGUUCUGUAGUACACGCUAUGUACACGACCUAUAAUUGAGUCACCAUUAUUUUAGGAGGGGGAGCCGUUGGCUGGUAUGGAGUAGGUGGAAAGCAAAGCAGCCACUAUCAACCAUACGUUCCCCUGAAUAGCCUUAUUAGUGAACUCCAGCGUAGGUCGCCUUUAGGUCAUGCUUAUGUGCAUCAUAUUGAGAUCUACCAGGGCCCACUUGGUCCUUUGUAGGAGACUCACCUCUAAAGCAUCCCUAUGUGCUAAAUGUUGCAUCUUGGAGGGUAAUAAGGUCAUUUGACAGACUGAUUUGGGCAAAAACAUGUGUUAGAAGUAAAGUAUGUAUGCAAGAAAUUAUUGAAAAAAAAGUGAAAAGAAGAGAGUUUCGUAGUUUUUUAGAGUUACUUUAUGGCUUUUAUUUUUUUUUAUAAUUCAAAAAUUCAAAAUGAUUUUCUUUCCUUUAUCACACAUUUAUUCAAAAACAAAAAAAUCCUCAAAAAGAUUUUCCUUUUAUCUCCUUUAGCAUGCAUUCAUAAUUCAAAAAAUUUCAAAAAUAUUUUUAGAAGAUUUUUAUAAAAUGAAAAUUCAAAAAAAAAAUGGCAGAAGUUUUGUACAUUUCAUAUAACGAAAAUAUCAAAAAGAUUUUCUCUUUCAUAGUUGUUGGUGUCAGUCUUAUGUGAAGUGUCAAACUAAAAACUCAAAAAGAUUUUUUUGUUUUUCAUCUUCUAUUUGUGGUCGCGUUUCUCAAGUCAGGGUUCAGUUGGUUAUUUAAUCCUUAAUUGUCCUAUCUGGACAAACUACACACCCCUAAUUCUCCUCUUUCAGGAGUGAGAUACGUAGGUAGCCUAUUGUUGGUUCGGAGAUCUUAUUUGAAAAAUCCAAAAAGAUGUUCUUCACUCUUUAUUUAGAGUAAGUGUUUCAUGUACAUCUUUAAAAGAAAACUGCAAAAUGAUUUUCCUUUAAUAGGUUCAAGUUUGAUUUUCAUAUGAAAUUCAAAAUUCAAAACCCAAAAAAAAAAAAAAAAUUCUUUGGUAAUCAUAGAUUUCAUUUUGUAUAGGGUUGUUAAAGCUGAAAAAUUCAAAAAGAUUUUCGUCAAUUCUUUUGACAAAUUGUUAUUUUCUUUUCUUCUUAAAGUUUUAAGGAAUAGAAAAAGAGUUUAAUUUGGCCAUUUUGGAAAGACUUCACGAAGUACGCACACCUGAUUCUCCUCUCUGGGGGUGAGACACGUAGGCGCCCUUCUUGGGUUCGGUGUCAUUUUAAAAAAAGAUUUUGAGAAAGUAUUGAACUCUAACGCAUUUGCUAUUGCUUGUUCAGUUAGUUUGAGGUGGUUGGUUUGUGGCAUUUUGGAUAGUCCUCCAUAUUGCACCAAGUCACAGAGAAAGUUAUGGCCAACAAGGAUACCGAGUUUGUUGUCACUAAUCAGAUAAGGAGUUCGGGAAAUGAGAAUUUAGGAUCAAAUGAAGAUAUUCAGAAAUUAAGGCAGCAAAUGAUAGAAAUGCAUUGAGUUUGGGCUAAUAGGUUGCCGCCUCCCCAGUUCCCACUAAUAAUUUGGAAUAUCUUUUUAGCUUGCCUCCCGUAUCACCUGCCCAAUUUCUCAUUUUUAUUGAUAUGCCACAACAUGCAUAAGAAUCAACUCUGGGGCAACAAUAUCCAACUACUUCAAAUGUUUAUUUCCUCAUUCCCCAAUCCAAGACUACCACAUACUCAUCUCCAUCUAUUUUUCAUGCUUUUAUGGCACCACCUCCACCUGAAGCUUCUAUUUUUUAUGUUCAUCCAAAAGUUUUGUCUCCCUACUCUUCAAGAAAGCCUGUAUUGAAUAUUACUGGUGAUCAGCGUUACACUUUUGAGACUACAUUCAAGUUGACUGGUCUUUAUGGUGACACUCACCCACCUGAAUUUCCUCCUAAUACUGAGAAGCGUAUUAUGAAAGAAGAACGAGAUGAAAUAACUAGAAAAUUGAGAAAUUUGGAACUGGCUAUGAGGAACUUGCAAGGACUUGGGGGUUACAAAAGUUUCUCAUAUAAAGACUUAUGCAUGUUUCCAGGUGUCAACCUUCCUCCGGGUUUUAAAAUGCCAAAGUUUGAGAAAUAUGACGGAUAUGGAGUCCUAGUGGCACAGUUGAGGUGCUAUCAUAACCAAUUAAGGGUCGCUGGAGGGAAGGAAGAACUACUCAUGGCUUAUUUUGGGGAGAGUCUUUCAGGCCUAGCUUCAAAAUGGUUUGUUGACCAAGACAUUGACAAGUGGAUUAGUUGGGAUGACCUAGCUAAUGAAUUUGUGCAACAAUUUCAAUACAAUAUAGAUUUGAUCCCUGACGAAAAAUCCCUAACUAGUAUAAAAAAGAAGAACUCUGAAAAUUUCAGAGAAUAUGCGAUUAGAUGGCAUGAACAAGCGGCUAGAAUAAAACCUCCAAUGAAAGAAAGUAAGAUAGUUGAGGUAUUUAUUCAAGCGUAGGACGAAAUUUAUUAUCAACACUUGUUACCUACAUUAGGCAAGCCAUUUAUUGAGGUCCUUAAAAUGGGGGAGAUGACAGACGAGGGAAUUAAGACUGGUUGCAUUGUGAGUUUUGCAACAUUGAAAGCGACUACUCAAGAAAUUCAAAAUGGUUCAGGAAGUUUUGGGGCGAAAAAGAAUGAGGAAGAUGCAUCUGCUAUUGUAGUUGGAUAGCAGGAAAGGUCAAGGAAACCACGUCAUCGUCGCUCUCAGGCUCAAACCCAAGUUCAUGCCUAAGCUCCAAAUAAUCACUCCAAAAAUUCCAUUAUACUUUGCUUCUCCACAUUCAUAUCUAGUAUAUAACGCAUAGAUAUAUGUUCAACCCCCAUCUUACUCACAGUGGAACACACCAACUUCUCAGAGUCGUCCUCUGACUCCACAAAUAUACCAAAACCAUUCUAAGCCUAAUUUUUAAUCUAAGCCAAAUGACAAAAUGAGGCAGAAGUCGAGAGAUAGAUUCACACCAAUUAGAGAGUCGUAUGCCAGUUUAUUUCAGAGAUUGGUACAGUGAGGCAUGAUCACUCCUCUCUUUGGGCACACUCUUAAUCGGUGUUGAAGAAAAUUUGAUCCUAACGUGCGAUGUGCGUAUCAUUGUGAUGUUCAGGGUCAUUGUAUUAAAGAUUGUCGAGAUUUGAAAAGAGAAAUUGAAAAGAUGAUUCAAGAUAGAUCAAUUAUGAUGCAAAACAUUGAAAGUGAGGAAAGCUCUAGUCAUGCUCAUAUGCAAACCAGUGGGUUAGUUGUUAGGCUGAGCAAUUAAGAAGUCAUCUCUCUCCCUACUAGGAAGUGGUUUGGUAGUUUGUUCUGUUUUCUUUUCUGUUAUCUGAAUUAUUUUAGGGUUUUAGUUUGGGAUCUGUUUUGUUUUGUACCUUUUUCAUUAUGUUCAAACCCUUCUAUCUUUCAUUUUAAUAGAAUGAAGUGUCCCCUUUUUUUCCUGUGUUUUAAAUAUGUGUUGUUUGUUUGUUUUCUUUAUACAGUACAUUUUAUGUUGAUUUUAGUGAUAUGAAAUGCUAGCGGAAUUUUUAGCCAGAUCUUAAAAUCUAACUUAACCAUGAAACAUUGAAUCGGAGGGCUAAAGUUAGGAAAAACAUCUGAGAAAAUAGGUGGAGUGCUGAGACAUUUGGUGACAAGUUGAAGCCUUCUUUGAAAAUUAAGGCAAUUAUUUGAGAAUCACAAGAAUAACUUGGUCAUCAAUUGAAAAACAUAGCUCAAUUAGGUCAAAUAGCGGAUGUGUGCUCCCGAGGAACAGAACAAAAACCAACUCCAUGAAAGCAUGAGACAUUCAAUGUGAGGGAUGUACAACAAAUGUGAAGUUGUUGUUCGACAAAUGCAGAGGAAGAGGUGGCACAUAUUCUCGGGGAAAGUUAGUGUUGUAAAACGCGUCAUAAGUGAUAUUGAUUGUGUACUUUUACAUUGCAUGCUAUGUAUUGUAUUUUCAAGGAUUGAUAUGACAAAGACAUUUCAUUCUGCUAUCCAGAUAUUGUGACAUCCUUUGUUUAUCCCAUUUGAGCCUUAGUAUUAUUUUCUUUCAUUCCCCUUUUUUGGAAUCAAGAUAGAGUCAGCUAAACUCAAAAGAAAAGUAUCAAGCAAAAUAGUAGAGUCAGAAAAAAAAUAUGUCCAAAAAGAAAGUAAAAAAGAAGAGUGACGAGACAAAUAGAAUCAGAAAGUUUCAAAGAGAAAAAAAGUCAAUAAAAGAGAAAAGCAAAAAAAAAUUUGAAUCAAGCAAACGAACAAGUUGCCAGAACUACGCAUGACCUGAUUCUCCUCUCUCAGGGGUGAGAUACGUAGGCUGCCCUACUCUGGGCUCGAUCCAACCAAAUAAAUAAUUUAGAAUUUCCCAGUCAAAAGAAAGUGGGGCAUGAGUUAAUCCUCAUUGUUUGAGUCAAUUUUAAAAGUUGUAAGUCCUACCCUACUUCAAGUGUCAUUUGGGCCCCAUGCCAUCAUUUCUUUCUAACCCUAUCUAAAAGCCAAGUUACAACCAAAGAAAAACCUUCAGAUCAAUCUUUGAGGAUGUAAGGGUUACGCAUGCAAGGGAUAUGAUGAUGCAUUUGGGAACUACUUGUCUUCCUCAGCAUAAAAAAUCAGGAGAGAAAUAAAAAUGACAGAGUCUUAUUGAUGAAAACCCUCACGGGCAUUGUAUAAUGAUGGUAAGUUGAGAGAGAUAAAAAUGAGAGAGUCUUAUCGGUGAAAACUCUCACGGGAACCGUAAGACGACUAUGAGUUAAGGGAAAUGAAGAUAAGAGAGUCUCAUUAGUGGAAAACCCUUAUAGACACCAUAAAGCAAUGGUGAGCUGAGGAAAAAAAAAUGAGAGAAGCUUGUUGGCGAAAACCAUUUAAGGUGCCCGACGUAUCAUGUACGCAAAGGAGGUUUGUGUUGAAGGCCCGAGGCACAGGGUAUAGCAUUGGAGCAUAGUUUAGGAUUAGUGUAGGUUUACUUUUAGUACUUUUUUUACUUCGGUUUGUAAUAAUUGGACUGAACAUUGUAUUUUGGAUUUGUUUUGUUUCACGUGUUUGAUUGAUUGUUUUUGUGUUUUGUUUUCUUUAUACACCCGUAGUGUUAAAUUAGCCGAUACAUUCCACCAAGCGACCGUGGUCGAACAACGGGAUCGAGGGGUGCCUAACACCUUUCCCUCGAUCAACAGAAUUCCUUAGUUAGAAUCUCUGUUUGUAGAUAAGUUUUAGAGUCAGAACGUUUUGAAAAGGAUUUUUCAAAGGUCACUUGGCACACCGGAUUAUGCCAAGUGGUGACUCUGAAUUAAAAAUGUAAAUAAUCUUUCUUCGAAAUAAAUUUUCAAUCAUUUUAUCAUUUUAAUUAAAAACUCUUUCAAAGCUUAAAAUGAAUCUUUUUUUCGAUUAGAAAAGGGGCGUGACAACUUUGGCGACUCCGCUGGGAACUUUUUAGAAUUCGAUCUUAUUUUUGAAAUUGUAUUAGCUUAGUUUGACAUCAUGGGUGUAUAAACAUUGUUUGUGGUAUCGUUUGUGUUAAUGUUUAUGAGUGCCUACGUGCUUUUUGUUUAUAGUUUUUCUCUUAUGUGUUACCGCUUUAUAUCUGGCAUCAUGUGCAUAACCCGAGUCAAUUCUUUCUGCAACAAGUUUUGUAGUACACGCUGUGUACACGACGUAUAGUUGAGUCAUAUUUAUUUUAGGAGGGGGAGCCGUUGGCUGGUAUGGAGUAGGUGAAAAGCAAAGCAGCCACUAUCGACCAUACGCUCCCCUGAACAGCCUUGUUAGUGAACUCCAGCGUAGGUCAGCCUUUAGGUCAUUUUCAUAUAAAAUUCAAAAUUGAAAACCCAAAAAAAAAAAAUUCUUUUGUAAUCAUAGAUUUCAUUUUGUAUAGGGAUGUUAAAGCUGAAAAAUUCAAAAAGAUUUUCGUUAAUUCUUUUGACAAAUUGUUAUUUUCUUUUCUUCUUAAAGUUUCAAGGAAUAGAAAAAGAGUUUAAUUUGUCCAUUUUGGCAAGACUUCACGAACUAUGAACACCUGAUUCUCCUAUCUAGGGUGAGAUACGUAGGCGCCCUUCUUGGGUUCGGUGUUCUUUAAAAAAAGAUUUUGAGAAAGUGUUUAACUCUAACGCAUUUGCUAUCACUUGUUCAGUUAGUUUGAGGUGGUUGGUUUUUGGCAUUUUGGAUGGUCCUCCUUAUUGCACCAAGCCACAGAGAAAGUUAUGGCCAACAAGGAUAAUGAGUUUGUUGUCAUUAAUCAGAUAGGGAGUUCAGGAAAUGAGAAUUUAGGAUCUAAUGAAGAGAUUCAGAAAUUAAGGCAGCAAAUGAUAGAAAUGCAUCGAGCUUGGGCUAAUGGGUUGCCGCCUCCCCCAGUUCCUACUGAUAAUCUAUAAUAUCUUUCUAGCUUGCCUCCCGUGUCACCUGCCCAAUUUCCCAUUUUAUUGAUAUACCACAACAUGUAUCAGGAUCAACUCUGGGGCAAUAAUAUCCAACCACUUCUAAUGUUCAUUUCCUCAUUCCUCAAUCCAAGAGUACCACAUACUCGGCUCCACCUGUUGUUCUUACUUUUGUGGGGCCACCCCCACCUGAAGCUUCUAUUUUUUAUGUUCAUCCACAAGUUGUGUCUCCCUACUCAACAAGAGAGCCUGUAUUUAAUAUUACUGGGGAUUAGCGUUACACUUGUGAGCCAAUAUUCAAGUUGACUGGUCUUUAUGGUGACACUCACCCGCCUGAAUUUUCUUCUAACACUGAGAAGCCAGUUAUGACAUAAGAACAAGAGGAAAUGACAAGAAAAUUGAGAAGUUUGGAACUGUCUAUGAUGAACUUGCAAGGACUUGAGGGUUACAAAAGUGUCUCAUAUAAAUACUUAUGCAUAUUUCCAGGUGUCAACCUUCCUCCCAAUUUUAAAAGGCCAAAGUUUGAGAAAUAUGAUGAACAUGGGGACCCAGUGGCACAGUUGAGGUGCUAUUGUAACCAAUUAAGGGGCGCUGGAGGGAAGGAAGAACUACUCAUGGCUUAUUUCGGGGAGAGUCUUUCAUGCCUAGCUUCAGAAUGGUUUGUUGACCAAGACAUUGACAAGUGGAUUAGUUGGGAUGACCUAGCUAAUGAAUUUGUACAACAAUUUUAAUACAAUGUGGAUUUGAUCCCUGAUGAAAAAUCGCUAACUAGUAUAAAAAAGAAGAACUCCGAAAGUUUCAGAGAAUAUGUUAUUAGAUGGCGUGAACAAGCGGCUAGGGUGAAAUCGCCAGUGAAAGAAAGUAAGAUAGUGGAGGUAUUUAUUCAAGCGCAGGACGAAAUAUAUUAUCAAAACUUGUUACCUGCAUUAGGCAAGCCGUUCAUUGAGGUCCUUAAAAUUGGGGAGAUGACAGAAGAAGGAAUUAAGACUGGUCGCAUUAUGAGUUUUGCAACAUUGAAAGCGACUACUCAAGCAAUUAAAAAGGGUUCAGGAAGUGUUAGGGAGAAAAAGAAUGAGGAAGAUGAAUUUUCUAUUGUAGUUGGACAGUAGGAAACGUUAAGGAGACCACGUCGUCUUCGCUCUCAGGCUCAAACCCAAGUUCAUGCCGAAGCUCCACAUAAUCACUCCCAAAAUCCAUUAUACUCUGCUCCUCCACCUCCAUAUCUAGUAUAUAACGCAUAACUACAUGUUCAACCCCCCAUCUUACCCACAGUGGAACACACCAACUCCUCAGAGUCAUCUUCUAACUCCACAAACAUACCAAAACCCUUCUAAGCCUGAUUUUCAAUCCAAGCCAAACGAUGAAAUAAGGUAGAAGUUGAGAGAUAGCUUCACACCAAUUGGAGAGUCGUAUGCCAGUUUAUUUCAGAGAUUGGUACAGUGGGGCAUGAUUACUCCUCUCUUUGGGCACACUCUUAAUCGACGUUCAAGAAAUUUUGAUCCUAACAUACGAUGUACGUAUCAUUGUGAUGCUUAGGGUCAUAGUAUUGGAGAUUGUCGAGAUUUGAAAAGAGAAAUUGAAAAGAUGAUUCAAGAUAGAUCAAUUAUGAUGCAAAACAUUGAAAGUGAGGAAAGAUCUAGUCAUGUUGCUAUGCAAACCAGUGGAUAAGUUGUCAGGCUGAUCAAAAGAAUUUCUUAGUCGAAAUCUCUAUUCGCAGAUCAGUUUUAGAGUCAAAACAUUUUGAAAAGGAUUUUUCAAAGAUGACUUGGCACACCAGAUUAUGCCAAGUGGAGACUCUAAAUAAAAAAUGUAAAUAAUCCUUCUUCGAAAUAAAUUUUCAAUCAUUUUGUCAUUUUAAUUAUAAAAACCCUUUCGAAGCUUAAAAUGAAUCUUUUUUCGGUUAGAAAAGGGAUGUGACACCAUGAUUAUAAAAGAAAUUAUAAAAAAUGUGUCUACCAAAUUGUGAUGACCACAUAACUUUGUGAUUUUAUCUUCUCCAUCUUUCGAUUCAAUUUUCUUUUCAAAAUUAAAUUAAUGGUAAUGGUAGAGAUUCGUGCUGAUAAUGUGUUAUGAAAUAUAAAUAAAAAACAACAAGAAUAAAUAGAGAAAGAAGACUUCUUUACUUUUCUUGAGGGAUGAGAGAUUAUAAGAUUGAUAAUACAAUGAACAAAAUAAAAGUACUCUUAGUUUCUGACUAAAAGACAAAUACUUCAAAUCCUGAUAGAUAUCAACUAAAUUUUGAUAGAUCUUAUUAGAUCAUGAUAGACAUUCACUAUAAUGUAAAUACAUUUAUAGAAAAUUCUUAAUUUUCUCCUUAAUGUUUUAUACCCUUUUUACUAUGAAAACCCUUCAAAUCCCCCAAUGAACAAAGUGAAAAGAAAAAAAGAAAAUACGGUAAAAGGAUUAUAAGUAAUCCUAAAUUUCUUCUUCUUUCAUUUCCUUAAAAAAUUUCUUUUUAUAUUAGUUAAUCCUUUCAAAAAAAAUUUAUAGUGUUGCCUUUUCAUAAAUUUCUCUCAUAUGCUUUUUUAGUUCUUUCAUACUUUCUUUUCUUUAAUAUUAAUAAUUAUUUUAAAUUGCUUUCACCGCGUAAAUUUCUAUCAGAUUGUUGAAAUUCACAUUUUAUUCUUAAUUUUUUCAUAAACUACUAUUUUUUUUCCUUGUUUUUUUGUCAAUAUAAAUUUUAUCCGUGAAACAAAUUUUAUACAUUAGUCAAUGUGAAUUUCAUGUUUUCAUUCAUGAUUUUUUAAAUUCUUUUUGUAGGAAUAACAAAUUCAAUGAAUAACUUUCAUACACAGUUGAUAUAAAAUAGUUAUCUAAAGUUUUAUGAAAAUCAUAUUUUAUACCUUUCUAUGUGUAUUUAUUAACGAAUAAUAUAACUUGCUAGCAACUAACAACGUCGAAUGAUACAUCAAUUUACUUACAAAAUUAAUAACCCAGAAAAUAAAAUACACCUAAAUUAGUUAAAUUUAGCAUAUUUUCAACACAAUAUAUACAUUAACCAUGUUUAUUUAUAUCCAUGAUUUUUUUAAUGUAAUAGCAAAUUUAGUGAACAAUCUCGUAUUCAUGAUUCACAUCAGUUUGUAUAUAAACUUCUUAAAUACAAACAUGUAUAAACAAAAAAAAAUUAAAGAUACAUAAAUUUAUAUAUAGAUUUUAAACACGUAACAAAUAAAAAAAAAACGUAAGCUAAUUAUAUGUACCAUAUUUUAUACACAUUUCAUAUACUAAAAUAUGUGCAAGUAAGACUUGAGUGGACUAUUGAUAUUUUAUAUUGAUUUUAUCCAGACUUCAUACACGAAUAUUUUGAGAAAAAUUCUAAGUAAUUUGUAUAUGAACUAUUUUGAAUACUGAAUAUUGAAAAUAUAUAUUGAAAAUCAUUAAAAAUAUUCUUAAAAUUUUUGAAAAUUCUAAGUAAUUAGUAUGAACUAUUCUUAAAAUUUUAAAAAUUGAAUCUUGAAAUAUAUAUUGAAAACCAUUAAAAAUAUUGAAACAUUUUAAUUUUGAAUAGUUAAUGUCAUUUGAAAUAAGAAAAAAAAAACAUCUAAGAGAGAAAUUAGGAAUGGUUGAUAAUAAUUUUAGGUAAGCGACUCUCUCUCUCCUCUCUCCAUUCAACUCUGAUAUAAACUUAGGGAAGCCACGGUUGUACCUAUCUCUCCUAGUCUAUGAUUGUGGGAGAACCAAACCCUACUUCUAAUCCAUAAAUGUCAUAUUUUGUAUUGCCAAAUCCAAGACAAGCUGCCCAAAAUAUGAUGAGAACUCAGCAAAAAUCAAUUAAAUAUAUUCAUGGUGAACCUACACUGAAGUUUACAAUGGAGGAAAGAGAAGCAUUUGCUAACGAGGAAGGGUUGCAUAGAAUAAUUGUGAUUAGACUCUCUUCAGGUGCACCAUAUUUGAAGGACCUAAGAACAUUGCUUCAGGUAGCGGUGUGGAUUUCUUUGCCAAACUUGGCUCCAGAUCUUUUUUCCAAGAGGUCAUUAUUGUCUAUAGCAACAAUAAUCGGAAAACCAAUAGCUAUAGACAAAGCAACACAAGUUAAGUCCAUACCAAACACCGCCAGGGUUAAGGUGAUCCUAGACCUACUGGAAAAACUUUCGAAGCGAAUAACAUUUCAAUAUUUGACCAGGCAAUAAAAUUGGUUAGUGUUUAGAGAAUUUUCAGGAAAUUGUUUAUGAUAAUCUAACCUUGUAUUGUAAUUUUCGCAAACACUAAGGACAUAAUGAAGGUACAUGUCGGUUGAUAUUGAAAAAAAACUAGAUACUAUCCAGAAUGCAGGUGGUGAAGGUUGUGAUGAAGAAAAUACUAGAGAAAAAUUUCAAGAAAAUUUAAGAGAAUUUUUGAAUGAGAGGAAAGGGUGGGAAGAUGGUAAUAGAAGACCUCAUAGAAAGAACCAACAACGAGACUUGUUGGCAAGUUCCCAUCCAAAUGUUGAGGUCCAUAACAAUGUUGCUAAGUUUGUUAGGGUUUUUGCCCUGAUUUUCUUACCAAAAUUAAGUUCUACUUUUUAUUGAAAGGAAAAUAAAAGUAACCAUAAUUACUUUACUUUUUCUGAAAGGAAAAUAUAAAAAUUUUCCAUAUUUGGCUAACCUCUUUCUAACAGUAAAGGUUUUAAACAUCUAUAAAUAGAAGAUCCCCUUCUCAUGCCAUAACAUAAUAAAAUUCACAAUGUAGUCAUUUAAAGAGUCUUGUUUAGGGGAGAUUUUAUCCCAAUAGAUUUUAAGUUUAUUUUGAUUUAGUUUUAAAUAUGUAGGCCAAUUGGCCAAAUCAUAUUCAAUAAUAUGUUUUUAGUAUAUUUUUGUGUCAUCUGAUUAAUCAUCUCUAUGGUUUGCAAACUUUAAGCGUCCGCAUGAUGCCCUCUCGAUUUCGAUCCCAACAAGUGGUAUCAGAGCCUACAGUUCAAAGAUCCAAUGAAUUGAUGAAACGAGAUUAAACAGGUUCAAAGCGGUUUCAAAUCAAGUUGCAACCAAUUUGGCGAUAAUGAUGUCUUUGUCCAAUUACAUGUGGAGAUGAUAUUUCAAUCAUAUUUUCAUAUAUUUAAAAAUAAAGCUUAAUUUUAACCCUACAAAGGGUUCCAAUAUUUUUAACCCAAAAAUGACUCAUAUACUUUUAACCCAAAAGCUCCAUUUUUAAGCAUGUCAAGACUAUGUGAUGAACAAAUAUCAAAGAUGUGAGAAGGCAGAUCAAGUGAAGAAAAUCAAGCCAAAAAGGAGUGAUUUGUUAGGUUUUUGCCCUGAUUUCUUACCAAAAUUAAGUUUUACUUUUUUUUUGGAAGGAAAAUAAAAGUAACCAUAAUUACUUUUACUUUUCCUGAAAAUAUAAAACUUUUUCAUAUUUGCCUAACCUCUUCCUAAGAGGAAAUAUUUUGGACAUCUAUCAAUAAAACACCCCUUUAUCAUGCCAUAACAUAAUAGCAUUCACAAUGUAGUCAUUUAAAGAGUCUUGUUUAGGGGGAGAUUUUCUCCCAAUAGAUUUUAAGUUUAUUUUAAUUUAGUUUUAAAUAUGUAGGCCAAUUGGCCAAAUCAUAUUCAAUAAUAUGUUUUAGUAUAUUUUUGUGUCAUCUGAUUUAUCAUCUCUAUGGUUUGUAAGCUUUAAGCUUCCGCAUGAUGGCCACGAUUUCGAUCCCAACAAAUUUUGUUGCGUUGAAUGUUGAUUCUCAGCACCAACAAACUGUUGUAAAUAAUAGCAAAAGGUGAUAUGGAUGCAUGUGAGUUGAUGGUUCAAUCUUAAGAGAAUUCUAAGGUCUUAGUCUCUUCAUAGAAAGCUAAAUAUGAACUACAAGCGAGGAACUUAAUUGUUGAACAACACAUUGAUGAACAAGAUCAUAAUACAUCUUUAAAACCUCCAAAUUUGAUGGCCGGUGAGACAUCACAGUUAGAUAUGCACCAUAUUCACGAUGUUGUGGCGAGUAGUGAAAAUUCUGUGCAGUAUUCGUUGUUGAAUAUCUCUAAGAAAUCAUUGGAUAAAAAUUCGAAAGUUGAUAAUUUGCAGCUCUCUUCUAAUUCAACUCAGUUUGAACAUUCCAUUAGUAAAAAGCAUGCUAUUGGUGAUGAAUCAACAAACAAAAUCAAGGAUGUCGAUAAUAGUAUUGGUAAAGACUAGACUGUGAUGGAACAUAAAAAAUAUUUAGGCAUUUGAAUUGGCUCUCCCUGCUCGCGUUAAUGUGCAGCUAGCAAGGAAUGUUCCAUGUGCUCGAGCUUCUUCCCCAAAGGACAUUUCUCUUCCAAAUCCUUUUGAUCUUCUCUCAGAUAAAGUUGGGUAUAAAAUUAAUUGGCAUAAUACAUAAAUAUGACCCUAAACUUGAAACCAAAUUAUAAAUUUCAGCUUAAACUUUGAUAGUGCACAAAUAUGACCUUUAACUAUUCAAAACUGGACAAAUAUAACCUACGAUCCUGUGUGGCAAAACUGGUCGCGUCCAGCUUAAAAUCUAAGGGAAUAAUACAUAAAUAUGACCCUAAUCUUGACACCAAAUUAUAAAUUUGACGUUAAACUUUGACAGUGCACAAAUAUGACCUUUAACUAUUCAAAACUGCACAAAUAUGACCUUUAAAUGACUUUUCACGAUUAUUUUUUCAUUAUUUUUGGAUCAAAGAUGAAAAUGGUAUCUAAUUUCUUUUGUCAUGGCGGAAAAAGACCAAUAUUAAAGAUUUAUUAAUUAGGUGGGUCAGCCUCAUACGAAAAAAUCGUUCAGGUAUGUAUAUAUAUUAUAAAGUAAAGGGCGAAUUUAUGUUAUAUAAUAUAUCUAAAUAUAAUUUAUUUAAUCAUUAAAUUAAAGAUGAAACUAUACUAAUGAUUUUCUUUUUUUAUAGUUUUAAUAACGUUAUUAAAUUAACGUUAUUAAGGAUAGUAGUAGUAGUAUAUUAAAUUAACGUUAUUAAAAUGUUAUUAUUAAAUUAAAGUUAUCAAAACGUUAUUAAAUUAAUGCAGGGGCGGACCUACGUGGUUGCCAUGGGGUUCACCCGAACCCCUUCGGUAAAAAAAUUAUGUUGUAUAUAUAAGGUAGAAAAUCUAUAUUUAUGUACGUAUAUUAAUGUUGAACCACAUGAUAAUAAUAAUAAUAUAAUAAGUAAUAAAAAUGAUGUCAUUUUAACACAAAAAGCAAAACUUUGAUAGUGCACAAAUAUGACCUCUAACUAUUCAAAACUGCACAAAUAUGACCUCCCUCCAAGUCAGCCAUUUUAACGACGUGGCACCAUGUGAUUGGAUGAGCUUUCCACGUAGCUGCGAGUGAAACUCACGCAUGGGGUUGCAAAAUUAGAGAUCAUAUUUGUUCAGGUUUUGAAUAGUUAAAGGUUCUAUUUGUGCACUAUCAAAGUUUAAGGCCAAAGUAAUAAUUUGAUGUCUUAGGGUCAUAUUUAUGUAUUAUACCAAAUUAAUUCAAAUAAUCCUACAAUGUCUGUAUCAAAUUCAGAGGUGGAUAAAGUAUUAAAGAAAAAUCAACAACUAGAUUUUGGGCAGCAACAUAGUGAAUCUGUACAGCAAUUUAUAUCAUCUAUUCAUAUGGAGCAACAAGGUGAUAUUGGCUUUCAUUGAUGGCAGCAGUGGCAGACCCAGGAUUUAAGGCUUGUGGGUGCUUAAAAAAAUAAAAAUCUUAAAAAAUAAAAAAUCACAUCAACAAGGUUUGAACUCGGGAUAUCCCUUUAGUGGAGAAGCUUAAGACCAACGUAAAUGCCAAUGCACCCGACCAACUUUUAUUUUAAUGGGUGCAUUUAUAUGUUUUAUACCGAUUUUUGUAUAUUUUUUAUGUAAUUAUACCUAUUUCACGUCGAGCUUACUGGGUGCCAGAGCACCCCAAAAUUAUAUGUAGGUCUGUCCCUGGAUGGCAGAUUUGGUAAAUAAAGAAGAUGAACAUCAGGCGGAUAAUAUUAGUAGUAAACCUAAUGCUCAAGCUCCAAUUUUUGUCUCAAAUAAGUCAGCAAUUCGUAAUUAUUCAUCAAGUUUCAAGCAAACUUCAGGUGGUGUAUGAAAUUUCCUUUCUCCAAGUCAUAUUGCCAAACAAUUCAUGGGAAGUUGUCUCCAAAGAGUUUUGAAAACCUCCAAAAAAAUAUGAUAUUUAUGGAAAGUGAGGAUGAAGACAUGUUGGAUAUAUGCUUUACAAGUGUAGCUAGGGAUGCUGAUUUCUCUCAUGGACACCAAAUAAAUAGAAAAAUUAAAACAUAUCACGAUAGGAAUCAAAGUUGGGAGGAUAAGGUGAUAGAGGAGUUUGUUCCAAGGCACCACUAGCAAAGCAAAAUCAUGUGACAGUGUCAACAACUUUUAGGAAAGACCCUACAAAUUCAAGAAGUGAUGAAUUUUCAAGUGGUCCUGAACAGGUUCGAAGAAGAAGGCAGGGAUAGAAUAUAUCAAUGUACUUUAGAUGGGUCAACAUUCCUUUUUAGGUCAUACAUUUGUAAAAAGAAGUUCGUGAUUGAUAACACAAACUUCCCAUUCAUUUUUAUAUGAGAUAAUACAUAAAUAUGACCUAAACUUGACACCAAAUUAUAACUUUAACCUUAAACUUUGAUAGUGCACAAAUAGAACCUUUAACUAUUCAAAACCUGAACAAAUAUGAGCUCCGAUUUUGCAAUCCCCAUGCGUGAGUUUCACUCGUGUCUAUGUGGAAAGGUUAUCCAAUCACACUAUGCCACGUCGUUAAAAGGGCUGACUUGGAGGGAGGUCGUAUUUGUGCAGUUUUGAAUAGUUAAAAGUCAUAUUUGUACACUGUCAAGGUUUUUUUUUUGAGUUAAAAUGGUGUCGUUUUAUUAUUAUUAUUAUUAUUAUUAUUUUAUUUAUUUAGGGAUCAAAGCCGCGCAGUAGGCUGAAGGAAGCGCCCAAGAAGAGCAAAUAACAUCACUGGGCUAUCUAAGUGUCUUGUUUCAUGUGGUUCAACAUUAAUAUAAGUACAUAAAUAUAGAUUUUCUACCUUAUAUAUACAACGUAAUUUUUUCACCGAGGGGGUUCGGGUGAACCCCAUGGCAACUACGUAGGUCCGCCCCUACAUUAAUUUAAUAACGUUUUAUUAACGUUAAUUUAAUAAUAUUUUAAUAACGUUAAUUUAAUAUACUACUACUAUGCUUAAUAAUGUUAAUUUAAUAACGUUUUAUUAAAACUAUAAUUUUUUUUAUUAUUAGUAUAGUUUCAUCUUUUAUUUAAUAUUUAAAUAAAUUAUAUUUAGAUAUAUUAUAUAAUUUAAAUUCAUCCUCUGCUUUAUAAUAUAUAUAUACAUAUCCGCGCAAUUUUUUUGUAUGAGGUUGACUCACCUAAUUAAUAAAUCUUCAAUAUUGCUCUUUUUCCGCAAUGACAAAAGAAAUUAGAUGCCAUUUUAAUCUUUGAGCCAAAAAUAAUAAAAAAUUAAUAGUGAAAAGUCAUUUAAAGGUAAUAUUUGUGCAGUUUUGUAUAGUUAAAGGUCAUAUUUGUGCACUGUCAAAGUUUAAGGUCAAAGUUAUAAUUUGGUGUCAAGCUUAGGGUCAUAUUUAUGUAUUAUGCCCUUAGAUUUUAAGUUGGACUCACCCAGUUUUGCAUGUUGAACACACAUUUUGCCACAUAGGAUCAGAGGUCAUAUUUGUGUAGUUUCGAAUAGUUAAAGGUCAUAUUUGUGCACUGUCAAUGUUUAAGGUCAAAGUUAUAAUUUGGUGUCAAGUUUAGGGUCAUAUUUAUGUAUUAUCUCUUUUUAUAUUUUUUCAGUACUUAUGAUGAUCCUAGAAUAUCUAAUUCUCUCUAGUUCUUAUUUUUUACACGUUUGUUGAUUAGUCUAGGUUUUGUUACUUCAUUAAGAAUGGUAAGGUAAGGUCUAACCCCUUUUCUCUUUUGUGGUUUAAUUUUUUUUUUUUUUUAUAAAAAAAGGGUGGUUGAUAUAUUUUGGUAACUAAUGUUUUUUGAUAUAUUUAUGGUAUAUUUUGAUUUUUUCUCCUUUUUCUGAUUUGUAGCUCAAUUAAUAUAAAAUCUAUAACUAAUAUUUAAUAAAGAAUAGAUCUUGUUUGUCCACCUUCAAUUUGAUGGACGUACUAGAUUAAGUCUCAACCUCUAUAAAUUAAUCCUCCCUCUGCUUAUUAGGGUUACCGCAUAUCAUCAAUACAAUUUCAUCGAAGACGUCUCUGAUAACAAUAAUCCAACGACAACAACUUAUUUUGGAGGUAUAGAUGAAGUUCGCGUGAUGCUAGUUAGUCAGAUGAAUAAUAUUGCUAUCGAGAUUGUUGAUUUGCUAAAGUGUAAGCACUAUAAAGGUAACAUCCCUAAAAAUCUAUAUUGAACUUAUAAUCUUUGAUUCUUUGAUAUAAAUAAAUUAUAUGUGAUUUUCUUUCUAAAAGAGAUUUAAUUGAUAUGUUGAUAAUUUUCUCAUCUGCGAUUUUAACAUCAAUCUCUUUUAAAAUUUAAUUUUUAUGUUAUAAAUUUUAAAUUUCUCUUUUCCUAGUUGUCAUAACAUCAUUUCUAUGUUUGUUUAUGCUGUUUUACUAUAGUUAAAAUGAGUUUUAUGUGUUUAUAAAGAAUUGAAUUAGAUACUUUAUUUUGGAUCCUUACUAUAAGCAUUCCACUUACUCAAUUAGCUUUCUCCAUAGCGAGUAUAUGACUUUUCAUAGGAGGACGAUAGUUUUAUCUUAAAAUUUGUAUCCUUUCAAUUUUAUCAAAUCUCCUUGAACGGACACCAUUUUAUUAAUUAUUUAAUCAAAUUAAAAUUGUUUUACGCUUGAUCUUUUUGUUGAAAAAGGGAAGAAUAAAUCAUUUUUGUCAAUAGCUCAAAGUGAUAUAGAAUCGGAGGAAAAAAUAAAUUAAAUCUCUUAAGAAUAAUUUUUAAAGGUGUAGAUCUUUUGACUUUUACAAUCUAUCUAUCAUUUUAAAAUAAUCGUUUGGAUGGUAGAGGCGACACAAGAUUAGGAAAUAGAGCGGGAAGUGAAGGACCAAGAGAAACACUGAUUUGAUUAUUUUUACUAUUGAUCGUGAGAUAAUUUUCUUUUUUUAAUCUUAUAUUAGUCGUAGAAAAUAAAAGCAAGAAAAUAUGAUUUUCAACUUUCAUGGAAAAAAAUUUCCUUUUUAAUUGAAAUUUCCCUCUUAAUUUUGAGGAUUUUUUUCUUCCUCUAUAAAUUAACAUAUUAUUUUAUCAUUUUGACAUCUCAUCCAUCUUUACUUCUAUAAUGUUUUGACUUUAUUCUUUUUUUUCUUAUAUAGUAAAAUUUCAAUAAACUCUAAUAUUUUCAUUAAUUUUUAUUUAAUAUUUUACCUUCGGUAAAAAUAAGUAUAUCCAAUUUUACUCAAUUAUUCACUGUUAGAUUGUCUAGAAUAAAUAGAUAAGUUGAUCCUCUAAUGAAGAUAAUACAACCACUAAAGAAUGUGGUGCAAUGGAUGGGGCUGCUCCUUUCUUAACUAAAGGUCUCGGAUUUAAUUCUUGGGUAUGAAAAAAAUUCUUGAUAGGGAGUGCUUCCUCCGAAUGGACCUCACGCACACGAAUCUAGACCGGGUUCCAAUAUAGAUGCCAAACACUAGAUAGGAAAUAAAAAGAAAAAGAAAAGUAAUACACAUACACAAUAAAGGAAGCGAUAUUGUUAGUGUUUUUUAAUUUUAAUUUUGAAUAUUUUGAUUUUAUUUUUUAAUUUUAUAUUAUAAACAUGAUAUUUUAAUCAAUAGAAUUCAAAUUAAUUUUACUUUUCCAUUUAAACAUAAUAACAAUAAUAAUUCAAAAUACAUAUUCAUGUGUAAGUUUAUUUAAAUAAUCAAAUAUUGGGAAAGUAUGAUUUCAUUAUGAUAGGAUAUUUUAAUUUGAUUUGGAUUCACUUUGUUGAUAUCAAAAACUGAAUUGACCUUUUUUUCAAAAUUUUUGUUUUAAGUAAUUUUCAAACUUGAAAUUUUAUGAUAAUUAUGUGUGACAUCAAUAUGCUUUUUGUAUUCUAUAUAAUAGAUUCAAUUAUUCACUCUAAAUUAUACGUUAAUUAAUUUUAAUGUAAAUAUGUAUAAAAUUGUACAUAUUGAUUGUAAUAUAAGUUUAUUAAUAUGUGCAAUUGCAUGAACUAAAGAGUAGCAAUAAACCCUCAAAAUUAAUAUCAAAAUUAUAUAUGAAAAAUAAAUCUUACUUAUAAUUAUAUAUGAACUAAAGAGUAGCAAUAAACCCUCAAAAUUAAUAUCAAAAUAAAUUAAUAUCAAAAUUAAUUUUGCUUAUAAUUUAUUUUACUGACUUUCAAAAUGUAUUAAUACAAUUAUCAUGGUUGAUACGUGUUCGACAGCAAUGCUAAUGCUUUCGAAAGAAACUACAAAAAUCAAUAUGAUGAUAAUAAAUAUCCACUCGCCGAACCUAUAUUUUUUUAAACUUUUGGCUUGAGUUGUGUCUUUAGAUAUAAUUCCCUAAGUAAUUUUUUUCAUACUCUUUUAGUUAUGACAACAAUUGUGAAUUACCCAAAAAAAUAAAGAUAUCUAUUGUGGAUAAAAUCAAUUAUUUUUAUAAAUACAAAAUAAAAUAAUUUUACUCUAAAAGUCACCAUUAUAUAUCGUUAAAUAGUUCGGAGCUAAAAGAAUUUAACAUAAUCCAUCAUUAAAUAGAAUUAGUAAUAAUUUUUUUUAUUGUUUAGCGACAUAAACUAUCCAUCGCUAACUCAUAUUUUUAGUAUGUUUUGUAAUGUUAUUUUCAUAAUUAAACAAAUUUCAUAAAUAUGUGUGAAGUUAACUAUUUAUAUAAUGUACGAUAUAUUUCAAUUUUAAUUGAUAUCUUCUUAAAAUAAUUGCACAGCUGUAUGUGAUAAACACAAUGAGCUCUUAGAAAAGCAAGCUAUGAAAGAUGGAGCUCAUCUCUAUCUCAAAAAUAACAAGGAUGUUAAGCAAAAGGACGACAUAAAGUGGACUGUGGAUCUUCAUGCCAAAUUCAAGAAAAGUUUGCAAGAACUUGGUGAAGGAAGGAAGUUGAUUUUACUACUAAUUAAUUUCUUUACAAUUUAUUUUAAAAGAGCUACAUGAACAACUAGAAUUUAUACUUAUAUCUAAUAUGACUGAUAUUUACAUGUAUCUUGGCUUGAUUUAAAAAUAUUAUAGUUAUUAAAUUAAUAGCAUACUUAUGGACCAUGUGUAGAAUGUUACCCAAAGGAUAUUCUGGAAAUGAUGAUUGUGCUUGGUCUUACAAGGAUGCAAAUUGCUAGUAAUUUGUAGGUACGUCUUUAAAAAAAUUAAAGUGAUAAAUUAUUUAACUUUUGAAUGCGUUUGUGCAGUUAUUCUGGAAAAAAGAAAUUAUUUUCUAAAAGUUAGUUUCUCAAUUUCUUAUUACAAAAUGUUUUGUUUGAUACAAUUUUUCAUCAAACAGUUGUCUCAGAAGUUUUUUCUACAAAUAUUUAAUUUUAAAAUUUUAUAUUUAUAGAAAAAAAAGAAAAAUCAAUGUUAUAUCACUUUCACCAAUAAAUAUUUUGACAAAUAACUUUCACCAAUAAAUAUUUCGACAUUAUUCAACCUUUAAUUUUGGAAAGACUAAUCAAAACACUCAGUAAUUAAAAGGAUUAGAGAAGACUUUGUUAAAUGAUAAAAGUUAAUUAAUCAUUCUAAUUUCUAUAUUUUUUUUAGUGACAACUCAAUAAAAUACCAUUGUUUUCAUUCUUUAAUUCAUAUUGUUUCAAAAGAAUGUUAUCGUUCAGAAAUCAUAAAAAUAAAAAAUAUUUUUCAUUAAAAAUAACUCUAUAGUCCAUAUGAUAAUUAAAUAUAUUCAUGGUCUGACUCUUUUUUUUUCCUUCCAACAUCUUUCAGAAAUUUCGUAGUAACGUCAAUUGGAAAGCUUUGAAAAAGCGCAAUGAUCAGCCAGGUCUUUGAGUGAUUUGCAGUAAAGCAGUAUUAGAAAAUUUGGGACAAUGUUCUAUUUCUCCUACUUGACUAUUUUCAAGUUUUGAUCUAGUUGAAUGAUUGAUUUUUUUUAAAUAUAAAUUGUUGGGUUUUUAAAGCAUUUUAAUACUAAAUUUGCUAUUGAAAUGUUGCAUGUUGACGUGCAUUAAAGUGUUGCAUACUGGAGUAUCUUUUGAUCUUUAUCUCCCACGUUUCAUUGUGGUAAAAAUAGUCUUUUGAUGACUCCUCUUCCAUGUUUAAUUGUGGAAGAAUGCACCUGGCAUUUUUCUUUUGUUACAUUUCACUAAUUAUUCACUAAUAGUUCUACCUUUUUUAUGUUUUAUAACUCAUGUAACUUAUAAGUCAUUCGUCUCCCCACAAUCCUCUUAUUCAUUAAGAGGAAGAAUCCAAUUAUGGAUCCAACAAUUACUCCAUCUCCACCCUAAUUCCAGUUCCUGAAAUACAUAUAAAAUUCAUUAGUAGCAUACAUCUAAUUCGUGUUAAUUUCACAUAUGUAAUAUUGAAGUGACAAAAUUAUCUUGUCACAUCAAAAUUACCGAAUGUCACCUACUAUAAUAGUAAAUCACAUAACUAGUUUUUGUUACUUUUAAGUAAUUGAACUAUUAGAAUUGCUCAAUAACCAGAAGGUGAACAACUCCAGCAGUAAAGAGUGAUACUUUCAGCAAGCUAACCUCAAUGUUCUUAUGAAUUAAAUGCAUUAAUAUGCAAUGUUCUAUACUUUGAAAUCAUUAACAGAGAGACUGGCUGGAGCAAGGGAGAAAUGGGGAUGGUACUGAAAAGAGGCUGUCCCUACUAUUAGUUAUUACAAUAGUAUUUUUGUGCUGCGGUUGAUAUACUUAAUUUACCAAAAGUUGCUAAAAGUCUUGAAGCAACGGUAAAAUUGUACCCCUAUAGCCUAUAGAUCACGGAUUUAACCAUCACUCUCUUAAGGUAUGGCCCUUCCCCAGACAUUACUAAAUGCAGUAUGUUUCGUCCACCGAACAAGCCUUUUUUUGUUCCCUUAGUUCUACCUACCACAUUUUGAGGUGUGGAGACACUUCUCAGUUAAAGCACUAGUUCAACCAGUCCAGUUGAAAAAAUCAGCAAAAAGACCUCGAAUCCUACUUGAGGAGUCAGAAAAGGGAAGAAAUUUAAUUGGUACAUGUUGGGUUAAUAGUAUAUGAAAGAAGUGUGAAUGGAAAAAAAGAGAAUAAAAUAGUGGAGGGGAAGAAGACACUAAAAUGAAAAGUGUACUCCCAAAUUAGAAAGUUUACUCUUUCUCUGACUUUGGUGGAAAAAGAGAACUUGAAAGUGUUUAUAAUCAAGAACACUUACUCCACAUGGCAAGUGUGGCAAGAAAUAAUAGAUUCCUCGCCCUAUUGUCAUUAUCGCUCGCUCAGCUUCGGACUUGGAUUUGUCAAAUGAUCGAUCGAUGAGACCUAUCUUUUUGGACAAACUUUAUUUGAAUUCUGAAGAAUGCCAAGGAAAAAUGUAGUAAAAACUUUUCUGCCGUUUUGAACCUCCAUUUAUACAUGCAUGCAGAAGUUCGAACUGAUGUAAUACUUCAUCAAACUAGUGCCAAUGUUUCAGUUCUGAGGCACUGUUUCGGUGAACUGAUGCAUUAUUUCAGUAAACUGAUGCACUGCUUCAUAACUGAUGCAUUGUUUCGAUGAACUGACACACUUAUUCACAAAAUGGAAUGACUUUUCAGAACAGUCACAUUGUUUGGACGAAUGGACAUGAAUUUUCAGAAAAGGUUACACCUUUUAGAUAAACCUUUGCGUCUUUUUAGAAGAGGCAUGUUGUGGCUAUAUAAACCUGGUUUAUUCCAUAGGUUUAGUACAAAAUUUUUAGAUUAAAAACUUUCUUCUUGUCUGAAAAAUAUUCCGUGUGAUCACUCAAAAUAUUCUGUGAGUUCGAAGAUAUUCCAACCAUUUGAGGUACCGCAACUGUUGGUUUAUUAGUCAUUUUAUCCUGGGAGGAAAAAUUCCAUAACCUCGGGUAUAGUGAGGGGGAUUAUUUCCUUAAGGAAAUUUUGUGAAUUCGGACGACUUGGCUAUUUUUUGUUUCAUCUUAAUUUCUAUAAAAUAAAAUACACCUUUUGGAAAGGUCAUUUUGAUCUUGCUUUGAGGGUAUUUGAUAUACUUCAUUGUGUUCUUGUUUAUACUUGAACUCUAGUUGAAGUUGGUGUUGUAAUAUAUAGAUUCUCUGUACCCGAAGUACAAACGAAUAACUAUCUUAAGGAAAUAAUUUUACAGAAUCUGUAUAACUUGUUUUUAGAGAAUAAAGCUUUAAGCUUUCUACUCUGUUUGAAUUUAACUAGUGAUUAGGAGACAUAAAAAUUUUGUCACAAGUUAAAGUUCAUUCGGUUGACAAUUGGAAGUCAUAAAAACUUCAUUGUUAACUAGAAACAAGAAGAAGUAAAAAAAAUUAUAGUUGCUUAAUUUUUAUAAGUAGUAUUCUUAAAAUACUAAGUAUUUUUUUGUCUUGUGGUGAUAGAAAAAUGGCAACUGAAAGUCAAAUGAUAGAUGUGAAAACGUCUAUAGGGGCAACUAAUAUUUCCACAUCAAGUCACACAAAUGCUCCGCCAAAAAUGGCACCGGCGGAGAAGCCCGAAAAAUAUUCGGGCAUUGACUUCAGGCGGUGGCAACAAAAGAUGUUCUUUUACCUCACCACUUUAUGUUUGCAAUGGUUCACUAGCGAAGAAGCUCCUGAGGUACCUAAGGGAACCUCGGACAAAGACCGCUUCGUUAUUGUAGAAGCUUGGAAACAUUCGGACUUCCUUUGCAGAAAUUAUAUUCUGAGUGGUCUCUCAGACAACCUCUACAAUGAUUAUAGUGGAACCAAGACUUCAAAAAAACUGUGGGGAGCACUUGAACGAAAAUAUAAGACGGAGGAUGUGGGAAUUAAGAAAUUCCUUGUUGCACGGUUCCUGGACUUCAAAAUGAUAGAUAACAAAUCUGUUGUAAUUAGCAAAGGAGAAAUGUAUGUAGGAAAAGGCUAUCUGAUGGAAGGCCUUUAUAAGAUGAAUGUAAUGACUGUUUAAAUAAAUAAAAGUUCAAAUUCUUCUUAUUUGCUUGAGUCUUAUGAUUUAUGGCAUGAACGUUUAGGCCAGGUUAAUUACAAAACGUUAUGAAAACUAAUUAACUUAGAAGUUUUGCCAAACUUUGAGUGCAAUAAAUCAAAGUAUCAAACAUGUGUGGAAUCGAAGUAUGCAAGGCAUCCUUAUAAGUCCGUUGAAAGGAAUUCCAAUCCCUUAUACUUAAUACACACUGACAUUUGUGAUAUGAAGUCAACACCAUCACGUAGUGGGAAAAAGUAUUUCAUAACUUUUAUUGAUGAUUGCACUAGAUAUUGUUAUGUCUACUUGCUAAAUAGUAAGGAUGAAGCAAUAGAUGCAUUUAGGCAAUAUAAAACUGAAGUUGAAAAUCAGUUAGACAAAAAGAUCAAAAUAAUAAGAAGUAAUAGGGGCGGAGAAUAUGAUUCUCCCUUUGCACAAAUAUGUGUAGAGAAUGGAAUAAUCCAUCAAACUACGUCCCCAUAUUCACCUUAAUCUAAUGGAAUUGCGGAAAGGAAAAGCUGAACUUUGAAGGAAAUGAUGAAUGUCUUACUUAUAAGUUCUGGUUUACCACAAAACUUAUGGGGGGAGGCUAUCCUUACGGCCAAUCGUAUACUCAACAGAGUUCCCCAUAGUAAGACACAAUCAAUUCCUUACGAAAAGUGGAAAGGAAGGAAAUCCAACUUGAAAUAUUUCAAAGUGUGGGGUGUCUAGAGAAGGUUCAAGUUCCUAUACAUAAAAGGGUUAAGAUAGGACCUAAAAUGGUGGACUGUGUAUUCAUAGGAUAUGCUAAAAGUAGUAAAGCAUGUCAAUUUUUGGUUCAUAAAUCUGAAUAUCCGAAUAUUAAUGAAAAUACGGUAAUUGAAUCAGACAAUACUGAAUUCUUUGAAAAUAUUUACCCGUAUAAAAUUAGACAUGAACAGUCUAGUGGAGGAUCUAAACAACCUCGAGAUGAACCAAGUGAGAAUGUACAUAAUGAAGAAAAUCCAAGACGUAGUACACGUCAAAGAACAUCAACUUCAUUUGGAUCUGAUUUUGUAAUAUUUCUCUCAGAAAAUGAGCUUCAAACAUUUAAAGAAGCGAUGUCAUCGUCAGACUCAUCCUUUUGGGAAGAGGCAGUCAAUAGUGAGAUAGAUUCAAUAUUAAGCAACCAUAUAUAGGAAUUGGUUAACCUUACUCCCAGAAAUAAACUGUUAGGUUCUAAAUGGAUCUUCAAAAGGAAAAUGAAGGCGAAUGGUACUAUUGACAAAUACAAGGCAAAACUUGUAGUAAAAGGCUUCAAACAAAAGGAAGGCCUUGAUUACUUUGAUACAUACUCGCCAGUAAAAAGGAUAACCUUGAUUCGAAUGUUAAUUGCCUUGGCGGCGGUAUAUGAUCUUCAAAUCCAUCAAAUAGAUGUGAAGACCGCAUUUCUAAAUAGAGAUUUGGAGGAAGAAAUAAACAUGGAACAACCUGAGGGUUUUGUGGCUCCAGGAAAAGAAAAUAAGGUCUGUGAAGUUGUUAAGUCAAUUUAUAGACUAAAAUAAGCACCUAAGCAAUGGCAUGAAAAGUUUGACCAAACCAUGUUUGCAAACGGAUUCAAGAUAAAUGAAUGUGAAACAUGUGUAUAUAUUAAAGACACACCAAAUCACCAAGUCAUUAUUUGUUUAUAUGUGGAUGAUAUGUUGAUUAUCAGUAGAGAUAUUUGUGACAUAAAUACAACCAAAUGAAUGCUCGAGAGCAAGUUUGAUAUGAAAGACCUUGGAGUUGCAGAUGUGAUCUUAGGUAUAAGAAUCCAUCGAACUCUACAGGGGUUAGCAUUGUCACAGUCUCAUUAUAACAAAAAAGUACUUAACAAGUUCAAGGAUAUGGAAUUCGGUAUUGCGAAGACUCCAUUGGAUGUGAACUUUUCACUUUGAAAGAAUGAAGGUGAAAGUAACUCAUAAUUUGACUACACAAGAGUAUUGGGAUGUUUAAUGUAUAUAAUGAACUGUACACGACCAGACAUAGCAUGUGCAAUUAGUAAAUUGAGUCAGUACACGAGUAAUCCCAACAAAACUUAUUGGAUGGCAAUGAAAAGAGUUUUGGGGUAUCUUAAAUACACUCAAAACUAUGCUUUGCAUUACAAUAAAUAUCCUGUGGUACUUGAAGGAUAUAGUGAUGCAAAUUGGAUCACCGGAUCAAACAAACUAAAAUCCACAAGUGGAUAUGUAUUUACUAUUGGUGGAGGAGCAGUUUCUUGGAAAUCAUCCAAAUAGACUUGUAUCACUCGCUCUACAAUGGAAUAUGAAUUUAUCGCAUUAGAUAAAGUCGGUGAAGAAGCAGAAUGGCUCUGAAAUUUCUUGGAAGAUAUUUCGUGCUGGCCUAAGCCAGUGGCACCAGUAUGUAUACACUGUGAUAGCCAAAUGGCUAUAGGUAGGGCAGGGAGCAUGAUGUACAAUGGUAAAUCUCAUCACAUACGAUGGACACAUAAAACCGUUAGGGAACUUCUCUCUAGUGAUAUUAUCACUAUUGACUAUGUAAAGUUAAAUUAUAACGUGUCAGAUCCACUUACAAAAGGCUUAUCUAGAGAAGGAGUGGAAAGAACAUCCAAGGGAAUGGGUUUAAGGCCUAGGAUGAGUUAGCAUGGCGGUAAAUCUACCUAGAAGACUAGAGAUCCCAAGAUCUAGGUUUAAGGAGAUCAAACAAAGUUGUGUCUGACAGGUUCAAUAUUGUAAAUUACCCAACCCAUUCUCAUGAUGUAGAAAAUGUAUAGUAAACUAGGAUAAGACUUAAGGUGAAAAGUUUUUAGUGAUUAUCUAAAUUUAGCAGAUUUGACCAAAUAGUUUAAUCUAUAGGAUUGAACAUCUAGAAAUUACCUAUAUGAGGGUGAAGUGGAAGCCACUUCAAAGAGAAUGUUAGUAAAGGCUUAUUCUCUAAGCUCUCAUGAAAUCGGGACGCGUUCAUGGUUGAAAAGAAUAAAACCAUGAGAACCAUAAAUGUUUAAAGGCUGGUUAUGUGACAUGUAUUAUCUAGGUGUACAUUAAUGCUCGACGGUUCAAAGAUAUCAAAUCUACCGAUUGACCGAGUGCAUCCGAUGUAUGUUCACUAUGGAAAGUUCAAAGGGAAACCCAUUUAUCUAGAUGCAAUCAGUCUAUGCUUGAUGAUCACAUACUUGUCUGUAAAAAAUUUAUGAAAAAUAGCCAUUCCCCAUUCAUGUGGGGGAUUGUUGGGUCCAUAGUAUAUGAAAGAAGUGUGACUGAAAAAAAGAAGAAUAAAAUGGUGGAGGGGAAGGAGACACUAAAAUGAAAAGUGUACUCCCAAAUUAGAAAGUUUACUCUUUCUCCCACAUUGGUGGAAGAAGAGAACUUGAAAGUGUUUAUAAUCAAGAACACUUACUCCACAUGGCAAGUGAGGAAAGAAAUAAUAGAUGCCUUGCUUCGUCGUCGUCGUCGCUUGCUCGGCAUGACUUCAGAUUUGGAUUUGGAUUUGGAACAUGAUCAAUCGAUGAGAUCUAUAUUUUUGGACAAACUUUAUUUGAAUUCUGAAGAAUGCCAAGGAAAAAUGCAGUAAAUUUUUUUUGCUGUUUUGGACCUCCAUUUAUACAUGCAUGCAGAAGUUUAAACUGAUGCAAUACUUCAUCAAACUGGUGCCAAUGUUUCGGUGAACUGCGGAACUGUUUCGGUGAACUGAUGAAUUAUUUCAGUAAACUGAUGCACUUCUUCAGAACUGAUGCAUUGUUUUGAUGAACUGACACACUUAUUCACAAAAUGGCAUGCGUGUUCAGAAUAGUCACAUUGUUUGGACGAAUGGACAUGAAUUUUCAUAAAAGGUUAUACCUUUUAGAUGAACCUUUUCCUCUUUUCAGAAGAGGCAUGUUGUGGCUAUAUAAACCUGGUUUAUUCCAUAGGUGUAGUAUGAAAUUUUUAGAUUAAAAACUCUCUUCUUGUCUGAAAAAUAUUUUGUGUGAUCACUCAAAGCAUUCUGUGAGUUCAAAGAUAUUCUGACCAUUUGAUGUACCGCUAUUAUUGGUCUGUUAUCCAUUUUAUCUUAGGAGGAAAAAUUCCACAACCUCGGGUACAGUGAGGGGGAUUAUUUCCUUAAGGAAAAUUCGUGAAUUCGGACGACUUGGCUAUUUUUUGUUUCAUCUUAAUUUCUGCAAAAUAAAAUACACCUCUUAGAAAGGUCAUUUUGAUCUUGUGUUGAGGGUAUUUGAUAUACUUCAUUGGGCUCUUGUUUAUACUUGAACUCAAGUUAAAGUUGAUGUUGUAGUAUAUAGAUUCUGUGUACCCAAAGUACAAAUGAAAUAACAGUACAAUCUAUAUAACAUUUGCAUAUUCACCAUACUUUAACCCAAAAUCAAGCAAAUUAGAGCAACCGAAAAGAUACUAGGAUGAUGGCAAGUAGGCAGUACCUUCAGCAGCUUCACUAUUAUAAUCGGGCAGAAUAAGUAAUACCACAAAACAAAAUAAAAUAAGAAUAAGACAUGCAGAUUUAUGAGGAAAUCCUUGCAGGAAAAACCAUGAGCAAAGGCAGAGGAAAUUCACUAUGAAGGAUGGAGAAUAAAAUGAGGAGAAUGACGUAUUAAAAACAUCCAAAACGACCCACUAAAUUGAACUUACAUAAUAAGUGCGUACAAAUAAAUCCUAGGCCCAAAAACAUACAAACAUGGGUCGCACCUUCAACUUUUCAGGGCUGGAUCAACAGAAUUUAGGUCACAAACACUAACAAUAUCCACCUUGACACGACUUCUAAUAAAGAACUCAAAUCUGUUUUAAGAAAACUCUCCAUUUCUUCUACAAAAACCCUUAAGGGCAUAUCUUAACUGCUGACACCAACCAAGUCCAAGCAAUGCUCAAACUUGGCACUUGGUAGAGUCUUGGUCAUCAUAUCAAUAGGGUUAUCAUGGGUACUAAUGUUUCUUAACACAAUAUCACCACAAGCAAUAUCUUCACGCACAAAAUGAUACCGAACAUUGAUGUGCUUUGUCCUCUCGUGAAACAACUAUUUUUUUGUAAGGAAGAAGCACUUUGAAUGUCACAAAAGAUUGUAGUAAUCAGGGACAGCUUUACCUUAGAAAAAAAUAGGUGGUCGCCUUAGGCCCCCAAAUUUUACGGGCCUCAUUUUUCACGAUAAUAUAUUAUAGAUUUUUAAAAAAAAUAUAUUAUCUAUUGAAAAAUUAUUUUUUUAUAUAUAAAAAAAGAAUUAUUAGAAGUUCAUAUAUCUAGAGUAUUAUGUCUCAAGAAAGAUUAAAUGCAUUAAUUAUAUUGUUACUUAAAAAAAGAAUAAUUAGAAAAAAUCGAUUAUAUAAUUUUGAAAAUAGAGAUAGCGAAAAAAUAUCAUUUUUUUAAAAAAAGUUUAAGGCUUCUAUUUGAUUUUCGCCUUAGGCCACCAAUACGCUUGAGCCGCCCCUGGUAGUAAUCUAUAAGUCUUUGCUAAGUUCACCAAACAGACCCUUUAACCAAAUAGCUUCCUUGUAAGCAUUUGUAAUAGCUAUGUACCCUACCUCUGUAGUUAACAAAGAAACUGUAGUCAGUAAAGUAGCUUUCCAACUAAUAGUACAACCACUAAUGGUGAAAACAUAGCCUGUAAGGGACCUCCUUUUAUCAAGGUCUCCUACAAAAUUAGAAUCAACAUACCUGAUCACUCCAUCUCUAUUUUGUCCAAACUGCAAACAAACAACAAUAGAUCCAUGCAAGUAUCUGAAAAUCCACUGAACAGUUUUCCAAUAUUCUUUACCAGGAUUUGCAUGUAUCUACUAAUUGUACUGACAGCAUACGAUAAAGCUGGUUGUUAACACACCAUCGCAUACAUAAGAGACCCAACGACACUAGAGUAUAGAACUUGAGAUAUAUAGUCACGCUCAUCAUCUGUCUUUGGAGAUAAUGUAGCCUCGAAUUUGAAAUGAGUUGCCAAUAGAGUACUAAGAGGUUUGGCAUUUUGCAUAUUGAACCUGUGAAGCACUUUCUCAAUGUACCUUUUCUAACUCAAGUAAAAUUAAACUUCUCUCUAUCCCUUAGAAUUUCCAUUCCAAGGAUCUUCUUUAUUGCUCCUAAAUCCUUUAUCUUAAACUCUUUACUGAGUUGGGCUUUGACUUUUCUUAUCUCUCUCAUAUCCUUCACUGCAAUCAACAUAUCAUCAACAUACAAGAGAAGAUACACGAAUGAACCAUCACUUACCUCCUUAAAAUAGAUACAACUAUCAUAACUACUCCUCCUAAACAUAUGAGAAGUUAUAAAAGAGUCAAACCUCUUAUACCACUAUCUGGGAGACUGUUUUAAGACAUAAAAGGGACUUUUUCAACAAGCAUACAUCGCCCUACUUUUCCGAGACUACAAAACCCUCUGGUUAUUGCAUAUUGAUGUCCUCUUUAAGUUCUCCAUGUAUGAAUGCAGUUUUGACAUCCAACUGCUCUAGCUCAAAAUUGUGCAUAGCCACGAUAUCAAGCUUGGCUCGAAUCAAACUAUGCUUUACAACUGGAGAAAACACAUCUAUGAAGUCAACACCUAGAACCUAACUGUAACCUUUAGUAACUAGUCUUGCUUUGUACCUAGCAUCUUCAACUCCCAAUGUUCCAUUUUUUUUAAUUAUCCACUUGUAACAGAUAUCUUUCUUAUCUUUAAGGAAUUUCAAUAAAUCCCAUCUGUCAUUCUUAUGAAGUGAUUUCAUUUCCUCCUGCAUAGCAAUCAUUCAUCAGCUAGAAUCAUCACAAGUAAAUGUCUAUGUGUAAGAAGAAGGUUCUUCACUAGAAUCAAUACUUUCUGCUACAUUCAAUACUUAAGCAACCGAUUCAUCUUGCACCAUACUUCUGAGGAGGUCUAAUAUCUCUCCUAGGUCUAUCUUUAGCAAUAGAAUAUUGUGGUUUCACUGGUAGUGAAGAAGAAGUAGUAUCACUAUGCAUCUCCAGGCUAAACUGAGAAGUAGGCACUGGUAUGGCUCAAAUUUGUAAGUCAACGUGUGUUCUUGACUUUUGCUAAUUCAUGUUACUAGGCUCAUCUGGGGGUGAAGCCCAAAGCAUGGUAGUUUUAUCGAACACAACAUCCCUGCUAAUUAUAACCUUUCUGUUUUCUGGAAACCAAAGCUUAUAUAAUUUAAUACUAGACUUAUAACCCAUAAAUAAGCACUUGAAAGAUCUAGGUUCCAUCUUUCCAUUAUCAACAUAAGCAUAAGAAGGACAUCCAAAUAUCUUCAAAUCAGAGUAACUGGAAGGAAUACUGAACCAUAUCUCUUGUUGAGUCUUUUUGUUAAUCCUAACUGGAGGAGAGCGGUUAAUAAGAAGACAAGUUCUGGAAGAAGUUUCGGCCCAAAAAGACUUGGGUAAACCAGCAUUAGAGAGAAUACAACAUACCUUCUCUAUUAUAGUCUUAUUCAUUUAUUCGGCCACACCAUUCUGCUGUGGAGUAUGACGAACUGUUAAGUGUCUCACAAUUCCUUCUGACUUGCACAGAACAUUAAAUUCAUUAGAAUAGAGCUCUAAACCAUUAUCAAUCUGAAGAUGUUUGUAACACCCCGCAUUUUGGGCUAGAAUAAAAACCUUGACUCUGAUGCGUUGAUAAUCCUAGAGCCCUAGAUCCUAUGCCAAUUUGGCAUAUUUAUGUAGUAUGUGAAUCCAUUUGAUCAUGAAUUUAGACCAUAGAGGUCCUUUAACUCAAGGACGAUUUGAAAACUACUUCGAUCGAUUAAGUUUAAGUGGACAUUAUAAUUUAUGUCAACUUCUAUCGACCAUGACUCUUGGUAUAUGUCAAAUUAGAAAGCCAACUAUGUGUCAAAUGAUAGGUCUUCGAGUUAACUUUCGAACGAUACCAAUUUUGCUAAAAUCCGACACCCAAGCAAGGAGUUAUGGCCUUUUAAAGUAGUAUGCGUCGCCUAACCAAUUGCACAUGGCCACUGGAAAACAUAGGUGAUAGCAUAGGCGGUGCCUAUGUAAACAUAGGCAAUAGCAUAGGCGGUGCCUAUGUAAACAUAGGCAAUAGCAUAGGCGGUGCCUAUGUAAACAUAGGCGAUAGUAUUGGCACCGCCUAUAUAAUCAUAGGCGAUAGCAUAGGCGGCGCCUAUGUAAAGGUUUCAAGUGACUUAAACACUCCAUUUUUGGGGCAAAAUGGUCCUUUUCCCACCUUAUCUAGCCAUAAACACGAAAUUUAGUUCCCAAAGACCCCAAAAUACACCUUCAUUCAUCAAAUUGUUCAAGAACUCUCUCUAGGGUUUCAAAAUAAAAACCCAAGUAGUUCAAGAUUCAACCAUGGGUUUACAAAACAAAUUAGAGAUUUGGAAUUCCCAAGCCACAAGCUUCAAGAAUCAUCCGUUACUUUCUAAAAUAGAGGUACGCGGGGUUUUCCUAAAUUCUCAUGGGCUUAGAAAAAUCAUGUUUUAGAAUGGGGUUUUCGAAACUAUAUAUAUAUAUAUAUAUAUUCAUGUAUUAGAUGUUUUAACAUCAUUGUUUUGGUCUUUUGACCUUCCCCAAAGUGAUUUGAGAAUAUGUAAGUAUGAAAAUAUGAAUUUAAGAAUGAAUUCUUGUUGAGAGCAUGACUUUUGGUGAAUUCUCUCUUAUUAUGAAUUUUCAUAUUUUUCAUAGCAUAUGAAUUGUUUUGCAAUGCAUUCUUGAAAAGCACUAUAUGAAAUGGUUGAGCUCUUGUUAUGAUUUAAAGGUGGUUUUAAAUCUCUAAAGAGGGAAUUUAGCAUGAAUGUUUAAUGUUCGUAAUGCAUGUAAUAAAAGAGUGCAUGGAUUUGCUAAAGGCAUUAGACCACCAUGUGUUUGAUGAAGUUUUUGCACGGUUUUGACUUGAGUUUUGGAAUACGAAAUCUUUUAUGCAAAUUACAUAUUUGGAUAGUCUGAAACUAUAUUUUAUGAAAGAUCAUGCUUAAUGAAUUAUGGAUCAGAAAUAGGACUUGCAAGUCUUGGUAUGAUGAUACCAAACUCAGAAAAUGCCAUAACAGACACAGACGAAUACAGAAAUCAGACUUUAUCAGAUUUGCAUAUUUUAGAACUUCAGAAUGAUGCGUGUUCAGAAAAGGCUAAAAUAGGGCAUAAUGAGAGCUUAGGUGGUUCCCCGAGGAAGGUGUGAGUCCAGACAACUCUUUGCCCAAAAUCGUGGUUUACCAGCUCGGGUAUAUUAUUAUACGCUGGCUUAAGUGUCGUGUGGCGUGUCAGAUUCAGGAACUCCAACCCUUGCGGCACACUUGGGUUGGAGGCUUCCAGUCAAUGGCGGAUUCCAUAUCGCCCAUGGAAUAUCUGGUUUGUAGGGGAUACCACCAACUCAGAAGUAAUACACAGAUCAGAAUUUGAAAUUUACAGAUAGGUUACAUGUUUUCAGAAGGUGCCCAUAUGUUUUUUAGAAACUGUUUUAUGCAUGAUGUUUUGAUGAAAAUUGCUCUCAUGUAUUAUAUAUAUAUAUAUAUAUAUAUAUAUAUAUAUAUAUAUAUAUAUAUAUAUAUAUAUAUAUAUAUAUAUUUUCAAUUACUCUAUUUUGGAUUGCUUCACAUGCCAGUACUUUUGUGCUGACCCCCCCUCCUUCCAGGUUUUGAGACUCAGUCUAGGGGUCCAGAUGAUUAGUAGAUAUUUUAGAUCGUAGAUUAGAUUGUGCAGUGGUGAUCCUUCUAUAUUCCAGAAGGCCUGUUUACUUUCAGAUAUUUAUCUCUAGUCAUGUUUUAGUCUACUGAGGGCCUUGUCCCAUAUUUCAGACUAUUGCUAUUAGUCAUGUAGUAGAGAUUUCACAAACGGAUUUCAGAUAUUGAUAGAUGUUGUGGGGCUUUAUUUCCCAUUAUUGAUUUUAUUAGACUUAUGACCAUGUUUCCAUAAUAUUGUGUAUCUUCCGUAUUUCUUUUAUCAUAUGAAUUAUAUGUAUGAUUACCAGAUAGACAGGGGUGUUUUAGGCCUUCAUGGUUCGGGAUGCUCGUCAUGGCCAGGGCCCCGAUUCGGGCCGUGACAAUAUUUCCCUGCUUCCCUAUUUGUUUUUCAAUUAUAGUCUUCCACUCCUUGAAAAUAGACAAUACAUCAUUCUUUUUCUUCAGGAAGAACACCCAAACCUUUUUGGAAUAGUCAUCAAUAAUAGUCAACAUGUAAUUAGAACAUCUUCUAGAAGGUACUCUAGAAGGACCCCAGAGACAGAAUGAAUGUAAUCAAGUGUGCUUUUAUUAGAGUGGAUGCUUUUAGUGAAUCUGACUCUCUUCUGCUUCCCAAUAAUGCAGUGCUCACAGAACACUAAUUUGGUAAUACUCUAGCCAUCAAGAAGGCCUCUCAUACUUAGUUCAACCAUACUAUUUUCACUCAUAUGUGCCAGACGUAUAUGCCAAAGCUUAGCAACAUCACUAUCUGAUAGAGAGAGUAGAAAAAACAACAUCACCUGUAACUGUAAAGCCUUGCAAGACGUACAAAUUAGCUUUUUUUUCUCUCUCCUUUCAUCACAACAAGAUCACCUUUACUAACCUUCAGGACUCUACCUUCACUAGUGUACUCAUAUCCAUUCGAAUCAAGGGUACUCAAGGAAAUAAGAUUUUUCUUUAGGUUUGGGACAUACCGCACAACAAAAAAUGUCCUCACAACCCCAUCAAACAUCUUGAUCCUAAUUGUUCCAAUACUAGCUAUAUUAUAAGGUGUGUUAUUUUCCAUCAACAUAGCACCUUUAGAUACCAUUUCAUAUAUUGUAAACCAAUCCCGAUUGCGACACAUAUGAAAUGUGCAAGUUGAAUCAAGAAUCCAAUUCUCACAGGGUUUAGAGUUACCAUUAGAAACUACCAAGAGUUCUCCAUCACUACUGCCAUCUUCAAUAAAAUUAGCUUCACCGAACUUCUCUGGUUGUUUUCCUUUCUGGUUUUCAGCUUCCUAUUUAUUUCCAUUCUGUAACUUAUAAUAUUCAAAUUUGAUAUGACCCUUCUUCUGGUAGUAAUUAUAGGUUUUGUUUCUGUUUCUAGAUUUUGACCUAUUCUUGUCAUCACCUUCAGAGUUCCUCUCAUGAGUUCUUCCUCAAACAAUGAGACCAUCUCCUUGAGUCACUGACCCAUUCACAAGAUAGUUUAUCUUCUCCUUAGAGAACAACGCAUCAUAGACUUCAUCUAGGGUUAGGGUAUCACGACUAUAUAAAAUUAUAUCCCUAAAGUUUGAAUAUGAUGCAGGCAGCAAACAUAGCAAAAUUAACCCUAGAUCUUCCUUAUUGUACUUAACCUCCAGAGUUUCUAAAUCAGAGAUGAUUUCCUUAAAUAAAGUUAGGUGAUCAUUCUAAGACACACCCCUAGACAUGUGAUGGGAAUAAAGUAGUUGUUUGAGAUGCAACUUACUAGUUAGGCUCUUUGUUAUACAUAACGAUUCUAGUUUAAACCAUAACGCAACGGCAGUGGUCUCCUUCAAAACAUCUUGUAGAAUCUGAUUGAUUAGAUGAAGGUAGAUCUGAGAUAAAGCCUUUCGAUCCUUACGCCAUUUAUCCUCUAUUGUCCACAAUGAGGGAAUCUUAUCAAACCCUAAUAGAGCAUCAUCCAAAUCCAUCUUUACGAGCACAACCCUUAUCUUAACCUGCCAGAACAAAAUCUGGUGUUGGGGUACAAUAACGGAAUAUCAUAUUUCAUGAUUGCCAUCCCUGAGAAAAUAACAUUUCUUUGAUACCAAUUUGUUAUAAUCAGGCAGAAUAAGAAAUACACAAAAUAAAAGAAAACAAGAAGAAGACACAAAUUUAUGUGGAAACCCUUGUGGGAAAAACCACGGGCACAGGUAGAGGAAAUUCACUAUAAAGGAUGGAGAAUACAAUGAGGAGAAUGACAUAUUAAAAACGUCCAAAAUGACCCACUAAAUUGCACUUAUAUAAUGCGUGCGUACAAAUAAAUCCAAGCCCCAAAUCAGCUCGAUCCCUUCGUUACCACCAUAGACCCCACAAAAAAUCACAAACAUGGGCUGUACCGCAACCUUUUCAGGGCCGGAUCAACAGAAUUUGGGUCACAAACUCAAACAUUCACAAAUGGGCAAAGAGAAACACCAAGUAACAAGAAGAAGCACAAAUGAAUUGCAAACAGAUGAUUCAUCACUUCUCAUCCAAUACAACAAUAAAUUUGAAAUAAGAAUUUGAACAACCUCCUGGCAACAAUAAAAUAAAUGGAAUCAUUUCACAUGGCAACACAUUAGAGAUGAGCAAUUUGAACAACCUGUAAACAUAAUAACUGGAUAGGCAGCUCAAAUCCAAUAAGUAAUGGAAGUCUCAAGAUCCUUUCUUUAUAAAAAUAUCAAGUUGGAAUACAUACUUCAAGAAUUUUAAGCACAUUAAUCUUUCAAAGGGCAAUAAACCCAAGAUAGAAGGUUCCCCAAAAUUUCUCUUAACACUUGAAAUAUUAAAAUAAAGCUACACUAAUAGCCUCUCAGUUCUCAAGUAACUGUCUCAAAGACCUCAAACAGAAGUUGUUGCCUUCUUCCUUGGAGCUGCUUCAGUAUCUGGACAAACAACAGUAAAAAGUGUAUUAUUAUCUUAUACAAGUUAUGACCAGAUAUUCUUGAUCAUCAAAUUUCAUUGUCUAAACCAAAAUCUUAGUCAAACUAAAACAAGAAAGAUCACUCUGAAUUAUAGAUGUGCAUCUUUCACAAUCACUCAUAAUUUUCAUGCAAAAUAUUUUUUAAAAAUAGUUUUAUCUUGAAAAUUUAUUUUCUAGAACUAUUUACAGCAUUCGGUUGGGUACAAAGUCACCAACCAUACUCACUCAUACAAGGUGGAAGAUAAAGUGUAACAAAAGUCUUAAAUACUCCCAUCGAUCCCAUUUGUUUGUGCUUCUUUCAUUUUUAGUUGGGAUCGAAGAAGACACCUUUCUGUCUUUAGUCAUAAUUUAACUUCAAACAUUUCAUUUUACCCUUAAAUAAUGAAUUUAUGGCCACACAAAUAUCAACCUCUUAUUUCGGACAAUAAGUUUCAAAAGUAUUUUUUCAUUCCUCAUGACCAGUCAAACACCUUUACAUAAAUUGAGACAACGGGAGUAGUUGUGAUUAGGAUCCCCUCCAGUAUCUGUUCCUCCUGCUACUCUAAUAACCUUGUUGACUUUUGACACGAGUCACUUGUUAAAUCUCACUGGCCAAAUCAGCUACCUCUCUUAAUCAAUAUACACACACAAAGUCACUCCUCCUACUAAAGAAAGUACCAAACCUAGCACUACUAUUUCCAUCAUUGCAAACUCUAUAUACCACAUGCCAUGGUUUAUUUCAGAACACAUCCCCUAACCCAGAUUUAUUAGAAACAAGUUCCUCUUUAAUAUGAACAAAACCAUAGUGGUUCCAUCCUAGAAUGUGCACAAAUAAUCUAUUCUACUCCACCUCCAUAUUCUUAGUGUUGGGAAAAUAAAUAUUCCCACCCAGGAUAUUAUCCACACAAAAUAGCAAUAACAAGAGAGUAAAAAGGACACCAAAUAUUAUAACGGGGUGAAUAAAAUACUCAAUGGAGGAAUACAAUAAUAGUGACUAAAACUUGACAGUGUCAAAACACUACUACUAUUUAUAAACAAAACAACACACUUUUAUUUCUCAAAACUCACUACAAUAUUACUCCUACACUAUUAUCUCACAGACUAUAGAAUAUCUGUGGAUUACUCUCUUUCCUCUCUAUUGGUCUCUCAAUUUUGUAGUACCUAAAACUGAAAUAAAAAUCAUCUAUUUAUAGAUUAACAUCCAAAAUUUUUAUGUUGCGGCACCAAUUUCCAACUUGAUCAUGUUGCAACACUAACUUCCAAAUUCAUGUCACCACAUUACACAUGUUGAAACACUAAUUUUUCUUGUUAUUUUUUAAUUUAUUUUAAUUAUUUUGAUCCCACAAAUCUCUCCCUUAAUUUUAAUUCUUCUUCUUCAUUGUAAGACUUGAUGUCUAGUUGAUGAAUUUUUCACUUUAUUUGUAAAGCCAAAGAGAUCAGCAGGCAUAUCAUCUCCAUGCGGGCAAUAGGUGCAUAGACUUCUUCUUAGUCAAUGCCAUGUCUUUUCUUGUAGCCUUUAGCUAUGAGUCUUACCAUGUAUCUCUCUACUUUUCCAUGAGCAUUCUUCUUUGCCUUGUAUACUCAUAGAAUCCAAUUGCUUGAUGAUAUUUAGGAAGAGUUGUUAAAUCUCAAGUGUUUUUCUUUUUUAUCGACUGAAUUUCUUCCUCAAUGGCUUGUCUCCAUCUUUUGUCUAUAAUAGCUUUAUUAAAAUUCAUUGGUGCACUAUCAGCAUAGAGACAACACAAAAAAUCAAAAUUAGUAACUUCUUCUGUGUCAUCAUAGGGUUCUUGGAUGCUCUUCAUCCUCUGUAGCCUUUCACUUGAACUCUGAUCUUGAGAAAAAGAAAAUGCAACAUUUGCUGGUAGGGUUGCAUCCUGUGCAGGUCCCAUGGUAUCUAGCUCUUCUUCAUCUCCAAAGUAUGGAAGAAAAUCAUAUGUUCUUUCUUUCUGAGCCUCCUGGCCUUCCUAAUUUCAUGACGCUUCUUUAUCAAAUUCAACAUCACGACUUACCACCACUUUGUUGUCACUUGAAUUAUAUAGCUUGUAGACUUUUGAACUAGUGUCAUAGCCAAUAAACAUAUACCUGAUGCUUUGAUCAUCAAGUUUAGCUCUCCCUGUGGAAUAUAAGCAUAGUCUAUGCUUUCAAAAAUUCUCAAGUUCUUGAAACUUGGAGUUUUUCCGCUCUAUGCUUCUUGAGGUGUUUGAUCUUUCUCAUUUCUUUUUGGAUACUUGUUGCUUAAAUAAACUACACAUGAAAAAGCUUCGGUCCAAAAUUCUUUUGGUAUAUUUUUAGCUUUCAACAUACAUCUUGCCAUAUUAAGAAUUGUUCUAUCCUUUCUUUCUAUAACUCUAUUUUGUUGGGGCGAGUAAGGUACCGUUAGAGGGAGACGAAUUCUAUGAGACUAACAAAAGUCACUAAAUUCUUUUAAAGUGAAUUCGCCUCCUCUAUCGGACCUUAGGGCUUUUAUUUCAUAGCCACUCUCUUUUUCUACAAGUGCUCAGAAAUUUUUAAAGGCAACAAAAGCUUUUAAUUUUUGCUUCAAGAAAUAUACUCAAGUCUUUCUACUGAGAUCAUCAAUAAAGAGUAAGAAGUAUUUACUUUUACCAAAAGAAUGCGGAUCGAUUGGACCACACAAAUCGAUGUGAACAAGCUAAAGUGGAUUAAUUGCUCUUGACGUGGUUUCCUUCGAAAACCCCUCCUUUCAUGUUUUCCAAGAAGACAAGCUUCCCAUAGUUGAUUGGGAUGAUUGAUUGAUGGAAUUCCAUCAACCAUGUUCUUGUCUCCCAUUGAUUUGAGAGCUUCAAAGUUCAAAUGUCCAAAUCGCAUAUGACAACACCAAGACUCAUCUUGCACAUUAGCCUUCAAACAUUUUUGCAUUAAUGGUCUUAAGAUUCAAAAGAAAUAAUCUAUUUUUUGCCAUAUGCACUUCGGGAAUUAAAUGAUUACUUGAAUCUCUAAGCCAAAGAUGUAUAUUUUUUAUAUGAAUAUCAUUCCUUUUUCAAAAAGUUGGCCAAAACUCAAAAUAUUAUUUUUUUAGUUUUGGCACAUAGUCUUAUUGAUCAAUUUUUUAUCACCAUUUUUACAGGAUAUCAAAAUCGUAUCUAUUCCUUCAAUUUGAAUCUCUAGGGUAUCUCCAAAAAACACAUUAUCUCUCGUCGUCUUCUUGAUCUCCAUAAACUUGUCUUCGUAUCCACACAUAUGAUUACUUUCCCCAUUAUCAAGAUACCAUGAACUAUAAUCAUCUGUAUCAUCUACUGUGAGAGCCAUUAACAAUGUUGACUCAUCUUCUUCUUUGUUGUAGUCAAUGUCACACCCCUUUUUUUUUUCACUUCAAAAAGAUUCAUUUUAAAUCUAAAAGAGUUUUAUUAUUAAGUGACAAAAGAUGAAAAUUUAUUUCAAAAAUGGAUUAUUUACAUUUAAACUCAGAGCCGCCACUUGGCAUAGACCGGUGUACCAAGUCACCUUUGGAAAAUCCUUUUCAAAAUGAUUAGACUCUUGAAACUGGUUUGCGAACAGAGAUUCUGGUUAAAGAAUUAUGUUGACCGAGGGGAAGGUGUUAGGAAACCCUCGAUCCCAUGGUUCGACCAUGGUCGCUUAGUAGAGUGAAUCAGCUAAUUUGGCACUACGAUGUAAAAACCACAUAAAAACAUGUAAAACAAUCAAACAAACAAACAAAACCAAACGAAUCCAAAAUAUAGUGUCCAAUCCGAGUUAUACAGUCCCAAAAUAGAAAAAUACAAAAAUGUAAAUCAUAUUCUAAACUAAUCCUAGACUAAGCUCUAAUGCCUCAUCCGAUGCCUCGGACUUUCAUCACGAACGUCCUCCAAGUGCAAGAUACUUCGGGGCAUUUCCCGUAUAAAUCAAUACAAAUACCUCGAGGCGUUCCCCGGCUAAAUGAAUACAGUAGAUCCAAAUGCGGUAAACAAAAACUUUCAACACAUAAUCCAAACAUUCCACAAUCCACAAGUUCUAAAUUUGCCUAUCUGAGCCUACUGUUUGCUUACCCAGCACGACCAAUCAUGGCACUAUUACAAUCAGUGACAUCAAUGAAUCAAAAUGACAAUAUUCAUUUUUGUCAACUUUCAAUUCCCGCCCCACUUUUAUCGAUUUAAUUCUCAAAUAAGAUAUCAUUUUAUUGCACAACACAUAAAUAAUAAAUCAACACCAAGUAAUUAUUCACCAUCAACAAGGAACAAACAACACUCAAACAUUCAAACUAUAACAUCGAAUAUCAUAAAGAGUGAAAUAAAAAGAGAGGGAGAAGAGAAUCAGACCUCACUUAUCAAUUUAAAUGUAGUGUUAUUCAAUUAAACAAGACAGAGUCCAGUCGAGAACCUCAAAUUGAACUUCAACCGUGACCCACCAACUCGAAUCCAAACCGAAUGGAACUCAACUAACGACUGUGAAUACCCGAGAUCAACAACCAGACAGAUUUCAAACCCAAAAAUAAAGACCUCAAUAUGAAAACCAAGACCCGAACCCAAAAUGAUGACUAAUGAAAAUCAAAAUCCAAUUUUGAUUUUAAAUCACCAAAAUAGAUGAACCCAAGCUGCAAAAAUCUGAUAAAAAACUAAGUACCCACACGACUUGAACUUCGGUGAGCUAACAGUGCCCAAAAUAGAUGGAAGUAGGACUAAUUCCAGAGAGUUUGAAUAUUUUUGAAACGAGGUAGCUCGAAAACUUUCAAAAACAGACUGUUCUGGUGAUAUUCUUGUUUCCCUAUUGGACUCAUCUAGAAAUGAACAGAGGACGAUGAGAUUCCGGCAAAAUAGUCACUGGAACAAUGACCAAACCCAUUGAAACCCAUUUUUGAGUAACCCAAAAUCAAUACAGUUUUCUUCUCCAUUUAAGAUCUCAACUUUGAAUCUCUCUCUCGCACGCGCGAAUCUCUCAGUGUGUGUAUCCCCUAUUGUGCAUGCGUUCAAUAGGUGUAUAUAGUAGCUCUAUGUGUAUCUCCUAUGUGGAGAAGAAAAGGAAAGUUGGGGUCUCUCUGUAUUUCUGUUUGUGUAUGUAAGGAUGAUGAUGAUCUCCUUCCGUUAAUAGUGGUGUGUUCAAAAGAAAAACAAGAGUUAGACCGUGUUCCAUGCUUUUUUCAUCAAUGGAGAAUAUCGAUUCAUGAUGUAGUGGGUAUUGUGUGUAGCGCGUGACUAUGAAAAUGAGGGUGGGUCAGUGAAUUGUCAGUCCCCCUGUGAGUGAGAAUUGUUUUCUUUUUUAAUUAUUUUGUGGGCCCUUAAAAGUGUCUAUCCAAAAAUGGAAGAAUUUUUUUUUGUCCCCUCUCUGUUAAAUAAUAAUUAAAAUAUAAAGGGAAGGGUGGCAUGUGGGGUAGGUGGUGAGGUGGGGUAUGUGAGGUGUUAAAAUUUAAUAGGGAGGGGUUGUUAGAAUAAGAUAAAAUUAGUUAGGGGUUGUUAUUUUUGUAUUUUUGUGGGAUAUAAUCACAUGGGUGAGGGCACGCAGUAAGACAGAGGUAAAAUGGUAAAAAUGUUUUUGGGCAGGGAAAAAAUAAGAUGUCUACAUCAUGCCCUCUUUGAAUGUAAACACGAGAUGUUUUCAGGUAAAGAAGUAGACAAUGAGACCAAAUUUCAACCUGGCCAUUAUUUAAGGAGAGAAACAUAAAGAAGAAGAGAAACUGGAUCUUAACUUUGGAGAUCCUACCUACCCAAGUUAUGAAGGAAUCAAUUGACACACAUCUCAAAGGGUUGGAAAGAGAAGGACUAUAUUGAGUUGGAGAGUCGAGUGAGGUUCCAUCGAGGUUUCGGUCCGCUGCUCUAUCAUUACAUCAAAACAAAAAUUACAAGUUAAAACAUAAAUGAAAUUACAAAAUACUAUCUAUGCAUCUUUUUUGGACUCUUGGCUUGAGUUUCAUCACCCUAUUCUUCAGGCAGACUCCUGACUUGCAAUUUCUUCAACUUGUUGCUUGACUUCCAAUUUCCUUACCCUGUUCUUCAGAUGGGCACCUGACUUGUAAUUUUUCAAUUUGUUAACUUUAAAGUUCUUCACCUUGUUGCUUAACUUUUAACUUCUUCACCUUGUUGUUUGACUUAGGCUCCAGAAAUCACAUCAAAACUAAAAAGAAAAUUACCCCAUACAAAUAAAUGCAUCUUUAAUGAGUUAAUUAGAAUGAUUUGACUAAAAGGUAUGUCUUAUAGGAGUCAAGGGGAAUGACUCGACUAAAAGAUAUGUCUUACACGAAUCACAGGGAAUGACUCGACUAAAAAGUACAUCUUCUAGGGGUCAAGGGGAAUGACUCGACUACAAGUUACGUCUUCUAGGGGUCAAGGGGAAUGACUUAACUAAAAGGUACGUCUUAUAGGAAUCAAGGGGGAUGACUCGACUAAAAGGUACGUCUUAUAGGAAUCAAAGUGGAUGACUCGACUAAAAGGUACAUCUUAUAGGAAUCAAGGGGAAAGACUGACUAAAAGGUACGUCUUCUAGGGGUUAAAGGGAAUGAUUCGACUAAAAGGUAUGUCUUAUAGGAAUCAAAGGGAAUGACUCGACUAAAAGGUACAUCUUGAUGGGGUCAAAGAGAAUGACUCAAAUAAAAAGUAUGUCUUAUAGUAAUCAAGGGAAAUGACUCGACUAAAAGUUACGUCUUAUAGGAAUCAAGGGAUAUGACUCGACUAAAAGGUACGUCUUAUAGGAAUCAAGGGGGAUGACUCGACUAAAAGGUGCGUCUUAUAGGAAUCAAGGGGGAUGACUCGAAUAAAAGGUACGUCUUAUAGGAAUCAAAGGGGAUAACUCGUCUAAAAGUUAUGUCUUAUAGGAAUCAAAGGGGAUGACUCGACUAAAAGGUACAUCUUCUAGGGGUCAAAGGGAAUGACUUGACUUAAAGGUAUGUCUUAUAGUAAUCAAGGGAAAUGACUCGACUAAAAGGUAAGUCUUUUAGGAUUUAAAGGUAAUGACUCGACUAAAAGGUACGUCUUAUAAGAAUCAAAUGGAAUGACUCGACUAAAAGGUACAUAUUAUAGGAAUCAAAGGGGAUGACUCGACUAAAAGGUACGUCUUAUAGGAAUCAAGGGGGAUGACUCGAUUAAAAGGUACGUCUUAUAGGAACCAAAGGGAAUGACUCGUCUAAAAGGUAUGUCUUAUAGGAAUAAAAGGGGAUGACUCGACUAAAAGGUAUGUCUUCUAGGGGUCAAAGGGAAUGAUUUGACUAAAAGGUAUGUCUUAUAGUCAUCAAAGAAAAUGACUCGACUAAAACGUAUAUCUUAUAGGAAUCAAAGGAGAAUGAAUCGACUAAAAGGUACAUUUUAUAGGAAUCAAGGGAGAUGACUUGACUAAAAGGUAUGUCUUACUAGGAAUCAAGGGAGAUGACUCAACUAAAAGGUACGUCUAAUAGGAAUCAAAGGGAAUGACUCGACUAAAAGGUACGUCUUCUAGGGGCCAAAGGGAGUGACUCGACUAAAAGGUGUGUCUUAUAGGAAUCAAAGGGAAUGACUCGACUAAAAGAUACAUCUUAUAGAAAUCAAAGGAGAUAACUCGAUCAAAAGGUACAUCUUAUAUGAAUCAAGGGGGAUGACUCGACUAAAAGAUACGUCUUAUAAAGAUCAAAGGGAAUGACUCGACUAAAAGGUACGUCUUCUAGGAAUCGAAGGGGAUGAAUCAACUAUAAGGUACAUCUUCUAAGGGUCAAGGGGAAUGACUCGACUAAAAGGUACGUUUUAUAGAAAUGAAGAGAGAUGACUCGACUAAAAGGUACGUCUUAUAGGAAUCAAGGGGGAUGACCCGACUAAAAGGUAUGUCUUAUAGGAAUCAAAGAGGACAACUCGUCUAAAAGUUAUGUCCUAUAGGAAUCAAAGGGGAUGACUUGACUAAAAGGUACAUCUUCUAGGGGUCAAAGGGAAUGACUUAACUUAAUGGUAUGUCUUAUAGUAAUCAAGGGAAAUGACUUGACUAAAUGGUACGUCUUAGAGGAAUCAAAGGGAAUGACUCGACUAAAAGGUACGUCUUAUAGGAAUCAAAUGGAAUGACUCGACUAAAAGGUACAUCUUAUAGGAAUCAAAGGGGAUGACUCGAGUAAAAGGUACGUCUUCUAGGGUUCAAGGUUAAUGACUCGACUAAAUGAUACGUCUUAUAGGAAUCAAAGGGAAUUAAUUGACUAAAAGGUACAUCUUCUAGGGGUCAAGGGAGAUGACUCGACUAAAAGGUACAUCUUAUAGGAAUUAAGGGAGAUAACUCAACUAAAAGGUACAUGUUAUAGGAAUCAAAGGAAAUGACUCGACUAAAAGGUAUGCCUUAUAGGAAUCAAAGGGAAUGACUCGACUAAAAGGUAGGACUUCUAGGGCUCAAGGGGAAUGACUUGACUAAAAGGUACCUCUUAUAGGAGUCAAAGGAACGAUUCGACUAAAAGGUACAUCUUAUAGGAAUCAAAUGGAAUAACUCGACUAAAAGGUAUGUUUUCUAGGGGUCAAGGGGAAUGACUCGACUAAAAGGUACCUCUUAUAGGAGUCAAAGGAAUGACUCAACUAAAAGGUAUGUCUUCUAGUAGUAAAGGUUUAAUUUAAGAAGUGUAUCAUCCAACAAAUGAAAAAUGAAAUCCCUAGACAAGAAGGUGUGUCUCCGAGGGAAAUAAGAUGAUGAAUUUUACCGUGAUUUGACUAUCAAACCUGUGCAACAACAUUGCUUUUUAUAUUUGUAAAAGUGAGGCAUUUCAACCCUUGAUAUUUAUGCUCUGAAGUCCUUACUUUGAAGGUAAUAUGUUUCCUAUUUCAUCAAAGAAAACUUGUGAUUUUAAAACAUGGUGGCUGGUUUGUGGCUUUAGCUUUCAUGGAAAUCGCUCCUACCCCUGUCACAUUUAAUCUUACUUUCAAUCAUUCAUGUGUCACUGACUUACUACAUCAUUGACUCGAACUCAGAUUAUUAAGAGUGACUUUAAAAUAGAUACAAUAUCUUUUCUUUGUCAUGCUUCUCAGAUAAACUCUUUGAACCUUAGUAUUUUCAUGAGUUCCCAGACUUACCGAUUGAUAAAAAAUUUGCAUGCCUUAUUUUGGCUCACAAUCAUGUCUCUUUCAUAUGUUGGCCUUUUGUCUUACUUUGCGCAAUUGAAGAAGCUGGUAGCUAAUUUUGAAGUCUUUUCUGACUUAUUUUGAUAGGACUUGACUCAAAGACAAGAGAAAAAAUGACAAUGAUUUUUAUUUGGACAACUGACUAAAGAAAAUAAAACAAAAAUAAAGAAAAUAAAGGAAAGACAAUGAAUAUCCACAUUUGAAACAAAGAAACAAAAAAUCAAUCUAAAAAUGACAGUAAACUCUAAUGAUUAUGCCAUGCAUUUUGAAUUAAGCAGCCUGAUCUUUUCAUCCAAACUUUCUACCAAUUGUUGUUGAGUUAAUUGCCUUGAAUCUGAGUUGCUUCCUUAGGUCAAUUGUAUUUAAGACCACAUUCGGCUAGUGGUACCUUGAAGGGUUUUCUCCCACAAGAUUCUCUCAUUUUCUUUUCCUCAGCUCACCAUUGUCUUAUGGUGUCUGUAAGGGUUUUCCACUAAUGAGACUCUCUUAUCUUCAUUUCCUUUAACUCAGAGUCGUCUUAUGGUGUCCGUGAGAGUCUUCACCAAUAAGACUCUAUCAUUUUUAUCUCUCUCAACUUACUAUCAUCUUACGGUGGUCGUAAGGGUUUUCACCAAUAAGAUUCUCUUAUUUUUAUUCCUCUCCUGAUUUUUUUUGUUGAGGAAGACAAGUAGUUCCUAAAUGCAUCAUCAUAUCCCUUGCAUGCUUAGCCUUAACAUCCUCAAAGAUAGAUCUGAAGAUGUUUCUUUGGUUGUAACUUGGAUUUUGGAUAGGGUUAGAAAGAAAGGAUGGCAUGGGGCCCAAACAACACUUGAAGUAGGGUAGGACUUACAACUUUUGGAAUCGACUCAAACAAUGAGGAUUAACACAUGCCCCAAUGUCUUUUAAUUGGGUGACUCUAAAUUGUUUAUUUGGUUGGACCGAGCUAGGAGUAGGGCAACCUACGUAUCUCACCCUCGAGAGAGGAGAAUCAGGUCAUGCGUAGUUCUGGUGGAUUGUUCUUUUGCUUGAUUCUGAUUUUUUCUUUUUUUUUGUUGACUUUUUAUUGACUUUUUUUUCUUUUUGGGACCUUCUGACUCUAUUUUUUUCUUGAUGCUCUUUUUUUUUCCUUCUUUUGGACAUAUUUUUUCUAUAAUUUCUUUUUGAAACUUUCUGACUCUAUUGUUUUGCUCGACACUUUUCUUUUGAGCUUUGCUGACUUUAUCUUGAUUCCAAAAGAGGGGUAUGAAAGAAAAUAGUACUAAAGCUCAAAUGGGGUAAACAAAAGAUGACACAAUGUUUGGAUAGCAUAAUGAAAUACCUUCGUCAUAUCAAUCCUUGAAAAUGCAAGAACAUAACAUGCAAUUUGAAAGUUGGAGAUGAAGAUCAUGUGCGACAUCUUUUAAAACAUUAACUUUGACUGAGUCUAUGCGUCACUACUUCUUCUGCGCUUUUCUAGCAUACAACUCCACUUUUGUUGUACAUUUCUUACAUUGAAUGACACAUGAUUUCGUGGAGCUGGUUUUCUUUCUGUUCCUCUUGAUUAGGAUCACACAUCCACUGAUUGACCUAAUUGAGGUAUGCCUUACAAUGGAUGACCAAGUUAUUCUGGUAAUUCUCAAAACAAUUGCCUUAAUUUUGAACGAAGGUUUCAAUAUGGUCACCAAAUGUCUUAAUACGCUACCUAUUUCUCACAUGCUUUUUCUAACUUUAGCCCUGUGAUUCAAAGUUCAUGCUCAAAUUGUAUUUUAAGAUCUAACGAAGAAUUCUGCCAACAUGUCAUAUCACUAAAGCCAACAUAAAAUGUACUAUGUAAAGAAAACAAACAAAGAACAUAUAUUUAAACACAAAGGAAAAAGGGACACAAUAUUUAGUUGACAUAAAAGAUAGAAAAGGUUUGACCUUAAACGACAAAAGGGACAAAAUAAGAUCGAUCCCGAACUACCACCCUAAAAUAAUUCAGAUAACAGAAAAGAAAACAAAACAAAUUACCAGACCUCUUCCUAGUAAGGAGAGGGGUGACUUCUUAAUUGCUCAGCCGGACAUAUUAGCCACUGAUUUGCAUAUCAGCAUGACUUGAUCUUUCACCACUAUCAGACACAUUUCCUUCAACAAAUAAGUUCUGGAUCCCCAUGCUUAAAUCAUUACCUCCCACAUAUUGUAUAGUACUGCAUGCCGGUGAAGAACUCUGUGGGAUGGUCGAGGGGCCAAUGUUUUGCACCACAAUCAAUUUAUCAUGAAUCAACUUUUCUAUUUUUCUUUUCAAAGUAUGACAAUCUUCAGUACGAUGACCCUGAACUUCAGAAUGAUAUGCACACCAUACAUUAGGAUCAAAAUUUCUUGAAUGUGGGUCAAGUAUAUACCUAAGGAAAGGAGUAAUCAUGCCCCUAUGUCUCAAUCUUUGGAACAAACUUGCAUAGGACUCCCCAAAUAGGAGUGAAAUUAUCCUUUUCCUUCCUCCUCUUUGUGAACUCUGGCCUCAGAUGAAACUUGAAUUUAGGGGUUCCUUGGUAAAUUUGUGGGGGUCAAGGACGAUGUUAAGGGACAGGUGUAUGCCAUUGUGGAUAAGAAGACGGAUGGGUACACAAUUAUGCAUUGUUCAAAGGACAUUGAGAAAGUGGAAUGGAACUCCUUGGAUUUUGAAAAGAGGAACCUUGUUGUAGAUAAAUAAGUGGAUUUGAUAUGUAAGCUCGGUAUUGAGGUUGAUAGUAUUGGUGAGUUGGACCUCUCAAACUCUGCUUUGGCCCAGGCACGACAACAGAUGCAUUUUCCUUCUUCUUUUCUUCAGUUUCCCUUGAAUGAUUGCAAUAUCAUCCCAAAUGUUUCACAGAAUCAUUCUGUCCACCAAGCUCCUCAAAUUUUGAUGUCUCAAAGCUUGGAGGAAGGUUAACACUUGAAAACAUGCCCUAGUUUUUAUAUGAAACAUCUUCAUAGCCCACAAGUCCCAAGGAAUUUUCAUAUCAUUUUAUACACUUUUAACUUUCCCAACCAUUUUCUCUGGGUCUUCAAGCAUGCUAGGCUUCUUAGUAAGAAAUUUUGGCGGUCAACUUAACUUAACUGUAGGCUCAAGAGUAUAAUAAUGAUCAUCACGAGUAUUGAAAGUGGAUUCACGAGUGGACUGGGGAAGCACAAUCAUUGGAUUGAUAACCAAAGUGGAAGAAUUAGUAGAAGGUUGAGCAACAAAAGCACAAACGGUAUGUGGUGAUGUGAAUGUGGUAGACUUAUACUGAGGAGAUAAAGAAAGAGAGGUGGAAGUAUUGAGGUGAAUUUGACGUGGAAUAGAUUCUGAGGCAUGCUGUGUUCCAUCAACCAUAGUAGGAAACUGACUUUACACGUUUGGUGGAAGACUCAAGGUAUUUGCAGGGUCAAAAGUGGGGAAAUGAGGUGGAGCUAGCUCGCUGGCCCAAGCUCGGUAUAUUUCCAUCAUUUGUUGUCUCAGUUUCAAAUUCUCUUCCUUUAAACUCUCAAUUUCCUAACUCUUUGUUUCAUCCAUGGUGCCACUCUCCAUAUCCUUUUUGGGUACAACUAAACCUUCCUUGGAUUUGGUGUGAUAUGGAGGACCAGCCAGGAAGCCACAAACCAACCACCUUAAACUAACUGAACAAGAGGCAACAAAUAUUUUAGAGUUCAACAUUUUUCAAAAUCUCUCUUUUUUUUAUUUUAUUUUUUUGAAAAGAUCACCAAACCCAAGAAGGGCGUCUACGUAUCUCACCCCCUAAGAGAGGAGGAUCAGGUGUGCGUAGUUCGUGAAGUCUUGCCAAAAUAGCCAAUUAAACUCUUUUUCUUUCUAUUUUUCUUGGAACUUUAAGAAGAAAAUAAAAUAACAAAUUAUCAAAAGAAUUGAUGAAAAUCUGUUUUGUAUUUUUCAGAUUUAAAUUCCUUAUACAAAAUGAAACCUAUGACAACCAAAGAAAAAUCUCUUUUUGAAAAUUUCGAUUCUAAAUUUCAUAGGAAAAUGAAACUUGAAACUAUUAAAGAAAUUUUUUUUUGUGAUUUUCUUUUUGAAGAUGUAUAUGACACACCGACUCUAAAUGAAGAGUGAAGCAAAUCUUUUUUGGAUUUUUUUUUCAUAUUCCUAUACAAAAUAAAAUCUAUGAUUACCAAAGAAAAUCUUUUUUGGUUUUCAAUUUCAAAUUUCAUAUGAAAAUGAAAAUUGAAACUAUUAAAGAAAAUUCUUUUUGCAGUUUUCUUUUAAAGAAAUAUAUGACACCUACUCUAAUAAAGAAUGAAGAAAUUUCAUUUUUUUUUAAUUUUCAAAUAAGGUCCCCAACCCAACAAUAAGCUGCCUACGUAUUUCACUCCUGAGAGAGAAGAAUUAAGGGUGAGUAGUUCGUCCAGAUUGGACAAUUAAUGAUUAAAUCACAGAUUGCACCCUGACUUGAGACACGGCCAAAGACAAACGAUAAACAACAUACCAAAAUCUUUUUUUUUUUUGAGUUUUCAAUUUGACACUUCACAUAAAAAAUGGCACCAACAGCUAUGAAAGAAAACCUUUUUGGUGUUUUCGUUUAAUGAAUUUACAAAACUUCUACCAUAUUUUUUUGCAUUUUUUUCUUUAUAAAAAACUCCAAUUUUUAAAAAAUAUUUUUUGAAAUUUUUGAAUUAUGAAUGCAUGGUAAAGGAACAAAAGGAAAAUCUUUUUGAUGUUUUUGAGAAAAAUGAGUGCGAAAGAUAAAAAAAUCUUUUUGAAUUUUUGGAUUGUGGAAAACAAAAGCAAUAAAAAACUCUAAAAACUAUGAAACCUACUUCUUUUUUUUUCGACUCAUUUUUUCUUUCUUUUUCCUCUCUUUUUUUCAAUUUUUCCUUGCCUACACACUCGAUUUUUUUCAACUUUUUCUUGCCUAUACACUUUCUUUAAUUCUAGCACACGUUUUCCCCCAAAUCAAUCUGUCAAAUGACCAUAUUACCCUUAAAGAUGCAACAUUUAGCACGUAGAGAUGCUUUAGAGGUGAAUCUCUUACAAAGGGUCAUGUGGGUCCCGCUAGGUCUCCAUAUGAUGCAAAUAAGCAUAACCUAAAGGAUGACCUACGCUGAGGUUUACUAACAAGGCUGUUCGGGGGAUCGUAUGAUCGAUAGUGGCUGCUUUGCUUUCCACCCACUCCAUACGUCCGAUGGCUCCCCCUCCUAAAAUAAGGGUGACUCAACUAGAGUUUGUGUGCAUGACGUGCACUCCAGGACUUGUUACAGAAAGAAUAACUCGGGUUAUGCACAUGAUGCCAGAUAUAAAGCAGUAACACAUACGAUAAAAACUGUAAACAAAGAGCACGUAGGCACUCAACAAUAAUAAACAAUAACACAAAACAGCACAAACAAAAUAUCUAUACACCUAUAGUGCUAAACUAAGCCGAUACAACUCCGACAAAUAAACUCAAAUUCUGAAAAGUCCCCAGAAGAGUCGCCAGAGCUAUCACAUCCCUUUUUUUCACUCUAAAAAGAUUCAUUUUAAGUCUGAAAGGGUUUUAUUAUUAAGUGACAAAAGAUGAAAAUUUGUUUCAAAAAUGGAUUAUUUACAUUUAAACUCACAGUCGCUACUUGGCAUAAACCAGUGUGCCAAGUCACCUUUGGAAAAUCCUUUUCAAAACGAUUUGACUCUUGAAACUAGUUUGCGAAUAGAGAUUCCAGUUAAGGAAUUUUGUUGACCGAGGGGAAGGUGUUAGGCACCCCUCGUUCCCGUGGUUCGACCACAGUCGCUUGGUAGAGUGAAUCGGGUAAUUUGGCACUAUGAUGUACAAACCACAUAAAAAUAUGUAAAACAAUUAAACAAACAAACAAAACAAAAUAAAUAAAAAAUAUAGUGUCCAGUCCGAGUUAUACAGUCUUGAAAUAAAAAAAUACUGAAAUGUAAAUCAUAUUCUAAACUAAUCCUAGACUAAGAUCCAAUACCUCAUCCGAUGCCUCGGGCCUUCAUCACGAAUGUCCUCCAAGUACAAGAUACUUCGGGGCAUUCCCCAGAUAAAUCAAUACAAAAUUCUCAAGGCAUUCCCUGGCUAAAUGAAUACAGUCGAUCCAAAUGCAGCAAACAAAACCUUUCAACACAUAAUCCAAACAUUCAACAAUCCACAAGUUAUAAAUUUGCCUAUCUGAGCCUACUAUUUCCUUACCCAGCACGACCAAUCAUGGCACUAUUACAAUCAACGACAUAAAUUAAUCAAAACAAAAAUGUUCUUUUUUAUCAACUUUCAAUUCUCGCCCUAUUUUUAUUCUCAAAUUAUCGAUUUUAAUUCUCAAACAAGAUAUCAUUUCAUUGCACAACACAAAAAUAAUGAAUCAACACCAAGUAAUUAUUCACCAUCAACAAGGAUCAAACAACACGUAAAUGUUUAAUGCAUAACAACGAAUAUCAUAAAGAGUGAAAUAAAAAGAGAGGGAGAAGAGAAUCGGACCUUAAUUAUCAAUUUUAAUGUAGUGUUAUUCAAUUAAAUGAGAUAGAGUCCGGUCGGGAACCUCGAAUUGAACUUCAACCGCAACCCACCAACUCGAAUCCAAAUGGAAUGAAACUCCACCAACGAUAGUGAAUACCCGGGAUCAACAGCUAGACAGAUUUCAAACCCAAAAAUAAAGACCUCGAUAUGACAACCAAGAUCCAAACCCAAAACUACGACUGAUGAAACUCAAAAUCUAGUUUCGAUUUUGAAUUACCAAAAUAGAUGAACCCAAGCUGCAAAAAUAUGAUAGAAAACUAAGCACCCACACGGCUUGAACUCCGGUGAGCUAACAGUGCCUAAAACAGACAGAAGUAGCUCGAAUUUCGGAGAGUUUGAAUAUUUUCUAAACGGGGUCACUCGAAAACUUUUGAAAACAGACUGUUCUGGCGAUAUUCUCAUUUCCCUAUCAGACUCAUCCAAAAAUCAAUAGAGAACGAUGAGAUUUCAGCAAAAUAGUCACCGGAACAACGACCAAACCCAUUGAAACCCAUUUCCGAGUAACCCAAAAUCAACACUAUUUUUUUUUCCAUUUCAGAUCUUGACUUCAAAUCUCUCUCUCUCGUAGGAGAAUCUCUCAGUGUGUAUCCCCUGCUGUGCGUGCAUUCAACAGGUGUUUAUAGUAGCUCUAUGUUAUCUCCUAGGUGGAGAAGAAAAUGAAGGCUGGGGUCUCUCUGUAUUUCUGUUUGUGUAUGUGAGGAUGAUGAUGGUCUCCUUACAUUAAUGGUGGUGUGUUCAUAAGAAAAAAGAGAUGGACCGUGUUCCAUGCUUUUUUCAUCAAUGGAGAAUAUCGAUUAGUGAUGUAGUGGGUACUUUGUGUAGCGUGUGAGUACGAAAAUGAGGGUGGGUCUGUGAAUUGUCAGUCCCCUUAUGAGUGAGAAUUGUUUUCUUUUUUAAUUAUUCUAUGGGCCCUUGAAAGUGUCUAUCCAAAAAUAGAAGAAUUUUUUUGUCCCCUCUCUAUUAAAUGAUAAUUAAAAUGUAAAGAGAAGGGGGGUACGUAGGGUAGGUGGUGAGAUGGGGUAUGUGUGGUGUUAAAAUUUAAUUGGGAGCAGUUGUUAGAAUAAGAUAAAAUUAGUUAGAAGUUGUUAUUUUUGUAUUUUUGUGGGAUAUAAUCAAAUAGGUGAGGGCACGCAGUAAGACGGAGGUUAAAUGGUAAAAAUAUUUUCGGGGAGGGACAAAAUUAGAUGUCUACAAUCAAUAAGGUUAGAUUUUUCUUCAAUAUUACUACGGCAUUCCCAACAGUAAUGUCCAAAUUUAUGAUUGUUGUAGCACUCAAUUUUAGAUUUGUUAUACCUCAUUUCAUUGGUGCCUUGAUAAACUCCACGUCCUCUUCCUCCCCGUUGUCAACGACCAUGGACUUUAAAUGUUAAGUGGUUUUUAUCCUCAUUGUUGAAUUUAUUGAUAUAACACCUUCCUCGUCCACGGCAGUCACAGCCUCACCAUUGUCCAUUUCCUCUGUAACUUUUUUCACCUCCCAAAUCUUUGAAGGAUGCUUGAGUUUUAAGAAGUUGCUCCAAUGGCUCUUCUUUUCUUCUUUUCAUUUUUUCUUAGUGGGCUUGUAAAGAACUUUCCAAUUGCUCUAUUGUCAUAGAUUCUAAAUAUUUAGACUCCUCAAUAGCACACACCACAUAAUUAAAUUUGGGUUUUAAAGAGUGAAGGAUCUUUUAUACCUCAUGAACAUCAUCUACUUCCUCUCCGUACCUUCUUAGUUGAUUCACAACACCCAUCACUCUUGAACAGAAAUCCAAAAUGGAUUCUGAUUCUUUCAUUUUUAAAAUUUCAAAAUCAACCCUUAGAGUUUGAAAUUUUACCUUCUUCACCUUAUCAACUAUUUGGAGAGAAUUUGUAAAAUCUCCCAAGCUUCCUUCGAGGUGGUUGCAUCAGCCACCUUCUCAAACAUACCAUCAUCCAAACAUUGGUGGAUUAGAGUGAGGACCUAUUGAUCUUUCUCCCUUAUCUUAAUCAAGACAUUUUUUUCAUUUUGUGACAGAGUCUCCUCAUUGGCCAAUUUUGUAUACCCUUUGUCUACAAUGUCCCAAACAUCUUGAGAACCAAGAAUGGCUUUCAUUCGUAGGAACCAUUUUUCAUAAUUUUCUUUUGUAAGGCCAGAGUACUGAAAAGGCAAUGGACUAUUAUUUUUCAUGGAUCUGACACCACGUUGUUGGGAAAAAAUAAAUAUUUUCACCCAGGAUAAUAUCUACACAAAAUAGCAAUAACAAGAGAGUAACAACGACACCAAAUAUUAUGAUGGGGUAAAUAAAAUAUCCAAUGGAGGAAUACAAUAAUAGUGAUUACAAUUUUGCAUUGUCAAAAGACUACUACUCUUUAUAAAUGAAACAACACUCUUUUAUUUCUCACAACUCACUGCAAUAUUACUCCCACACUAUUAUCUCACAGACUAAAGAAUAUCUGUGGAUUACUCUCUUUCCUCUCUAUUGCUCUCUCAAUUUUGGUGUACCUAAAACUGAAAUAGAAAUCACUAUUUAUAGAUGAACGUCCCAAACUUUUCAUGUUGCGACACCAAUUUCCAACUUGAUCAUGUUGCAACACCAAUUUUCUUAUUAUUUUUCAAUUUAUUUUAAUUAUUUUGAUCCCACACUUAGAAAACCAAAUCCGCACAGUUUGGUUUGACAAUACAUUGAAAUAAUAGAUGCAUGGGCUCACUGAAAAUCAGAAUAGAUAGCUUAUUAAGAUGAUUUCAUCUACUAAUACAAAUACGCUGGUACUAGGGCAACGGGAGGAAACAUUCUGGAGGGGAUCCUAGUCCUUAUAUUUGCAUUGAAGGUCGAAAAACAAUAUCUAAAUAUUGGUUCAAGCAAGUAUAUGGACAUCUGUAAAGUAAAAUGACUUUUAUCUAUAACUAGGGGAAACCUUAAUAAAAACAAAGCAAGAAAUCACUAGAAAAUGAUAUAAAUACUGUAGAACAAUUCAUAAAAAGAGAGAAAAUGUUUAUGUGAUAUUUAUUUUCGCUAGAAAGGUUAAAUAUCGUUAUUUGAUGUCAAAUUUGAUCAUAAAUUAUUGUGUCAAUUUACCAUUAUUUUAUGUAUAGAUUAUUUUGUAUGUACUUUUUAAAUUAUUUAUUGUAAAUUGUGAUUGUAUUUUUUUAUAUUUAUUGAAUUAAGUUUUUAAUUGUAAGUUGUAGCAAUUUUCAAAAAAAUAUUUAAAAAUAUUUUUUUAAAAUUUAUAUAUUAGAAAUAUGUAUAUAUAUAUAUCAAUUAAAAUCUCCCUUAAAUAUUUUCAUUUAUCUUUCUCCCUCGUCUGUUUCCUUAAAUAAAGGAUUGAUAAUAAAUUCUUAAUUUUCUCCUUAUUGUUUUAUACUUGUUUUUAACUUAAUUCCUCAAAUCAACCCUUUCUAUAGGGACAGAACGUGAAACAUAUAACACAAAAGUAAUGUGAGAGUUUCAAAAGAAAAGGAAGUUAGAGUGGGCGAGGAGAAGGUUUGUUCAUAGAAACUCAAAAAGUAACGUGAGAGUUUCAAAAGAAAAGGAAGUUAGAGUGGGCGAGGAGAAGGUUUGUUCAUAGAAACUCAGCCGUAAAUUUAUAAAUCGAGAAAUAUAUACAACAAAAAGGAAAAAUAAUCUUAAAUCAUGCAUUGGAAGGACUCAGUAAAACACAAAUUAGCACUCCAUCUGGACUCCACUCCAUCAAAUUUAGGUUAAUAAGAUCCCUAUACGUCCCUGAAGCCUAAAGUUACUUCACCUAUGACUCCAAAAACACACUUCACCAUAGAUCAGAGAGCAAUUUCUUUUUCUCAAGUUCAGUUUCCAGGACCACUGUCUAUGCAACAUAGAUUCCUUUGCACAUCGUAGGCAUAAAUAUACAAGGCUAUUUUUUAAAAAAAUUUUGUAGUAAUCAAAAAAUGCAAGACUUCAUAGGCAUCUGAAUUCAUACUACAAGCUGAAAUAACCACCUAAUCAAAAAUUUAACUGGUAUAAUCUAUAUAACUAUUGCAUAUUCACCAUACUUCAACCCAACCUGAAAUCAAGAAAAUUAGAACAACCAAAAAAAAUGUCAGGAUAAUGGCAUAGUAUGUUGUUUCGGGUACACAAAAUUUGUAGGUUAGUUCACUAAACUUCAACACAAGUUUAAGAUGUUUCAAGAAUACUUAUGAAGUUUUCCAACACCUUCAACACAAGUUCACUAUGAACUAUCAAAGAAGUAUGUUAUAUUAUUAAGAAAUAAGAUGAAAUAGAAUAAGUCAAGUCCUUCGCAUUCACAAAGUGUCCUUAAGAAAAUAAUUCCCUUCAAGUAACCGAGGUUGCAGAAUUUUUCUCCCAGGAUAAAAUGGCUUCAUAACCAGAAAGUAGCAGUACCUCAAACUUUCUGGUUUUCUUCGAAUAGAUGAUCACACAGAUUUUUUAAGAAGACAAGAAGUGUUUUAAUGCAGAAAAUUUUUGUGCUAAUCCUGUGGGAAAAUGCAGGUUUAUAUAGUCAUGAAGUGCCACUUCAGAAAGAAGGCAAUGGCUCAUCAAAAAGUGUAUCUUUUCUAAAUAGUCAUGUCUAUCCAUUCGAAACAGUGUGUCUUUUUCGAACAGCCACAACCAUCCAAAUAGUCAUACAUUUUCCCAAAACAUUGUGUCAUUUCCAAGAAAGGUUGUAUCCCUUUCGAGGCUGUAUUUUGCAUUUCUACAGUUGUUUCUGCACUAUAUGCAUAUAUGUUAAUAGAGAUUCUGCACUGUAUGCAUGCACGUUAAUAGAGGAACAAAAAACUCGUGCAUUUUUCCUUUGGAUUCUUGGAUCACUUGAUUUAACAAAUAAAAUUUAUCUAAAAAAUUAAUCUCAUCGAUCAUUUGACAAAUUCUAAGCUGAAGCCGAAGUCGAGCCGAGCGAGCGACGAUGAUGGCGGUGCAAGGUGCCUCUUGGUUCUCGUCUCACUUACCAUGUGGAGUUUGUGUUUGUUAAUAUAAACACAUGAAGGUUUCAGUCUCCCACCAAUAUGGGAGAAGUAGUAGACUUUCCUUAUUUUUUAGUACACUUUCCUUUUUAAGUGUUAUCUUAAUUUUUUCGCCACUUAAUUCCCUCCAUUUUUUAUUCACACUUUUAAUCUUAAACCCAAUAAUCCCUCACAUGAAUGGGGAAUGGCUAUUCUUUAUAAAACUUUACGAAAAAGUAUGUGAUCAUUAAGCAAAGACUGAUUGCAUCUGGAUAAGUAGAUUUUCCUUUAAACUUUCUGUAGUGACCAUGCAUCGAAUGCACUCGAUCAAUCUAUAGAUUUGAUAUCUUUGAACCAUCGAUCUUUAAUGUACACCUAGACAACACACAUCACAUAACCAGUCUUUUACCAUUUAUGGUUCUCACAAUUUUGUUCGGUUCAGCCAUGAAUUCAUGAGAGCUUAGAGAAUAGGACUUUAAUAAUAUUUUACUUGAAGAGACUUCCACUUCACCCUCACAUAGGUGAUUUCUAAGCGUUUCAAUCCGAUAGAUUAAACUAUUUGGUCAAAUCUAUCAAAUUUAGAUAAUCAUUAAAAGACUUCACACCAUAAGUCUUAUCCUUGUUUACUAAAUAUUGUCUACAUCAUGAGAUUAGGUUGGGUAUAUUGACAAUAUUGAACCUAUCAGACACAACUUUGUUUGAUCUCCUUGAACCUAGCUCUUGAGAUCUCCAGUAUCCUAGAUAGAGUUACCGUCAUGCUGACUUGUCUUAGGUCAUAAACCCAUUCUCUUAGAUGUCCUCUUAACUUAUAAUACCCCGGGAAGUUUUUCAUUGAAAUUUUGUACGUAAAUGUGUUGGGUUCUAUCUUCUAGAAUAAACUAUCAAUUUUUCGUGAGGAAUGUCUUAGAUUAUGACCCACCAUUGCGUAGAUUAUCGAAUAAGAUUUCCAAAGAUAUGUGGAUCAUCCAAAACGAACACCCGAGCGACAAGUUAUGAACAUUCCGAUCGAACCGUGAAUAGUAGUGAACAGUAAAAUGUGCAGGAAAAAGUACUGAGGCCUGGCGUAUUUUUUGUACAAAUUUAAACAAUCAUAACUCCUUGUACAUAAUGAUCUGGGUGAUCUACUAUAUAUCAACGAAAAUAUUUGCGAGUCCUCUUUCCAAUGAAAUUGGUUUCAUCCAAUUUGUCUAUUCGGAGGAAAAGCUAUGGUCGAUCUACUUCAGCCUAUCAAAAGCAAAUUUUUGGUUCAAAUUCAAACGAUCAUAACUCCUCGUACACAAUAAUCUGGGUGAGAUACUAUAUAUCAACAGAAAGAUAUGAGAGUCCACUUUCUAAUAAAAUAGGUUUCAUCCAAUUUGGAUAUCGAAGUAAACCGUUAUGGUUGAUCUACUUCAGACUAUCAAAACUGUCCACCAAAGGACAGAUUUGAGAAUUAUUUGAUUUUUAAGGGCGUUUUGGUCAUUCCUCCUCACCCAAAAACCGUCCAAACCCUAUAUUAAAUCUUAUUAGAAGUAUUAUAUGUUAUAUUUCAUCAAAUUCCCUUAAAAAUAAAACCCUAAGCUCCUACAUCCAACUUCAAGAACCUCUAAAGUUCACCAUUAAUUCUAUAAAUUUAUUCAAGAUUCCAAGUUCCUAGUUCAGGAACUCCAAGAACCAUCAUUCAAAGGCACGAUUAACAUCUCAAAAAUGAGUAUCGAUCUAAAGUUCAUCAUUCGAGGUAUGUGGAUUUUUUCAACAAGAGCUCUCUUUCGUUCUUGUGCCCAAAAGUAAUUUUCUUUACAAAGGCAUGAUUUUUAUUUUAUUUUUAUGAAUUUGAAGCAUGAACCCAUAUCUUAUGAUGAUUAUUAUNNNNNNNNNNNNNNNNNNNNNNNNNNNNNNNNNNNNNNNNNNNNNNNNNNNNNNNNNNNNNNNNNNNNNNNNNNNNNNNNNNNNNNNNNNNNNNNNNNNNNNNNNNNNNNNNNNNNNNNNNNNNNNNNNNNNNNNNNNNNNNNNNNNNNNNNNNNNNNNNNNNNNNNNNNNNNNNNNNNNNNNNNNNNNNNNNNNNNNNNNNNNNNNNNNNNNNNNNNNNNNNNNNNNNNNNNNNNNNNNNNNNNNNNNNNNNNNNNNNNNNNNNNNNNNNNNNNNNNNNNNNNNNNNNNNNNNNNNNNNNNNNNNNNNNNNNNNNNNNNNNNNNNNNNNNNNNNNNNNNNNNNNNNNNNNNNNNNNNNNNNNNNNNNNNNNNNNNNNNNNNNNNNNNNNNNNNNNNNNNNNNNNNNNNNNNNACAACGUGGUUGAUUUUGAUAGAUGGGAAGCAUGAUGUCUCCCGAUGUAUAUUUAUAUAUUACUGAAAUUAUUUUGUUGUAGAUUGUCUGUGAAAUGAUCUGAGCUAUGUCCGGGAGAAAUCUUUAGCAUCGAGUGGGAGGUAUAAAGCGACUUUACUUCCCUAGAACUACGUGCCCCCGUAGGAGUGAGCCUGAGGCUGAUUUAUAUAGUGAUCACUAUUUUGUGUGGAUUUGAUAUUGAUAGUCCUACUCCGAUGGCAAGGAUAGGAUGACUCUCCCCAAAGUGGGUUGUACGUUGGACUGCAUAUAGCUCACAUGGUUUAUGUCGGUUAUAGGAUCUCCCAGUGUGUGUGUGUUUCCUUGUGUCUAUGGUGAAUGGUAAAGUGAUUUGAAAGUGGAAUUGUGAAAGUUAUUCUUUUGAAAUAUUUAAAUGAUAUUCACAUUAUGGAAUUGAUAUUCUUGAUGAGCUGAAAGUGAUUGACAAAUUAUAUGAUGACUCACAUGUGUUAUUGUACUUAUUUCAUCCUCUCAUGAUUAUGAUGAUUUUCUUCGGGCUAUGUGAGUCUUUCAUACAUCCUGCAUAUUUCUUAUAAAUAUUUAUGAUGAUGAUGUUUAUACAACUGCAUACAUCCCUAUAUACUCAGUUCCUUUUCAUGGUACUGACCCACACCUUUGGAUGUGGGCUACAUUUUUUCAGAAUGUAGGUUCAGGUGCUCAGUUUUAGGUUCGACAGUGAUUCUUUGGGCAUGCUGUUCUACAUCCUCUGUUGUGGUGAGUCCUCAUGUUCCGAGGACGUGAUGUCUGACGUUGGUUUCACGAAAUUGUUUACAUUUGAUAACUGAGUAUGAGUCAGUUGGGGCAUGUCUCAAUGGCUCGCUGGUGUUAUUGAUUUUCUUAAAGGUUUGUCAGACUAGUAUAGAUGUUGGGAGUUGACUAAUAAGUCUUAUUUUGUUAUCUUUCUGAAAUUAUUUUAUUCUUGGAUGAUGAUUACUCUGUUGAUAUUUGAGGGUUAUUUAUGGAAACCCCGUUGAUUUGUGUUGAACUAAAAUGUCUCAAAGGGUUAGCUUGGGGAUACUCAUAGCCUCAAGCACUGUAUGAUGCUCUGGGACCCAUUUUCCAGGGCGUUACACAACUCCCUCUCUAGAUAGGUUUUUUGUAAUUGGAUCCGACACAUUAUCCUUUGACUUCACAUAGUCAACAGUGAUAAUUCCACUAGAGAGAAGUUCUAUAACGAUAUUAUAUCUCUGUUUUAUAUGAUGAGAUUUACCAUUAUACAUCAUGCUCUCUGCCCUACGUAUUGCCGUUUGGCUAUCAUAGUGUAUACAUACUGGUGCUACUGGUUUGGUCCAAUAAGAAAUAUCUUCCAAGAAAUUAGGAGUCAUUCUGUUUCUUCACCGGCUUUAUCCAAUGCAAUAAACUCAGAUUCCAUUAUAGAGAAAGCAAUAUAUGUAUGUUUGGACAACUCCAAGAGAUUUCUCUUCCACCUAUAGUAAAUACAUAUCCAUUCAUUGAUUUUACUUUAUUUGAUCUGGUGAUUCAAUUUGCAUCACUUUAUCCUUCAAUUACUACAGGAUAUGUAAUAUAAUGCAAAACAUAGUCUUGAGUGUAUUUAAGAUACCCCAAAACUCUUUUCAUUGCCAUCCAAUGAGUUUUACUGGGGUUACUCGUGUACUGACUCAACUUACUAAUAGCACAUGCUAUGUCUAGUCGUGCAUAAUUUAUGAUAUACAUCAAACAUUCUAACACUUUUGCAUAGUCCAACUGUGGGUCACUUUUACCUUCAUUCUUUUGAAGUGCAAAGCUCACGUCCAAUAGAGUCUUGGCAAUUCCAAAUUCCAAAUACUUGAACUUGUCAAGUACCAUUUCGAUAUAAUGAGAUUGUGACAAUGUCAAUCCUUGUGGAGUUCUAUAGAUUCUUAUUUCUAAAAUCACAUCAGCAACUCCAAGGUCUUUCAUAGCAAACUUGCUUUCAAGCAUUCAUUUUGUAGCAUUUAUAUCAGAAAUAUCUCUAUUGAUGAUCAACAUAUCAUCCACAGACAAACAAACAAGGAAAUGUGAUUUGGAGUGUCUUUAAUGUAAACACAUUUAUCACAUUCGUAUAUCUUAAACCCGUUUGCUAACAUGGUUUAGUUAAACUUCGCAUGACACUGUUCAAGUGUUUGUUUUAGUCCAUACAGUGACUUAACAAGUUUACAACCUUAUUUUUUUACCUAGAACCACAACACCCUCAGAUUGUUCCAUGUAAAUUUCUUCCACCAAUUCUUCAUUUAGGAAUACUAUUUUCACAUCCAAUUGAUAGAUUUCAAGACCAUAUACUACCGCCAAGGAAAUUUACAUCUGAAUUGACGUUAUUCUCAUUACAGGCGAGUAUGUAUCAAAGUAAUCAAGGCCUUCCUUUUGUUUAAAGCCUUUUACUAUAAGUCUUGCCUUGUAUUUGUCAAUAGUACCAUCCACUUUUAUUUUUCUUUUGAAGAUUUAUUUAGAACCUAAAGUUUUAUUUCCUGGAGGAUGAUCAACCAACUCCCAUGUAUGGUUGCUUAAGAUUGAAUCAAUCUCACUAUUGACUGCCUCUUUCCAAAAGGAUGAGUCUAAAGACAUUAUCACUUUUUUAAAUAUUUGAGGCUCAUUUUCUAGGAGAAAUGUUACAAAAUCUGAUCCAAAUGAAGUUGACGUUCUUUGGCGUCUACUACGUCUUGGAUUUUCAUCACUAUGUACAUCCUUACUUGGUUCAUCUCGAGGUCAUUUAAGACCCCACUAGAUUAUUCGUGUCUAGUUUUAUACGGAUAAAUGUGUUCAAUGAAUUUAGCAUUAUCUGAUUCAAUUACCGUAUUUUCAGUGAUAUCCGGAUUUUUGGAUUUAUGAACCAAAAAUCGAAAUGUUUUAUUACUUUUACCAUAUUAUAUGAACACGCAGUUCACUGUCUUAGGUUCGAUCUUUUCCCUUAUAGGCAUAGGAACUUAGAAUUUCGCUAGACAUCCCCACACCUUGAAAUAUUUCAAGUUGGGUUUCCUUUCUUUCCAUUUUUCAUAUGGAACUACUUGUGUCUUACUAUGGGGCACUCUAUUGAGUAUUCGGAGCUGUAAGGAUAGCUUUCCCCCACAAGUUAUGCGAUCAACCUGAACUUAUAAGUAAGACAUUCAUCAUUUUCUUUAAGAUUUGUUUUUUUCAUUCUGUAAUUCCAUUAGAUUGAGGUGAAUACGGGAUUGUAGUUUGAUGAAAAAUUACAUUCUCUACACGUAUUUCCGCAAAUGGAGAUUCAUAUUCUCCACCCCUAUCAUUUUUUCUCAUUUUGAUCUUUUUCUUUAACUGGUUUUUAACUUCUGUUUUAUGUUGCCUAAACGUAUCUAUUAUUCAUCCUUACUGCUUAGCAAAUUGACAUAACAAUAUCUAGUGCAAUCAUCCAUAAAAGUUAUAAAAUAAUUUUUUCCACCACAAGAUGGUGUUGACUUCAUAUCACAAAUGCCAGUGUGUAUUAAGUCUAAGUAAUUGAAAUACCUUUAAACGGACUUAUACGGAUUCUUAGCAUACUUUGAUUCCACAUACGUUUGAUAUUUUGAUUUCUUGCACUCAAAGUUUGGCAAAAGUUUUAAGUUAAUCAUUUUUCACAAUGUUUUGUAAUUGAUAUGUCCUAAUCAUUCAUGACACAAAUCAUUAGACAUAAGCAAGUAAGAAGAAAUAGAACUUUUUUUUAUUUUAACAUUCAUUACAUUCAUCUUAAAUAGGCCCUCAGUGAGGUAGCCUUUUCCUACGUACACUUCUCCUUUACUAAGUAUAAUUUUUCCAAAAAUAAAUACACAUUUGAAUCCAUUUAUGUCAAGAAAUAAUACAAAAAUCAAUUUCUUCCGUAACUCCUGUACAUACAGGACAUUGUUCAAAGUAAACACUUUUCCUGAUGUCAUUUUCAGGAAAACCUUUCUUGUUCCUUCAAUUUUUACAAUUGCGAAGUUUGCCAUAUAGAUCUUCUCUUCACCUUGAGCAGGAGCAAAUGCAGCAAAAAACUCCUUAUUUGCACAAACGUGGUGGGUAGCACCUAAAUCCAUCCAUUAUUCUCGAGGAUUUCCCACCAAGUUUCAUUCUAACAGCAUAACACACAAAUCGUCCAUUUUGUUCUUGGAUUUAAACAUAUUUGGCUGGUCCUUCUUUUUUCCUUUCUUCGGGAAUGACAAUCUGUUGACUUGUAGCCAAUCUUUCCACAAUUAAAGCAUUUGCCUUUGAAUUUCUUCAUAGAUUGAUUUCUUUCUUGUCCAGUAGUCUUCUUCUUUUUUGAGUUGUUGCAUUCAUCUUCUACAAUAUUUGCACCAUUCAUUGCAGAAUUUUCUUUUGACCUUCUUUCCAUGACCUUGUUGUCUUCUUCAAUGCGUAGUCUCACUAUGAGAUCUUCGACUGUCAUCUCCUUUUAUUUAUGUUUCAAGUAGUCCUUGAAGUCCUUCCACAUAUGUUGUAACUUCUCUAUUAUUUUCGUGACUUGAAAUGCCUCGUUCACAACUAAACUACAAUAAAGUUUAUGUGAAUACUAAGAACAUUUUUAACAUGUUCAAAUAAGGUCUUUACCAAACUCAUACCUUCCGUAAGGAGAUCGUGGAUGAUAACUUGCAGUUACUGUACUUGAGAUACACCCGACUUGUUUCCUAUUAUUUUAUAUUAGGAAUCUUGCAACAAAGAACUUCUUGGUUCCAACAUCCUCAGUCUUGGAUUUUCUUUCUAGCGUACCCCACAACUCUUUUGACGUCUUCAUUCCACUACAUACAUUAUAUAGGUCAUCUUGGAGUCCACUUAGAAUGUAAUUCCUACAUAGGAAAUCAAAAUAUCUCCACACCUCUAUAACGACAAAUCUCACCUGGUCCAAAGUUUCCUCGGGCAACUCUGUAGCUUCCUCAGAUAUAAAUCUUUGAAGGCAUAAGGUUGUAAGGUAGAAGAACAUCUUCUAUUUCCACCUUUUAAAAUUAAUACCCAUGAAUUUUUUGGGUUUCUCCGUUGGUGCCAUUACCUGCGGAGCACUUGUACGACUCGUUGUGACAAUAUUAGUUUCUACCACACUCGUCCCAACAUCAUUCACAUGAUUGUCAAGAGUCAUUUUCCUAUCACAAAAAGACAGUCAACUUUAGUGUAUUGAAAUACUACUUAUAAAGUUGUAGCAACUUUAAACACACCUUGUUUCUAGUUUAACUAUGAUGUUUUUAUGACUCCAAAUCAUGUACCGAAUGAGCCUUUAACUUGUGAUGAAGUUUUUAUGUCUUUAUAUCACUUGUUAAGUUCAAAUGGAGUAGAAAGUGUAAAGCUAUAAUCUCCAGAAACCAAACAAUACAAAUUACAGAUUAUUUCCUUAAGAUUGUUGUUUCCGGUAAACAAAAUUUGUAUGUUAGUUCGCUAAAAUUCAACACAAGUUCAAGAUAUUUCAAGAACACUUAUGAAGUUUUCCAACACCUCCAACACAAGUUCACUAUGAACUAUCAAAGAAGUGUGCUAUAGUAUUAACAAAUAAAAUGAAACAGAAUAAGCCGUCCUUAGAAUUUAUGAAGUGUCCUUAAGGAAAUAAUUCCUCUCAAGUACCUGAGGUAGAAGAACUUUUCUCCCAAUAUAAAAUGGCUUCACAACCAGAAAGUAGAAGUACUUCAAACCUUUUGGUUUUUAUCUAGUUUAACUAUGAUGUUUUUAUGACUCCAAAUCAUGUACCGAAUGAGCCUUUAACUUGUGAUGAAGUUUUUAUGUCUUUAUAUCACUUGUUAAGUUCAAAUGGAGUAGAAAGUGUAAAGCUAUAAUCUCCAGAAACCAAACAAUACAAAUUACAGAUUAUUUCCUUAAGAUUGUUGUUUCCGGUAAACAAAAUUUGUAUGUUAGUUCGCUAAAAUUCAACACAAGUUCAAGAUAUUUCAAGAACACUUAUGAAGUUUUCCAACACCUCCAACACAAGUUCACUAUGAACUAUCAAAGAAGUGUGCUAUAGUAUUAACAAAUAAAAUGAAACAGAAUAAGCCGUCCUUAGAAUUUAUGAAGUGUCCUUAAGGAAAUAAUUCCUCUCAAGUACCUGAGGUAGAAGAACUUUUCUCCCAAUAUAAAAUGGCUUCACAACCAGAAAGUAGAAGUACUUCAAACCUUUUGGUUUUUAUUGAACUCAUUAAACGGGAGAUGAUCACACAGAGUUUUUAAGAAUACAAGAAGUGUUUUAAUAAAGAAAAUUUCCAUGUUAAACCUGUGGAUAAAUGCAGGUAUAUAGCCAUGAAGUGCCUCUUCGAAAAGGAGGCAGUGGUUCAUCGAAAGAUGUAUCUUUUCUGAAUAGUCAUGUCUACCUGUUAGAGUUAUGACCCGAAGCUUGUAGAUUCGGCCUAGAAAGUUUUGUAGUGUGACCCAUGUUUGUGGUGGUAGCAUAGGGAUCGGGCCGAUAAGCCUGUGGACCUUUAUAUUUUUUGGGCCUAGGACUUUUUUGUAUGCAUAUAUUAUUUAAGUGUAUUUAGUGAGUUGUUUUGGGUAUCAAGAAAAUACUCAUUUUCCAUAUUGUACUCCUCUCCUUUCAUUAUAGUGAAAUAUCAUCUGCCUCUGCCCGUGGUUUUUUCCCGCAAGGGUUUCCAGAUAAAUCUGUGUGUUUUUAUUUUCUUUAUGCUCGUGGUUCGCUUUAUUUCUACCCGAUUCCUAACAAACUGGUAUCGGAGCCUGUUCGAUUAUUUUCUCAGGGAUGACAACCAUGAAGUAUGAUAUUCCGUUGUUGGAUUGCAACACCAAAUUUUUUUAUCAUGGGUUAAGAUGCGGGUUGUGCUCCCACAGAUGGAUUUGGACGGUGCUUUAUUAGGGUUUGAGAGGAUGCCCUCAUCGUAGACGAAUGAGGACAAAUGACAUAAGGAUCAGAAGUCUCUAUCUCAAAUCCACCAUUAUUUGUCCAAUCAAAUUCUACAGGAUGUUUAGAAGGAGACCACAGUCGAUGCGUUGUGGCUAAGAAUGGAAUUACUGUGUAUGAUGAAGAGUCUAAAAAGUAAGUUGUAUCUCAAGCAAUGACUUUAUUCCCAUCAUAUGUCUGAGGGUGUGUCCUUGGAGGAUCACCUAUCUGUAUUUAAGAAAAUCAUCUCUGAUUCAGAAACUCUAGAGGUGAAGUACGAUAAGGAAGAUCUAGGAUUGAUUUUGUUAUGUUUGAUUCCAGCAUCAUACAUGACCUUUAGGGAUACGAUUUUAUAUAGUCAUUAUUCCCUAAUGAUUAGUGAAGUCAAUGAUGCGUUGUUCUCUAAGGAGAAGAUAAAACAUCUUAUGAAUGGGUCAGAGACUUAAGGAGAUAGUCUCAUUAUACGAGGACGAAGGACUCGUAAGAGGAAUUCUGGAGGUGAUGACAUGAAUAGGUCAAAAUCCAAAAAUAGAAAUAAAACCUGUAAUUACUACAAGAAGAAGGGUCUUAUCAAAUAUGAGUGUUGAAAGCUACAAAAUAGAGAGAAAAGAGAAACUCCAAAAUCGGAGGGAAACCAACCAGAGAAGUCUAGUGAAGUCAACUUUGUGGAAGAUGGUGGUAGUGAUGGAAAAAUCUUGGUAGUUUCUAAUGGUAACUCCAAACCCUGUGAGAAUUGGAUUCUUGAUUUAGCUUGUAUGUUUCACAUGUGUCAUAAUCGAGAUUAGUUUACAACAUAUGAAUCAGUCUCUAAAGGUACUGUGUUGAUGGGAAAUAAUUAACACACCCUAAAAGAUAGCUGGAAUUGGAAAAAUCAGGAUUAAGAUAUUUGAUGGGGUUGUGAGGACACUUGGUGAUGUGCGGUAUGUCCCAGACCUAAAGAGAAAUCCUAUUUCCUUGAGUACCCUUGAUUCAAAUGGUUAUAGGUACACUGGUGAAGGUGGAAUCCUAAAAAUUACUAAAGCUGAUCUUGUUAUGAUGAAGGGACAGAGAAAGUCUACAAAUUUGUAUGUCCUGCAAGGCUCUAACGUUAUAGGUGAUGCAACUAUUUCUACCUCAUCUCUAUUAGAAAGUGAUGUUGCUAAACUUUGGCAUAUGCAUCUGGGCCAUAUGAGUGAAAAUGAGAUGGCUGAACUAAGCAGGAGCGGACUUCUUGAUGGGCAGAGUAUUACCAAAUUAGAGUUUUGUGAGCAUUGUGUUUUUGGGAAGUAAAAGAAAGUUAGAUUCACUAAAAGCAUCCACUCAACUAAGGCCACACUUGAUUACAUUCAUUCUAAUCUCUAGGGUCCUGCUAGAGUACCUCUAGAGGAGGUGCUAAUUAUUUGUUGACUAUUAUUGAUGACUAUUCAAGAAAAGUUUGGGUGUUCUUUUUUAAGCAAAAGAAUGAUGUGUUGCCUACUUUCAAGGAGUGGAAGACUAUGAUUAAAAAGCAGACAGGGAAGCAAGAAAAAUACCUUCGGACCGAUAAUAGUUUACAGUUCUGUUCUAAUGAAUUUAAUGCUUUGUGUAAGUCAGAAGAAAUUGUGAGGCACUUGACAUUUCAUCAUACUCCGCAUCAAAAUAGUGUGGCCGAACGAAUGAAUAGGACUAUAAUGGAGAAGGUGCAAUGUAUGCUCUCUAAUGCGGGUUUACCUAAGUCUUUUUGGGCUGAAGCUGCCUCUACAGCUUGCUUUCUUAUUAACUGCUCUCCCUCAGUCUUGAUUGAUAAAAUGACUUCAAAAGAGGUAUGAUCUUAUACGCCUACUAGUUAUUCUGAUUUGAGGAUACUUAGAUAUCCUGCGUAUGCUCAUGUUAAUAAUGGAAAGUUGGAACCUAGAUCUGUCAAGUGCUUAUAUAUGGGUUAUAAGCCUGUUGUUAAAAGUUAUAAGCUUUGGUGUCAAAAUAGCAGAAAGGUUAUAAUUAGCAGGGAUGUUGUGUUUGAUGAAACUCCCCAGAUGAGCUUAGUGACAUGAAUCAGAAAAAGUCAAGCACCCAUGUUGAAUUACAGAUUGGAGCAGAGUCUACACCAGUGCCUACUUCUCAGUCUAGCCCAAAGAGACAGAGUAAUACUAUUUCUUCUUCACCACCAGUGAUGCCACAAUAUUCUAUUGCUGUAGAAAGGCCUAGAAGAGAUAUUAGACCUCCUCAGAAGUAUGUUGAAGUAGAUUUGGUUGCUUAUGCAUUGAGUGUAGCAGAAGGUGUUGAUUCUGGUGAAGAUACUUCUUCUUAAUCAGAGGCAGUUAGUUGUGAUGAUUCCGGCCGAUAGAUGAUUGCUAUGCAGGAGAAGAUGAAAUUACUUUAUAAAAAUGGCACAUGGGAUCUAGUGAGAUUGCCUAAAGAUAAGAAAGUUGUUCGUUGCAACUGGGUGUUCAAAAAGAAAGAAGGACUAUUGGAAGUUGAAGAUGCUAGGUACAAAGCAAGACUAGUUGCUAAAGGUUAUAGUCAGGUUCCAGGUAUCGACUUCAUAGAUGUGUUUUCUCCAGUUCUAAAGCAUAGUUCGAUUCUAGCAUUGCUUGGUAUUGUGGCCAUUCAUAAUCUUGAGCUUGAGCAGUUGGAUGUCAAGAUUACAUACUUACAUGGAGAACUUGAGGAAAUCUAUAUGUAACAACUAGAGGGCUUUGUAGUCUUAGGAAAGGCUGACUAUGUAUGCUUGCUGAAAAAGUCACUUUAUGGCUUAAAGCAGUCGCUUAGGCAGUGGUAUAAGAGGUUUGACUCUUUUAUGACCUAUCAUAUGUUUCAGAGGAGCAGCUACGAUAGUUGUGUAUACUUCAAGGAGGUAAGUGAUGGUUCAUUUGUGUAUCUUAUCUUGUAUGUUGAUGAUAUGUUGAUUGCAGCAAAGGAUAUAAGAGAGAUAAUAAAAGUUAAAACCCAUCUCAGUAAGGAGUUUGAUAUGAAGAAUAUAAGUGCAGCAAAGAAGAUUCUUGGCAUAGAGAUUCUGAGGGAUUGAAAGAAUUACAAAUUAUACUGGAGUCAGAAAGCAUAAAUUGAAAAGUGUUUCAUAGGUUUAAUAUACAAAAUGCCAAACCUGUAAGUACUCCAUUGGAAGCUCACUGCAAACUCUCAGCCACUUUAUCUCCAAAAACAGAUGAUAAGUGUGACUAUACGUCUCGAGUUCCAUACUCUAGUGUUGUCGGGUCUCUUAUGUAUGCGAUAGUGUGUUCACAACCAGAUUUAUCUUAUGUCGUCAGUGCAGUUAGCAGAUACAUGGCAAAUCCUAGCAAAGAACAUUGGAAAGCAGUUCAGUGGAUUUUUAGAUACUUGCAUGGAUCCGCUGAUGUUUGUUUGUAUUUUGGGCAAAAUAGCGAUGGAGUAAUCGGGUAUGUUGAUUCUGAUUUUACAGGAGAUCAUGAUAAAAGGAGAUCCCUUAUAGUCUAUGUUUUCACUAUUGGUUAUUGUGCUAUUAGUUGGAAAGUUACCUUACAGACUAUGGUUGCUUUGUCAACUACUGAGGCAAAGUAUAUCGUUAUUACAGAGGCUUUCAAGGAAUCUAUUUGGUUGAAAGUUCUGUUUGGUGAACUUAGCAACGACUUACAGAUUACUACGGUCUUUUGCGAUAGUCAGAGUGCUAUCUUCCUUAUGAAAGAUCAGAUGUUUCACGAGAGGACAAAUCACAUUGAUGUUCAGUAUUAUUUUGUGCGUGAAAUUAUUGCUCGUGGUGAUAUUAUGGUGAGCAAGAUUAGUACUCAUGAUAAUCCUGUUGAUAUGUUGACCAAGACACUACCAAGUGCCAAGUUUGAGCAUUUCUUGGAUUUGGUUAGUAUUAACUGUUAAGAUGUGCCCUUAAGGGCUUUUGUGGAAGAGGUGGAGAGUUUGUCUUGAAAUAGAUUUGAGUUCUGAAUUAGAAUUCAUGUCAAGGUGGAGAUUGUUAGAGUUGUGACCCGAAUUUUGUUGAUCCGGCCUAGAAAGUUUCACGGUGCGAUCCAUGUUUGUGAUUUUCAAUAGGGUCUAUGGUGGUAGCGUAGGGAUCGGGCUGAUAGGCCCAUAGACCUUUAUGUUUUUUGGGCCUAGGACUUUUUUGUAUGCACAUAUGCACAUAUUAUAUAAGUGCAUUUAGUGGGUUGUUUUGGGUAUCCAGAAAAUACUGAUUCUCCACAUUGUACUCCUCUCCUUUCUUCAUAGUGAAACAUCCUCUGCCUCUGCCCGUGGUCUUUUUCGCAAGGGUUUCCACGUAAAUCUAUGUCUUCUUAUUUUCUUUCUGCUUGUGGUUUGCUUUAUUUCUACCUGAUUCCUAACACUGUUCAUUUGAAAUAGUGUCUCUUUUUCGAACAACCACAACCAUCCAAACAAUCAUACCUUUUCUCGAAAGUGCGUUAUUUCCUCGAAGGGUUGCAUCCUUUCCGAGGUAGCAUUUCGCAUUUUUACAGUUGUUUCUGUACCGCAUGCAUGCACGUUAAUGGGGGAACAAAAAACUGGUGCGUUUUUCCUUUGGAUUCUUAGAUCACUUGAUUUCCCAAUAAAACUGGAAAUGAUUCAUAUAUAUUGUAGAACAAUUCAUAGAAAGAGAGAGAAAAAGUUUAUGGGUUAUUUAUUUCGGCUAGAAAUGUUAAGUAUCGUUUGAUGUCAAAUAUAUAUAUAUAUAUAUAUAUANNNNNNNNNNNNNNNNNNNNNNNNNNNNNNNNNNNNNNNNNNNNNNNNNNNNUAUAUACAUAUAUAUAUAUAUAUAUCAGUUAAAAUUUCUCUUAAAUAUUUGAAUUUAUCUUUCUCCCUCAUCUAUUUUCUUAAAUAAAGGAUUGAUAAUAAAUUUUUAAUUUUCUUCUUACUGUUUUAUACUUUUUUUUUUUGCUAUGUAAUCCCCUCAAAUCCUCCACUUAACAAAGUAAAAAGAUAAAAAAAAUACAAUAAAAGGAUUAGAAGAAGUCCUAAAUUUCUCCUUCUUUCAUUUCCUUAAAUAAUUAUUUUUUAUUAGUUAAUCCUUUCAAAAAAUUUAAUAAUGUUGUCUUUUCAUAAAUUUCUCUCAUAUGCGUUUCUUAGUUCUUUCAUACUUUAAUUUCUUUGAUAUUAAUAAUUACUUUAAAUUGCUUUCAUUGCAUACACUUUGAUCAUAUUGUUGAAAUCCACAUUUUAUUCUUAAUUUUUUCAUACACUAAUAUUUAUUUUUUCCUUAUUUUUUUGCAAUAUAAAUUUUAUCCGUUAAUCAAAUUUUAUACGUAAGUUAACGUGAAUUUCAUAUAUUUUUAUACGUUAGUCAUCGUGAAUUUCAUAUUUUCAUUCUUGAUUUAUUAAAUUCUUUUUGUAGGAAAUAACAAAUUCAAUGAAUAAUUUUUCAUACACAGUUGAUACAAAAUUUUUAUCUAAAGUUUUAUGAAAACCAUAUUUUAUACCUUUCUAUGUGUAUUUAUUAACGAAUAAUACAACUUGCCAAGAAACUAACAGCGUCGAAAGAUACAUCAAUUUUUAUACAAAAUUCAUAACCCAGUAAAUAAAAUACACCUAAAUUAGUGAAAUUUAGCAUAUUUUAGACACCAUCCAUACACAAAACAUGUUUAUUUUUAUCCAUGGUUUUUUAAUGUAAUAGCUAAUUCAGUGAACAAUCUCGUAUUCAUGAUUCACAUCAGUUUGUAUAUAAAUUUCUUACAUAUAAACAUAUAUAAAUGGAAAAAAAAAUAGAGAUGCAUAAAUUUAUAUAUAGAUUUUAAACGCGUAACAAAUAAAAAAAACGUAAGUUAAUUAUAUGUACCAUAUUUUAUGCACAUUUCAUAUACUAAAAUAUGUACAAGUAAGCCUUGAGCGGGAUAUUGAUAUUUCAUAUUGAUUUUAUCCAGACUUCAUACACGAAAUCUGAGAAAAGUUCUAAGUAAUUUCUAUAUGAACUAUACAUAAAUUAUUCUUAGAAUUUUAAAAAUUGAAUAUUGAAACAGCAAUAGGUGAUGUAGAUGCACGUGAAUUGAUGGUUCAAUCUCAAGAGAAUUCUAAGGUCUUAGCCUCUUCAUCAAUCUAAAUAUGGACUACAAGAUAGGAACUUAAUUGUUGAACAACACAUUGACGAACAAGAUCAUAAUACAUCUUUAAAACCUCUAAAUUUGAUGAUCGGUGAUGUCAUAGUCAGAUAUGGAGCAUAUUCACGAUGUUGUGGUGAGAAGUGAAUAUUUUGGGCAGUAUUCGUGCUUGAAUGUCUCCAAGAAAUCGAUGUAUAAGAAUUCAGAAAUUGAAAAUUCCAUCAGUAAAAAGCAUGCUACUGGUGAUGAAUCAACGAACAAAAUCAAGGGUAUGGAUAACAGUAUUGGCAAGGACUGGACCAUGAUGGCACAUAAAAAAUAUUUAGGCAUUUGAAAUGGCUCUCCCUGCUUGCAUUAAUGUGUAGCUAGCAAGGAAUGUUCCACACUACUAAAAACUUGGCUAUUAGCUAGCAAGAUUAGCGAGGGACAAACUGUAUGUUGUUAUUGUGAGGGACUUUGCAACGUUGUCCCUCAUACAAAUUAAAUAUUUUAAUUUUUUUUUUUUAAAUAAAGGCAAAGAGGGACAUCCCUCACUAAAAUAUGAUGAUAAUAAAAGUUAAUAUUAAAUUUGUUAUAGCAAGGGAUUUCCCUCACUAAAUAAUAACAAAUAAAUACAUAUUUCAAAGAAAAUUUAAAUAUAAUUUCUAAUAUAUUAAUUUUUAUUUUUUUUAAAAGGCAAAGAGGGAGAUCCCUCACUAAAAUAUGAUGAUAAUAAAAAGAUAAUAUUAAAUUUGUUAUAGCGAGGGAUUUCCCUCACUAAAUAAUAACAAAUAAAUUCAUAUUUCAAAGAAAAUUUAAACAUAAUUUUUAUUUUUUUCUUUUAGCUGUAAACAAUAAAAUAAAAAUGAAAAUGAAAUUUAGUGAUCCAAGGAGUCCUCAAUAAGAUACAUAUAAUUAUUUUAUGAUUUUUUUCAUUGUAGUGAGGGAAGUUUCUCACUAAAUUAAAUAUGUAAAAAUUGAGUAUUUAAUAAAUAACCAUAUGGAGUAAUAGAUUUGAAGAAAAAACAAUAGCANNNNNNNNNNNNNNNNNNNNNNNNNNNNNNNNNNNNNNNNNNNNNNNNNNNNNNNNNNNNNNNNAUUAGUCAAACCGCACGUGCCUCACACGUGUAAUGUUUGAUGCUUAAAGUUAAAUCAUUUUAUAUAUUGCGGGAAUUUUAAUCAAGUGUAAAAAAUUCAAAUCACUUUUCAAAAAUCCUUCAGACUUUGAUAUAUUAAUGUAAAUACACACACAUAUAUUUGCCACCUGAAGUUCCAAGUAGUUGAUGGAUCAUAACUUUUGAUUUGUCAUCAAUACCUCUUUUCCUUGCUGCUAGAGAUUAAUAGAGACUCAUCAAUUUGAACCACAUCUGUGAUAUGAUUAUUUUCUUUUUUUCUAUAUUUAAAAUCUUUUCUUAUUUUUAAAGUUAAAUCUUAAUAAAAUCAUUGAUUACAUUCUUAAAAUACUUAAAAUUUUAUAAAAAUUGACACUUCUUAAAUUUUUCUUAUUGUAAUGCUUUUAUAUUUAUUUCUGAAUUUUUCAAAUGUUCUUGAAAUCAAAUUUAGUUGAUUUAGAAUUAUUAAUCUAAUGAAAAAUGUAUUAGUUGUCAUAAAUUCUGAUGACUUCUAAUAAGAAUAGAUUUUACCAUAAAUAUAUUUAAUCAAUUUUCAACUCUUAAAUAUUAGAAAAAAUAAUGAAAAGACGAUAUUGUCUAAAGCAAAAACUUCCAAUGAAGGAAAAAAAGUUCAAAUAACAUUUAUUAGGCCCUUCACACACACACACACACACACACACACACUAUAUAUAUAUAUAUAUAUAUAUCAAAAAUGCUAUAAUUGAAUGAGUAACUUAGAUAGUGAUAAUUCGAAUAAGUAGAAAUAUUUUAGUGGUAUUCUUAACAAAAAUUGAUGAAUUAUAUUAGCUUAUAAUUAAUUUGAUAAUAGGAAAAAGAGGUGUAUUAGUGGUAUACGUAAUAUUAUAAGUAAUUGAUUAGCUUAUAGUCGAUAUUGUAGUAAAUAGAAGUGAAUUAAUGAUAUUCUUAUGUAAUGUUAUUCACUGAUCAUCUUAUAAUUUGAUAACUACACUAAGUAGAUAUACAUUACAGAAUAUUAUUGAUUGAUUAAUCUAUAUAACAAUAAUUACAGCAAAAAAAAAGGAGUAUCUUUGUUAAAAUAAUAUUGAUUGAUUAACUUAUAUGAUAGUUAAACUAAGUAAAGUUUAUUAGUGAUUUUUUAGAAAUAUUAUUGACUACUAAGUCAUACAUUGACAAUUAUACUAAAUGUAAGUAUAUUAGCGAUAUCAUUAAGCAAUAUUAGCGAAUGACAUUAAUAUAUAUUUUGACAACUAUACUAAGUAUAAGUGUAUUAAUAAUAUUUAUAAGAAUUAGUAUUGAUUUAUCAACAUAUCUAUUUAUCUAUACUAUUAUAAAAACAUGAAUAUAAAUGUUGGUUGACUAAAAUAUCCUUCAAAUGUUGAAGAACUUUUAUACCCUUAAAUAUUUAAGUUAAAUUAAGACAAAAUUAUCAAAGUACGCCGCAAAAUAAUAUUAUCCUAAUUUACUUCGGCUAGGAAGUAUUCUAAUCCAAAACUUUUUCAAUAAAUUACAAAAUUUGCCUUUUCAAUAACUCAACUCAACAAUGUAACUUUUUUUUUUAAAUAUGAAUUUACUUAAUCAUUAAUUUGCAACUCAGAUAUAAAGGUGUUCACGAGUUUUAUAUCUCAACUCUCCAUUGUUAUACUUAUUUUGCAAAACUUUUAGUGAUAGUGACCGGUUUACAAUAUAUUUUUUUUUAAAUGAAGUACUGAUUUAUACUGACUUCUUUCCAUUUUACUUGUCACAAUUCAUAUUAUAAGAGUCAAUUUGACAAAUAACUAUAAGAAAAAAACGAUGAGCCUUAAUGUAAUUAUUUUUAUAUUAAUAUGAUGAAAAAAUACCUCUUAAAAAAUGGGUCAAAAAUAAAUUUAAUUUUUAAUGAAAUUCUUAUUAAAUAUUUCAUUAUUUAAUAUUAGUAUUAAUUCUCACAUAUUUUAAUAAUUAUUUAUAAACUAGGUUAGUAGUAGAUGUUAGUUAAUUUAAUAAAAAUUAAAAUGGCAAGAAUUUGGGUUAAAUUUAUUUUUUUUUUGGUAAAAAUCUGGGUUAAAUUAAUAUACUCCAAACAAAAGGAAACGUGGCUUAAAAAAAAAUGGGGCUUAUCUUGUUCUAGCUUCUUCCCCACAAAUUUCCCAACAUUUUUUUACUAAAAAAUUAAAAUUGUAAGGAUUUGAGUUCACCCUCUUUCCCCUUAUUUCCCACCAUUUUUAUUCAAAGUACUUUUCAAUAAUAGAAUUUGAGUUUAAUUCUAAUUUUGUAAGUAAACCCUGCAUUCUAAUUUAGUCGUUGUUUGGACUACUGCAGAAACUCCGACGUCACCUUGCUCUUCGUUGGGUUGGAUUUCGAUAGCUUCUCCUUGAUGAUUGAGAGUUGAGACUGUUCUUUUUACAUUAAGGGUACUUUUCACCUUACUGACUGAGUAAUUACGUGCCUUUUGUUUGGAAAUACAUUUUUCUCAAUUUUUUUGGGAUAUUUUUUUUAUUAAUGGUAGAUAUGUCUUAUUCUUUGUCUUCAAUCUGAUGUUUUUUAGGUUCUCCGUAGCUGGUCAGAUUGUAUUGUAUCAAGUGGUCCUUUUUUUUGGUCUAUUUAUCUGAUGUGAAAUGGUGUUAUCAUUCAUUGAUUGAUAAAAAACAACUGAUGCGCAUUUGCAAGCUCAAGUUGUUAAAUCUUGGAAACCAUCUCUGUCUAAAUACUACUAGUAUUUUGUUUGUUUGAUUUAGGUAUCUUAUUCAACAAAAUCUGAAACUCCUUUAUUCUUUUCUUCAAUUAGAAGAAGCUGACUUGUACUCUACUUUGAUAAAUUUAAGAAAAGAGAAAUAAAUUUGAAAAAAAAUGGAUGACUUUUGGGCUGCAGGAAUAAAUCCUGCUAGGCAUAAUCUCUCUAUUGUACAAACAAACCGGCUUAACAACUAUGGUAUUUAUCAAUUUGGAUAACCUGUUUUUGUCUUGGGGACUUCUUGCCUUAUUGGUUCUUUUACGUUUGUUAGUUAAAAUUUCUUGAAUGGCUUUUAAGUUCCCUGUCACAGGUUUUUUUUAGUAUAGAGUAUAGUGGUCUUUUGAGUAUUUUGGCUUAAAGUAGAUGUUUAUUUUCUGUUACCUUGUUUCUAGGUAGAUUUAGGAGUAUCAUCUUUGUAUUAUUAUAUGCUAGUUUGAUUUAUCAGUUUUAUUAGUUAAGCAUAGUUGUUUUUUACUCCCUUUAAUAAGAUUUACCGAGUAAGGGGAUCAUUUUUAAAUGAAAAAAUGAGUCAAACUUCAAACAUCUACCAUAUGGAUGAAUUCAUUUUCCAUUCAACCAUUUUACUUGGAAAAGCUACAGAUAACCAUGGGUGGAUGACUUGCUAUUCCACUUAUUCAUUUCAGAGUUUUGAGAUUUAUCAUAAUUUUUCCUAUAAGUUUCAAUAGGUUGAAAGAUGGUAGGAGCUACCAUUUCUAGAACAUAAGCAACACAGUUAGCUUACUAUGAUGUUUCCCCACAUUGAGUUGUAAUCUCAGGCGUCCUCUUGUCCCCAAAACUCUUGAGAAUGAAAGACUUAACCGAUUGGUGGAUCUUUCUACCAUCUAUAUUCAAUUGACUUGUAAGACUUGCUCUAUGAAGUUCGGUCUUCCCAAACGCGGUGUAGAAUGUUAGAAAAGGGAUGACUUUAUCUUGGUUUGGAUGUGUUACGAUAUUAUUGCAAGUAGUGAGACUUGAUUCCUAUAUCGAUUAAAUAGGAAACUGAUUUGGGGCUUAGAUUAACCUAGGACUAUCUCACCUCAAUAGCUAGCUUUUAGGGUGUGGUUCUCCUAAGGUUAUUUCAGGUUGAUUAAUGAGCAAAGACUAAUCUAUCUAGAGGACUUGAGUUUAGCAUUUAUCCAGAUGGGUUAGCUUGAGAGCUGGGAGGGUGUAAAUUCUAUCUUUGUGGUGUUGGGUAGCUGUAGGUCUGAUGUUGAAACCUUCCACUGUGUACAGUUAUGUAACACUAGUUUAGUAAUCCUCCAGGUCCUUUAGCCGCACAAAACAUGUUUUAGUUUCAGUAUUGCUUUUAGGAUAUUACUAAUUACCUUUUGAUUUUUAACUUUAAAAUGAGUAUAUGGAGCAGAGAAAAUCAGAUCGGGAAAUGGCAGGUGUGCUUCUUCUGUUUGCUUUAGAUGAACUUAUUUCAAGUCUAUUUUAUAACGAAAGGGAGGGACACUAUUUAGAGUACCCAACAGAACAUAUAGCUUAAUUGAACUGGCUUUUACAAUUGCUACUGAAAAGGUACCAUAUUUUUUAUCAUCUAAGACCCAGAUACGUUAUAAAGUCUUGCAGCGAUAUACAUGAAUUAGUGAUUGUGUUUCGUAAACAUGAUCUAAAUAGUUAGUCGAGUGAGAAUUGAUGUAGCCAACCUCAAAUUUCUUGAAGUUGAGGUGUAUAUAUUUGUUGCAUUUGUGCUUUCAUUUUAUGAUUACAAUAUAUUAGAGGUAUCGCCAAAUACAAGGUCAUAAGGUGUUAGUAUAUCUAUUACUCUAGCUCUAGAUAAUAAUAAUAAUAAAAGUAGUGUAUAGUGCUAAGAUCCUGAGACAUAACAGAUUUUCUGAAAAGGAGAUUCAACAACUUAAAAUAAUGUAAAAAGAAAAAAAGAUUUAUUGUAAUUGCACAAUAUCUUUUCCAACAAGGGAAAUUCAAGGAUGUGUGCUAUUGAAAUUAUUGGCUUUAGCUCUGUAAGAAACUUGUUUCAUUAUUCUCUAAUGAUUGUCGCAUGUGCUACCAUUUGUGUAUUUUAUUAGAAAUGUGCUAUGGUUAGAAAACGUCCAAAGUAACUUUAGACACCAAAUUUCAUCCCUCCCCGAUAUCAUUUUUACCCAUUUUUUACUUUAUCCUACCAUGUACCCUCACCCAUGUAAUUAUACCCCACAAAACUAACAAAAAUUCAAUAAAUCCCUAACCUUAUCCUAACAAACUUUAUCCUAUACCCUACCUCAUACCCCAUGCCUUACACGUUUUCCCCAUUUCAACAAUACAAAAAAGAAUGAUUCAGAAAAAAGACAAAAAAAGAGGAGGGACCCACUCCAUUUUUCCCAAGAUUUCAUUCUCUUUUCCAUGCUCUUAUUUAUUUUAAUACAAAUAGAGAAGAACAUAGAGGGAGAAGGGGGACAACAACAAUAAAAGGGGAAAGGGUCCAAAAAAAAAGGACCUGACUUUUCCUUUUGGAUUUGAUACAUAUACCAUAUAUAUACGCCAUUUUAGGGGGUAUUUUUCCUUUAUAUUCUACACCAGUGACACUCAUCCUCACCAAUAUACACACACAUAUACACCACGAUUCACACACACACACAAAGAUCGAAGGUAGGGGAGAAGGGAAGACAGCAACAUAUAUACACGCAUAGAAACUCCAUUCUUGCUCCUCUCUUCUACACCCUCACGAUUCACACACGCACAGAUUCCAUCGAGAACCCAUUGAUUCUGGCUAGUCCUGAACAGAAAACAUUCCAUCUAUAUCGAAUCUUCGUCAUCCGUUCAACAUCAGGUUUCCAUCUCAUAAAUUGUUUAGGUCUAGUUUUAGGUUUCGAGAUUGGUGUUCAUCUUCGGGAUCUCGAUUUGGGAGGUUUUUUAUCUCUGCUUUAAGUGGUUGAUUCGGAGGUCUAUAUUGAUUUCGUGUUUUGAAUAAAAAUUUGUUCGAAUCAGAAUUGGCGAUAUCGAGUUGGAUUUUUGUCAUUGUUGAGGCUCGAGUUGAGGUUCUCAGAAGUGGAUUUUCUUAUAAUAUUCUUCAAAAAGUUCCGAAUCAGGUCCUUUUCAAACCUCUACUAUCUUAUUUCUUUGUUUAUGAUAUCCGAUAUUAUGGAUGGAAUGUUUUGGUUGAUGUAUGAUCUUGAUUGUGUGGUUGAGCAAGUUUGAUUAUUUUGGGUGAUUCUAUGUUGAAGUUGGUUAAUUAAUCGGGAAUGUUUUAUUUUUUGAGCAUGUUUGAAUCUUUUCUAUGGGUUAGUUGAUGUUGGAUUUAGAUGUGAGAGAUUGAAUUGAUAAUCAAAGAAUUAGUCAAUUAUUUGGGGAUGGAAUUGAUAAAUUGAUAAAAAAGUUGAAUUUAGAUUAACUUUGAUUUAUUGUUGUUUUGUUUAAUUCAUAAUGAGCAUGAAUAUUGUUUUGAACAUGAUAGAAUUAUGAUAUGUUGAAAUGGAUAGGCCAAUGUAGGUUCGGGUAGGCAAAAUUUAGGAAUAAGUUUUCUUUUUGAAUGUUUGAAUGUGGAAUUUGAGUUGAAUGGUUUGGUUUUAGUUCUUGUAUUUGGAAAUGUAUUCAUUUAAUCGGGGAAUGCCCCGCGAUCACUUGUAUUUAUUCGUCGGAGAAUGCCCCAAAGUAUUUUGUAUUUGGAAAACGUCCGUGAUGAAGGCUCGAGGCAUCGGGCAGCAUGGGAGCAUAGUAUAAAAUUAGUGUAGGGUAGAAUAAGAUUUACGUCUUCGCAUUCUUUUUCUAUUCAGGACUGUGUAAUUGGACUGAACACUAAAUUUUGGAUUAUUUUGUUUUGAUUUCUUGACUGAUUGUUUUUUCGUGCUUUUUGUGGUUUAUACAUUCAUAGUGUCAAAUUAGCCGAUACUCUCCACCAAGAGACCGUGGUCAAACCACGGGAUCAAGGGGUGCCUAACACCUUCCCCUCGGUCAACAGAAUUCCUUAGUCGGAGUCUCUUUCUCAAACCAGUUUUAAAGAGUCAAAUUGUUUUGAAAAGGAUUGUCCAAAGGUGACUUGGCACACCGGAUUAUGCCAAGUGGCGACUCUGAGUUUUGAAUCUAAACGUAAUCCUUUUUUGGAAAAAAUAUUCAUUUUGUCACUUUAAUAAUAAAAACCCUUUCAAACCUUAAAAUGAUAUCUUUUAGGAGUACGAAAAAGGGGUGUGACAGCUCUGGCGACUCUACUAGGGAUUUUUCAGAAUUCAAGCUUAUUUUGGAGUUUGUAUCGGCUUAGCUUGGCACUAUAGGUGUAUAGACAUUUUGUUUGUGUUAUUUUGUGUUAUUGUUUAUCAUUUGUUGAGUGCCUACGUGCUCUUUGUUUUCAAUUUUUACUUUAUGUGUUACCGUUUUAUAUCUAGCAUCAUGUGCAUAACCCGAGUCUUUCUUUCUACAACAAGUUCGUAGUACACGUGUGUACACGACCUAUAGUUGAGUCACCCUUCUUUUGGAAGGGGGAGCCGUUGGGUUGUAUGGAAUAGGUGGCCAGCUAAAGCAAGCCAUUAUCAACCAUACGCUCUCUCGAACAACCUUAUUAGUAAACCCCAACGUAGGUCAGCCUUUAGGUUAUGCUUAUGUGCAUCAUAUUGAGACCUAGCGGGGACCACUUGGUCCUUCGUAGGAAACUCACCUUUAAAGCAUCCCUGCGUGCUAAACGUUGCAUCUCUGAGGGUAACGUGGUCAUUUGAUGAAUUGAUUUAGGAAAAGCAUGUGUUAGAAGUAAAGUGUGUAGACAAGGCAAUGUUGAAAAACAAAGAGAAAAAGGAAAAAGUGAGUCGAAAAGAAAAAAAGAAUUUCGUAGUUUUUAGAGAUUUUUAUGGCUUUUGUUUUCCACAAUUCAAAAAUUCAAAAAGAUUUUUCUUUAUCUCAUUUAGCAUGCAUUCACAAUUCAAAAACUUCAAAAAGAUUUUUCAUUCAUAGGUGUUUUUAUAAAAGAAAAAUGAAAAAAAAAAUGUUAGAUAUUUUUUACAUUUUGUAUAACGAAAAUACCAAAAAGAUUUUUCUUUCAUAGUUGUUGAUGUCAUUUUUCUGUGAAGCGUCAAAAUGAAAACUUAAAAUAUUUUAUUAAUGUGGUUCAUCGUCUGCCCUUGGUCGAAUCUCAAGUCAGGGUGCAAUCUAUUAUUUAAUUAUUAAUUGUCCGAUCUAGACAAACUACGCACCCCUGAUUCUCCUCUCUCAGGAGUGAGAUACGUAGGCAGCCUACUGUUGGUUCGGGGAUCUUAUUUGAAAAAUCUAAAAAGAUUUUCUUCACUGUUUAUUUAGAGUAAGUGUUUCAUAUGUAUCUCUAAAAGAAAACUACAAAAAGAUAUUUCUUUAAUAGUUUCAAGUUUCAUUUUCCUAUGAAAUUCAAAGUCGAAAACCCAGAAAAAAAAAUUCUUUGGUUAUCAUAGAUUUCAUUUUUGUAUAGGGAUGUUAAAGCUGAAAAAAUUCAUAAAGAUUUUCGUCAAUUAUUUUGACAAAUUGUUAUUUUCUUUUCUUCUUAAAGUUCCAAGGAAUAGAAAAAGAGUUUAAUUGGCCAUUUUAGCAAGACUUCACGAACUAUGCAUACCUGAUUCUCCUCUCUUGGGAGUGACAUACAUAGGCGCCCUUCUUGGGUUCGGUAUCUUUUCUAAAAGAAAAAAGGGUUUUGAAGAAAAAAUGUUGAACUCUAACAUAUUUGUUGACUCUUGUUCAGUUAGUUUAAGGUAGUUGGUUUGUGGCUUCCUGGCUGGUCCUCCAUAUCACACCAAAUUCAAGGAAGGGUUAAUUGUGUUCAACAAGGAUAUAGAGAGUGGCAUCAUGGAUGAAAAAAAAGAGUCAGGAAAUUAAGAGUUUAAAGGAAGAGAAUUUGAGACUGAGACAACAAAUGAUGAAACAUACCGAGCUUGGGCCAGUAGGCUGCCUCCACCUCAGUUCCCCAAUUUUAACCCUGCAAAUACCUUGAGUCUUCCACCAAAAUCGCAAAGCCAGUUUCCUACUAUGGUUGAUGCACCACAGCAUGCCUCAGAAUCUAUUCCAUGUUAAAUGCACCUCAAUACUUCCACCACUCUUUCUUUAGCCCCUCAGUAUAAGUCUACCAUAUUCAUAUCACCACAUACCAUUUGUGCUUUUGUUGCUCAACCUUCUACUAAUGCUUCCACUUUGGACAUCAAUCCAACGAUUGUGGUUCCCCAGUACACUAGUGAUUCCACAUUCAAUACUCGUGAUGAUCAUUGUUAUACACUUGAACCUACAUUUAACUUAAGUGAACUGCCAAAAUUUCUUACUAAGAAUCCUAGCAUGCUAGAAGACCCUGAGAAAAUGGUUGUGAAAGUUAAGAGUGUAGAAAAUGAUAUGAAAAGUUCCUUGGGACUUAUGGGCUAUGAAGAUGUUUCAUAUAAAAACUGGGGCAUGUUUUCAAGUGUUAACCUUGCUCCAAGCUUUGAGACAUCAAAAUUUGAGGAACUUGGUGGAUAAUGAUUCUGUGAAACAUUUGGGACGAUAUUGCAAUCAACCAAGGAAAACUGAAGGAAAGAAGAACGAAAACGCACCUAUUGUCAUGCCAGGGCCAAAGCAGAGAGGUCCAACCUACCAAUACAGUCAACCUCGAUCCCGAGUUUACAUAUUAGAUCCACAUAACCACUUGAAACAAGGUUUCUUUCCCCAAAAUCCAAGAAAUCCCAAUCCAUCUUCUUAUCCACAAUGGCAUGCACCUGUCCCUCAAUAUCAUCCUCGACCCCCAUAAAUUUACCAAGGAACUUCUAAAUCCAAGUUUCAUCAGGGGAUAGAGUUCGCAAAGAGGAGGAAGGAAAAAAAUAAUUUCAAUCCUAUUGGGGAAUCCUAUGCCAGUUUAGUCCAGAGAUUGGUACAACAGGGCAUGAUUAGUCCUCUCCUUAGGUAUACUCCUGACCCACAUUCAAGAAGUUUUGAUCGUAAUGUAUGAUGUGCAUAUUGUUCUGAUUUUCAGGUUCACAGUAUUAAAGAUUGUCAUGCUUUGAAAAGAUAAAUUGAAAAGAUGAUUCAAGAUAAAUCAAUUAUAGUGCAGAACAUUGACAGUGAGGAAAGCUCUAGUCAUGCUGAUAUGCAAACCAGGGGCUAAGAUGUCAGGCUGAGCAAUUGAGAAGUCACCCCUCCCUACUAGGAAGAGGUCUGCUAGUUUAUUUUGUUUUAUUUUCUAUUAUCCGAAUUAUUUUUGGGUUGUAGUUUGGGAUCUAUCUUGUUUUGUCCUUUUGUUGUUUAUGUUCAAACCCUUCUAUCUUUUGUUUCAACUAAAUGAAGUGUCCUAUUUUCCUUUGUGUUUUAAAUAUGUGUUGUUUGUUUGUUUUCUUUACAUAGUACAUUUUAUGUUGACUCUAGUGAUAUGCCAUGCUAGUGAAAUUUUCAGUCAAAUCUUAAAAUCCAGUUGUUCAAACCCUUCUAUCUUUUGUUUCAACUAAAUGAAGUGUCCUAUUUUCCUUUGUGUUUUAAAUAUGUGUUGUUUGUUUGUUUUCUUUACAUAGUACAUUUUAUGUUGACUCUAGUGAUAUGCCAUGCUAGUGAAAUUUUCAGUCACAUCUUAAAAUCCAGUUUAAGCAUGAACAUUGAAUCAGAGGUUUAAAGUUAGAAAAAGAGAGCAUUUGAGAAAAUAUAUAAAGUGUUGGGGUAUUUAGUGAUCAAGUUGAAGCCUUCUUUGAAAAUUAAGGCUAUUAUUGUGAGAAUCGUGAGAAUAACUUGGCCAUCAAUUGAAAGACAUGUCUCAAUUAGGUCAAACAGUGGCUGCGUGAUCCUAUAUCAAGAGGAACAAAAAGAAAUCAGCUCCACAAAAGCAUGAAUCAUUCAAUGUAAGGGAUGUAUAAAAAAGGUGGAGUUGUAUGCUGGACAAGGGUAGAAGAAGAAUUGCCACAUGCUCAAUUGAAGUUAGUGUUUUUAAAGUGUCACAAAUGAUCUUCAUCUUUCAUUUCAUAUUUCAUGACGUGUACUUACAUUUUCAAGGAUUAAUAUGACGAAAGCAUUUCAUUCUGCUAUCCAAACAGUGUGUCAUCCUUUGUUUACCCCAUUUGAGUUUUAGUCCUAUUUUCUUUCAUACCCCUCUUUUGGAAUAAAGAUAGAGUCAGCAAAGCUUAAAAUAAAAUUGUCGAGCAAAAAGAAUACAGUCAUAAAAGUUUCAAAAAAAAAAGAAGAAAGAGAAAAUUAUGUCAAAAAAGGAGAGUGUUAAGAAAAAAAAAGUCAGAAAAAUCCCAAAGAGAAAAAGAGUCAAGUAAAGAAAAAAAAGAGAAGAAAAGAAGUCAGAAUCAAGAAAAACAAACUGCCAGGACUACGCAUGACCUGAUUCUCUGCUCUCGGGGGUGAGAUAUGUAGGCUGCCCAGCUUCGGGCUAGGUCCAACCAAAUAAUAAAUUUAGAAUUGCCCAGUCAAAAGAAACUGGGGCAUAAGUUAAUCCUCAUUGUUUGAGUCGAUUCCAAAAGUUGUAAGUCCCACCCCACUUCAAGUGUUGAUUGGUCCCCAUGCCAUCCUUUCUUUCUAACCCUAUCCAAAAGACAAGUUAUAACCAAAGAAAGACCUUCAGAUCAAUCUUCGGGAAUGCUCAGGCUAAGAAUGCAAUGGAUGUGGAUAACGUAUUUUGGGAACUACUUGUCUUCCUCAACAUAAGUAAUAAGGAAAGAAAUGAAAAUGAGAGAGUCUUAUUGGUGAAAACCCUCAGGCAGGUUAAUCCGAUAUGCAUGUCAUAAUCAUUAGAGUUGACUGUCAUUUUCAGAUAAACUUUACCUUCAUCUUUUUCAAUGGAGAUAUUCAUUAUCACUUCUUUCUUUUCUAUAGUUAUAUAUUUAUUUUUCUUGAGUCAGUUAUCCAAAUGAAAUCAUUGUCAUUUUUCUCUUGUCUUUGAGUUAAUUCUAUGUCAAAACAAGUGAGAAAAGAUUUCAAAAUUGGCUACCAGUUUCUUUAAUUGUACAACGCAAGGCAGAAAUGCCAACGUAUGAAAGAGACAUGAUUGUCAGCCAAAAUGAGGCAAAUAGAAAGUUUUGUCAACAAAUAAGUCUGGGAACUCAUGAAAUACCAAGGUUCCAAGGGGUCUACCUGAGAAGUAUGGCAAAGCAGAGAUGCUGUGUUUGUCUCAUUCACUCUUAAUAAUCUGAAUUUGGUCAAUGAAGCAGCACGUCAAUGACACAAGCUAAUGGUUGGAAUCAAGGUUAAAUAUGAUGACGCCAAGAGCGUUUUCCACGAAAGCGAAAGCCAUAAACCAGCCACCAUGUUUUUAAACUCUUAACCUUUCUUUGCAUGAAACAGCAACACAUGUCACCUUCAAAUCAAGGAUUUCAAAUCCUAAACAUCAAGGCCCCUAAUUUUCUGCUUUUACAAAUGCAGGAAGCAAUGUUGCUGCACAGGUUUGAUAAUUAAAUCAUGGUAAAAAUUCAUCAUCUUAUAUCGCUCAGAGACACACUUUCCUAUCAAGGGAUUUUAGUUUUCAUUUGCUAGGUGAUACACUUCUUAAAUUGAACCAUUACUCCUAGAAGACAUACCUUCUAGUCGAUUCAUUCUGCUUGACCCUUAGAAGACGUACCUUUUAGUCGAGUCAUUCCCUUUGAUUCCUAUAAGACAUACCUUUUAGUUGAGUCCUCUCCUCUGAUUCCUAUAAGAUGUUCCUUUUAGUUGAGUCAUUCCCUUUGAUUCCUAUAAGACGUACCUUUUAGUCGAGUCAUUCCCUUUGACCCCUAGAAGACGUACCUUUUAGUUGAGUCAUUUCCUUUGAUUCCUAUAAGACGUACCUUUUAGUCAAGUCAUUCCCUUUGAUUCCUAUAAGACGUACCUUUUAUUUGAGUCAUCUCCUUUGAUUCCAAUAAUACGUACCUUUUAGUCAAGUCAUUCCCUUUGAUUCCAAUAAGAUGUACCUUUUAGUCGAGUCAUUCCCUUUGGCCCCUAGAAGACGUACCUUUUAGUCGAAUCAUUCCCUUUGAUUCCUAUAAGACGUACCUUUUAGUUGAGUCAUCUCCCUUGAUUCCUAGUAAGACAUACCUUUUAGUCGAGUCAUCUCUCUUGAUUCCUAUAAGACGUAUAUUUUAGUCGAGUCAUUCUCCUUGACCCCUAGAAGACGUACCUUUUAGUCUAGUCAAUUCCUUUGAUUCCUAUCAGACGCACUUUAUAGUUGAGUCAUUCUCCUUGAUUCCUAUAAUGAUGUGACUUUCACAAAAGUCCUUUGAUGAUAAACUUUGGCAAAAUUUAAUUCUUGUGUUGGAACUUCACUUUCCUGGCAUAUGAAAUCUCUUUAUAAUAAUCUUUGUUUGGGAUAAUUUUCUUUUUAGUUUUGAUGUGAUUUCAGGAGCCUGCCUGAAGAGCAGGACGAAUAAAUGAAAAUUCAAGCAACAUGGUGAAGAAGUUGAAAGUCAAGCAACAUGGUGAAAAUUUUAAAGUAAUAGAUUGAUGAAAUAGCAAGUCAGGAGCCUGCCUGAAGAACAGGGUGAUGAAAUUGCAAGUCAGGAGCCCACCUGAAGAACAGGGUGAUGAAAUUAUAAGAUAGGAGCCCGCCUAAAGAACAGGGUUAUAAAAUGGAAAGUUAGGAGCCUGCCCAAAGCACAGGGAAAAUAAAUGGAAAGUUAAGCAACAAGGUGAAGCAAUUGAAGAACAAGCAACAAGUGAUGAAAUUGUAAGUUAGGAGCCCGCCUGAAGAAUAGGGUGAUGAAACUUAAGUCAGCAGUCCAAUAGAAGCUAUAUAUAUAGGAUUUUGUAAUUUUAUUUUUGUUUUAACUUGUAAUUUUCAUUUUGAUAUAAUGAUAGUUCCGCAGAAUGGAAUAUCGAUGGAACCUCACACGACUCUCCAACUGGGUAUAGUCCAUUUUCUUCCAAUCCUUUGAGACACCGUCACUUGAUUUCUCCAUAACUUGGAUGGGUAGGAUGGAUUAAGUCAGAACUUGGUUGUUCUUUUUCUUUCUGUUUAUUUCUUUGAAUAAUGGUUGGGAGAAAAUUCUGUCGUGUUGUCUACUUCUUUGUCUGAAAACACUUCGUGUUUACAUUCAAAGAAGGCAUGAUGUAGACACCUAAUUUCAUCCCUCCCCGAUAUCAUUUUUACCCAUUUCUUACUUUAUCCUACCAUGUACCCUCACCCAUGUAAUUAUAACCCACAAAAAUACAAAAAUAACAAAAAUUCAAUAAAUUCCUAGCCUUAUCCUAACAAACUUUAUCCUAUACCCUACCCCAUACCCCAUGCCUUACACGUUUUCCCUAUUUCAACAAUACAAAAAAGAAUGAUUCAGAAAAAAAGACAAAAAAAGAGGAGGGACCCACUCCAUUUUUCCUAAGAUUUCAUUCUCUUUUCCAUGCUAUUAUUCAUUUUAAUAAAAAUAGAGAAGACCAUAGAGGGAGGGGGGGACAACAACAAUAAAAAGGGAAAGGGUCCAAAAAAAAGGACCUGACUUUUCCUUUUGGAUUUGAUACAUAUACCAUAUACAUACGUCAUUUUAGGGGGGAUUUUUCCUUUUUAUUCUUCACCAGUGAUGCUCAUCCUCACCAACACAAGUACACUGAUACACCACAAUUCACAAGCAUACAUAGAGAUCAGAGGCAUGGGAGAAGGGAAGACAACAACAUAUAUACACGCACUGAAACUCCAUUUUUGUUCCUCUCUUCUACACCCUCACGAUUCACACACGCGCAGAUUCUACCGAGAAUCCAUUGAUUUCAGUUGGUCCUAAACAGAAAAUAGUCCAUCUAUAUCGAAUCUUCUUCGCCCGUUCAAAAUUAGGUUUACAUCUCACCGAAUUGUUUAGGUCUUAUUUUGGGUUUCGAGAUUGGUGUUCAUCUUUGGAUUCUCGAUUUGGCGGGUUUGUUAUCUUUGUUUUAAGUGGUUGAUUCGGAGGUCUAUAUUGAGUUCGUGUUCUUGAAUUAAAAUUUGUUUGAAUCGGAAUUAGCAAUAUCGAGUUGGAUUUUUGUCAGUGUUGAGGCUCAAGUUGAGGUUCUUGAAAGUGGAUUUUCUUGUAAUAUUGUUCGAAAAGUUCCAAAUCAAGUCCAUUUCUAACCUCUACUAUCUUAUUUCUUUGUUUACGAUAUCCAAUAUUAUGGAUGGAAUAUGCUUUGGUUGAUGAUAUGAUCUUUGAUUGUGUGGUUGAGCAAGUUUGAUUAUUUUGGGUGAUUCUAUGUUGAAGUUGGUUAAUUAAUCGAGAAUGAUUUGUUGUUUGAGCAUGUUCGAAUCUUUUCUAUGGGUUAGUUGAUGUUGGAUUUGGAUGUGAGAAAUUGAAUUGAUAAUCGAAGAAUUAGUCAAUUAUUUGGGGAUGGAAAUGAUAAAUUGAUAAAAAAAGUUGAAUUUAGAUUAACUUUGAUUUAUUGUUGUUUUGUUUAAUUCGUAAUAAGCAUUAAUAUUGUUUUGAACAUGAUAGAAUUAUGAUAUGUUGAAAUGGAUAGGUGAAUGUAGGUUCGGGUAGGCAAAAUUUAGGAAUAAGUUUUCUUGUUGAAUGUUUGAAUGUGGAAUUUGAGUUGAAUGGUUUGGUUUUAGUUCUUGCAUUUGGAAAUGUAUUCAUUCAAUUGGGGAAUGCCCCGCGAUCACUUGUAUUUAUUCGCCGGAGAAUGCCCCGAGGUAUUUUGUAUUUGGAGGACGUCCGUGAUGAAGGAUCGAGGCAUCGGGUAGCAUAGUAUAGAAUUAGUGUAAGGUAGAAUAGGAUUUACAUUUUCGUAUUCUUUUUCUAUUCGGGACUGUAUAAUUGGACUGAACACUAAAUUUUGAAUUAUUUUGUUUUGAUUUCUUGAUUGAUUAUUUUUGCGUGCUUUGUGUGGUUUAUACAUUCGUAGUGUCAAAUUAGUCGAUACUCUCCACCAAGCGACCAUGGUCGAACCACGGGAUCGAGGGGUGCCUAACACCUUCCCCUCGGUUAACAGAAUUCUUUAGCCAGAGUCUUUAUUCACUAACCAGUUUUAAAGAGUCAAAUUGUUUUGAAAAGGAUUGUCCAAAGGUGACUUGGCACACCGGAUUAUGCCAAGUGGCAACUCUGAGUUUUGAAUGUAAACAUAAUCCUAUUUCUUAACAAAUCUUCAUUUUGUCACUUUAAUAAUAAAUACCCUUUCAAACCUUAAAAUGAUAUCUUUUCGGAGUACGAAAAAGGGUAUGAUAGUAACAGUUCAUAAUGGUCCUUGUUCAGAAUAACUUCUGGAAUAGUAGUCUCACUUUCAAUUUCUAUAAGUUCAAUGUUUCGAGUUUGAAUGUUAUCGGCCUUUUCCAUCUAUUGUUGCUUCUCCUUUUAAGUUAUCUAGCAGUGUUAUUAGCCGUAAUGCUGAUUUCAUUUCAUGUCUUUUUCUUUGUAGUAUCAUUUGCUUAAACAACCAAUACUGGUUUGGAUUUACAAUAUUCCACAUCUGAGAAUCCUGCCACAGACUAUAACAAUUUAGUAGUAGCUUCACCAGUAGGUAAGGGACUUCUCUAUUCCAAAUAUGAUUCUGGUAGGAUUAUAGAUACUAGGAGGUUCACACAUACCCCUUUAUUUCCUUUGUUAAUCCUUUCUCUUAAUUUGAGGUAAUCGACCUCCAUUUUCCAGAUUAUGAUCUGUAAUAGUAGUUCUUUUUAAGCUUCACACGUGGAUUCUUGAACCAAUUGUAAAAGUAGUGUGGUGUCGACUAGAGAGUGUUCUUACAUCCUUCUUCCAGUGAAGAAAUUCUAAUUGUUUUUUCUUUUAAUUUUUAUUUGGCACGAAACUUCUUUAUGUACAACUCUUGGUGAUGCAUCCAAUGUGUUAUAAGGACUUUUGAUCUAAAUCAGUUGCUUAAAAUGUAUUUUUCUUAAGAUAGUUGAUGGUUAAUAUGUUGGUCAAAUAUUUGAUAAUUUAAGCUACAGUCAUAUGCAGCUAUAACAAUUUACAAAACUUGGGAGAAAUUGUCAUAUUCAGCUGUCACAACUAACAUUUCCAAUUAGCUAGUUAUCACCAUCCUCAUAUAUAUUUUAUUUGUAGAAAAGCUGUACAUGGAGCCUUUUUGAGGAUUGGGUUAUUCAAAGCAAUUUUAAGAAAAAGGCGUCUUCUUCAUUUUCUUGCAUGCUUUCUAAAGCUCAACGUAAAGGACGGUCUGGAUGGCUUUGGUCAGAUUAUUGGGAUAAACUUAUUAUAUAUUGGGCAUCUCCAAAGUUUCGAAAGAAGAGCGCCCAGACAAAGGCAUCUCAAAAUUCUAAGAAAGGGGCUUAUUGCACACUUGUGGUUCGGUGUCCAUGGGACAACUAAGUGGAAAUUGGUAAUUAUUUAUGCAUUUAGAUGGUAGUAAAUUAUUUAUGCACUUGUGGUUCACUAUGUUUAUUUCAUUUGCUGGAAGCAUCUCUUACUAGAUCAGUCACUCGUGAAGAGGUAUGGAAGAAGACCCAUAUAAAAAUUAGAGAUGAAAAAAAAGUUUGGGUUGAAACACAGACAAAGGAUACGUAAGCUCAAAUCUUACUUAGAAUUUAUUUUAUAUUAUUUACUAAAUACUAAUUUUACUUUUAAUGUAAAAUCAAUAAGUUCACAACCUAUCAAAGAGUUCAAAACUCAAAAGGAUUCGACUGACAAAAUAUCAAGGUAAUCCAAUCAUGCCAUCAGAGGAAGAAACUCUUUCCUGCUAGCUGGAUGUAGUUGGGGGCGUGUAUAAGGGAAGGGCAUACCGCCUUUUUUCUGAGAAGAACUUUCACCGUCUUUAGGGUGGAUUGCAAUGUAUGGGGAGUUCUACCACCAUUUUAAAUGAGCAUCUUGAGGAGAUUGUUAGAGUACGAGCCCUACUAAUUGCCUAUCUAUGUAACAAGUAAGUAAAUGUGGUUCACAGAAGUAAAUAUUGAACACAGUGUUUUUACGUGGAAAACACCCAGCUCAAGAAAGGUGGAAAAAAAUAUGACCUGUACUUCUACAAGAUUUAACCCCAACUUCACUAUAAUACUUGAUCCUCAACAAUCAACAGAAUUAAAAGACUUUUUGUAAACUAGGAAUUAAAACUUCUAACUCCUAUCACUACGAAAACACAAAUCUUCCCAAGAUAAGUGUUUCCAAGUCUUCGAGUUCCCAAUCUUGAAGACACAAUUCCUAACUCAGUUUAUAGAUUACCGAGACUAGAACAAUAACUCAUUACAACUCAAAUAACCUACCUACUACACAAAUUGUACAACUUGCUAACUAAGAGACUAGGUUUUUCUUCAAGUAUAUGAACUGAUAUGCUGAUUGUUGAUUUUCUUUUUUGUGCUUGAGUGAGUUACUUGAUCAUUCUUUGUUGUAUAUAUGCACCCUGGUUAUCCACCUGUAAUAGAGUCCUGGUUUAUUUAUGUUUCUUUCUCCUUUCUCCUUUUUCAAGUAACUUCACUCGUUGCAGCCGUUUCUCCUUCCCUGAUUAAAUAGGACUUUUUGCUUUAUUAUUUAUCCUUGCAGACCUCUUCUCAUUGUUGGACUUCUAGAUCAACUCAACUUCUGAUCGUUGUAUUUUUCUUCCACUUUACUGAAGUGAUAAGUGUUUGAGAAGGUUCCUAAAUAUUCUUGCUUAUCCACUCCUGUUUAUAUGCAGUAUCAUCUUACCAAUAGCCUUGCCUGCAGUUUUUCUUUGUACACUUGAAUGGACCAGCUUUCACAACAUGUUGCAUUCAUAUGUCUAUCAUCAAAACUCCAUAUGCCUUAACAAAUUCCCCUUUUUUGAUGAUGACAAACAUAAUAGGACAAACAUAGCAGCAUAACAUCACAAACCCCUGACAUACUCAAUAAGGAAUUUGAAUAAGGACUAGCAUAGAAUAAAAUAGGUUAGUCAUUUAAGCAUUCCAUAUCCUACUCUUCCCCCUUUUGAAAUCAUCAAAAAUCUGGGUCAACAAGUGAAAAACGUCUAAUAAUUCAUGGUCAUUAAGGCUAUCACUAAGACAAUCAAAAUUCAGAAUAAGAGAAUAUGAAUGCAAUAUGAGAAAACAGGAGCAGAAAAUAGUAAAACAACUAAGCCUAGUUCAUUCAUUUGCAGAGAAGGCUACAUAUACCAAAAAGUAAACUAAGAGAGAACAAGUUGUCAGGAAAAGGAAAAAAAAUAGGCUUAAGAUAUUAGUGAAGAGGCUAAGUGGAAGAAGAAGAGGGAAUAAGAGAGAUGAGUUUCCUAAUAACAUCUGCAUUUUCAUCUCUCUCUUUUUCUAACAAGGAAUUAAGGGAAGCAAUUUGAGCAUGGAGGAUCCCUUUUUCUUCUUCAUGAGCACCCUUUGCAGCCUCCAAAGCUGCAUGAGCAACUUCCACCUCAGCUUGUUUCUCAGCUAGUGAAUUUCUCAAUUGUUGCAUGGAUUAUCAGCACUCUUCAUGGAAACAGGUAGCAUUAUAUGGUUUACAUGCCCUAUGAUAUCUUUGGUAGUCUAUUAAUACCACACUUAAACAGAAAUACCAAAGUCCUUAAAUAUAGGGGUGAGCAAAAAUUGAUAAGGUAGAGCAUGUCCAUUCAAUUCCUUGAGUAGAACCCUUUGCAUAUGCUUUAGUAUGAAUCAAGGCAGAUAAAUUCGUACUUCAUUAUCCAACAGCUCCAUGAAUGUAAGAUCAAGAAAACUUUCCACACACCGUCUCUCCUUCCUAGGAAUAAUAAUUUUGUGGAACAAAUAAAAAAAGAGCUAAUGUAGUGGGGACAGCUCCCUCUUAAGGACUCUUCUAUGGUGGAGCAAGUUAGGAUUGUUUGAAAAUUUUCUACAUAUGUUGAGGUUAGAGUCAAGAUUAUCUAGAGGAGGCCAAGCACCCUUGAUGUAGUGACCCCAUACCCCAGAGGGAAUACGUAAAAUCCUAGCAAUGUUAGCAACAUAAAGGUUCAUGGUAAGCUUUCUGACAGUAGUGGAGAACAAUUCACCAAUUCCCACCCCAUUCAUAAAAAACUCAUAUAUUUCAGGUUUAGCAAAUCUACACUGAAUAUCACCAUGAAGAAAUAAAUGUGACAAACCUUGAAACACUAAUUUAUCCAGUAACACUUGCAUAUCAAGCUUCCUAAAACCACUAACUACCCUUCCUCUAGCUAAUUUUUAUUUUUCAAAGUAAAGAUGAUGGUCCUUAGGAGUAUCCUGAUAAGAAGAUGAGUGGGGAACUUCAAACUUAGGUCCCAACUCAUCAGUAGCAUCUGGGGUAAAGUCAGAGUCAGAUAAGUCAGAAGAAACAGGUAGAGUGACCUGUUUCUUGGGAUGAGUAGAAGGCUUGGAAGGGGAAACUUUUGAGGGGGAGGAUCCUUUGACAGUAGAAGGAAUUUUUGAAGAGGAGGAGGCCUUCUGAUUAGGUUUAGAAGAGGGUUUCAUGGGCAAAGAGGGUUUUGAAACUUUGGCCAUGAUAGUUUUUUUCUUUCUGAUAGAUUGAAGUUAAAGAUCAGGAGAAGAUGCACAAGGAGAGGUAGGAUUAGAUAUAACCACAUAUUUUUUUUUGCUGGAUCGAAGAGCCUCAGCCAAGGAUGCAUCUUAUCAUUGUUUUCUUCCUCAAGUGUGAGGAUUACGAGGGAUAGAGACAUUUGGAAAAAGUACUGGAGGGCCAGUGUUGUCUAUAGUGAUGGGAAUGGAAAGAAGUUUUCUUGGGAGCUUGGACCUAGACCUUCUUAGGAUUAGCUCUGGGAUAGGAAGGUCAUUUUUGUCACUAGGAUUAUCAUCAGCUUUAACAAUUUAUAGUGGGAUAGGAGGAGGAAGGAGAGGUUUCAAAGAGAAUGGAGAAGGUGAAGAAAUUUGGGCAAAAGGGUUUGGGAAAUUUUUGAAAGCAGCAAAAUCGGUGAAUUUUUGGGAGAUUGAAGGAGGAAUUAAGGGAGGUAAGGUGAUAUUUGGAUGAAGGAUAAGUGCGGUGAAGGUAUUUGGAAUAGAUUCAGUAGAGGAGGAAGACGAAUAAGAGGAAGAUGAAGAGAAUGAUACCAUUUUUGAAUGAGGAAAGUGUUCUUGAGUAUGAGGAGGGUGCAGAUAAUUUGUAGGGUAGAAUCAAGACAAACGAAAGCAUAGUUAAGAGAAAAAGAUGAGGAAUUUUAAAGUGUGAGGGACUGUAUUUAGAAGAGGAGUAAUGAUGAGUGUUUCAGUCCUAAUGGGAAAGGAAGUGGCAGAUUUUUUAAAGGGAAGGGACUCUUUGUAUUUUGGCGGUUUAAAUGAACCAAGAAGGAACCAGGAAAACAACUUGUUUCUCUUUAAGCUACUUUGAAGUAAUAAUAAUCAUACCUGAAUGAAAAAAUAGACAAAAUUGAUUCUAUGAACAAAGCUUUCUACAAAAUCAGCACACACAUGAGUCAACAUACUCUAAAAUCUUGGACUUAGGAUACACAACUUAAUGUGUGAGACUGACUUAACCAACAAUCACUUGUAAAAUCAAACUAUUCUAGUCAAGCAUUGAGAGGGACUUAUGCAAUUUUAAUCAUCCCUUAGGCCAACCUAAUUUUUUCAAAGUGUUCUCUACUCAAGGCCUUAGUGAAAAUAUCAGCAAUUUGUUCCUUAGUAGAACAAAACAUAAUGGAUAUAUGACCUUUUUCAACAUUAUCUCUAAGAAAAUGAUGCCUAAUAUCAAUAUGUUUGGUUCUCUUAUGUUGAACAGGAUUUUUAACUAUGUUAAUAGCACUUGUAUUAUAACAAAAAAUAGGAACACAACCAACAUCUAUACCAAAUUCCAUGAGUUGUUGCUUAAUCCAUAGCAAUUGAGCACAACAGGAUCCUGCAGCAACAUAUUCAGCUUCAGCAGUAGACAAAGCAACUGAAUUUUGCUUCUUAGUGGACCAGGUAAUCAAACAGGAUCCAAGAAAGUGUGCCAUUCCAUUUCCUGUCCAUCAGAUAUCUUGCAUAAUCAACAUCUUAGUAACCUAUCAGAUUAAAGUUACUACCUUUGGGAUACCAUAAGCCAAGAUCACUGGUUCCCUUCAAGUAUCUAAAGAUUCUUUUCACAAAUUUUAGGAUUCUUUGGGUUUUGCUUAAAACCUAGCACAUAGACCUACAUAGAACACAAUGUCAGGCCUGCUUAAUGUGAGGUACAAUAAUGACCCAAUCAUACCUCUAUACAUCUUUUGCUCUACAUCUGAACCUAUUUCAUCUAACUCUAACUUUGUGAUAGUUGCAAUAGGAGUACUUAUCUCUUUUGCCUCUUCUAUGGAGAAGCUCUUUGACAUACUUCUGUUGGUGAAUCAUUGUCAGCUGACUACUUUAUUUGCAAGCCCAAGAAAUAAUUUAGCUCUCCCAUCAUGCUCAUCUCAAAUUCACAACUCAUGAGUUUGGCAAACUCAUGAGUCAUACUCAUAUUUGUUGAGCCAAAAAUAAUAUCAUCCACAUACACCUGCACAACUAACAAAUCCUUCCUAUUAGUUUUUCAAGAAAAGGGUAUUAUCAAUUUUACCUCUAGUAUGUCCAUUAUCUAGUAGAAACUUUGACAACCUCGCAUACCAAGAUCUAGGUGCUUGUUUCAACUCAUACAAGGCUUUAUCCAGUUUAUACACAUGAUUAGGAAACUCCUUGAUUUUGAAUCCUGAAGGUUGCUUGACAUACACCUCCUCUUUGAGAAAGCCAUUCAGAAAUGCACUCUUUACAUCCAUCUGAUAGAGUAUAAACUCCUUGUAGGCAGCAAAGGCAACAAGUAAUCUUAUAGUUUCCAGUCUUGCUACAGGAGCAAAAGUCUCAGUAAAGUCGAUUCCUUCCUCUUGUUUAUAUCCUUGGAAUACCAACAUUUCCUUGUUUCUUGUGACUGUUCCAUGCUCAUCAACUUUAUUCCUAUACACCCACUUAGUUCCAAUUACUGAUCUGCCUUUUAGAAGAGGAGCUAAGUGCCAUACUUUUCUUCUUUCAAAUUGAUUCAGCUCUUCUUGCAUAGCCAUGAUCCAAUCAGCAUGAAGCAAUGCUUCAAUUAUCUUCUUUGGCUCUAUUUCUGCCAGGAAUUCCUUGAAAGCACACGAACUUCUCAGUCUAAUCUCGUAGUAAUCCUAGAGGUGAGUUCAGUGAGAAUAUUUUCUAUAGGAUGUGAUCCUUGAUACUUGUACCCUUUUUGAACCAAGCCUAGAGAGCUACUAGGACCACUGAUGAUAUUUUGUUCUGGGGUAGUUGGUGACACAGUUCCCCCUGUCAUUGUGCCUUCAGUUUUAGUUCCCCCUGUUGAAGUGCCUCCAAGUUUGGUAGCUUCAGUCAAUGAAAUGGGUUGCGUAACCUGUUCCUCAGCAUCAUUUUCUUCCUACAGGUUAGUCUUAACACAGGAUACAUCAAAGAUCAUAUGCAUGCUUUCUUCAACAAAGUUUGUUCUGUUGUUUAAGAUCCUAUAUGUUUUACUAUGAAGUGGAUAUCCUAAAAAGAUUCCCUCAUCACUUUUAGCAUCAAAUUUUCCCAAAUUAUCCUUUCUAUUAUUAUGUAUGAAACAUUUACAUCCAAAGAUUCUAAAGUGAGAGAUGUUGAGCUUUCUUUCUUUUAGUAAUUCAUAGGGAGUCUUCUCUAAAAAAGGUCAUGCAUCUAUUUAUGAUAUAUGCUGCAGUACUUAUUUCCUCUGCCCAAAGGUUUUUAGCAUCAUUUGCUGCAAGCAUCAUUAUUCUAGCCAUAUCUUCCAAAGUUCUAUUUUUCCUCUCCACCACUCCAUUUUGUUGUGGUGUUCUAGGAGUUGAGAAGUUCUGAUUUAUACCAUUUGUUGAAUAGUAUUUCAAGAAUUUAACAUUCUUAAAUUCUGAACCAUAGUCAGACCUUAUGGAAACUAAUAAAGUGCCUAAUUUCUUUUCAAUUUUCUUAAUGAAGAUUUCAAAGACAUCAAAGGCGUCUUAUUUAGAGGCUAGAAACAAAGUCCAAGUAAACCUAGAAUAGUCAUCAACAAUCACAAACACAUACCUUUUUCCACCUAUGCUUUGAAGUAUGAUAGGUCCACAUAAGUCUACAUGAACCAAGUCAAGUCACUUGGUUGUGCUAACAUGGUUCUUCGACUUAAAAGAGGAUCUUACCUGCUUCCCCCUUACACAUGCACUACAUAGAUUUUAUUCCUUGAACUUGGUCUUGGGUAAUCCCAAUACCAUGUCUUUGGAUGAAAGUAUGUUUAGUUGUUUCAGACUUGCAUGACCAAGUCUUCUGUGCCAAAGGAGGGGAUCAUUUUCUAUAGCACUUAAAUAAGUUAGCUCAAGUCCUGGUGGUGCCAUGAUGUCAGCUUUGUAUAUAUUUUUAUAUCUCCUUACAGUGAGCACAACCUCUUUAGUAUCUAUCCUUUUUACCUUGACUCCUGCAGCAGUAAAAACAACUUUAUUGCCUUUAUCACACAGCUGUGACAUGCUCAACAGAUUAUGCUUUAAUCUUUCUACAAGAUAGACAUCCUCCACUGCUUUUGACUCAGAUGAACCAAUCUUUCCAAUUCCAGUUAUGAUUUCCUUUUUUCCAUCACCAAAAGAAACUCCUCCUCCAUUUAUUUUAGAGAGUGAAAGAAAAUUUUUCUUAUCACCAGUCAUGUGUCUUGAGCAAGCACUGUCUAGAUACAAGUGCCUUUUGUUUCCUUUCACCUUCUCCUGCAAAAAAAUUCAAAGGUUAGCCUUAGGAACCCAGACAAUAUUGGGUCUUAUUUUAUGAGUGAAUGGAUGAAUUACAAUUCUCUUAGUCCACAGGCAACAUGUAGUGCAACCUAUUUCUUUGACCAGAACUGGUUUUGUUCCUUUUGAUCUGAUAAGAUCUGUUAGUCAGGUUUUGACUAUUUAAUCUGCUUUUUGCAGCUACUGACAUUCAGUGGUGGGAUGCCCAAGGUUUCCACACAUGUAACAUAAAUCUUUUGGAUCACCAAAACUUUUUUGAAAUCUCAAACCUGCCUUUUCAUUAAAUUUUUUCUCACUUAAUUUGUGAACAAUUCUUGAGGAGUUUGUCCACCUAUUUGCCCUUUCAAGAUUCAAUUUUAGUUUAGAGAUUUCCUGAUUCAACUUAUUCAUUUUUCAGUUAAAUCAUGGCAUUCUUAUUUGUAUUUAACAAGCUCAAGUUCAGCAUGAUCUUUACUCAUGGCCUUCUUCCCAUUUUUAGUGAGAGUUAAUUUGAGAACUUCAGAUAUAAGAUUGUUGUUUUAAAUCUCAAGUUCUGCAACCUGUUUCUUGAGACUGCAAUUGUCCUUGUCGACUAUAUUUGAGAAAGACUUUAGAUCUAUGAGAUCAAAUUCAAGACUUUCUUGACUAUUGAACAAUUCAUCCUUAUCAGAGGUUUAACUCUUGGAAAUCAUCAACCAAUGCAUUCAUUAGGGAAACAAGUUUUGGCUUUGAGAAUAAUUUCAGUUUUUCUUGAGUUCAAGUAUACUUACCUCAGAAUCCUCAUCUUCUUCAUCCAGAUCUGAAUCCCCAAGGGCCAUGAAUGCAGUUUCAUUAACUUUAUCUUUAUCUGAACCAGAACCCCAGGCUACUAUAAUUUCAUGCUCCUCUUUCCUUUUUGUCUUCAGCUCCUGUUCAUCCCUUUUCUUCUUUCAUUCUAUUUCCCAGACUGGACAGUCUCUAAUCUGAUGAUCAAUUUUUCCACAUUUGUAGCACCCAUUUGGAUUGUCAUUGGAACGUUUCUUAGUACCCGUUCCCUUCUUUUUCUUGAAGAAUUUGCUAAAGUUAUUAGUUAUUAAGGCAACUUUCUCUUUAUCAAGUUCAAAUUCUUCAUCACUAUCAGAAGCUUUCAAUGCUAAAAUUUUCCCAGGAGCUGCUUGUUCUUUGAAUCCAUCAACUUCCAUUUCAUAAGUCCUUAAGUUCCCUACUAAUUCAUCCAGAGUCAUGCCUUCAAGAUCCUUAUUUGCCUCCCUGAUUGCAGUCACCUUGACAUUCUAUUUUGACUUGGGUAAUACUCUCAGAACCUUUUCAACUUGUAAAUUCAGCUCAUUUGUUAAAAUGGUAAGCCUUGUCAUCAUUUCAUGCAAGGUUUCAUUUUCCUUCAUUUUGAAUGCCUCAUACUCAGUGAAAAGUAGAGAGAUCCUAAAUUUUCUUACAUGAGAAGUGCCUUCAUGAGCAUUUACUAGUGCAACCCAAAUUUUCUUAGCAGUAGUGUAAGUGGAUACCCUGUUGUAUUCAGUAGGUCCUAGUCCAAAGACCAAGAUGUUCUUGGUGUUUGCAUUUUUCUUCAAAGCCAACAAGCCAUCAGGAGUAAAUUCACUCCUUACUUUCUUGACUUGUUCACCAUCAACCGUCUUUAUUGGAAUAGUGGGACCAUCAUUAAUCCUGUCCCAUAAUUCAUAAUAUUCUCCUUGAAUGAACAUCUCCAUCCUUGCUUUCCACCAGAUAAAAUGAGAGCCAUCAAAAAGUGGAGGUCUAGUAGUUGACUGACCUUCACUGUGACCAGUAGGAGGUGCGAAAUUCAUCAUAUUGAUCUUUUCUUAGGUACUAGCCUUAUUUAAGACAACCUCACUUUGAUACCACUUAUUGGAGUACGAGCCCCACUAAUUGCCUAACUGUGGAACAAGUAAGUAAACACGGUUCAUAGAACUAAGUACUGAACAUAGUGUUUUACAUGGAAAACACCCAGCUCAAGAAAGGUGUAAAAAACUAUGACUUGUACUUCUACAGGAUUUAACCCCAACUUCACUAUAAUACAUGAGCCUCAACAAUCAACAGAAUUACAAUACUUCUUGUAAACUAGGAAUUAAAACUUCUAACUCCUAUCUCUAUAAAAACACAAAUCUUCCCAAGAUAAGUGUUCCCAAGUCUUCGAGGUCGCAAACUUGAAGACAUAAUUCCUAACUCAGUUUAUAGAUCACUGAGACUAGAAAAAUGACUCAUUACAACUCAAAGAACCUACCUACUACACAAAGUCUACAACUUGCUAAGUAAGAGACCGGGUUCUUCUUCAAGUAUGUAAACUGAUAUGCUGAUUGUUGAUUUUAUUUUUCGUACUUGAGUGAGUUACUUGAUCAUGCUUUGUUGUAUGUAUGCACCCAGGUGAUCCACCUGUAAUAGAGUCCUGGUUGAUUUAUGCUUCUUUCUCCUUUUUCCUCUAUCAAGUAACUUCACUCUUUGUUGUAGCCGUUUUUUCUUCCCUGAUUAAAUAAGAGUUUUUGCUUUAUCCUUUAUCCUUGCAGAACUUUUCUCAUUAUUAGAAUUCUAGAUCGACUCAACUUCUGAAUGUUACAUUUUUCUUCCACUUUAUUGAAGUGAUAAGUGUUUGAGAAGGUUCCUGAAUAUUCUUGCUUAUCCACUCCUGUCAAUGUGCAGUAUCAUCUUACAAACAGCCUUGCCUGCAGCUUUUCUUUGUACACUUGAAUGGACCAGCUUUUACAACAUAUUUCAUUGAUAUGUAUAUAAUCAAAACUCUACAUGCCUUAACAGAGAUACGAUAGGAAGUUUAGGAGCUUCCUAGGAAGUACGAGGAGGAAUGAAAAAGAAGGAUGGAGGAGGAGCGGCGUAGGACAACACUUGGGUCAGACGUCAAAGAACUCAAGACUCAAGUAAAUACCUUAAUCAAGCUUCUUUAUUCUCUACAACCUAGUUCUGAUGAUGAUGGUGGGGAGGAUGAAGAGGAUUAGGUGUUGUUGUUUUAGGUUUGAAUUAUGUUAGUUUGGAGUGUUUGAAAGAAUUUUUUUUGGUGAUUGUUUGCAUACUUUUUUUAUACUUGUUUCCAUAUUAUUUACGUUGGAUGAAUAUGUAUGAAGUUUGGUUUCUUAAUUUCAAUGUUUUAAUUGUUUCAAAAGUAUUUUUUUAUUGUUUUACUGGUUAAUAUUGAUUGUACGUUUAUUUUCUAUUUAAAUAUUGAAUUUUAGUGCAAUAAAAAAACUAAUAAUAACACCAUAUUGGCAAGGGACUUUUGUAGCUAUAUCCCUCAAAAUGUUCAAACAUUAAAUUAAUUUUUUAUUUAACUUAGUGAAGGAUAUCCCUCAACAUAUUUAAAUUUAUAAUUUUUAUUAAUUUUCAUGUACCAAGGAUCAUCCUUCACCAAAUAAUAAAUUAAUAUUCUAUAUAUUUUUAAUAUAGCAAGGGUCUUCCCUCACUAAAUUAUAAAUUAAUAUUAUAUAUAUUUUUAAUAUAGCAAAGGACAUCCCUCACCACAUUAUAUUUUUGGGGAAAUUGUGAGACCAAAAUAGCAAUGGUUGAGUGUCGGAAUCCUUCACUACUUUGUAAGGGUUUCCCUCACUAAUAAUUAGAAAACCUCAAAUUAGUAAGACAUCUUGUAGCGAUGGCUGCUCUCACUAUAUCUUGAUUAGUGAGGGACGUCCCUCACUAAAUCGCAUGGCUAAAACAAGACUUUUUAGUAGUGCCAUGAUCUCAAGCUUCUUCUCCAAAGGACAUCUCUCUUCCAAAUCCUUUUCAUCUUCUCUCAGAUAAAGUUGGUCAUAAAAUUAAUCCUACAAUGCCUGUAUCAAAUUCAGAGGUGGAUAAAGUAUCAAAGAAAAAUCAACUUGACUUUGGGCAGUAACAUGGUGAAUCUAUGCAACAAUUUAUAUCGUCUAUUCAUCUGGAGCAACAAGGAGAUACUGUUUUUCAUUGAUGGGCAUAUUUGGUAAAUAAAAAAGAUGAACAACAGGAGGAUAAUAUUGGUAGGAAACUUAAAGCUCAAGCUCCAAUUUUUCUCCUAAAUAAGUCUGUAAUUCAUAAUUAUUCAUCAAGUUGCAAGCAAACUUCAGGUGGUGUAUUAAAUUCCGUUUCUCCAAUUCAUACAACCAAACAAUUAGUGGGAAGUGAUACAUUGCCUCCAAAGAGUUUUGAAAACCUCCAAAAAAAAUGACUUAUUUGAGGAAAGUGAGUAUGAAGACAUGUUGAAUAUAUGCUUUGCAAGUGCAUCUAGGGAUGUUGAUAUCUCUCCUGGACAACAAAGAAAUAGAAAGAUCAAAUUAUAUCACGAUAGAAAUCAAAGUUGGGUUGAUAAGGUGACAGAGGAGUUUGUUCCAAGGCACCAUUGGCAAAGCGAAAUCAUGCGACAUUGUCAACAACUUUUAAGAAGACCCAACAUAUUUAAGAAGUGAUGAAUUUUCAAGUUAUUUUGAACAGGUUCAAAGAAGAAGGCCAGGAUUGAAUAUAUCAAUGUACUUUAGAUAGGCCAGCAUUUCUUUUUAGUUCAUAUAUUUGUAAAAAGGAGUUCGUGAUUGAGAACUCAAACUUCUCAUUCAUUUUUAUAUUUUUUCAUUACUUAAGCAUCCUUCUUUGUAAUAUCAUCAUAGAGUGUAACAUAAACUCUAUGAUGAUCCUAGAAUAUCUAGUUCUCUCUGAUUUUUAUUUUUUGCACGUUUGUUAAUUAGUCGAGGUUUUGUUACCUCAUUAAGGAUGAUAAGGUAAGGUCUAGCCCCUUUUGCCUGUACUUUUCUCUUUUGAGGUUUAAUUUUAUUUUUUAUUUUUUUAAAAGGGUGAUUGAUGUCUUUUGGUAACCAAUGUCUUUUGAUAUAUUUGUGGUAUUUUUUUAUUUUUCCCCUUUUCUUAUUUGUGGCUAAAUUAUUAUAAAGUCUAUAAAUAAUAUUUAAUAAAGAAUAGAUCUUGUUCGUCCAUCGUCUAUUUGAUGGACGUACCAGAUUAAGUUUCAAUCUCUAUAAAUUGAUCCUCCCUCUGCUCAUUAGGGUUACCGCAUAUUAUCAAUACAAUUUCAUCGCAGGCGGCUCUGAUAGCGAUAAUCCAGUGGAAUGAUAGAUGAAAUCGCCUGAUAGGCUGAUAUUAGUUAGUUAGAUCAAUAAUAGUGCUAUCGAGAUUGUCGAUUUGCUAAAGUGUAAGGCUAAUAAGGUGACAUCUCUAAGAAUCUAUAUUAAACUUAUAAUCUUUGAUUCUUUGAUAUAAAUAAAUUAUAUGUGAUUUUCUUUCUAAAAGAUAUUUAAUUGAUAUGUUGAUAGUUUUUUCAUCGGCGAUUUUAACAUCGAUCUCUUUUAAAAUUUUAUUUUUAUCUUAUAAAUUUUGAAUUUCUCUUUUCCUAAUUGUCAUAACAUCAUUUCUAUGUUUGUUUAUGUUGUUUUACUAGUUAAAAUGAGUUUUAUGUGUUUAUAAAGAAUUGAAUUAGAUUCUUUAUAUUUUAUCCUUACUAUAAGCAUGCCACUUACUCAAUUAGCUUUCCCCAUAGACUAGAGUAUGUGACUUUUCAGAGAAGGAAGAUAGUUUUAUCUUAAAAUUGGUAUCCUUACAAUUUUAUCAAAUCUCCUUGAAGGGACACUAUUUUAUUAAUUAUUUAAUCAACUUAAAAAUUUUUUACACUGGAUCUUUUUGUAGAAAAAGGGAAGAAUAAAUAAUUUUGACAAUAGGUCAAAGUGAUAUAGAAUUGGUAGAAAAAAUAAACUAAAUCUCUUAAGAAUAAUUUUUAAGGUGCAGAUCUUUUGACUUUUACAAUCUGUCUACAAUUUUAAAACAAUUGUUCAGAUGGUAUAGGCGAAACAAGAUUAGGAAAUAGAGCGGAGAGAGAAAGAUCUAGAGAAACACAGAUUUGAUUAUUAUUAUAAUUAUUGAUCGCAAAAUAGCUUUUUUUAAUCUUAUAUUAGAUGUAGAAAAAAAAAGGAAGAAAAUAUGAUUUUCAUGAAAAAUAAUUUUCUUUUUAAUUGAAAUUUUCCUCUUAAUUUCGAGGAGUUUUUUCUUCCUCUCUAAUUUAACAUAUUAUUUUAUCAUGGGAAAUCAUUUUGACUUCUCACGCAUCGUUACUUCUAUAAUAUUUUGACUUUAUUCUUUUACUUCCUUAUAUAUUAAAAUUUCAAUAAACUAUAAUAUUAUAAUUAAUUUUUAUUUAAUAUUUUACGUUCAGUAAAAAUAAGUAUAUCCAAUUUUACUCAAUAUGCUCGAUUAGAUUGUCUAGAAUGAAUAGAUAAGUUGGUCAUUUGAUGAAGAUAAGUAACACAACCACUAAAGGAUGUGGUGCAGCAAAUGGGGCUACUUCUUUCUUAACUAAAGGUCUCAGAUUUGAUUCUUGAUAGGGAGUGCUUCCUCUGAAUGAACCUCACGCACACGAAUCCAGAUUAAUCGGGUUCCAAUAUAGAUGUCAAACACCAGAUUAAAAAUAAUAAUAAAAAAGAAGAGUAAUACACAUACACAAUAAAGGAAUCGAUAUUAUUAGUUUUGUUUUAUUUUAAUUUUGAGUAUUUUGAUUUUAAUUUUUAAUUUUAUAUUAUAAACAUGACAUUUUAAUCAACACAAUUCAAAUUCUUUUUAAUUUUCCAUUUAAACAUAAUAAUAGUAAUAACUCAAAAUACAUAUUCAUGUUUAAGGUUAUUUAAAUAAUCAAAUAUUGUGAAAGUAUGACUUCAUUAUGAUAGGAUAUUUAAUUUAAAUUUGAAUUCACUUUGUUGAUAUCAAAAAGCUGAAUUGACCUUUUUUCACAAAUUUCUUGUUUUAAAUAAUUUUCAAACUUGAAAUGGUAUGAUACUUGUGUGUGUCAUCACCAUGCUUUUCCUAUUCUAUCUAAUAGAUUCAACUAUUCAUUCUAAAUAUACGUUACUUAAUUUUUUAUGUAAAUAUGUAUAAAAUUUGUAAAUAUUGAUUAUAAUAUAAUUUUUAAUUAGUAUGUCCAAUUGCAUAAAUAAAGAGUGGCAAUGAACCCUGAAAAUUAAUAUCGAAUUUGUAUAUGAGAAAUAAAUCUUCAUAGUAAUUUUGCUUAUAAUUUAUUUUACUGAAAAUGUAUUGAUACAGUUAUCAUGAUUGAUACAUCUUCAAAAACAAUGUCAAUGCUCUCGAAAGAAACUACAAAAAUUAAUGUGAUAAUAAUAAAUGUUCACUCGCUGAACCUAGAUUCAUAAAAACUUUUGGCUAGAGCUGUGGCUUUGGAUAUAAUUUCCCUCUCUAAGUAUUUUUUUUCCCUACUGUUUCACUUAUGAUAUCUAUUGUGCAUAAAUCAAUUACAAAUACACUAUAAAAAAAUCUCUACAAUUCACCAUUAUAUAUUGUUAAAUAGUUCGAAGCUAAAAGAAUUUGACAUAAUUCAUCAUUAAAUAGAAUUAGUAAUGAAUUUUUGUUUGUUUAGCGACAUAAACUAUCCAUCGCUAAUUCCUAUUUUUAGUAUGUUUUGUAAUGUUAUUUUUAAAAUUAAACAAAUUUCAUAAAUAUGUUGAAGUUAACUAUUCAUAUAAUGUAUGAUAUAAUUCAAUUUCAUAUAUACAGUUCAACACCAGCUUACUCUAACUAACUAACUCCCACUUGCACUCACUUGCACAGUAAAAAUAGGAACUGUGAAUGAACUGUAAAAACUGUUUUAUUUCAAUGGAAUAGUAAAAAAUUACUUUCUCAUCUAUCUUGAGCUUGCAAUACUCCCCCUCAAGCCGAAGGAUACAGGAUAUUAAGCACACCAAGCUUGCCCAUUAAAUAAAAAUAUUGAGGUUGACAGAGACUCUUCGUAAUUAAAUAAACCACUUGAUCAUGAGUUCGAACAUAAGGAGUCUCAACAGAACCAGAUUUAAUCUUGUCUCUAAUAAAGUGACAAUCAAUUUCUCUAUGUUUAGUUCUCUCAUGAAACACAGGGUUUGCACCCAGUUGAAUAGCUGAUCUACUAUCAUUGAAUACCUUUAUAGGUUGAGUGAGAGGUACAACCAAGUCAUUUAAUAGACCAACCAACCAAGUCACCUCUGCAAUCACUGAAGCCAUGCUUCUAUACUUAGCUUCAGCUGAGCUUCUAGGCAGUGUCUGUUGCUUCUUGAACUUCCAUGAGACCAAAGAAUCCCCAAAUUUCACUAUAUAGCCAGUAACAUACCUCCUAGUGCUAGGACAGGCUGCCCAAUCUAAAAUACACCAACAAAAAAGAGUCACAGUAGGUUGAGCCUUUAACCAAAUGCCUUGACAAAUAGUACCCUUAAGGUAUAUAAACACCUAUGGUUAAUAUUAGCACUUUAAUACCCAAAAAAAAUACUUAAGCUCACCUAAGUUCUUCAAUUUAAAUUGCUUGUGUAGAACCUCCUUAGAAUUAGAUAUCAAUGAGGUACUGCUACCUUUGAUGAGUAAGUCAUCAACAUAGACUAAAAUCAUCACUAUGUAUUCCUGUUUCUUCUAUGUAAACAAGGAAUAGUCAUGUACACUCUCAACAAAACCAGCAUUUACCAAGGCAUUAGUAAGUUUCAGCUGCUAUUGUCUGGAAGCCUAUUUAAGAAUAUAAGCAUUUCAACAAUCUGCGUACUCUUGUGUCUCUUUUAUUGUUUGAAACCUUCUGCCAUCUCCAUGUAAACCUCUUCAUCUAUAUCACCUUAUAAGAAAGCAUUGUAGGCAUCCAUCUGACAUAGAAACCAACCUUUUGAAGCUACUAAAAAUAUUACACUUCUAACUGUAACCAUAUUAGACACAUGAGAAAAGGUAUCAUGAUAAUCCAAACCUUUUUGUUGACUAUAACCUUUUUCUACCAAUCUAGCUUUAAAUCUCUCUACCUCUCCAUUAGCUUGAUACUUGAUCUUAUAAACCCACUUAGAUCCCAAAACAUUCUUUCUGGGUGGUAAAGGCACCACCUCCCAGGUCUUGUUUUCUUCAAGUGCUUGAAUCUCUAGCUUCAUGGCCUCAACCCAUUUUGAAUCUACUUCAGCAUGCCUAAAAGUAUUUGGUUAAACCAAGGUGGAGAAUUUGCUUAAGUAGCUAUGAUAUGACUUUGUAGUUUUAUCAUAAAAGAGGUACUUAGCCAUGGAAUAUCUGCAUUUCUUUCCAUCCUUAGAAGUAGCAUAGUCCUUUAGCCAAACAGGUUGCCUGGACAUCCUAGAUGUUCUUCUUGGAGAACAUAUUCGAGGAGAAGAGGACAGUGGAAUAGAGGUGCAAGGGACUUCAACUUGAUCAUCAGAUGCUACAAUGUUUUGUGAGGUAGACUGGACCAUAGAAGGAUGCACAUCUACAUCAGUACUAGAAAAUUCUAUAUCCUCUGCAAAAAUUUCAUUCUCUAGAGGAUCAUCAAUUUCAAUAGGCACAUUUGUGAGCGCUGUGUUGACAAAAUUCCACUGUGAUUGUGCAAAAUAUUAUGAGAACUCAACUAAAACCAAUUGAAUAUAUUCAUGGUGAACCUACACUCAAAUUUACAAUGGAGAAAAGAGAAGCAUUUGCUAUCGAGGAAGGGUUGCAUCAAGCAAUUGUGAUUAAACUUUCCUCAGGUGCACCAGAUUUGAAGGACCUAAGGACAUUGUUGCCGAAAUAUCUCGGAGUCAAGGAUCAUUGUGUAAUUGGUUCAUAGGCACCACGGCAACUCUUGCUAUGGUGUGAUCAAUAUGAUGAUUAUGUGACUACUUAUUCAAGAUCAGUGAAAUAUUUUUCUUACAAUGGAAAGGAGCACUAAUAUAGGAUAUUCUCGUGGUUUAUCGAUUUUAACUACAAAGAAGAAACUACUAAGGCAGCAGUGUGGAUUUCUUCAUCGAACUUGGCUCUGGAUCUAUUUGUUAAGAGGUUAUUAUUGUCUAUAGCAGCAGCAGUCUAAAAACCAAUAGCUAUAGAUAAACCAAUAGCUACAUAUCACUUUCACCAAUAAAUAUUUCGACAUUAUUCAACCCUUAGUUUUGGAAAUCCUUAUCAAAACACUCAGUAAUUAAAAGGAUUAGAGAUGGACUUUGUUUAAUGAUAAAAGUUAAUUAAUCAUUGCUAAUUUCUAUAUUUUUGUAGUGAAAAUUCAAUGAACUAACAUUAUUUUUAAUCUUUAAUUCAUAUUGUUUCAGAAGACUGUUAUCGUUCGGAAUCAUCAAACAUCAAAAAUAUUUUUCAUUAAAAAUAACUCUGUAGUUCAUAUGAUAAUUAAAUAUAUUUAUGGUCUAAUUCUCUUCUUUUUCAUCUAACAUCUCUCAGAAAUUUUUUAGCAAUGUCAAUUAAAAAGUUCUGCUGAUCAACCCAGAAAUCAUGAGUGAUUCUCAAUAAAGACGUAGUAUUAGAAAAAUGGGGACAAUGUACAAUUUCUCCUGCUUAACUAUUUACAAGUUUGAAUUAAGUUGAAUGGUUUUAUUUUUUUAAUAAAUUGUUGAGUUUUUAAAGCAUUUUAAUAUUAAAUUUGCUAUUGAAAUGUUGCAUGUUGACGUGCAUUGAAAUGCUGCAUACUGGAGUAUCUUUUGAUCUUUAUCUUCCAUAUUUAAUUGUGGAAUAAUGCAUAUGGCAUUUUUCUUUGGUAACUUUUGUUAUAUCUCACUAAUUACUCACUCAUUGUUCUAUCUCUUUAUGUUUUAUAACUCAGGUAACUUAAAAGCAUUCAUCUACCCACAUUCCUCUUAUUCAUUAUUUCGCCUAUGAUAUAGAAAAAGCAAAAGAGAAAGAUAUAGUGUUUAUAUUUUGAGUUUAGUAGACAGCUGCACCCACUGCACCACUAAUCAUACCUUGCAAGAAAUCAAAAUAUUCCAAAGUAUCAGAUAUAAUAUAGGAAACAUAAAGAGGCCAAAGAAUACUUGACCUUCUUCUUUUGGAAAAAUUAGAAUGAGAUACAAAGUAUCAGCACUAUAUUGGUUCUACAACCAUCAUAGGCUUAAUUUGUCGUCUUCAUCAAUAUCCUUUAUUCUCCAGCUUGUUGCCCCCCACUGUAUAAGUCAUUCAUCUUCCUGAUGGUCCACGUUGAUAUACUUAAUUCACCCAAAAUUGCUCGCGCUUUGAAGCAACGGUAAAAUUGUACUCCUAUAACUUAUAAAAAAAAAAUUGUCCUUGCUAUUAGUUAUUACUAUAGUAUUUUUGUGCCGCGGUUGAUAUGCUUAAUUCGCCCAAAAUUGCUCGCGCUUUGAAGCAACAGUAAAAUUGUACUCCUAUAACCUAUAGAUCACGGAUUUAACUAUCAUUCUGUUGAGGUAUUACCCUUCUCCGGACUCGGCUAAAUGCAGUAUGCUUUUCAUCCACCAGACAAGGCCUUUUUUUGUUCCCUUAGUUCUACCUACCACAUUUUGAGGUGUGGGGACACUUAAGCAGUAGUUGAACCAGUCUAGUGGAAAAUAAUUAGCAAAAAGACUUCGAAUCCUACUUUGAAGAGUCAGAAAAGGGACUCAAUUUAAUGUUUUUGAUGACUUUACUCAUUUUUCAUGGUUCCAUUUCUCAGCUUCCUACUCUUAGUUGAGUGUAGUAAAGGAGUAAUCAUGUUUCCCACCUUUCUCUCCUUCAAUAAUAAUUAGUAAUAAUUAGAGUUCAGAGGAAACCCUUGUAUAUUCAUCUUAAAUUCUACACCAAUCCUCUUCAAUUUCAAGCAAAAAUUUGUUAUAACAAUAAGCCAUUAGUAUCCCCCAACUAACGCCAACAUAAAUUUGAAACCAUACAAUAUUUUUAAACCCUUUUCGAGAUUCAGUUCUGAUAAUUGAGUUGAUAUCCUUGUGGCAGAUUCAGUCGUGGAUUUGCGAGAAAGCAGUGUUCCAAAGCUUCAUUGUAUCUUUAUAAGACUCAUCUCUACCAGCUUGCAGAGUACCAUAUAGCUGAGGCUUUACUUGGGAUAUUGAGGUCUAAACAUUGCACUUCAUAGUCAAAUGCCAAUUCAAGAAAUUGGCACUAGCUAUAAUCUGGAAAAAUACUCCAAGCAUUCGAAAGCUGAGAACUGUUGCAAGUUUGCUUUUACCUUUCAAAGUUGUCAUCUGAUUGUGUAUCAAAUCUAUCCCAUGAAAAUAUGAUACAAGUACGAUCGUGAUUAUGAACAUUUUUUGAGUAUAUUAAAGGUAACCGAGAGAGUGCAUAAGUCUAUGUGUGAAGGUCGCCCAAAACCGCCCAUAUGGUCACUCAAUGGGCGCCCAUUUUUGAAGACUAGUCACUAAAGGGUCUUUUAGUCUUUUGUCACUUAUUUUUGUAAUGUAAUAUAAAUAGAACCUUGUAGGGUUUUAGUUACUUAGUUUUGAAUGUUAUUGAAAGAAACUUCUCUAGAGAGAGUGUGAGCAACCGUAACUAGGGUGAUACUAGUGUGGAAUCACUAGUGUUGCAAAACAUUGUUAGAAACCUUGGUGCUUGAGAGGUGGACGCCCUCUUGUGUCAUCGUAGAGUGUUGGUGUUUGAUAUUACGAGUGUUAAGGGUCUUGGUAUUUAAUAUAUACCUUGGUUCUUAUUGUUUGUAAUAUUGUAUGUCACACUUCCUAUCUUUUGUUCCUAUAAUCGUUGUACUAGUUUGUAGUUGUUUCUAGUGAAGCCGUGUGUUGUUGUUACAUUGUUCUUGUGUUCCGUUCCUAUUGUUAUCAUCUUGUUCUUCUGGUGUAGCUGCUGUUUUGGUGUUGAACACCUAGUAAUCUUGGGUUCUUGAGUUGUCAUGUUGUAGCCGUUUGGUCUCUUGUACCCUGUGGACUGUUCUGUGCGAUUUGUGGGCUGUUUUGGUGUCUUUCCUCGGUCGUUUUGUAUCAAAAUAUGAUCCCAAAACAUCAAAUCAACCCUUUCUAUAAGGAAAGAACACAAAAGUAACAAGAGAGUUUCAAAAGAAUGGGAAGUCAGAGUGGGUGAGGAGAAGGUUCGUUCAUAGAAACUCAGUUGUAAAUUUAUAAAUCCAGAAAUAUAUACAAAAAAGGAAAAAUAAUCUUAAAUCAUGCAUUGGAAGGACUCAGUUAAACACAAAUUAAGUACUCCAUCUAGACUCUACACAAAUUUUGGUUAAUAAGAUCCUUAUACGUCCUUCAAGCCUAAAGUUACUUCACCUACGACUCCAAAAACACACUCCACCAUAGAUCAGUGAGCAAUUAAUAAAUUAAUUUUACCCAUUUUUUAACUUACCUUAUCACUAAUCUUCAACCAUGUAAUUACCCCCCACAAAAAUACAUAAAUAACCAAAAUUCAUAACCAAUUGAGUCCUAUCCUAACAAACCUUAUCUCAACAAAAUCACACCUCACCACUCUGCCCCUACCCCACCUCGCUACCCUACCCCCUACGCCAUGUUUUUGUCCAAUGGAAAUACAUAUACGGCUACAGAAUUAAAAAGAAGGGGGAGGGGGGCCCACGUGAUAUUCCUUUUUCGUCUUUCUUUCCAAAUCGAUAAGGGGGACCUUUUUUGCUUGGGCCAUCAUCACAAAGAAUAAAAUAUAUAUACACCAUUGCACACAAUUUAAAUUUUUUGGGGGGAGGGACCCGCAGAGCACAAUAUUCUCUCCAUUCUUUAUAGAUAUGACACACAGGCCCUCCUCAUCAGAGAAUAACAACAAUACCCUUACACUGACCUCACCGUCACACACCCAUAUACACUACACACUCUUAUUUCCACCGGGAUACACACAGAUAUGGAUAGAUAAGAGAUGACGUGAGAAAGAGAGAGCUACGAGAGAGUGAGAGAGAUCUGCGAGAGAGAUAUCUGUGAGAGAGUGACAGAUAUUUGCAAGAGAGGGAGAGAUCCGCGAUUGAAAUCAAAAGAGAACGAUGACAAAGCAGUUUCCGGCGAGUGAGAGCUUGAGGAACACGAGUUUGGUGGCUUGAUUACUGUUCCGACGAGCCUAUCUAGUUUUCAUAAAUUCGUUCAAAACCCAUCGAAUACGUCUCAACUGAUAUCUCUUUGUUGUUUUGGUCAUAGCCGAAGUUUACCGGGGUUACAACAAACCUCGAUCUACAUUUGAUUCCGUCCAAACCCAUUGGAAUCGGGCUGAAUUUCUCUUAUUUCUCAUGAUUUUUAGUUCGAGGUUGUGUGGUUUCGUGAGAAUCUGGUCCAGGUCUCUUUGUUUUUGUGAUUCUCAGUUCCGAGUUGGAUGAGUUUGUUUGUUUGAGAUUCGUUUGUUUGAGGUUCGGUUCGAGGUUUCCGAAUGCGGAUUCUCUUUAUUCGAAUUACAGAGUUUGAAAGCUACGAGUCGAGGUCCAAUUCUAUUAUCUCUCUUUUUAUUUCAUUAUUUACUAUAUUUUGGUGUGUUGGUUUGAAUAUUGUGUGUUUUGUUUGAUCCUUGUUGGUGAUGAACGCGUAUUUGUUUUGAUUCGCGGUUGGUUCCUUUGAUUAUGAUUUCUAUGGUGAAAUAGCAUCUCAUUUGAGAAUUAGAAUUGGUUGUUUGGGGCGGAAUUAAAAUUGAUAAAAGUGAAUACGUAUUUGGUUUAAUUCAUUAUUAGCGGUUUAAUUUGGAAUAAGCAUGAAUUUUAUUGAAACAGAUAGGCAAAUGUAGGUUUGGGUAGGCGAAUUUAGAACUUGUUUGUGGUUGAAUGUUUGAAUGUGCGUGGGCAGUACUUGAUUCUAAUGUAUUCAUUUGGUCGGGAAUGCCCCGAGAGAUUUGUAUUGAUUUAUCCGGAGAAUGCCCCGAAGUAUCGUGUAUGCAAAUGAGGUUCGUGAUCAAGGCUCGAGGCAUCGGGUAAGGCAUUGGAAUGCAGUUUUAGGAUUAGCUUAAAGUAGGAUUUAUAUUUUACGCAUUUUUCUCUUUUGGACUGUAUAAUUGGAUUGGACACUAAAUUUUGAAUUGUUUGGUUUUGUUUGCUUGAUUGAUUGUUUUGCAUGCUUUGUGUGGUUUUUACAUUUAUAAUGUCUAAUUAGUCGAUACGCUCUACCAAGCAACUGUGGUCGAACCACGGGAUCGAGGGGUGUCAACACCUUCCCCUCGGUCAACAGAAUUCCUUAGCCAGAAUCUCUGUUCGCAAACCAGUUUAAAGAGUCAAAUUGUUUUGAAAAGGAUUUUCAAAGGUGACUUGGCACACCCGAUUUAUGCCAAGUGGCGACUCUGGGUUUUAAAUAUAAGAAGUCUUUUCGAAACAAAUCUUCAUUUUGUCACUUUAAUAAUAAAAACCCUUUUGAACUAAAAUCAAAUCUUUUGGAGUUGUAAAAAAGGGGUGUGAUAGCUCUGGCGACUCUGCUGGGAACUCUUCAGAAUUCGAGCUUAUUAUUGGAGUUGUAUCGGCUUAGUUUGACACUAUAGGUGUGUAGACAUUUUGUUUGAGUUCUUUUGUGUUAUUGUUUAUCAUUGUUGAGUGCCUACGUGCUAAUUGUUUAUAGUUUUUAUCGUGUGUUACUUCUUUAUAUCUGGCAUCAUGUGCAUAACUCGAGUUAUUUAUUCUGCAACAAGUCCUCGAGUGCACGUCGUGCACACAAACUCUAGUUGAGUCAUUCUUAUUUUGGAGGGGAAAUCGUCGGACGUAUGGAGUGAGUGGAAAGCAAAGCAGCCACUAUCGACCAUAUUCUCCCCCAAACAGCCUUGUUAGUAAACCCCAACAUAGGUCAGCCUUUCGGUCAUGUUUAUCUACAUCAUAUUGAGACCUAGUGGGACCCAACAUAGGUCAUGCUAAAUGUUUCAUCUUUGAGGGUAACUUGAUUAUUUGAUGGACUGAUUCAGAGAAAACAUGUGUUAGAAGUAAGGUACGUUUGAAAAAAAAAGGAAGAAAAAAGUUAGUCGAAAAGUAAAAAAAUGAGUUUCAUAGUUUUUAGAAUUCUUUAUGGCUUUUGUUUUUCCCAAUCCAAAAAUUCAAAAAGAUUUUUUUUUACCUUUUGCACUCAUUUUUUCAAAAACAAAAAUAUCAAAAAGAUUUUUCUUUGUUUCUUUAAUAAGCUUUCAUAAUUUGAAAAUUUCAAACAAAGAUUUCUUUUAAUAGGAGCUUUUUAUAAAAUUCAAAAAAUAUGGUAGAAGUUUUGUACAUUUCAUAUAAUGAAAAUACCAAAAAGAUUUUCUUUCAUAGCAGUUGGUGUCAUUUUUUAUGUGAAGUGUCAAAUUGAAAACUCAAAAAAAGAUUUUGUUAUGUUGUUCAUCGUGUGUCUUUGGUCGUGUCUCAAGUCAGGGUGCAAUCUGUAAUUUAAUCAUUAAUUGUCCAAUCUGGACGAACUACGCACCCCUGAUUCUCCUCUCUUGGGAGUGAGAUACGUAGGCACCCUAUUGUGGGUUCGGGGAUCUUAUUUUAAAAAUCCAAAAAAAAAAAAAAAUCUUCACUUUUCAUUUAGAGUAGGUGUUUCAUGUGUAUCUUUAAAAGAAAACAACAACAAAAAAAUAUUUUCUUUUAAUAGGUUCAAGUUUCAUUUUCGUAUGAAAUUCAAAAUCGAAAAUCCAAAAAUAUUUUCUUCGGUAAUCAUACAUUUCAUUUUGUACAGGAAUCUGAAAAAAUUCAAAAGAUUUUCGUCACUCUUUAUUUAGAGUAAGUAUACAUCUUUAAAAGAAAACUACAAAAAGAUUUUUCUUUAAUAGGUUCAAGUUUCAUUUUCAUAGGAAAUUCAAAAUCAAAAACCCAAAAAGAUUUUCUUUGGUAAUUAUAGAUUUCAUUUUGUAUAAAGAUUUAAACUUGAAAAAUACAAAAAGAUUUUUGUCAAUUCUUUUGACAAUUUGUUAUUUUCUUCUCUUUGAAGUUUCAAGAAAAAGAAUGAAAAAAAGAGAGUUUAAUUGGCCAUUUUGGCAAGACUUCACGAACUGCGCAUACUUGAUUCUCCACUUUCGGGAGUGAGAUACGUAGGCGCCUUUCUUGGGUUCGGUGAUCUUUUUUAAAAAAAAAAAGAGAAAAGAGGUUAUGAAAAAGUGUUGAACUCAAACAUUUGUUAUUUUUUGUUGAGUCAGUUUAAGGUGGUUGGUUUGUGGCAUUCUGGCUGAUUUUUCACCUCACACGAAAUCCAAAGGGUUAGUUGUGUCCAACAAAGAUAUAGAGAGUGACGUCAUGGAUCAAAUAAUAAAUCAGGAAAAUGAGAGUUUGAAGCAAGAGAUUAGGUGGCUAAGCCAACAAAUGACAGAAAUACAUUGAGCUUGGGCCAGUGGGUUUCCUCCUCUUCCAUUUCCCUUUAUUGAUCCUACAAAUACCUCGAGUUUUCCACCAAAAUCUCAAAGUCAGUUUUCUACUAUUGUUGAUGCAUCGCAACAUGACUCAGAAUUCAUUCCAAGCCAAAAGCAUCUUAAUACUUCCACCACUUUUCGUCUAGCUCCUCAGUAUAAGCCUGCUACAUUCACACCACCAUAUGUCGUCUGUGAUCUUAUUGCUCAAUCCUCUAAUGGGACUUCCACACUGGCUCGCCCAACGGUUGGGCGUCCCUAUGCAGCUAGUGAACCUAUAUUCAAUACUCUUGGUGAUCAUUGUUAUACUCCUGAGCUUGCUUUUAAGUUAACUGGACCACCAAAAUUUCUUAACAAGAAGUCUAGUGUGCCAGAAGAGUUGGAGAAAAUGGUUGGAAGAAUGAAAAGUGCAUAAAGUGCUAUGAAAAAUUCUCUAGGACCUUCGGGUAAAGAAGAUGUUUCAUACAAAGACUAGGGCAUGCCUUCAAGCGCUAACCUUCCUCCAAUCUUUGAGAUAUCGACAUUUGAGGAGCAAGAUGGGCAUGAGGAAUCCGUGAAAUAUUUGGGACAAUAUUGCAAUCAAUUAACAGAACCUGGAGGAAAGAAGAAUAGGAAAUAUGGCACUGCUAUUGUAGUUGGAGAACGGGCACAUCCAAGAAGACGUCGUCAUUGCUGUCAGUCUCAAGCCCAAGUUCAUACCCAAGCUCUCCAUAAUCACUCCCAAAAUCUAUUAUACCCUGUUUCCCUACCUCCAUAUCUAGUAUAUUGCGCACAACCAUAUGUUCAACUCCCUCCUUACCCACAAUGGCAUGCAUCAACUUCUCAAAGUCAUCCUCCAAUUCCCCAAACAUACCAAAGCCCUUCUAGGCCCGAUGUUCGAUCCAAGUUAAACAAUGAAAUAAGGCAGAAAUUGAGGGAUAGUUUCACACCAAUUGGAGAGUCGUAUUCCAGUUUAUUUUAGAGAUUGGCACAACGAAUCAUGAUCACACCUCUCCUUGGGUAUACUCCUGACCCACAUUCAAGAAGUUUUGAUCCUAAUGUACGAUGUGCAUAUUAUUCUGUUAUUCAGGGUUACUGUAUUGAAGAUUGUCGUUCUUUGAAAAGAGAAAUUAAAAAGAUUAUUUAAGACAAAUUAAUUAUGGUGCAGAACAUUGAUAGUGAGGAUGACUCUAGUCAUGCUGAUAUGCAAACCAAUGUCUAAGAUGUCAGGCUGAGCAAUUGAGAAGUCACCCUUCUCCCUACUAAGAAGAGGUCUGGUAGUUUGUUUUGUUUUAUUUUCUAUUAUCCGAAUUAUUUCAGGGUUGUAGUUCGGGAUCUAUCUUGUUUUGUCCAUUUGUUGUUAUGUUCAAACCCUUCUAUCUUUUAUUUUAAUUAAAUGAAGUGUCCCUUUCUCCUUUGUGUUUUAAACAUGUUUUUGUUUGUUUUCUUUCCACAUUACAUUUUAUGUCGACUCUAGUGAUAUGACAUGCUAAUGGAAUUUUCAGUCAGAUCUUAAAAUCCAGUUUAAGCAUGAACAUUAAAUCAGAGGGUUAAAGUUAGGAAAAAAGAGCAUUUGAGAAAAUAGGUAGAGUGCUGAAACAUUUGGGGACAAGUUCAAGCCUUCUUGCAAAAUUAAGGCAAUUAUUUUGGGAAUCAUAAGAAUAACUUGGUUAUUAAUUGAAAGACAUGGCUCAAUUAGGUCAAAUAGUGGCUGCGUGAACAGAAAGAAAAUCAUCUCCACAAAAGCAUGAGUCAUUUAAUGUGAGGAAUAUACAACAAAAGUGGACUGAUAUGUUGAACAAAGUGCAAGAGUAGUGACGCACAUACUUAGUAAAAGUUAAUGCUUAAAAAUUGUCACAAAUGAUCAUCAUCUCUCACUUUCAUAUUGCAUGAUAUGUACUUGCAUUUUUAUGAAUUGAUAUGACGAAGGCAUUUCAUUCCGCUAUCCAAACAUUAUGUCAUCCUUUGUUUACCUAUUUGAGCUUUAGUCCUUUUUUCUUUCAUACCCCUCUUUUGGAUCAAGAUAGAGUCAGCAAAGCUCAAAAGAAAAGUGUCGAGCAAAACAAUAGAGUCAGAAAAAGUUAAAAAAAAAAUAUGUCCAAAAAGAAAAAGAAAAUAAAAGUGUCAAGACAAAUAGAGUAAGAAAAAAAUCCAAAGAGAGAAAAGUGUCAAUAAAAGAAAAAGAAUCAAAAGUGUAAAUCAUGCAAAAUAAGCUUCCAGAACUAUGCAUGACCUGAUUCUCCUCUCUCAGGAGUGAGAUACGUAGGCUGCCCUACUAAGGGCUCGGUCCAACUAAAUAAACAAUUUAGAAUUGCCCAGUCAAAAGAAACUGGGGCAUGAUUUAAUAUUCAUUGUUUGAGUCGAUUUCAAAAGUUGUAAGUCCUACUCCACUUCAAGUGUCGUUUAGGCCUCAUGUUAUUCUUUUCUUCUAAUCUUAUCCAAAAGCCAAGCUACAACCAAAGAAAUACCUUCAGAUCAAUCAUUGAGAAUGUUAAGACUAAUCAUGCAAUGAAUGUGAUGACGUAUUUGGGAACUACUUGUCUACCUCAGUAAUAAGAAUCGGGAGAGAAAUAAAAAUAAGAGAGUCUUAACGGUGAAAACCCUCACGGGCACCGUAAGAUGAUGGUAAGCCGAGGGAAAUAAAAAUGAAAGAGUCUUAUCGGUGAAAACCCUCACGGGCACCAUAAGAUGAUGGUAAGCUGAGGGAGAUAACAAUGAGAGAGUCUUAUCGGUGAAAACCCUCACGGGCAUCAUAAGAUGAUGGUAAGCUGAGGGAGAUAACAAUGAGAGAGUCUUAUCGGUGAAAACCCUCACGGGUACUGUAAGAUGACGGUGAGUUGAGACAAAUAAAAAUAAAAGAGUUUCAUUGCUGAAAAGCCCUCAUGGACACCAUAGGGCAAUAGUGAGCUGGGAAAAAGAAAAUAAGAGAGGCUUGUUGGAAAAAACCAUUCAAGGGGCCACUAGCCGAAUGAGGUCUUAAAUGCAAUUGGCCUAAGGAAGCAACUCAAUUUCGAGGUCAUAAACUCAACAACAAUUGGUAGAAAGUUUUGGAUAUAAAGAUCAGGCAGUUUAAUCCGAUAUGCAUGUCAUUAUCAUUAUAGUUGAUUGUCAUUUUCAGAUAAACUUUUCUUUCAUAUUUUUCAAUGGGGACAUUAAUUGUCAUUUCUUUCUUCUCUUUAAUUAUAUUUUUAUUUCGUUGAGUUAGUUAUCCAAAUAAAACAAAAAUUGUUGUCAUUUUUCUCUUGUCUUUGAGUCAAGUCCAUGUCAAAACAAGUGAGAAAAAGUUUCAAAAUUGGCUACUAGCUUCUUCAAUUGCAUAAAGCAAGACAAAGUGCCAGCACAUGAAAGAAACAAGAUUGCAAGCCAGAACAAGGCAUGCAGAAAGUUUUGUCAAUAGAUAAGUCUGGGAACUCAUGGAAAUACUAAGCUUCAAAGGGUUUAUUUGAGUAGCAUGGCGAAGCAGUGCUACUAUGCUUGUUUUAGAGUCAUUUCCAUGAUAAAGCAGGGGCAAGUGCCAGCAAUCUGAAACAAAAUAAAGGGAAUAAACACUAGAACAGGUGUCAGGAAAGUCAAGUGCUGGAAACCACCACUAAGUUUGUAACUGACAAAUUUUCUUUGUUGAAAUAGGGGAAAAUUCGCUUCACUUAAUUCAGCUACCAUUGGAAAUGGACAUCUGUGAGAUUUUACUUUCUGUUCAGAACCCUCCUGAAAAACGGGAUUUUACCUUCUAUUCAGGACCCUCCUGCAAAAUGGGAUUUUACCUUCUGUUCAGGACCCUCCUGAAAAAUAGGAUUUUACCUUUUGUUCAAGACCCUCCUGAAAAAUAGGAUUUUACUUUAUGUUCAGGACCCUCUUGAAAAAUGGGAUUUCACUUUCUGUUCAAGACCCACCUGAAAAAUGGGAUUUCACUUUAUGUUCAGGACCCUCCUGAAAAAUAGGAUUUUACUUUUUGUUUAGGACCCUCCUGAAAAUGGGAUUUUACUUUCUGUUCAGGACCCUCCUGAAAAAUAGGACUUUACUUUCUGUUCAGGACCCUCCUGUAAAAUGGAACUUUACUUUCUAUUCAGGCCCCUCCUGGAAAAUGGGAUUUUACUGUCUGUUCAGGACCCUCCUAAAAAAUGGGAUUUUACUUUAUGUUCAUGACCCUCCUGAAAAAUGGGAUUUUACCUUAUGUUCAGGACCCUCCUGAAAAAUAGGAUUUUACCUCCUGUUCAGGACCCUCCUGAAAAAUGGGAUUUUACCUUCUGUUCAGGACCCUCCUGAAAAAUGGGAUUUCACUUUUUGUUCAAGACCCUCCUGAAAAAUGGGAUUUCACUUUAUGUUCAGGCCCCUCCUGAAAAAUAAGAUUUUACUUUCCGUUCAGGACCCUCCUGAAAAUGGGAUUUUACUUUCUGUUCAGGACCCUCCUGAAAAAUAGGACUUUACUUUCUGUUUGGGACCCUCCUGAAAAAUGGAACUUUAAUUUCUGUUCGGGACCCUCCUGGAAAAUGGGAUUUUACUGUCUGUUCACGACCCUCCUGAAAAAUAAGAUUUUACUUUCUGUUCAGGACCCUCCUGAAAAAUGAGAUUUUACUUUCUGUCCAGGACCCUCUUGGUGAAUGGGACAUUACUUUCAGAAAAAAUGAAAUCUUUCUUUAUUAUAAUCUUUGUUUGGGAUAAUUUUUGUUCCAGUUUUGAUUUUGAUUUCAAAAGCUCGCAUGAAAAACUGGGUGAUGGAACUUCAAGUUAGGAGCCCGCCUGAAGUAUAGGGUGA